rnacentral:lncRNA from 1 species
GCAGGAAAACUUCUAGAACAGACAAGGUUUUCCAUCUACAGCCAUCUAUUGACAACAGAUACAUUUUCAUUCAGCAAACACUGUUAGCAUUCAAGAUACUGGCAGAUUCACUUGAUUCUUAUUAGUUUGAUUAGUAGCAAAGCAUAUAACCUGUAUUUCUAAGCCAAGUUGUGCUAUUGAUUAUGUUAACUUUAUUGUUCUCAUAAAGUGAUAUGGAGGAAAUAAUCAAUGUAGGAAAAUUAGGUGAAGAGAUGAUGUCAAAUCUUGAACCUCUUACAAAAUUCCAAGUUCUUUACUUGAAGAAGCUACCAAAUUUGAACAGGGUCCACUGGAAGGCCUUGCCAUUCCCUGAUGCAUGCAGAAUUUUUGUAUUUAAAUGCCCAGAGCUUAAGAAGCUGCCGCUGGAUCUUGAAAGGGAGGCCAAGGUAAAAUUCUUAUCAAGGGAAAGGAAGAUUGGUGGAAACAACUUCAAUGGGAGGAUCAAGUAACUCCGAAAGCAUUGCUUCCAUUUUUAAAAUCAACCAACAAGUGAUUGAGGGGGCAUCAUCAACAUCAUCAACAUGGAUGGAGAGAUUUUGGAGCAGAUCAGCCGGGUUUAGUACGACCUGUGGUGGUUUCUUUUUUGUGACUUUUUUCCCUUUCAUUUUUUCACUUCCUGUCAUAUUAUCAUUUCUUUGUCUCUGUUUCUAUUGCUGGUGUUGCUGCAUGCUUGCAGCCCUUGACAAAGUUAGCUAGUUUUUUUGUUUAUUAAAUUUUGUAUGUUCGGUCGGGACAGUCACAAAGUACUACUUGUUCUAUAUGGGGGUGAUGUGAAUCAACUUUUCAAUUAAAUAUUCUGUGGUAAUUGUGAAUUCAAUUUCAUUUGUCUCCUGCAAAUUAUGAAGAAAGUGCAGAGUUACAAUAUGGAAAAGUUCACUGGCAAAUACUUUGUAAAAGCUUCGGAGUGAAACAGGGAAUGCACUUGCAACUAAGGACAAAUUGGUGGCCAGCUAAUUCAUUCAUUUUAUGUACAUUCAUCUUUUUAAUUAUUGAAGAUAAGUGGUUCGUUGCUUUUGUUGUAGAUAAAAUCCAGACGACCUCAAUUGUGAGAUUGAAAAUAUUUAAAAUAUCUCUUAAAUUAUUAUAAACUUUAAUUUAUCUUAAUUUUAUUUAAAAGAUAAAAGAAAAAUGUGGUUUAUGGAUAAAUUUUUUUUUUAUCUUGUUAAUAAAAUGAAAUAAAUUAAAAUUUACAAUAAUUUAAAGUAUUUUAAAAAUUAUUAUUUCAUAAGAGAUUAAUAUGAAAUUAAUCCUUUUUACUUUUUGAAUGUGAAAGGACAAGAAAAGAGAAAGCAAGUGUCACUGCUUUUUAUUUUAUUUGAAAUCGGAGUUAUCCCAUAUACUUUACUACUUUAGCUCUCUCCUCAAGGUGAGAUGCGUGAGUUGGGUGAAGAUUUGGUGAGUCACCCGUAUAUAUAUAUAUAUAUAUAUAUAUUAUCUGCUCGGUGAAAUUUUUUUUAAUCUGAGCUUAGAAUCUAGGAUUAAAAUUAUGGAAAAAUUUAAGUAUUACACACACGCACACUAUUCGGUCAAUUUUUUUUUAAUCUGAGUUUAGAUGUAGAAUUAAAGUUCAAAAUGAAUUUACUGUGUGAUAAAUCAAUUUUUACAAUGUUGUAAACUGAUUUAUGGUAUUAUAAAUCCAUCUUAAAUUUUAAUCUCAGAUUCUAAGUUCGGAUCUAAUAAACACUCUCUCCAAUUAUGUUGUCUAUAAUUUUGCAUUCAAAGAAACUUCACGAAAAAUAUAAUAUCAUGUGUAGCCCCAGAAAAUUUAAUAACAAUAAAAAAGAUAUCAUAAGAAAAGAAAACUCAUAAUUGUUCAGAUAUUUAUAAAUUAGUGGCCGUUGGAAAUUUAACUGCAAGUGCCAAUCCGAGUGCACAAAAGACUUUUAGCCAUACUUUUAGCCAUAUGUCAUUCAUUGUUUGUUUGCUGCAUUCCCUCUCAUUUUCUUAAUUAUUGAAGACAGGUUGCUCAUAGCAUGUAAUUUUCAAAUGUGGAACCGCAGCUAAUGUCACUAUUUUAAUUUGGAAUUAAAUUAGGGCCCAUGUAUAAAAUUUAUAACAGUAUAUUGCAGCGUGAACUAACUUUUAUGUUUAUCUAAACACCUUAAAUUUAAGGCAAAUUAUGGCAUAAAUAAGAAUUAUAACAGAACAUUUAUGAUGUAUAGCAAAAGAGUUGUGAUGAAGAUCUUGAAGACAUAAUAUUAGCGCCGAAUUAAGUAACUAAGAACACCCCUGAACUGAAUAUUGGUUAUCAAAAUUGUGUUACUUGCACUCCUAUUAACUAAAAGUUUGGUUCUGUUCCAUUUGAGUUUUUAUCUUCAAAUUUCAAAAUCUUGCUAAGUUUUGACAAUCACAAAGGCUCAGUUUGCUUGUUCUAUAUUUGUAUGAUACGAAUCCAAAUUUUUGUGUUCUAUUUUCUCAAUUUUGAAUACAGAUUCUUUUCUUCUCCCGCAAACCAGAAAGAAAUGUUGUAUUAAAAAAAAUGGAAAUAACUUCAUGACAACAAAAAUUAGGAAAAAUAAUAUAAACCAAAUUAAGAUAAAUAAUAUCAUUUUCUAGACAAACAGGCAAAAAUGGAAAAGGAUAUUUCAAUUUCUAAAUUUUCUUUCAUGUUUGCUUCUCGCAUAGAAUCAUUUGGUAUUAACAAAUUUUUUACUUAUUAAACAAAAGUUUUUAAGAUUUUUUUGUUUCCUGCUGUUAAUCUAUGAAUGGUUUCAUUGUUGGAGUUUCUUUCAGAAGACAAGAAUACUUUGGUUAAGUGUUUGGCUAAGUACUAAAUUAAAGGUUGUUAGAUAGAAGAAAUUAAAAAAAAAAUUCCUAACCCUUUAUUCAGUGUUUAAUCAGCAAAUAUUCAACUCAACAUGAAUCUUAAUCAUCUUUAAAAAAAAAUUAUUCAAUUUUCUAAUAAUAUUUAUGCAGGUACUAGAAAUUAAAACCCUAUUUACAUGGAUGCGUGCCCAUCGGUCCAAUUUAAAAAAAAAAAGAGAAAAAAUAAAUGUAAUCCAUGAAUUUGGUUAAUUUUCCUUUGUUUGUUUCUUUCUGUUCUCCUCCCCCCCCCCCCCCCCCCCCCCUCAAUAUCAUUCCUUUUUGGCCGCCCAAGGACAUUUUCACAAAUACCUUUUGUGCAGAAGUCUUUUAAACCAUCAAUCGGAAGAAACAUGCUUCCAGUGAUACCUCCAAUUAUCAUUGAUGACUUUUCUUACUCUAAUGCUAUGUCAAUUCCAACAUUUGUAUGUUAAUAUAACAUAAUCAAUGAUUUGGAUAAUUGAUUACUUUUACGGAUUGUGGACUUUUGCGGAUUUUCAAUCUAAUCCAAUCCACCAAUUCACAAAUUCAGAUUUUUACUGAUUAGAUUUCUACAUAUCAAAUGAAUUGAGCAGACUAGAUUGGAUUUUGAACAUUGCUAAUUUGUAUGUUAAUUAUAAGAUAAUCAAUUAUUUGGAUAAUCCCUUGUGUUUUAUCUCUAAUUAGAACAUCAAUCUUCACAAUAUCUACAAUGCUACAAUGGCUAUAAAACAAAACCUGCUUGCAAAUUGUCAAGGAUACUUAUCCUUUCGCUUGACAAGUCAUUUGGAAAAAUAUUGUCCCUUGGCGGCUCCAUGUCUUCUCUGCCCCUCCUUUUGGUCUUAAUGUACGGUUGCAUAGUGAUAGUUUAGGCCCUUAGGGACUACUUUCCCUGGUGUUGUUAAGUCUUAGCUUGUGCUAGGCUUGUGUUUCUUACCAAAAGAAAAGGAAUACUUCUCCGAAAUAAUCUCUAUAUAUAGGAUGGUUGGAUUCACUUGUUUAUAUAACAGAUCAAUUAGUUCUCUGUAAGUAGAGAGUUUCUAGUAUGAGAGAAACGGUAGGUCUAUUGAGAUAUUAUGUGUUAUUAGGAUUUUGGUUGUGAAGAAAAAUACUAGAGUGAUUGUGUUAAUUUUCUAUGUAGUGGAUUUUUCUAUCGUCAUCUUUGUGGCUGUGAUUUUUCUUUCAUAUAGAAGUUUCCCACGUAAAUUCUUAUGUUGUGUGAUUAGUUUUAUUCUCUAUCUAUUUUUUUGUUUAUUAUUUGUUUGAUAUUUUAUUUGUAAGAUGUUGGAUGGGAUAAAAUUCCUUAACAAAUAACGGAUUAAAAAUCUUGAAGAAAAAGCUCAAGAGAUCUUCAAGAUUUGAAGUGUGAACAAGUUCAUAUUACUGCUAGAUGAUAUAUGGGAGCGGGUUGAUUUAGUAAAAAUGGGUGUCCCUCUUCCUAGAUCAGAAAACAGCACAUCCAAAGUGAUAUUUACAAACCCGUUCUGAGGAAGUUUGCAGCUUAAUGGAAGCUCGUAGGAGUUUUAAAGUGGCGUGCUUAUCAAAUAAAGAUGCUUGGGAAUUGUUUCGAUACAAAGUUGGGGAAGAAACUUUGAACAAUCAUCCGUUAAGGGGUGUGGUGGUUUGCCACUUGCACUUUUUACCAUCGGCCGAUCUAUGGCAUGCAAGAAGACACAGCCGAAGAAUGGAGAUAUGCUAUUCAAGUGUUCACUUCGUCCGCUUCCCGUUUCCAGGUCUGGAAGAAGGGAUAUAUACUCUUGUAAAAUUUAGUUAUGAUAGUUUACCCAAUGACACAAUGACACCUUGUUUGUUAUAUUGUAGUUUAUAUCCAGAAGAUUGUUGCAUUUCUAAAGAGAAUUUGGUAGAUUGUGAGAUCAGUGGAGGAUUUUUGAAUGAAUUGAAAGUGACUGGUUUGGAGAAAAAAAUCAAGCAUACGUCAUUUUGGGCAUUCUUCUUCAUGUUUUUUUUUUUUUUUUUUUAUGGAAAAUGGAGGAGAUUGUGAAGUGAAAAAUGCAUGCAUGACGUUAUUCGUGAUAUGGCUUUGUGGAUCGCAUGCGACUAUGAGAAGGAGAAGGAGAACUUUUUGGUUUAAGUUGGUGUUGGUUUAACUAAGGCACCAGAUAUUAGAGAUUGGGAAAAGGUGAGGAGAUUGUCAUUGAUGAAAAAUAAAAAUGAGAAUCUAACUGAGGCUCAUACAUGCUGUAACGCCACAAAUUUCCAUAAUAUUAAAUUAUAGAAAUUGGGCUUUCAUUGAGAAUUAUGGGUGGCCUAUAACCCUUAUUAAGAAAGGGAUAUUAAAUUAUAAAUAGAGGUUAUUUAUGAGAUAGUUUUGAAAAAGGGUUAUUUUUCCUAAUUAAAUAGGGUUUCUUAAGACUCCCUAUAAAUUCAUACUUUUUCCUUUCCAUAACCCUAAGUUCACGACGUUUAUUCUUCUUCUCUGCUGCUCUUUACGCUCCUAACGCUCCUACCCAAAUCUUAGGAUUCAAACCUUUGUUUAGGAGAGAAUCAAAACGACGGGUAAGUUAUUCUCUCUAUUCUCAAAAGAUUUCUAAUCAUUCUAUCUAGGGUUUAUAUUGGCACGAUUCUAGAUGGUUAUAGAUCAUAAUGCAUUAUUUAGAAUGUAUUUAGGCUUUGUUUAGAGUUUUGACUUAUUAUGAGUUUAGUUAAUCAAUCCUUGACGUAUUAAGCACAUAGGAUAAUUCUGGACAGCAUGAGUAUCUCGAAUUUAAACCUAUAUUUUCUGAACGAGCUUUCUUAUGAAAUUUAUAUUUCUGGAAACUAGACAUGUAGGGCUUCUUGAAUAAAUUUUAUUUCAUUAAAUUCGACUUCUUUUUCAAUUUUACAUGUAUUUUCGAAAUAGAAACCACUGCACUGGAAAACUGCGAUUCCAGCAUUGCAAUCGGAUUCACAAGAUUAUUUGUACCACCAAAUGAACUCUGAAAAUUAUGAAAUUUUAUAUGUAGGUUAAUAUAUAUGUCUAGGAUUCCCAGUUUUAAUUUCAUAAUUUUCUAAUUUUUAUUUUAUUUUAUAAAAAUCACAGAACCCGUUCUGUUUGGUUUAGGUUAUGCGAAAACAGUUUCGAAUUUGUUGAGAAAUAAAUAGUUUUGAAAAUGUUUUUGAUUUCGGAUCCUCUUGAAAAUUUUACAUGGGGUACUCAUGGAUAUCCAGAAUAGUUUCAUAGAACAUUAUGUCAUUAUGAGUUUUAGAUUAAGAGUCAAAAUUCUGAGAAUCAGACCUGUACGGUUAUGAAUUAGAAAAUCAGAUUCUUAGAAUAAGUUAUUAAUUGUCAUAUCUUGUACUUCUUUAAGGUGUUGGAGGUGAUUGAGACUCUUAGAGGCUUAGAGGCGUGUUAAUUCAAAUUCUUUAGUCGAGGUAAGUAACUUCAUUCCUAAUAUACUGUAUAUGUAUAAGUAUUUUGAUAUUAUUAUUAUAAGUAUAAAUGUUUUCAUACUACUUAGAAGAUUAAUGGAUUUUCAUAACAAAAUUAGCAUAUGAAAUGUUUUCAAAACCUAAAUUCUUUUUAACAAAGCAUUUUAUAAAUACUUUUUAAAUAUGUAAGUUAUUUUGUUACAUGCCUACUUUUAUGAUUUUAUUUAUAAAAUAUUUUGCAAGCCUAAAUUAUUGUUAUGGACUUUUAUGAAUCUGAUACGAAGGUUUUGUGCCUAUAUAUGAUUUCAAUUAUAUAUGAUUGUACGGGGGCCACCUCCUGGGACUAUAUGGGCGCCACCACUUGAAGGCCACAGCGUCGCAAAGUGCCACGUAUAAAUCAUUAUGUUUUGGCUCAUUGUCCGUAGUCAUUUUGAUUCUGAUUCUGAUUGUAUAAUACGAUAUAUGUCUGUUCUAGACCAGUACUGGGUUUCUGUUCUGAGUGUGCACACGAUAUUCUGAUUCUGUUCUGGCUGGGUCACCGGGACUAUAGGUGACACUAUGUGACAUAAGCUAACAUUGAAACGACUCGUCCCGAAUCCCCCCAAGCGAGUCUAUCUAGUCUCAUCAAAACGGACUUGAUAAUAAUUCUAUUCGUAAAGAUUCUGCCGAAAAUUUGGCAGAGUCUCCUUUAUAUAUAUAACACUCCCAAUCUACAAAUAUGAAUAUAACACUCCCAAUACAAUUCAAUAUACAACAAACUCCAGUGCUCAACAUCCUCGACAAAAAUGCUGAGUUUUAUUUCUCUAGAGUCUUAAAAGAUAAUAUUAUAACGAAUAUUAAUAUCUCAAUUUAUUCUUAAUCUCAAAAGAAUAAUAUAACAAAAUUAUACAAUCCCAAAAGAACAAGAUGACUAAGAUGUCCUAACAAAAACAUUUAUAUCUUCUAACACCAUCACGUGGCCAAGACUCAAAAUAUAUUUACAGUCGCUGGGUCGGUCUGGUGUACCUGCAACCUCUUGGUGAGGGGGAGAAAAUAUAAUAAAAACGGGGUGAGUUUAAAACUCAGUGAGAUCAGUGAGUGGAUAGUAGUUUUGAAAAUUAAUUCUUACUUUAAAAGAAAUAAUCAUAUCAUUUCCAAACAUGAUUUCAUUAAACCAUAAGCGAGAAACCAGUAAUAAAUCAUUAAACAUUUAAAUCAGAUUACUAACCAUAGAAAUCAUCUUACAAUAUCAUAUAGAAUUCACAAAUUUGAAAAUCAUCACCAAACAAGUACCCAGGGAAAUAAUCUCGUCAUAUCCGGACCUCAACGAACGGGCAAUGAUGUACUAUCUGGGUAACGUCACUCCCCGGAGCUACACGGAUAGACAGGGAAAUACCAUAUCAUAUCUCAUCAUAUCUGUGCAUGCAUAAUCUAGUCCCCAAGGGAUAAAAGCGCCCAAGCACACGGCCCAAAGCCUCUGUGUGUACUUAGACGGGCCCCAAAGGCCUGUAUCUCAUCUGUAUCAUAUGUAUCAUUUGUAUCUCAAUAUUUGUCUGUAUCUCAUAUUUGUAUCUCUCUAAUCAUCAUACCGCAUGCAUAUGCCCCCAAAAGACAAAAACGCCCAAACACACGGCCCAAAGCCUCUAUGUGUGUUCAGACGGGCCCCAAAGGCCUCUCAUCUCAUAUCAUCUGUAUCACUGUAUUUGGAGGGGAAGGGUACUAGCUAAUGAUUUCAAAAACAAUCAUUAUACUCAUAUUCACAUACCUCUUAACCAUAUUUUAAAUCAUACCAUAUUUGAAUUGUCUUUUCUUAUCUUUAAAGUAUUAUCAUGCUUUAUUCAAAAUCGAUACGCAAAAUCAUCAACCAAACAUUUCGAGAAAUCAUUAAAUCAGAACAUUUAAAAUACUUAUUUCGCAAACAUGCUUUACUAUCAUAAUUAACUAUGAAAAUAGGUUUUGUAUAUUCCACUCACAGUGACGGUGUUCACGGUCGGUUAUCGUCCACGUCCGCGGACCGAUUCUCGCUCGCGGAUUCUCCUAAAUCAAGGAAACGACAUAAUUAUUUUUUGUAAAUCGGAAUUAUGACUAAAUUUAUGCAAUAAACUCGAAACGAACAUUUAUCCAUAAUUUACAACUCCCGUGUCGAUAAAAUUACUAAAAUGCCCUUUUGUUAUUGUUAUGUUUUGGAAGAGAUUAUUUAGUGUUAGACGUUGGAAUUUGUGGAUUUGUUUGAAUAAGAAUUUAAGGUAUUUCAGUUAGGAAUUUAUGAGUCAGGAUUACGAUUUAUAAGUAACAUCCUUCUUCACGUGCUCCGCACGUGUUAGUUUUGCGGUGUUACACAUGCCCUCAUCUCCUCACUUUCUUUCUUGACGAUAAUGAGUUUCGGAAGAUCCCCAGUGACUUCUUCCAGUUUAUGCCUUCUCUCACUGUUUUAAACUUGUCAUGUAUUAAACUAAAGUCAGUUCCUUUAGGGACUUCAAGGUUGGUUCCACUACAACAACUCGAUCAUUCAUAUUGAAGCAUAAAAGAGUUGCAAGAAGAGUUAAAUGCCCUGAUUAAACUUAAAUGCUUGAGUAUAGAUCAUGUAGAAGAGCUAAUUACAGUUCCACAACAACGGAUAUUUAAUUUUUAAGGUUACAUGUGUUGAGAAUGUUCGAUACUAUUAGUUUAAAUUUUCAAGAAGCAUUAAAUAAAGACAGCAUUUUAUUUGGUGGGGAGGAAGUUUUAGCAGAGGAGUUGCUCGGUUUGAAAUAUUUGGAGGUAUUGAGCUUCACUUGAGAAGUGUUCGUGCUCUCCAAUUUAUUUCGAGCUCACAUAAGCUACGAAGUUGUACUCAAGCGCUGUUCCUCCAAUCCUUCAAUGAUUCGACAUGGCUUGAUGUUUCACUUUUGGCAGAGUUAAAAGCACCACUACAGAUUUAAGUAUUUUUGGGUGUAGAAAAUUGGAGGACUUGAAGAUGGAAUAUACUGGGGGAGCGAAAAGCAAGCGGCAACCUUGUGUUUUCUAAGGCCUACAUACAGUUCACAGAGAGGUUUGUUCUAAAUUGAAGGACUUUGACAUUCCUUGUUUUUGCUCCAAAUCUCAAGAACUUGUAAAUACAAAAUUGCCCUGCUGUGGAAGCAAUCAUCGGUGUGGGAGAAUUUGCGGAAGCUCUAGAGGCGGUGGAAAAUCUAAACCCAUUUGCAAAACUCAGUAUCUUGGACUAGAAAAUCAGCCAAAUGUGGAGAGCAUCUAUUGCAAGUCUCUGCCCUUUCAGAAAUGACUGUGGAUAGUUGCCGUUGUCUUAAAAAGCUUCCUCUCUACUCCAACAGUGUAAAAGAGUGGACAAUUGUUAUUUCAUCAUUCGGAGAAUUAAUGGUGCAAUGAGAUUUAGCAGUUAACUCUCGUGGGAAGAGCUUGAAUGGGAAGACGAAGCCGCUCCAAUUGCUUUUCAUUCCUGUUUCAAAUCUCUGAUCGGAUUGGAGAUUGCAUUUCGCCUCAGGUUCGUGCUUUUCUUGAAUUUUUCUCGUUAACUUCAUUUGUUCAUUUAUCCAUUUUUUUUAAGGAAUCAGAAGGGUUAAUAUUUUUGGUUGUGUUAGGUCGACUUCUAAUCACGAGGCAGAAGGAGUUGAGAUGAAGUUUAAUUUUGGUGGAGAAAUUGUUUGAUUUAAAAAAUUUAAAUGAGUUGACCAUCAUUCUUUAGCAUAUUUGUAUGAACAGGAGUGUGAAAAUAUGCAAACUGUCCAGCUGUAUGUGUAUAACGUAAUAAUUUUGAGGAGUUAAAACAUUGAAGAAUAUUGAUGUUUCCAUUGUCAGACCAAAUAUACUUAAUUACUUGAGGAUAACGAUUACUGCUAAUACGUUUGCAAAGAAAAAACAUGCCUAUUGAAAAACUCAUCUUAUUAGCAACAGUAUUAUAAGUAGUAUCCAAUCAUAGUUUCAUGCAAGAUUUUGAGAUUUUUCAAAUGCUGAUUCCGGGAAUGGAGAUUAAUAGAUAAUGGAGACAGGUUGACUGCAAUGGCUAAUUGCAAGAGGGAAUUUUAGUCGUAAAAAAAGACCAACUAGCAAAGCAAAUUCCAAAUCUCGGAAUGAAGUAGCAAAAAAAAGAAACAAACAAAUGGCAAGAGGAAGUGACUAUACAAUAAUAACAUCGACUUGCAAUUCAACAUUUAUACAGUUUUACACACCAAGAAAGGAAAAAAUUACAAUAGAAAUUUGGCCACUAAAAGAUGCUCGUUCAUGCUUAUGCCUGUCAUAUGGAUUUGAAACAUGGAGUAAAAGCAUUUAGAGUGGCUUCAUCCUUCCACUGCAGCUCAUUCCACCAGUGUUGCUCUCCCCUAAUAACAAGUUUUUGUUCCUUGGCACUGUUGUAAUCGAGUGGAAGCUUCUUGAGAUUCGGGCAGCCAGAUACAAACAAUUCCAAGAGAUUUGGAAAGGGCAAUGCAUUCAAACAGAUCUUCUUCAAAUUUCUUAGAACUUGCAACCGAAGAUAUUGGAGUUUCGCAAAAGGUUUUAGCCCGGGAACUUCUUCCACUUUCCAAACACUGAUUAUUUCUUCCAUCCCAUAACAACGUUCUAUAUGGACCACCUUGAGAUUUGGAGCAAAAACAAGCCAUGUCAUCUCCCUCAAUUUACUGCAACCGUCUAUGGUAACACUUUGAAGGCUGUUGAAACCCUACGGUUCUCUUGUUGUUUGAACUUCUGCAUAGUCAACCUUUAGCUCUUCCAAACUUGUACAAUGCACAAAAUCUAGUUUGUCAAGAUACUUGAGAUCUGCUAUGGACAAAAUAUUCCAUGACCUUGAAUCCUCACAGCGGCGAAGCUCUAAAGCAUAUUUACAACUCUUAUACUGUUGGCGGCUCAAAAGUCUUCGUAGAGCAUAAAAACUUCUUAACGUGACGCUUAAUACAUUUAAAUGUUCCAAAGUAAUCAACUCCUCUACCAAAAUUUCACUACCACCAAAUAGAACGCUAUCUUCUGGAACUGUAUCGGCAGAGCCACAAUCUAGCAUCCUCAACACCUUUAACCCAGAAAAAUUACAAAGCAGUUGCCGUGGAAUCGUAUGGAGAUAACGCAUGUACUCCAAGUUCAAACACUUUAGAUUUUUCAAGGCCUUUAGUUCAUGUGGCAACUCUUUGAUGAAAGUUUCUGAAAGAUUAAGAUAUUGUAGUGAAACCAAUUUUGAAAUUCCUGAAGGCAAUUGACUCAAGGAGCGAUUCUUUGAUAGGUUUAAAACUUUAAGAGAAGGCAUAAAAUCGAAGAAAUCACUAGGGAUAGUAUCUAACAUAUUAAUUCCGAGGAACAAAGUUAUAAGAUGAGGGCAUAUUGGAGUUAUUGGUAAAAUCACAAUUUUAUUUCUCAUCAACGGUAUCCUUCUCUUAUCUUCCCAUUUUUUAACCUCGGGUGGUUCAGUUAAUUCAAUACCGGCAGAAACCAAAAAGUUUUCAUUCUCCACUUCACAGGCUAUCCACAAGGUCAUAUCACGAAUCACAUCAUGCAGUUUUACAUAAUCUGAUCCUGCUUCUUCCAAUAGGCAUGCAUGAACAAGAACACCAAUAAUGCAGUAUCCUUGGUUAUGUACUCCAUUAAUUCCUUCAUUUUCCUUCAGAAAACCCUCACCAAUCCAACACUUUAUCAAUUCAGUUUUGCUAAUUUGAUAAUCCUCAGGAAAUAAACUACAGUAUAACAGACAAGAUCUAAGGACGUCACUAGACAAACUAUCAUAACUGAAUUUUAAAAGACGAAACACCUCUUUCUCCAUACCUGGAAAUUCAUAAGCUGAUCUCCUUAACAUCUGAAUUGCAUAGCUCCGUUCUUCGGGUCUCUUCUUGCUGCUCAUGGCACGACUAGUGGUAAUAAGUGCAAGUGGCAAACCACUACACUCCUUUGCCACAGUUUGGGCUAACUCCGGAAUAUCGGGAUGACUUUCAAGAGUCUCUUGUCCGACCUUCUUUAGGAACAAUUCCCAAGCAUCUUGAUCUGCGAAACACUCCACCUUGAACGUUUUUUGAGCUUCCAUGAGGCCACAGACGUCCACAAGACGAGUCGUAAAGACUAUCUUUGAUGCAUUUCUUGAACUCGCAGGAAAAGGGACACCCACUUUGGCUAAAUCAAUUCUUUCCCAUAUAUCAUCUAACAAUAGCAGAAAUUUCAUUUUGCUCAAUAAAUUGAAUAUACCUGAUGCUUUCUCUUCAAAGCUUCAAUUCUGAAGCCAUCCUAUUCUUUCUCCGAUUUUUUGUUGAAUUCUCUCAAGUUGCAUGUCUUUUGACACCACCACCCAAAUCACAAUAUCAAAAUAAUAGUGUAGUCUUGCCGACUCCCCCCAUGCCAUAAAGUCCGAUGAUUCCAAAUUGUCCUUCUACAAGACAUCUCCAAACUUUAUCAAAUGUUGAUUCUAGGCCGAUUAUUGUUGGCUGAAGAGGCCUUUUAUCCACUGCUGGUUGUGGUACCUUUUCAGCUACCACAGCAAAAUCCCCAUCGUCUAUUAAAGUAGCCACAAGCUGCAGCUUUUUGGACACCUUUUUCCCAAACUUGUAGCUUGACUUGCAGUUCUUGGAGCAGUAGCCUCCAAGGCAUAGUUUUUCAAUUUCUUGAGAGGUGUCCCUUGUCAAUUCACCUACUUCAGCUUCCACAGCCUCCACCCUUGAAAGCCAACCUUGCACUCUGUUCAGCCGUCUUAGUUAUUGUUGCUCAGCAUUAGCGACCCUCAUCAUCACAUCGUUCUUUGUUUCAAUUAGUUUCUGCAAUUCGGUCUGGACGGCAACCAGGUUAUUUUCAAGCUGGCUUAGAUAUGCUGCUUUUCUGCGGAUACAAUUUAUGAAGCCAGUGGAAAGGGCAUCACAUGUAAGUUGGAUUCCCAAAAUAUUACCCAUAGUUUGUAUGAGAUUCAGAGUACAAUAGAAGGAAUGCAACACAGUAUGUAUUCGGUUGUGGUGUCUAUGAUUUUACAGUCGCAGAAGCUUAUUCACCUUGUGAGAGCUGAUCAGGUGGGCACCAUCACUCUCCUUACGCUUUAUAGAGAGCGAUAGUCCAUGUGGUCAGAUCUCAUUCAGAUAACUAGCCAAGUGGGCAAUCGCUCCACCUUAUCAAAAUUCUUCAUCUAUAAUAAUAUCAUGAGUAGGCCUUGAAUUUUUCUUUUAAUUUUAACAUUUAAAAGGUAGAGGUGAAAAAGUCUAAAUAGUAUUUUUGUCCUCGUACUUUAAUAACAUUUCUUGAAAGUCACUCGAUCUCAAAAUUUAAUUAAGAAGAUAUUAUAGAUUUAUAAGCAAGCCUUUAAAAUUUAUUUGCAAGUAAGCCCAUAAGACUUACUAAAAGUCGUCAACUCGUCAUGACCAAAAUUGAAAAUUCUUCCGCGUGUGAAAUACGGCAUGCACAGACGUAUUAAAAACAAAGGCCAGCUAUGAUAUUCUUCGUAUAUUUGCAUUCCCUAUUAUCUUAUUAAUAAUUUCAGACACGUAGUUCGUUGCUUGUGAUUUUUCAUAUGCAAAAGCACAGUCAGUGUUACAAUUUACAAUUACAAUUGAGUGCCACCUAUAUACUCCUUCAUUCUUUUCAAAAUAUGUUGUAGGAUGGGUAAUCGUGACAAAAGUGAUUUUUAAAAAGAUUUGUUAUAAUAUUAAAAUUAACUUUUAAUUUUUUUUAAAUUACUUUUGAGAUUUGUGAAAAAAAUCCUAAACGGGUCUCAGAAGUAUAAUUAGAACCACGAAUUUAUAAAAUGAUCAAAGGAAUCCAUUGCCUAAUAUUAUAGUACGCAAUUGAUUGCUAUAAACUAAACUUCUAUGAUCUCACUUCAUAAUAAUUUAUUUUCAAUCUCCAUCAUGGUAGAAAAAUUUCAUCAAUCAACAUACCCUACCACCACCCAGUAGUCGACCAUUUAUCAUCUUCUAUCCGUAAAAAAAAGGAAAAAAAAAAAAGAAAGGAAAAAUUUAGUCCAGAAAAGAAAAUAUCGCAAGACCAAACAGAGAGAGAAAAUAGAAAAAGCAAAGAGCUGUACUGAAUACCGGCAGUGAUGGCUCCGUACUUGACCAUUUAGGUUUGAUUCUGCAUUAACAUAAUAUUUUUUCUGCACUGCAUUCACAUCACAACCAUUGAAUAGUCGUGAUCUAUUUUUCUAAAGCGAAUAAUACUAUCUUCUCGUGUCGGUGGCUUGAUCAUAUAACAAAAUAGACUAAUAAUGUUUCAAUAGACAUUUUGGUAAAUGGAAGAAGUUAUGAUCUGUCCAUUUUUAUGUUACUUUAUUUUAAUUUGUUAAUUACUAUUAAUAUCUUUGAGUGUGGCAGAAUCUUGACCUAAGAUAUGACUAGGCUCCACAUGUUAUAUAUUAAUUUGAUUAAGCCUAGCUAAUUGUUAAUUAUUAAUUUGAUUGCGGCUUUUUAUUUUACCCACAUUUUUUACGCGUGAAAUCUUUCUUAGUGAAAAACUACACGUAUGUGCAAAUAUUCGGAAUGGACAUUUUAGAAAGAAAAAAAAGUAAAAGAAAAUGUUUGAGGGAAAAAUAGGAAAGGCAAUAGAGCGCCACGUGUCAACCAAUGGAAUGAUUUCAGCACAAUCGGAGGUACCCUACACAAUCCGAGGUGCCCGGCAUGACUUGAGGUACCCCGUAUAAAUAGAGGUAUCCCACACAAAUAGAGGUACCUCAUAUAAUAUGAGGUACCCCAUAUGAAUAGAGGUACCCCAUACAAAUAGGGGUACUCCGCGUAAUAGGGGGUACCCCACGUAACUCGAGGUACCCGGCAAAGCGGAUGCAAGAGAAUCCACCGAAAAUACCCGCCAUGAGAAACGUCUCCGCCUCCUAAAAGAUAUCAUUUGAUUUUGUCAGAAUUAGGAAUCAAAAGCGACGUGCUAAAAGGAGGGACAGCCGCCUGCUACCUCUGCCAAAAGUGAAGGACACUGUCCCAAGGACAGUGGUCCCUAGCCGCCUACCCGACAGCUACUGCAGAGGUACCCUGGACCACUCUCCAGCGCGCGCCACGUUUUCAAAAGAUGAGAUACGCCGCGAACAUGCAAAUAACGGCCCAAAAAAUUAUAAAAAGGUAAAAGGACGUUAGCCAAAAAGGGUACGCCACGUGGUAGCUGAGGUACUCCAUAUAUAAAGGCGCCUAGGUUUCAUCCUCCAAGAGGCUCUCAUUCGCCCAAAAACACUCACACUCCAGAAAAUAGGUUUUCUUCAACCUUAAACCCUAAUUUACAAAGGGCUAGCUAGCUCUCUUUACCAUAAAAGCUUGAGUUUGCUAACUUGAGCGUCGGAGUGUGAACGCCGGGGUACCCCGGCUUCACCUCUAACCUCCAUUUCACUGUUUUGCAGGUGUGGAGCCCAUCUCGAAGGAUACCUCUCUUAGUUCUAAACCUUUCACCAUUGAUACCACUCUCUCUCCCUUUCUCACCUCCCCCAAAUCUUAGAUACACCGCACCGCACACAAUAAACUAGUGAGGUACCCCAUCUCCCCCAAAAAUAUAAAUUUAUUGUUCUAGAUUGGUUUGACUUUUCCUACCCCAAAAUCAGUUGAAAACAGAAAAUGACUAAAAAGUAAAAGAAAAUAGACACCCAAUUGUAAUUACGAGUACAAUAGAAGGAAUGCAACACAAUACCGAUUUUGCAGUCGCUGAAGCUUAUUCACCCUAUGAGGGCUGAUCAGGUGGGGGCCGUCGCUCUCCUUACACUCUUAUAGAGAGUUAUAGUCCAUGAUCUCAUUGGGAGAACUAGCCAAGUGGGCAAUCGCUCCACCUGAUCAAAAUUCUUCAUCUUAUAAUAAUAUCUUGAGUAGGCCUUCAAUUUUAAUCUUUAAAAGGUAGAAGAGGUGAAAAAGUUAAAUAAUAUUUUUGUCCUCCUAUAUAACAUUUUUUGAAAAUCACUCGAUCUUAAAAAUUAAUUAAGAAAAUAUUAUAGAUUUUUAAGUUAGUGGCCCUUAAAAUUUAUUUGCAAGUAACAAUUAGAGAAAAGUCGUCAUGCCCAAAUGACUUACUAAAAGUCUGCAACUCGUCAUGACCAAAAUUCUUCCGAGUGUGAAAUACGGCAUGCGCAGAUGCAUUAAAAACAAAGGCCAGCUAUGAUAAUCUUUGUAUACUUGCCUUCCCUAUUAUCUUAUUAAUAAUUUCAGACGCGUCGUUCGUUGCCUGUGACUUUUCAUAUGCAAAAGCGGAGUCAGUGUUACUUGCAUUCCCUGUCACCUUAUUAAUAAUUUCAGACACAUCGUUGGUUGCCUGUGAUUUUCAUAUGCAAAAGCACAGUCAGAAUUACAAUUUACAUUUGGAAUUGAGUGCCAUCUAUUUAUUCUAGCUGGAUCUAAAAUGAUAUUGCAUUAUUGCACUGACUUUUUAGUCACAGCGUUUCUCUAUGAAUUCCUUAAACUUUAAACACAUCAUGGAAUAAUUAUUUUCUUAAAGACCAAAUUAACAUAAUUCUUAAAUCAUUUAUAAAACAACAUUUAUCAUAUAACAAAUCGUACAUGAAUAAAUUUACCUUGAACCGUAGCAAACAAACAAGAAUCUCAACCACAUCAAUAUCAUAAUCCCUUCUGACCUUAACAGUAAUUUUAUUCGUCCUUAAUUCAUAGGUAUAAGUAUCCCAAUAUAUACUUGAUGUCAACCUUUACAAUUCUUUACAGAAUUGCAGCAGACCAAAUUUGUAUACAAAACUGAAAUCAUACAGUAAUUGAUGUUUUCGAUAGAUUUUAGGGUAGGAAAAGCCAAACCAAUCUAGAACAAUGAAUUUGUAUUUUUGGGGGAGACGGCGUACCUCACUAGUUUGUUGUGUGCAGUGUGGUGUAUCUGAAAUUCGGGGGAGGUGAGAAGGGGAGAGGGAGUAGCAACAAUGGAGAAAGGUCAAAACCAAGAGAGAUAUCCUUAAAAAUGAGCUUCACGCCUGCAAAACAGUGAAAUAGAGGUUAGAGGUGAAGCCGGGGUACCCUGGCGUUCACACUCCGACACUCAAGUUAGCAAACUCAAGCUUUUAUGAUAAAGAGAGUUGGCUAACCCUCUGUAAAUUAGGGUUUAUGGUUGAAGAAAACCUAUUUUUUAGAGUGUGAGUGAGAGCAUCCAUGGAGAAUAAAAUAUAGGCACAUUUAUAUAUGGAGUACCUUAGUUGCCAUGUGGCAUACCCUUUUUGGCUAACGUCUUUUUACCUUUUAUGAUUUUGGGGCCGUUAUGUGCAUGUUCGCGGCGUAUCUCAUCCUUUGGAGACGUGGCGCACGCUGUGGUCCAAGGUACCUCUGCAGUAGCUGUCGGGUAGGCGACUGAGGACCACUGUCCUUGGGACAAUGUCCUUCACUUUUGGCAGAGGUAGUAGGCGGUUGUCCCCCCCUUUUGGUACUACGUUUUUUAUUCCUAAUUCUGACAAAAUCAAAUAUUAUCCUUCAAGAUAUGGAGAUAUUUCCUAUAGUGGACUUUUUCAGAGGAUUCUCCUGAGACAGACCUAUCGGGUACCUCAAGUUAUAUGGGGUACCUCGAUCCAUGUGGGGUACCUCGAGUUAAUCUGGAGUGAAGUGGGGUAUCUCUGAUUAUGCUGGGUACCUUUAAUUAUGUGGGAUACCUCUAAUCAAGCCGGUACUUCUAAUUACGCCGGGUACCUCUAAUUGCGCGGGGUACCUCUAAUCAAGCCGCGUACCUCUAAUUACGUCGGGUACCUCUAAUCAUGCAGGGUACCUCUAAAUCAGGCAGGGUACCUCUAAUCACGUCGGGUACCUCUAAUCAUGUUGGGCACCUCAAGUUAUUCCGAGUACCUUAAAUUAUGUUGAAGUUAUUCUGGGUACCUUGAAUUAUGCUGGAGUUAUUCCGAGUACCUCGAAUUAUACGGGGUACCCCAGUCUAUGUGGGGUACCUCUGACCGUGCCAGGUACCUCAAAUCAUGGCAUGUACCUCUAAUCGUGCGGGGUACCUCUAAUCAUGUCGGGUACCUCAGAUUGCACUAAAGUUAUUCCAUUUGUCGACACGUGGCGUUCUGCUAUCUUUCUUAUUUUUCCCCCAAACAAUUGAAUACAGUGAAAAUAGACAUGAUGGGAAUUAGUAUAUAUAAAUAUCUUAAUAAUUUAAAAGUUUCUUAAACUGAUUUUACAUAUCUGAAAAAUUAUAGAAAUCGGAACUGCUGCAGAAAUCAUAAUUUUCCAGCGAAUGUGUUACAACUUCAGAAACUCAUAAGAAAUUAAAUUCUUGGGAUCACAAAAUAAUUCAAUAGAAAGCUUAAGAUGUCUAGUUCAUAAAAUCUGAAUUUUUUUUUUAAUAAGAUCUUUGGAAUUUAAGAGAUUCAGCAGUACUUUUAUUACAUCAAUUCUUCAAACAAUCACCAAUCUAACAUUCAUCAAAAUUAAGUCAUAAAAGUCAUGUGGUUUAUAAAAAGAAUUACCUGAAAAAGAUUAGCCUUCCCCUUUCAAAAGCAACGUGAAACUCCAAAAACUCUUCUUCCAUUACCUAUUCAAACAUGAAAAAAAAAAAAAAAUUUGGUGUCUCUUCUUUAAAUGCGUGAUGAGUGUGCUCUGUUUUCUCUGUUUUCUCUGUUCUUCUCUUUCUUUUUUAGAUUUCGAAAACCUAAAGAGUGUUGGAGUCUUUAUUUUCUAAAAACAAGACUUUUCCAUGUAUUCAGUUAAAUUAAAUUACGUCCAAAUGCUAUGUCAGUUCCAUCAUUAGCAUUUUUUUUUCCUUUUAACACCAACAUUAGCGUAUGUUAAGUGUCAUAAUCCAUAGUUGGACAAUUUGAAAUCUCUUCGUGUUUUAUCUCAAAGUAGAGCUUCAAACAAUUUGUACCUCACAAAUUUACAAUAUCUAUGAGGGCUAAUAAGACCAAACUCAGGCAUAUUGUCAAAUGUGCUUAUACUUUCGCUUGACAAGUCAUUUUAAAAUUGUCUUUCAAUGCCAAAAAACCACAUAAACUAAUGGUCCACUACUUUAAUUUGAAAGCAUGCAUGCGAUCGCCAUUAAUCAAGGAUGUUAGGGUCAUGCUGCAGAGUAUAGAACUUGAUUUUAUGGGAUAGCCUUCUUUCUUUAUAAUUUUUAAGUUUAAUACUGUUACGCAAGUAGCACAUAAGUUGGAAAACAUAACAUAAAUUUUGAAAAAUGUAUAGUUUUCGUUCCCUUUUUUCCCCUCUAAAAAUGGGAAAAAAGAACGUAAUUUUGAUUUAUUUAAAUUACUGUUGUGAUAACAAUUUUUAUUUUAUUGAUUAUUUACCCAUACAUGUGGCAAAUUUUUUAAGAUAAGGUGAAGGAUGAAGCUCAAAAAUAUAAAUUAUAGAAUUAAUUACCCUCUGUAGUAAGUUUAAAGUUUAUUAUUUUUAACUACAUAUUUAUAAUUUAUUUUUAUUAUGUGUUAAUCUAUAGAUCUAAAUUCACUUCGGAACCAUAUACAUAUUUAGACAUAAUGUGCAUGUUAAUCUAUAGAUCUAAAUUCACUUUAGAUCUAUAUGAGUAUUUAGACAUAACGUAUUGCAACCAUAUUGGCAUGUUCUCACUAUAGUAUUGGUGUAUUGACAUUAUAUCUAAUUGUCCCUAUAAAUCCAAAAAUAAUCUAGAUAUACAAAUUAACAUAAAAUAAAGAUAAUUGGUAGAAAAUGCAAAUUAUAAACAUAUAAUUGAAAACGAUAAAUUUAAAUUUACUUAAGAAAGUAAUUAAUCACUUAUUUCUUUUUUAUAAUAUGACAAAUAUUAUAAUAAAUAUUAAUUAAUAAUAAUUAGAAUAACAAAUUAAGGAUAUUUUAAUAACUUAAAAUAAUUUAUUUUGAUUUCGAGACAAAAUAAACACAUGAAUCGCAAUACAACUCAUUCUGAUUCCACUCAUUUAGAUUUCAACAUAUUUUAAUUAAUUCAAGUGCUCUCCAUUAUAAUUGAAGCCGCUGCCCCACUCGUGAUUCCAAACUUUAUCUUUUUCCUUUUUAAAAUUAAUGCAAGCAGCCGCUGUCCUUUUUAUUAAUUAAUUAAUUAAUUCGGCCGCCCACAUUUCUUUUCCUAAUGUCUUCGGCUUUCGAUUUUCUUUUGUUUUCUCUUUAUUCUUAAAACUGUGAAAAUAAUAUAUAAAUUAUGAGCGUAUCAAUCAAUAAAUUAAAAAUAAUAAUUUUUAUUUUUAUUAAAUAUAUAUUUUUCAGUAUUAAUCAGUUAUCUAAGUAACUAAAAUCAGUUAAAAAUAAAUAAAUAAAUUAUUCUUAAAAAAAAAACUUUUUAUACCACUCACUAUGCUGGCUGUCAAGGGUAGAAGCUUUGGGGACUGAAGUUGGUAACUUCUACAAGUAGUCUUAAGUUGACUGGCAACAACUAUAUUGGCAUUUAGACAUAAUGUUCGGCAACCAUAUUGGCAUGUUCAAAUGUUCUUCCUAUUGUAUUGGUGUGUCGCUCUAACUGCCUUAUAGAUCCAAAAAUGAUCUAAAUUUACAAUUUAACAUAAAAUAAAAUAAUUGGUAGAAAACAAUUAUGGUUCAUUUACUUAUUAGUAAUUAGAAUAGACUGAACUUAGCAUGAGUUGUAUUGCCGUUAAUAUGUUUAUGUUGUCCUCAAAUCGGAAUGAAUUAUUUUAAGUUACUAAAAUACCCUUGGUUUGUUACUCUAAUUAUUAUUAUUUAAUAUUUAUUUUAGUAUUGUCAUAUUAUUAAAAAGAAAUAAUAAUGAUGAUAAUAUUAUCAUUAUUGUUUGUUAUAUUAUUAUUAUUAAAAAAAUUAUUGUUAAUAACAAUAAUAACUUUAUUUCAAUAAUAAAAAUGAUAAAAUUAAUAAUAACAAUCAUGACAACAACAAUAAUUAUUUAUUAUGCCAAAAAUAACAAUAAUAAUAAGAAUAAUAAUCAUCAUCCUUUUUUCCCAAAGAAGCAUUAUCAUCAUCAUUUCAAAAAAAAAAAAAAAUCAUCAUCAUCAUCAUUUUUGUAGUGGCUGCCUAUCGGCUGCUGCUUUCAUGCAAGAUUGACUUGCGACGCUUCAACUGCUAUUAUUUCUGGCAAUGUCAGGUGUUGUUGUUUCAAUGUGGGGAGAAGCUGUUUCGGUGCGCUAACGAUGGGAAGUGUUGUGGCUGCGAUUCGGGGAGCUACUGGUUCAGUGCACUAAUGACGGCAGGUGUUGCUGCUCAAUGCGAGGUCCAUGGCCAGUUGUCUUGUUUUACAGCCAGCUCUUGUAGGAAAUUCUUCAUCCAAAAUAUUUUUUUGUAACCUUCAAUAAUUGUAAUAUCAUUUGCUUCCGUGGUAGAAAAGACAACUCAUUGCUAAAGUCUAGAUUGUGAUGAGACUGCUCUCCCAGCAAAAGUGAGCAAAUAUCCUAGUAGGAAUUUUUCAAAAUCAAUAUCUCCUGUCAUAUCUACACACGUUUGUCACCACCAAAAUAUAAACAUAUUCUGGAAAUGCCUCUAAGAUAUCUGAGAGUUCAUUUCACUGUUGUCCAGUGCUCUUUGCCGAGAUUGAAGAGAAACCGACUGACUACACUAACUGCAUAGGCAAUAGCUGGUCUUGUACAAAAAAUGGUGUACGCCAAACUGCCAAUUGCCAAACACUGAGAAAUGGGUUUUGCUCUUGAGAUUUUUGGGAACAUGAAGAAUAAAGAUGUAAUUUCUUGGACUACCAUUGUUUCGGGGUAUAUAAAUAGAGGACAAGUCGAUAUAGCUCGACAGUAUUUUGCUCAGAUGCCAGAACGAGAUUAUGUCUUAUGGACUGCCAUGAUUGAUGGGUACCUUCGAGUGAAUAGGUUCAGAGAGGCUUUGACACUUUUCCGGGAGAUGCAAACUUCAAAUAUAAGGCGAGACGAGUUUACCACUGUUAGGAUUCUUACAACUUGUGCGAAUCUGGGGGCACUAGAACUGGGAGAAUGGAUAAAGACUUACAUUGAAAAAAAAAAGUCAACAAUGAUAUAUUUGUGGGGAUUGCUUUGAUAGACAUGUACUGUAAAUGCGGAGAUGUUGAGAAAGCUCAAAGGGUAUUCUGGAAGAUGCUUCGAAAGGACAAAUUCACAUGGACGGCCAUGAUUGUUGGCCUUGCCAUCAGUGGCCAUGGUGAUACAGCUCUUGAUAUGUUUUCCCAAAUGCUUAGGGCUUCGAUCAGACUAGAUGAGGUAACUUAUGUUGGUGUUCUGUCUGCCUGUACUCACAAUGGUAACGAAAAUUUUGUGAUAAAUAGAUGCAACUUAAGGUGAGAAUUGGAGGAAACGAAAUAGACUGAAGUUGUUCAAUCAUCGGUGGUUGCUAUAUGAUUUUAAGUUGUUCAAUCAUCGGUCGUCUCUAUUUGGUUUUCUCCAAUAUCUCAUCUCCAGUUUUGACUCAGAUUCUGUCUUACCGCUAGUAAUUACAUAGACUUGCUGCCAAAGGUAAGAAUGGGAAUAAAUUAAAUAGAUUAUGUCGAUAACGAAAUAGAUUUACUAUUGCUAUGUGCAUUCUAUUUGGUUCCUGCAAAAUAUUUUCUCCUGCCUAAAAUUUUUUGAAUAAGUAAGUUUUUACCUUACGCAAGAAUUGUGCUAAGAGUAAUUCCAGUCUCUCUAUGUUUCAAUGAAGACGUAAAACUUGUGUUUUAGAGCACCAAUGUUAUGCUUCUUACAAUUGGAUUUUAAUUUACUUCGUAAAACUUUUGUCAAAAUGUACUACGGGUGUAUUUGAAAAUGAGGUACUGUAGCUUUUAAGCUACAGCUGCUAUGGAAAAAAAAAACUAACUAUGAAAUAAAAGUUAAUAAUAUAUAGUAAAUAUAAAUUUUAAAUAAUAAUUUUGAUAAAAUUAUUAAAGAUAUAAUAGUUUUUUUAUUAUACAAGUGAAAAAUUAUAUAAACAUAGUUUUCAAGUUACAGCAGCUAGUGUUUACCAAACACUUUAGUACUGUACUUUUUAAGUUACAGCUGCCCAACAUCAAUCUCAAACGCACCUUAAGGAGUAGUGCGCCAAACACCAACUUUAUUACAGAGAGGACUUUGGUUAAACUUUAAGAAAAACACCGAUGGUUGUCGAAGCCAACAAAUAUAAAUUCCUACUCUAAAUAAAUUGUAUAUAGUGAUUGAGCAGGGUCGUGUCCACAGAAAUCGGUAAUUAUUUAAAUCCUUUUAAAACGUAAAACAUAAAAUGGGGGUUUUGUUGACAAUAAUAAAAAUCAAAUUAAAAUAAUAAGAAUGCAAAUUAAAGUUGUAAUUCAAAUUAGAGAAAGCUCUGGUUGAAGGAAUUAACUCAGCUUGAUUCGACUACUGAUCAUUGAUUCAAAUAUAGAUUAUUAUUACUCAUGAAUAGACCGGUUAUAGCUACUGAGACCCUCUAAUAGCCAAUCUCUCCUUAACUAGUCGAUAACCAAGGUACGACCGUUGGUUAUUUCCCUAAUCAAUAGACAACCCUAGAUACGAUCAUAGGAUUUAAUCAAUUGACAGCCUGAAAAACCAGAGAGACCCAAAUCCUAAUCAACACAUAUGAUGAUUCAUUUAAAUUAGAUUGUUUAUUCUCACAACACAACUCUCUGCUAUGUUAUUUGUCACAAACAUUAAAUUCUUCAUACGAUGAAUCCUUUAAUUGACAAUAGAUUAAGUUGAUAAUUAAAUAGUGGCCAAUUACCUAAUUAACAAACAUAAUCAUGAAAAUAAUUCAGAGAAUAAACAAAUACCCAAAAAUUAAUAAAACAAUUAAAGCACAAGAAAAAUCUCACAGUAGUGAUGAAUCAAAGCUUCAUUAACCUUCAACCAGAAAAAUAGGUUUAGUUCCUCAUAGAGAGAAGAGAAAAAUUAGAUCUAGGGUUUCUUUCUUUUUCUCCAAUCCAAAUCUCCCAUUUUCAAAAUAGAUUCCUCCCUUAAAUACUCUCUCUCUCUUCUCCUCUAGAAUUCUAUUUAAAAUAAAAUACUAGUAUCUGAAAUAUUAAAUUCGUAAUUACAAAAAUAACCAAAAAUACAAAACACGUUAAACUAAAAACUGCAGGUCCGCAGUUGACAGCACGCGCCCACGCCUUAUCAACAAAGUUCUUCUGCCGCUCAUAAUUUCUCCAAGAGAACAAUCAUCCUUAAACAUCAUCUUGUAACUCAAUUUUAUCACCAAUAAAUAGAAUUGCACCUACAAAAGUAAAUCACAAGUAAAUCACUAUUAUUAAGUGCAAAACAUCGAUAUUAAGGGAAGUAAACAAUGCAAAACUAGUGCAUAAAUUGCACUCUAACAAACACUCAAAGGAAGAGUUAUAAAUUAUUAUAGAAAUAUUUCACAUAAAUAAAAGCCAUUCCACAAUGCGAAGAUCGUGCUAUCAUCACCAGAAACCAUCGGGAGCAUUCAGGGUUUCCAUGAAAACGCCAUUUCAUUCCAAGAGUCAAUGGUGAGUAGAAAGUGGUGCAAACGAUAAUCAUUCUUAAUGCUAUAAGUUUUUGCUAAAUUAUGUCUUACCCAAAAUGAUGAUUUAAUUUCCAUUCUCAAUUAAUUUUCAAGUUUCAACACUUUUCUUUGUAGCAUGACAUUGGAAAGAUCUUGUACUACUAAAAGCUAGCACCACACGUUAAUUAUUGUUAAGUUCUUUUUCAACGUGAAAUAAAGGAAGUAGUCCUUCGUUAAAACCAUUAUAGCCAAAUUUCAUGUAAUUGGACACUUACAGACUUUCAUUUCAAGCUGGAAUUUGGUCCAACGUUUCAAAGUUGACCCAACUAAUUGUCUGAUCAAGUCCUACACAACUAAGACCCUCAAUGAAUGAGGGUGAGACUGCUAAAAAUUACGACAGUUGAUAUUAUUAUUAUUAUUUUGGGAUAAAUCCUUACCAAGGUGAGUGAGGAGAUUUUAUCAAAAUAAAAAUAAAAUAUAACAAGAAAACUAGCUAAAUUAAAAUAUUACAAAAGCUAGAUGAACUGAAAGGCAGCCUAAAAACAACCUUAUGCAAAAGAGAAGCAACAUGCUAGUAUUCCAAGCUUCUUGUUAUAAAAGUGUAGAAUGAAGUAGGUGACGUAGUUUUAAGUUACACCUCCAUGCCCAAUCACAAUAUCAAAUAAUGCUUAAAGUAGUUAUAUUAACUCUUAAAUUUAUAAAUAAUUAAAUUUUUAAAAGUAUGGAUUUAUAUUAAAAAAUUUCUAUAUAAAUAAAUAAUAUAUGCAUUUUUACAACAUAGUCUUUAAAUUUAAACUUUUCUAGAAAAAUCUUCUGGAUAUCUUUUCUAUUAAAAAAGAGUUUCUCAAAAUUUAUAAAAGUAACUUAAAGUUUUGUCUUCCCUUUUCUUUUAGCUUAUACAUAUGUGUGUGUAUUCUUUUAUAGCAAUAACUAACGUUAUUUAUUUUUAAAUCAUAAAAAAAUUAUGAAAAAAAAAAUGUACCAAAUUUAAUUGGACACAGCACAAUGCACAUGCAUAGAACACAUUCUGAAAAGCCAUGCUAUUCGGAAAUUGACGAAUGGAAAGUGAAGAGGCAGCAGUCAAUGCCAUUUCGGCUUGGCCCAAAAUUUCACCAGUUUGUUAAUCAGUGUUCUGCAGCUCUUGCUGCUUUCCUAGAGAUUCUGCAUCUUUUGCAAUUUGAUUGAUUAAAAAAAAAAAAUUAGUGGCCAUUUGGAAUGGAGGAGAGAUUUGUGUGAAUGGUAUAGGUGAAAAAUUGGAUGAAAAUAAACAGGCAACCGUCCGUAUAAAACAACAAUAACAAUAUACAAAAAGAUAAGUAAUUCACGAAAGGAAAUUUACGGUUGUUUCUAAAAAACAUACACAUUAAUUUCACUUAUACUCUAAGAUUUGCCAUCAUGACUGGACUUGUGAGGAAUUUGGAAACAUGUAUGAUGUAGAAAUGCUGAAGUAGCUUGAACCAGAUGGUGAAAUCGUCUAGCGGUCAGCGGGACAUGAAGCUAUAGGGGUUGUUAGUUGUGUUUUGGAUAUUUACAGACAUGCUGAGUUUGAGUUUAUAUCUUAACUUAAAAUUUGUAGUUUUCACUUGAAAAGAUUCAGUUAAAAAUUGAUUGGUGGAAUUGUUAAAAAGUCUAAAUUUUUAGUUCAAACCUAUUGCAUAUUUAAGAACAUCUCAAAUGAAUUGCUUACUGCUAUCGUCGUCAUCAUUGCCCAUAUAAUAAUAAUAAUUAUUAUUAUUAUGCCUUUAUAAUUAUUAGUAUCGCUGUUAUUAUUUUUAUGGGUAAAUGGUUUUUCUAUCCUGGCAAUUUAAGCCAAUUACCUAACUAAUCCAUGUAAGUUUAAAAAUGUUUCAAAAGAUCUUUAUUUUAUAUAUGUUUCCACUAAAAUUUAUUUAAUUAUUCUUUAUUUUUCAAUUAUUGCAUGUUCGAUUUUUUUGAGUUCUAAGCUAUAUCAAUAGAAAUGUUAUCUUAUCCAUAAAAAGUUAGAUCCAACAAUUAUGAAAAUUACUAUGGAGCUGCUUUGAAUAAUUUUUAAAAAAUACCACAAGUAAAUAAUAAUUAGUUUAAAUAGUGGAGACUAAAAAGCAUUCACCCUUAUUCUUUAUCUGUUAUUUGUUUUUUUUUUCCGUUAAUGCACAUGUUAUACAUUUGAAACAUUCCGUUAAUUGCCAAUUAUGUAAGCGAGAUAGUAAUUUAAUUUUUUUUUUAAAAAAGUGAAAAUUAAUCCUAUGCAAUGUGAAUAAAUUUCUUUCCAUUUUCCUUCUCUCUUUUUAUUUGAUAAUUAAGUUUCAACCUAUGUACCCAAAAUUUCUGCAACAGGUAAAAAACAUAAAAAUAUAUGAUUGUUAAUGUAAACACGCGGAAGUUCAUCAUUUCAAUGUUCAGUAUUUCCAAUUUUGGCAUACGAAUAUAUUCCACUCAGAAAGCCAAAUAUUAAAAUUCUGAUUUUAAUUCAUUCAUCAUAUCUCAUUUCAAUCCCAAAAUAUUCAAGAGGAUCCAAGUUACCAUAAGACUUCAGAGGCUCGAGCCUUAGCCAGAGACGGUUAAUUGAUAGACUAUGUGCACUGGAAGCCUGCAAUGCAGACUGAUUGAUUUAUCAGUUUGAAGUGUGCCAGGAAUGAAGAACUGGAAUAUCACCGUCAAGCAAGCACCCAGUGAAGCAAUACCAUGGAAUGCACAAUCCGGCCUUGCUAGGUGACACUGGAGGCUUUUUGAAAAGUGCUUCAUGCUCACUUGCACAGAUUGAGCAUCCCCUCUGGAUAUUGCCCUCUCUGAUCGAGUCUGAGCACUCAAAUUUCGGUCCUCAGAUGGAGCUACAGCUUUCUCUCCAAUAACCAACAAUUUUCUAAACUCAGCACCUAGUGUGAUCAGAGUUGUUGAUAUUUGUAAAUGGAGAUCCCCAUAUUUGCAAAUGGAGACAUUUAACAAAUCACCAACAUGCUUCAUCCGGUCUACGAAAUUCUGCAGCUGAUUCAAAUCCGGAACCUGAACCAGAGUCGAAGGUAAAUCUUGAGCCAUAUCUAAAGCAGUUUGAAGUUCAAGUACUUGAGCCCUUGACAGUGGUUUUGAAAUUGGAACAUCUUGAAUUACUGCAGACUUGUACCCUUUGGUUUCAAAGGUAAGGAAAGGCAUUGCUUGAGUACAAUUUGGAGGCAGCUUCUUCACCAAUUUUAUUUGGAGGCGAUUGGCAGUGGAUCCAGCUGCACCAAUUUCAGAGCAAAUACUGACACUACUUCAAACAGCACACUGAAGAAGCACUAUGUCUAUGGCAAAGGCAAUGCAGUCCUCAUUUUGGCUUGAGAUGCGGUAAUCAUCGAAGAGAGUUUCCUUAUGAAACUGGGCAACACAUUGAAUCCCUUCACCACUGAGAAGGUUGUGGAGGAAGUACGCUUUCUCUCUAGUGAGGAAGAGGUGGCAUACCUUCCCCAUUUUGUCUAGGGCAGUUAGGAAUCUUUUUUCUAAGAGAUUUACUCCAUUCUCUGUGAGAAAUGCUUUGAACUUCAUCCCUCUGUCUCUAUCCUCACUUAUCAGUAAAACAGUUGAAAGUGAUACAAGGAGAGAAAAGGAGAGUACUAAGAUAUAUAGACAAGAAAAACAUUAGGUGUCGAUCUUACAUGUUAAUACUUCAAACAGUAUCCUAGAAAGCUAAAAACUGCAGAAUGGCUUGAAAUUUGAAAAGAACACAUGCUUUUCCUCCUUAACUUGAGAAAAUGUUUAACAUAGCGCGCCUUACAGAAGCAAGCAAUUAGAACUUUGCACAAAAACAUUCAAGAAGACCAAUAUUUCAACUAUUUUACUGAUGAAAAUCUCAAAGCACAAAUGGCAUUGCAUUUUGUCCUCAACUGUAAUAUUUCUUGAUGAAAAUCAGUACAGGUCCCUCAUUUGUUAUGGAAAGCUUUCUUGUAGUCUGACCGGUUAAUUCACGGGUCUAUAAUCAUCUUGCAAAGUUACGGACAUUUCUUUCGAUUUAAAGUCUUUGCAUCACCACCUCAUCACACACCAAGCCAAUAUUCUGUCUACCUCUACAACAAAAAGUUUUAAGUAAACGAUCCUAAUGCACGCAGCCAAAUAAAAUGCAGUAAGAAUAUUCAACUUAAAAAUCUGAAAGUCAUCUUGGUGAAUUACCUUCUUAGGGGAAGUUCCAUGAUUUACUAUACUAGACAGAACUGAGCAAAAGCUUCCAUUCGACAGAUUUUGACAAUAAUGAUGCCAACAGAUCCUCAUUAAAUCCAUUAAAACUCCUAAGGUUCAUUGUUCAUGGAUGUUUACAGAGUUUUGGUCAUCAAAUAGCUCAGACCACAAUCCCAAACAAAAGACGAGUGAAAGUUAGAUAACGAGCAGCUAAUUGUAAAUUCUAACUUAACUCUUCAUCUCCAUUGUAAAAAGGAAACAAAAUGGAGACGCGCAAAAUGAAUAAGGAGAACAUUUGAACUCAAAUGAAAUGAGGGCGCGAAAGCAAACAAAUGGCAUGCACAAACAAACCAAGCCUCAAUCAAAAACUAAUUGACCAUUAAAAAAAAUAAAAAUUGGUCAGAGAAUGAACUCCAAAUUCGGGAGUGAAGCAAGAAGCUUUCACUAUUUCAGAAGCUCCUGUACAAAUUAAUAAGUUAUGCUCUUUGGAGACAAUCCUAAAUUCCAAGAGAAACAGAGCUCAAAAAAAUUUUGCAAUUAUGAGCAAAGGAAGUGAAGCACAGCAUUCUACCACACACAGGAAUUGUAUAACAUGAGAUCGAUAUAUCGAAUUGGAAGAACUCAAUUCUAAUUUGUGUCAAAAAUCAAAAUUAGAAGAUUUCAUAUUUCGACAGGAACAAGCAACAGGGGAGGUUCAAAAUUUCAGCCAUAACAUGCUAAAAUUGCUACAUUUAACGGUUUAUUUUCAUGGAUUUUCUCCGGAAACAAACAGAAAAUUACGGUUUAGAGAGCUGACUGACCCUUUGGCUUUUAGAAUUGAGAAGAUCGCGCGCCAAAUUGGAAGAGGGGAAGUGAAAGUGCGAGUUUUAAACUUUUAAUAUGGGUAUUAGAUAAGGAAAUUUCAUUAGGUUGCGAGGGUAAAAAAGGAAAGAGAUAUCAUUAUUUUAUUAUCGAUAAUUAUUAACUUUUUUUUCCCCAAAAAAAAGAACAAGCAAGGAUAUUUUAUUGUCAUUUGCAACCUUUAAUUUUUUUAAAUGCUAUUAGAAACACAAGACAACAAAGAAAUGCUUAUUUUUUCCAAAAAUUAAAAUCAAUUGUUUAACUUGUUAUUUCAUAAUCCAACUCCACCACUAAGUUAAAGAAAAUUGUUUUAAAAUUACUCGAGUCAUAUCCUAUGGACCAACAAAAUACUUAUUUUUGUUUUUAUUUAUUUUUGCAGGAAAUUAAUAACUUAAAAAUACUGAAAGCUAUUGUAAAAAUUUUUAUUGUUUUUAUUUUUACUGGAAAUUAAUAACUUAAAAAUAUUGAAAGCUAUUGUAAAAAUUUUUAUUAUCAACCUCAUAAUUUUUUUUUUUUUUGGGGGGAGGAGAAUUCAAACAUUUUUUUAAAAAAUUUCCAAGAAUUCUUGACACCCAUCUUAAUUAAAAGCUAUAUUUUUAUUCAAGAGUCAUGCUAUUCAUUCACUCACAGACCAAAGGCUUUCCGCAGCAAUAUUAUUAUUUAAAUUACAACAAAGGGGAAAUCGAAUACGUCAUACAGAAACUUAAAGCUCAAUCUACAAAAUCUAGAGCUCUGAGCUACAUAAAUUACACUUGAUGAUCCUCUACAAGAUGAAGCUUGUUCAAUAUCUCGUCCAAAGCUUGCAAAGUAACCUUGUAACGAUCUUGAGAUUGCCGGCCUUCCUCAACGACCUGCACGAUGCGUUUGUACAAUCAUCAUACCUGUGCACCGGAUUUUUAAUAUCAAUGGCACUGCAGCUGUGAUCAAGAACAUACGAGUGUUUAACAUCUUUUCUCCAUCGAGAAAGAAUGUAGUGAGAUGGGAUCUCCUGCAUGCCACUCUGGUUUAGAACACAAAGAAUGUGCCUGCAUAAAUAUCCCCUGAAAUUGAACAACCCACAAACACAAAGCACCUCCAAGUCGGAGGCAUUGUACAAAACAUCGAAAGCCCUUGAAUCCUUCUUGUUGCCACCAACCUCGAAUUCUUCCUUCACUAUGUAUGUUAUAGGUCCAUCAGAACUAAUAUGUUUUGUGCUAUAGCAAGAGUACAUAGCCUCCACCUCCGUCUGAAACUUCCUUAACAUUUCAUUUGUGUACAGUUUUGAGAGUUGAAAUUCAUAGUAACAUCUUGGUUUCCGGAUACAACUUGAAUUUCUUGAAUCCAUAUCUGCCAAGGCUUCCAGUUGAUAAUUCGCCUGCAGUGCUUGAUCAUACUUGUCUAAGAAUUCUUUCAAAGGAGUAUUCUUAUCAAGAUAUCCUUCAAAGUAUGAAGUAGAAACCUCAUUCUGCAGGAAUGAAAACACUCCUGAUAAAAAUGCUUCCUUCAAAUAAACAGGAGCCCACCCUUUACGAUCUUCAUAUAAAGUUUGAAUCCAUCCAUGAUCCUUCAUUCCAUGACGUUGAAUCGUGUCCUCCCAAGCUGUCUCAAAUUCCUCAGGCCUAAGAGAGUGAUAAAUUGCCCUAUGCAAUGCAGCUCUAAUAGCUUCAUAUUCAAAAUGUCCUUGGAGAUUCUCUGGAAUUUUUUGCGUGACACAUGACAAUGAAAAACAAUGAUAAGCUCUUGGGAAAACAUCGCCGACAGCAGUUUGCAAGAUUCUACAUUGGUCAGUGAUGAUUGUUUGUGGAAAGCGUCCUAACAUACAUGUAAGCCACACCCUAAACAACCAUGUAUAUGAUUCUAUAGUCUCACUGGCAAGUAAACCACAGCCCAACAGCACUGAUUGUCCAUGAUGAUUCACCCCAAUGAACGAAACCAGCGGUACAUCAUAUCUUUCUGCCAAGCAUGUAGUAUCAAUUAAGACUACAUCACCAAAGUACCUAUAGGCAACUCUUGACCUGGUAUCAGUCCAGAAGAGGUUUCUCAGGCAUACCUUUUCAUUUAGAUCCACCACAUUAAAAAAGUUUGGAUGUGUCAACUGCAAACGACAAAAGAAACUCUGGACAGCUUGUGCAUCUCCUGGUUUAAGCUUCAAUUGAUUUGAGCUAUUAACAUCAUUUCCAAAUACUCCAUUGGCAUCUACAUUACCAUUUCCCUCGGCAUCAAUGAUAAGAGUUCGAAACAGUAAUUUUUUGAACUUCUUGAGCACCAUCUAAGAGCAAUGUUCUUUUGGUUCCAAUACCCAUGUGCUUAUGAGACUUGUAAAACUUCCCGCUUCUUGGGCUUAACAAGUGGUUAUGCUCAAGCUCGACUUCAAUGAUUCUCCAUCUUUUGGUUUCCAUCAACCUAAACUUUAUCAUUGCUGGACAGCCAGUUCUUGUUUCUGGUCUUGGGUGGUUUGCCUCGCUUUUCUUCUUGAAGCCUGCAUUACUACAGCUGAGCUUUCCUCUAUACUUUUCUCUACUCUUUCGGUACCAUGUAUUGCUAACUCUAACACCAAAACCCUGUUCCUUGGCAUAGCAAUUAUAAAAGUAAUAUACGUCAUCAUACGUCUCAAACUCCAUUCCAACAGCAGGAGGCAAUGGAUUUUGGAUUAUCCCAGUUUGUCCAACAUAUUCAGUCAUCGCACAAUCUCCUACGACCUCAAAAUCAUCAGCUUCAUCAUCACCUACUGGUUUAGUAUUCAGAGAAACUUCAUCCACCUACAAUAGAUGUUUAAUGAAGUGCGCUUUAAGGAGAAAAAGCAAAAUCAGUUCAAGGAAUGAUAAUAUAGCCAUACAGUUACUUUCAUAAAGCUGCGUAUUUCAUCAAUACUUUAACAACAUACAACUGCCUGAGAACAUAUAGACAUGUCAUAGACGCUUGAAUUAAGUAUUGGUACAAAUUAGCACACAUCAUGUGGGACAAAAUUUCAGUCACUAAACCCAAUGCCCUUUUUUUUCACAUCAUACCAAGGAACGGAUUAAACCCAAUACCUUCUUUUACACCAUACCAAAGAACAGAUUAAAUCAUCAAUGAAAAUUAAUCACAUAAUAAUUUAACUAGACAAUUGAAGAGCUUGAAACAGCACAAAACUUGAAUCUGAUUAUGAUAAUUGUUGAGUCCUGGUAUCGACAGCUUUCCCUCAAUGAUAAGACAAUGAACAUAAACUUCACACAAAAAAAUUAUUUAAACUGACAGCCCAUGAUAUAAAUCAAUCAAAAUUAACUCCUUUUACAAAUUACAUCUUGUAUUCAUUUACAUCGAAACACAAAAAGGAAGCAGGAGCCAGAAAAAAACAACAGCAGAGAAACUUAUUUCCAUAAGGUUUACGAAAUAAGGAAUUUAUUAAGACACAAAAUUUGAGGUCACCAAUAAGAAUUUGGUUCUCAUUCUCUUUUUCUUCAUUUUUCACUUAUUGAUGGAGUUAGCGUACAAUCCUAAAUGAUAAAACCCCAUCUCCAUCUUUUUCAACUAGAGCUAAAGCAAAGCUUUUUAAGAUGUUUUUCCCUAAAAAACUCAAUCGUACAAUGUUUUUCAAUAUUAAAUACACAACUCAAUCUUCUCCUAACUAACUCUAAUAAUCUCUUAACUAAGGAAGAUUAAGCUCCACUUGUAAGCUAAAACAAGUUUCUUAAAUCAAGCCCCAAUGCUCUAUACUAUUCAACAAGGCCUCAUAAAUGAUAAAACUACCUCUACAAAGAUACCCAUUUUAAUUUCGCAAACUAAAAUCAAACUCCUGAAACGUAACGAGCAUUAAAACAAACAAGUCCGAACAAGAACUGAAAAAUGAUACGUAAACCCGUUUCGACAAACAGUUUCCAAUCAAUGAGCAAAAAAGUUAAUGGAAAACAUGAAAUUCAAACGAAACAUACCUUAGGUUGAUAAAUUAGUAGGGCAAAAGAAAUUUUAGCGAGAUAUGGGAUCAGGGAUUUUGCCACGGUGAUGUUAAUUGCGACAUUCGGGUGGCUCAGCAGCCUUCGAGGCUGAAACUUUGAUUGACCAAAAGCUUCCCGUUCGUUGAUUCUCUAAUUGCAGAAACGAAACUGGCAGUGUACAGAAGAAGUACGCUGAUUUGAUAAUUCUGUGAAAAUCAUUGUUUUUUUUUCAGAUUUUUAAUGUGUUCGAUAAAAUAUCAAAAUCUCAAAAACUUUUGUCUUUCAUUUUGGGGGGGAAAAACCCAUUGAGAUCCUUAUUUUUUUUUCUUAUAUAAUCUGGGUUAAUAAUUUGCAAAGUCUAUUACUUUGCACCCAUGCAUGCUGCGUUUCAAUUUACAAAAUUGUACGUGAGUGCAUCGAGCUAAAAUUUGUAAAAAGAAAAUAAUAAUAACAUGUUAAAAAUGUGAUUAUUAUGAAGAAAUUUUAAUUUAGUUAAAUAGGUGACGAUGGAUAGGUAUAAAAUCUGAGAUCUUUUAUGAGAUUAAUAAAUAUGUUGAGUUUGGAUUAGUUCAAUUUUGCAUAAUACAGAAUAAACACAACCUACUAAUCUAAGUUACCAUCUUUUCCCGUCAUCAGUAGGGAUGGCAAUGGGCACCGCCCGCAGCGGGUUUGCCAUUACCAAAUUCAAACCCGCACAAAAUUUAAAUUACCAAACCCACCCGCAACCCGCAGCGGGUUUUAAUUUUUUUAUAAAAACCCACCCGCAGCGGGUUUUAACAAUUACCAAACCCGCAAUGGUAUCCGGCGGAUUUUUUGCGGGUUUCCGUAUUUAAAAUCACAAAUGUUUAAUAUAUAAAUUUAUAAUAAUAACCUCAAAUUCCAUAUAACAUACUCAAUUUUAUAUUUAAAUAAUGUAAAUGAAAAAUUAAAAUUUCCACAUCAAUUCAACACAAAUUCUCAAAUUUAAGUAUAAAUUACACAAAUCCAUUUAAAAAACACAAACUAGUAUCUAAAAAUAAUAAUUACAUUUCAUAUUAUCAUUUAAAACAAGCUCCAAGAGAAGAUAUUCAUUUCAUUCACCACCAUAAGCACCCAUCCAACACAAUGCCUAUAAUAAUAAUUAAGAUUAAUAUUUUCAAAUACUAAUUCGAAGGAAAAUGCCUCUAGUUUUCUUUAGAUUAUGACUUUAGAAUAGGAGAUAGGUCACAUACACACAUACACAACUUUGAGCCUUUGGCUAUUUGGUAAUUUGAUUAAUGACAUUAUUUUCUUUAUACAUUUUUAGAUUAAAAUUAAAUUAAAAAUAUUUGGAAAAAAUAUUGCGGGUUUGGUGGAUAUCCAUGCGGGUAUCCACCGGAUAUAAGGUUAAUACCAAACCCACCCGCAUCCAUGUGCGGGUUUUAAUUUAUAAUACUAAAUCCGCCCGCAACGGGCGGGUUUUGGCGGGUGGGUUUGGGCGGGUUUGCGGGUUUGCGGGUACAAUUGCCAUCCCUAGUCAUCAGGUACCUGUUUGAAAAAUAAUUAUAUACAAUUUUAUUUGCGUCUUCUCUCUAAAAAUUUGGGACUCAAAUGUUAUUUCUAAUUGUUAAAAUUACAAAAAUGCCACCUUUCUCUUCAGCUAAAGGAGUGCAAGGUCAUCUGUAUAAUUGAAUCUGCAUCAUCAACAUCAAUUUCUAUUGCCGGUGUUACUGCAUGCUUACAGUUGCUUGACAAAGUGAGCCAGUUUUUUGUUUAUUAAUUUUUUUUCUUGUCGAGACAGUCACAAAGUAUUACUUGUUCCAUAUGAGAAUGAUGUGAAUCAAUUUUUCAAUUAUACAUUCUGUGGUAAUUAUUGUGAAUUUAGUUUCAUUUGUCUUGUCUCCCGCAAAUUAUGAAGAAAAUGCAGACAUACAAACUUACAAUAUGUAUUUGCGUUAGUAUAAAAACAAUUGUUAGAUGAUUAAAGCGAUUUUUUUUUUUACAGCAUUUGAUUGUAUUAGUUAAAAUCAUUUUUUAAGGAUAAAAAUAAGUAGAAAAUUAUUCUCAUGUAGUGUGGAAAUCUUUUCUAAUUUCUUGUUGACUUGUACAUUUAUUUCAGAAUUUCCAUUCAUUAGUUCUACUGUUUUAAUCUUUGACUUAGCUACCGUAGUUGACUUUUUAUAUCAAAGGCUUAAACAGCAUGCAUUUUUGAAUUGACUGAGAAUAAUUUGGUGGACAAAUUACUCUUUAAAUGGCUUAAAGAGUAAUUUAAAUGGCUUAAACAGCAUGCAUUUUCAUGCCCAAGUCACUCGUCACGUCCUUUCAUCGAAACAAAGUGCCCGGUGCAAAUGGUGUGAUGUAAAACACUUUUUUAAAUUGUCAUUUUUUUCCUUUGCUUUUGCUUUAAGUUUCUAAAUGCUCAACGCCAUAAAUCCAUGCAUUCUUAAUUUUCGUUUGCUGUAUUGAUUCCCAACCCUCUAUGUCACAAGGUUUUGAAUGCCAGUAAUUAAGUUAAAUUAAACAUAUUUUAAGUCCUACUUUAAAUUAUUGAAAAAUGUAUUAUGGUUGAACUGAAUUUUAACUAAAAAAUAUAUACAAAAUAAAAGAUUAAUCAUAUCUUUUUAUGAGGAAGGUUCUGACCACAGCCACUUAAAAUUAAUUGAGUGGAAUAUUGCAAAAUAUAUAUAAACCAUGCCAAAACUAGAUGUUUGAGUAAUGAAAACGAGAAUUCAUAUGACUCAGAAAUAUGGUUGCUUUCCUUUUUCUGAAAGGAAAAAAAAAAGGGGGACCAAAAAGGACCAAAAUGAACAAAAAUGGAAGGCGAAGGUAAGCAGACAUGUUAUUUGUUUUACCUAAGAUGCCAGAUGCAACUCCCCAUUGAUGGUGAUCGAACAUUAUGGCCAUUUUCUUAGUAAACAAAAAAUGAAUUUUGAACACUCAACAACGAAAUUUGAGCAGAAGAUCAAGCAAGGGCCUCGAUCUCAAAGAAGAUACUAUGAAACCCUACUUAAUGGUUAAAUAACUGAUACACCUCUCUGCAACCAAGGCUGUAUCGAUAAAUUGGCACUCUUCGAGUGAGGGCUGACUCCAAAAGAAAUUCACAAAGAUGAGCAAGAGUGGGGAGAGAGAUGGAGAGUGAGAGAAGAAUAGAGAAAAGUUAAAAAGAAAUGAUUCAUUCUGGAUUCCUUUUGCACGAAUUAGUUAUGCUAUACAUAUACUCCUCUGUCUUUUGGCCUUUAAAAGAAUACAGCUCAGCAUAACUUUGUAACAGAAAAUAUGACAGCAACAUAAACCAGCAAAAUAUAAAGCUCUAUCAAUUUCACUAUACGACAUAAUCUUUAAACCACACAGGGGGUCUUCUCACUCUUGUGCCGGUAUACCCUUCCUCACGAGCUACUUCUACUUCAACUUGUGAUGAGGCUUCCUUCAUGGGCUGCACACAAUUAGACUCAUCGAUGAGCUGCCCUUCUCGUAAAUAAUCCGGUUGAUCCAGCUGAAUGUGGAAGGUUGUAUCAUCCCCUCCAGCUUCAAAAUUCACCUUGUCCUCAAGGUGAAAAUCGGGAUAAAGUUUACAGAAGGUGUCGAACUCUUCCCAAGUAGAAUCUUCAGGCGAACUGGCCAGCCAUUGAACCAGAAUUUGGCGACAUCUCAUUCCUUGUUUAAGCACGGUUCUAAUAGCGCAAACUGCAGCAGGGAGAUAUAAUGGCUGAUUGUCCACACUAGUUAAUGGCAAGGAAUGGUGAUCAGGUGUAUGAGAACCAAGAAAGGGUUUGAGAAGUGAAAUGUGAAACACUGGAUGGAUCUUGGAACCACUGGGCAAGGCAAGCUUAUAAGCUACAGGGCCAACUCGAGCGAGUACAGGAAAGGGGCCAUAAUACCGUUUAGCUAGCUUUUGACAAGAACGAGAUGCCACUGUAUUUUGGCGGUAUGGCUGAAUCCUCACUAGAACCUGGUCCCCAACAGCAAACUGAGCUUCGCGUCUAUGUGCAUUAACCUUUUGAAUCAUGCGAUGUUGAGCUUGACGCAAAUUCUCUUUCAAGGUACGAAGUAAUGCAUCCCGUUCACUUAAUGCUUCAUCAAGAGCUUGGAUUGAAGUAGAGCCCUUCGAGUAAGGAGGAAUUGCUAGAGGUGGUCGCCCAAAAAGAGCUUGAAAAGGAGACAUUUUGAUGCUGCUGUGAUAAGUAGAAUUGUAGGAAAACUCAGCCCACCCAAGUAGAGAUACCCAUGAGUGUGGUUUGUCUUGGGUGAAAGUGCGAAGAUAUUGCUCCAAGCCGCGAUUGACAACCUCCGAUUGCCCAUCUGUUUGUGGGUGAUAGGCUGUACUGUGUCGAAGGGUAGUGCCACUUAACUCAAAUAACUUCUUCCAAAAAUUGCUCAAGAACACAGGGUCGCGAUCAGAAAUAAUAGAAGUCGAAAACCCAUGAAGCUUUAUUACCAUAUCCACGAAUAAUUUGGCAGUCUUCACUGCUGUAAAUUGAGUGGGAAGGGAUCCGAAGUGUGCUGAUUUCGUAAGGUGAUCAACCACUACUAAUAUCACCGUGAAACCUCGCGAAACUGGAAGGCCAGUAAUGAAAUCCAUAGUGAGUUCGUCCCAAACUAAAGUGGGGAUAGGAAGCGGCUGCAGUGGACCUGCUGGUGCUUGAGUAGAAUAUUUAGUCUGUUGGCACACAAGGCAUUCGGCCACGAAUCGCUCAACGUCCAUACGCAUUUUAGGCCAAAAAAAAUUAGAUGCCAAGCGGACCAGCGUGCGUUUGAUGCCUACAUGCCCUGCAAGUGGAGUAGAGUGGAAUUCAGCCAAUAGAACUGCUUUCAAGGAUGAUGAUGGGCUGAUAUAGUAACGAUUGCGAUAAAAAAGGACCCCAUUAUGCAGCGAAUAAUCCCGUGAAAGAGACCCCACAGCAAACUGCUGAUGAAGAUCAAUCAUUUCCGGAAGUGUGGAAUUCUCUAGUGUUAGAGUUGCUAACAACUCAAACGACGGGCGACUAAGGAGGGGCAAACAAGAAGCAGUCACUGUUGGUGUUACCUCACCAGCCUCGUCAUGAAUUCGUGAUAAGGCGUCGGCUGCAAGAUUGGUACAGCCCGGUUUAUACUCAAUGCGGAAGUGAUAGCCUAGUAAUUUUCUGAUGUAGACUUGCUGAUCCGGAGUUUGAACUACCUGCUGGAGAAGUUCCUUAAUGCUCUUAUGGUCAGUUCGGAUUACAAAAAAUCUACCCAAUAAGUAUUGUCGCCAUUUAUGCACCGCUUCAACAAUAGCGGUUAAUUCCUUGAUGUAGGUAAAAGAAGCCCGAAGUCGAGGACCUAAUUUCUUACUGAAAUAAGAUAUGGGGUGCCCCAAUUGCAUAAGCACAGCCCCGAUACCCACAUUAGAGGCGUCAGUCUCAAGAAUGAAGUCGGAGUCAAAAUCUAGUAGCCGUAACACAGGGGCUUCCACCAUUGCUCUCUUAAGAGCUUCAAAUGCGUCAGCUGCUGCUGGUGUCCACUGGAAGGCAUCUUUACAAAGCAAAUCAGUAAGUGGGGCUGCUAAAGACGCAUAUCUGCGAAUAAACCGCCGAUAAUAACCCGUCAAACCCAAAAAACCUCGAAGUUUUUUAGUAGUAUGAGGAGUUGGCCAACAAACCAUAGCUGCAAUUUUCUGAGGAUCGGCUCACACACCAAAGGCCGAAACAAUGUGGCCCAGGUAAUCGAUAGCGUCUUGGCAAAACAAGCAUUUGGAUAGCUUGACAAAGAACUGGUGAAAAUGAAGGCACCACAAGACUUGCUGAAGGUGACGCAAAUGUUCCUCUGCUGUAGCACUAUAAACCAAAAUGUCAUAAAAAAAAAUAAUCACAAAUUUACGCAAAAAGAAAGCGAAAAUCUGGUUCAUAGUAGCUUGGAAGGUAGAAGGCGCGUUUGUUAACCCAAACGGCAUGACGAGGAACUCGUAAUGGCCCUCAUGAGUGCGAAAAGCCGUUUUAUAAAUGUCUCGGUGGUGCACGCGAAUCUAAUGGUAACCAGCCCGUAAAUCCAACUUGCUAAAGAUUGCUGCCCCGCCUAAUUCAUCGAAUAAUUCGUCGAUAGUUGGAAUGGGGAAUUUAUCUUUAAUGGUGGCGGCAUUCAAAGCCCUGUAAUCAACACAGAAACGAUAGGUCCCAUCUUUUUUUUUUUACCAACAAGACCGGUGACGAAAAUGGACUUUGACUCGGUUGAAUGAUGCCUUGUUCUAACAUUUCACGGAUUAGUUCUUCCAUCUCAUUUUUUUUGGAAAUGGGGGUGGCGAUAUGGGCGCACAUUUAUGGGAGUAGUGUUGGGGAGGAGGUGGAUUCUGUGAUCAAUUGUGCGAUGUGGCGGCAGGGUAGUAGGUGGAAGAAAUAAGUUGCGGUAAGUGUGUAGAAGAUCAACAAAUGGUGUGGUUAAAUGUGGAGGUAAUUCGAAGGAAGAACUCUCGGGAUUGCUUUCCGAUUCCUCCCCGGGUAUAGGUACCUGUUGCAGAGCAUACAAACUAUAAAUAUCAGCACUGUGGACUAGAGAUUGCAACUGAUGAAAGGUGAUUAGGGAGGGAGUAAUGGAUAGUUCGCCGCGAAGAGUCACUGGUGCCCAACAAAAUUCCAUAGAGAGGGCAGAGUAAUCAUGAGAGACACGACCCAAGAGUUGCAGCCAUUGUAUUCCCAACACCACAUCAGGCCCCUCAAUGGGCAGAACAAAGAGGUCCAAAGUGAAGAUUGUUCCCUGCAUCGUGAGAGCAACUUGAGGGCAAACAUAUUUGCACACUAGAAAAUCCCCAUUGCCAAUAUAAACACGGAAAUUUGUUGUUGGUUGUAUCGGUAAGCCCAAACACUCUGCCACUGCUGGUUUGAUAAAGUUGUGGGUACUUCCGCUAUCGAUCAAUACUUGAAAGCUGUGAGAACCAACUUUGCCAACCAAACGGAGUGAGCGGGGAUUGAUUUGACCCGCCAAAGCAUUCAAACUAGAAAUAUCCCCUGUUAUGACCUCUUCGACAGGAUCCAGUGGCAACUCUUGUUCACAAGAAGCAAGUUCAUUAUCAUCAGUACCCAUGAGAAGCAAAAACUUACUGCGACAGCGAUGAUUAGCACUAUAUUUUUUAUCGCAGUUAUAACACAAUCCCUUCUCACGCUUGUCACGUAGCUCUGCUGGAGUAAGGCGGCGAAUCGUUAAGUUGGGUGUGGGUAGAAGUGGUGGUAAUGUGUUUGGUUUCGGGGGUGGGGAAGUAUUGUGGGAGUGAGAUAUGGUUUGGGCCAUACCAGUGGAAUGGUGCGGCUGGGUUGAAGCAAUGGGAUAUGUGUUAAGCUGAAAUUUGGGUGACGGGAAGGUUGUGGUAUGAGUAGGUGACAUGGUGUUCCAUUUUGGUAAAAAACGGUGUCCUUGUUUGGCUUCCUCAGCAUGGGCUUCAUAGGCACGAGCUAGUGCAAAUGCUUCCAUUAGAGAAGAAGGCCGAGCAAAAAGCAGCUCACGACGAAUAUCGGAUUUCAAUCCCGUGAUAAAAAAACUUAUCAGAAGCGGUUCUGAAAUUCCAGUCACGUGAUUCAUUAAAUCUUCAAAAGAGGUCUGAAAUUCUGCCACUGUUGUAGUUUGGGAUAACUUAGACAAAUUUCCUUGAGGAUCUUCAUAGAGGGAGGCACCAAAACGAUGUUUAAGGUUCUGCAAAAAUUCUUUCCAUGUUGUAAGCAAGCUGUUCAUUUUCAUCCAUUGAUACCACGCUGCCGCGCGUCCUUCCAUAUGAAAAGAAACAAUUCGCAAACGAAGAGUUUUUGGUGUACCGUGGAAAUCAAAGAACUCCUCAAUUCGAAAAACCCACCCGUUUGGGUCAGAUCCAUCAAACUUAGGAACCUCCAUCUUCAUAGAACGGAGCACAGGGGACAGCUCAAUACCACUGGAAUUUACCUCAGUCGAAGAAGAGGUUAGGUGUGGUGGAUUAGGAACCCGACCCGAGUGAUUGGAAGACUCAUGGAUCUGUGAACGCAAAUCAUCAAGGCGAGAAUCCACCGUGGCCAUAUACUGUUGCAGCGUUUGAUGUAAGGACAAUGUUUGGCUCUCGAACUGUUCUUGGAUCGUCUUUAAAAGGUCAGAAUCCGUCAUAACGAUAGCAAUGAAAGCACCACUGAUACACCUCUCUGCAACCAAGGCUGUAUCGAUAAAUUGGCACUCUUAGAGUGAGGGCUGACUCCAAAAGAAAUUCACAAAGAUGAGCAAGAGUGGGGAGAGAGAUGGAGAGUGAGGGAAGAAUAGAGAAAAGUUAAAAAAAAAUGAUUCAUUCUGGAUUCCUUUUGCACGAAUUAGUUAUGCUAUACAUAUACUCCUCUGUCUUUUGGCCUUUAAAAGAAUACAGCUCAGCAUAACUUUGUAACAGAAAAUAUGACAGCAACAUAAACCAGUAAAAUAUAAAGCUCUAUCAAUUUCACUAUAUGACAUAAUCUUUAAACCACCCAGGGGGUCUUCUCACUCUUGUAUCGGUAUACCCUUCCUCACGAGCUACUUCGACUUCAACUUGUGAUGAGGCUUCCUUCAUGGGCUGCACACAAUUAGACUCAUCGAUGGGCUGCCCUUCUCGUAAAUAAUCCGGUUGAUCCAGCUGAAUGUGGAAGGUUGUAUCAAUAACUUUCAUUCAGCUUUGGACCUUAUUUCGUGAUACGGAAAGACAAACCUUUCUUGGCCAGCAGUGUCCCAAAUCUGAGCUUUGAUGAUGAUCUUGCCGUUGAUGGUGACAGUUCUGGUUUGGAACUCGACGCCAAUGGUUUAUUUCGAUUCAAAGCAAAACUCAUUCUUGGUGAAUCUCGAAAGAAUCUGAGACUUGCCCACGGCCGAGUCACCGAUCACCACUACCUUGAAUACAAAGUCUAUUUUGUCAGGAAUCAUAUUCUCUCGUUGUUGAUGACGAUGAUCGGUGCCAUCACCACUCAUUUCUUCGUUCAUUCAUUCUAUGUCCAUUGAUCUUUUUGAAUUAUUGAAGACAAGUGGCUCACCGCUUUUAGUAUUGGUAAAAUUCAGAUAAUCUCUAUUCCGAAAUAAUAAUAUUCAAAAUAUAUCUUAAAUCAUUAUAAACCUCAAAUCUAUUUUAAUUUUAUUUAAAAGAUAAAAGAAAAAUAGGUUAUGUUGGUGAUUUUUUAUUAUCUUUUUAAUAAAAAUGGAAUAAAUUGAUGUUUAUAAUUAUUUAAAGUAUUUUAAAGAUUGCUAUUUUAUGAGAGAAUAAUAUUUCACUUUUUUUUAGUGUGAAAGACCGAAAAAGGACAAAGCAAGUUUCCCUAAUUUUUAUUUUAUUUGAAAUUGGUCAUCUCAUAUACUUCACCCUUCAACACUAUAAUUUUUUUUGUUAUAAUUUUAUUAUUUUUUUCUCUUUUACACAUGCAUGUGAAUUACUUUUCUUUAAGCUCCUGAAUAUUUAAGACAAAUCAUGGAAGAGAUGAGAGUAUAACAAGAUGAUCAAAAUAUGUAACAAAAAAAUUUUAGAAGUGAAAAAUAUGUUAGAGUCGAAGUAAAACUCUGAGGUGAUGUUUGAUUUGAAGAAAAUGGAGGAGAGGAAAAGAGUGAAAUGGAGAGUAAAAGAGAGAAAAGGAGAGGAGAGGAGAGUGAAAUUUUUUUCUAAUGUUUGGUUUGUCACAUAAUUAUACAAAGAAAGGAAAUCUCUAAUUUUUUAUUUAGACAAUUUUAACCUUAAUAAGUAUUAAGCUUUCAAUAUUUAUCAUGUGUAUAAUUUAAAAAAAGUAAAUGGUAGAAAGCGGUUUCUGAUUCCGGCCACAUCGCCGGCAAUGGAAGGUACUUAUCAGAACAUCAAGAGCCGGCCAUCAUUCCCUAGCCAUCACUGCUGUCGGAACACUGCCAGAAAGCUACCGAUUGAACCGCGAAAAGUUGUGGAAAUCGCUGCCUCAAAUCGGUGAGUUUCGCCUUUUUCUGGUCACGUCGUCGCCUUGGCUUUGUCCAUCAAGGCUGCCACUUCCAUUUUCAACCAUCCAUAGCCACUAUUAACCGCCAAAUCACCGCCGAUCAGCGGGAUCUGUGGAAGUUAAAAAGUUUCUAAAAUUUUUUAAUUGGAUUUGAACAACAUACAACCAUUUUUUGAUCUUGAUAACGAUGUAGUAAUGUUGAUCGUUGGUCGGCAAGUCGAAUGGUAGUGGCAGUGAGUAACACGCGCCAAUGACAUCGGCGGCGGCGGCGGCACUAUCCGGCAACUGUUAAAAUUAAUAUUUUAUAUUUGUAGAUUAAAUAAAUUUAUUUUAUUAAACUUUUUAAAUCAUUAUUUAAAUUUAAUUAAUUUAAAUUAUCUAUAAUGUUGAAUUGAUAAAAUAAAUUUAUAAAUAGUAAUUAUGUGAUUACAUUAAAUAAGUUAAAAAGUUGAAGGGUUAUUUUUGGAAGAUUUAGUUUCCAACACAAAGGGAAUUUGAAUUCUUCACUUCUUAGUGUGGAAUUCAAAUUCUAUAUUGUAAUGGAUAUUAAAUUCCAAUAGAAAUUAAAUUCUUAUAAGUUAUGUCAAACCAAACAACGGAAAUAAAAAAAAAAGAAUUUAAAUUAUUUUCCUUUCCUCCACCCUCUCCUUCCAACCAAAUACAUCCUGAAAAUAGAGAUAUUGAUUAAUUUAGAAGAGAUGCAAGCAAAAGAUAUUCCACAAAAAAAAAAAAGCAAUAUGUCCCUUUGGAGGGCAAACUUGUCAGUUUUAAAAAAGUACAUGCUUUGGAUUGAUAGUUGUAGGAUAUUUGUUUUGUCACUAUGUAUUAGUUGGAGAAGUCAAGCCUUGUGAAGAAUGUUAUGAAAGAGCAAAGGAUAUUCCUGAUAGCUGAUAGAGCUCUAUUUGAUUAUGUAUCCAGUGAAUGGAUGUGUUGUUGGAAGAUAUUUGAGUGCAUUAGUUCAUAUGUGUCUGUCAAUGUGAUUUUAAUGAUUUUUCCACUUGUUUGUUGUAAAAGAUUAUUGUAAAUUGAAAUGAACUUGAUGUUGUAAUAUUUUCUCCUUAGUAGAAUUUCACCUAGUAUGUAUUCAGUUGUGUUGUCUAUAAUUUUGCAUUUGAAUAAGUUUCACCUAAAAUAUUAGCAUGAGUAGUGGCCCUUGAAACUUUGGUCAAAAUUAUUGUUAUUAUUUCCGACUAGAUGUAAAUUUUUUAUUAAAUCUCGUUAACACAAUUCUUAAUUAAAAGUAUAGGUUAGUGUUGGUGCAAGAUUUGCCACACCAAAUUCUGCCUAGCUGUCAAAAGUGCAAAACAAAUGAAGAGAAAGCACAAAUACAAGACUUGAAUAAGGAUACAACGAAACUUAAAUUCAAGAGAAAAUGAUAGCUAUAUCUCAAGAUUUGAAAAAAUGGCCAUGUAGAUUUUUAAGAUUUCAAUAAGCGACUGAGAUUCAAAUAAUAUCCUUUAAUUCUAUUAACAAAAAACAAAGACUCAAAUAUUUUAUGAUAAAUAAAAAUAUAAUAUUAAAAUAUAUGUGAUAAUAUACACAUUUUAAAUACUUUCAAUCCAAAAAAAUAGUUAUGUUUUACAAUCUAUUAGACAUAUUUUAUUAAAUUAAUAUAAAUUUUCUAUAAAAUAAGAAUAUAAUAUUAAAAUAAAUUUACAAAAAUUUAAAGAAUUUUGAAUGUAAAAUAAUUUUAAUAUAUUAAUACGUGAGUUUUUUUAUUAAUAUAAAAAUUAUUUAACUUUAAGAUUUUUAAAAUCUUUACAAUAAGUAUAACUAUAUUAUUUACAUUUAAAAAUAUUUAAAUAUUAUUAACCUACAAUUAUAUUUGCAUUUGUUAGAAAUUUUUUAAGUCAAAUAUUUUGCACUUCUAUAUUAUUAGAAUUAUUGCACACAAAGAAAGAAACAUAUACCUUUAGAAAUUGUUUUAUUUUAAAAUAGAGAUGAUGAUUAGUAUAAGGAUGAAAAAAAGGAUAAAGAAUAUUAAUGAUUAACGAAAUCUCUAUACAAAUUGAUUUUAGUAGGAAAAGAAUGAGAUGAAUGAAUUCUUUUACAGUUAGAAACAUAGAUGAUGAUUAUUAUAACGAAGAAAAAAGAUAAAGAAUAUUAAUUAUUAAUGGAAUCUCUAUGCAAAUUGAUUUUAGUAGGAAAAAAAUGAGUUAAAUGAUUUAGAGUGCGUUUGGAAUUGAGAUUGGGCAGCCAUAGAUUUUAAGUUACAACACUGAAGUGUUUGGUAAAUACUAGCUGCUGCAGAUUGAAAGUUAUGUUGAUAUGAUUUUUCACAUGUAUCAUAGAAAAUAUAUUACAUCUUUAAUAAUUUUUUUAAAAUUUAUAUUUGCUAUAUAUUAUUAAUUUUUUUAUAGUUAUAAUUUUUUUUCCACAGCAGCUGUAGCUUAAAAGUCACAGCACCUCAAUCUCAAACAAAUCCUUAGACAUUCAUAGUGUGUUUAUUUUUUGGAUUGGUGAAUCAAAAUUAUUGACAACGCUAACUUCAUCUUCAUUGUUCGCAAUCCAACAGCAGCAAUUGUCACAAAUAAUGAUAUCUCCAAUGAUGAUGACAAUUAUUAUUAUUAUUAUUAUUAUUAUUAUUAUUAUUAUUAUUAUUAUUAUUAUUAUUAUUAUUAUUAUUAUUAUUAUUAUUUAUUAAUUAAUUAAUUAAUAUAUUAAUGUUAAUAUUAUUAUUAUUAUUAAGAUUAACAAUAAUUAUUAGUAAUACAAUUUUUUGAAUAAAAAUAAUCACAAUAAUUAAAAUACAAAUGAAUAAUUAUGACAAUAGUUAAUUAAUAUCUUUUUAGUAAUUUGUAAUAAUCUAACUCAUUUUGAUUCUGAUUAUUAUAGUUUAAGUAAAUAAAUUAUUAUGAUUUUUAUUCUCCUUUCCCAUUUUAACUCACUUCGAUUCCAGUCUAUUCCGAUUUCUAUCUAAUAAAUGCACCAUUAGUGCUAAAGUAAUAUUUCAUACAUAGAAAAAUAAAAACUACACCUAAGGUUAAGGGAAAGGACUUCAAAACUCUCUUUUGAUCAUAAUACAUUUUGUCCUAAUUAACUUAAAGAUUUUGAAUCUAAUAUUUUAUAAUAAAUAAAAAUAUAUUCCUAAAAUAAAUAUAAUAUCAAUAUUUAAAAUAUGUUUUAAUAUUUUACAAUCUAUCAUACACAUUUUAUUAUAUUAAAGUAGAUUUUAUAAUAAAUAUAUAAAAAAUUUAGAAAAUUUAGAAUAUUAUAUAAAAUAAUUUUAAUAUAAUGCGUGAGAUAUAUUUUAUUAAUUUAAAAUGUUAUUUUACCUAAAAAAUAUGAUAAAUUAAUAAUUACAUAUUUGAAGCUAUUUCAAAUAUUAAAAAAAUUUAAUAUUAUUAAUCUUUUAGAUAGAUUAAAUUAUUUUUUAUAAGAGAGAUUAAAUUAUUUUAAAAUGCCUUAAUUGUUUUUACUUUUAACGUUACCGGCCUUUCUUUUAUUUUAUUGCAAAUUAAUGCUAACAAGAAAAAGCUAGAUCAUAUUCCACAAAAGUAAAAGUGACAAACACAACCAGCUGGAAUCUUUUAUAAAACUACAAAUUAAAAUGGAUUUUUUUUUUGUUGAUAAAGUACACGUGAAAGUGGAUUCUUUUAUUUUUUUUUAAUGUGUAGACUCUUUUAUUGAGCACAAAUAUAGAGUAGUCGAGACGAUUAGGGUCUUUUAUUAAACUACAAAUUGUAUAGUCUUUUUCAAAUUGUUCAGAUAUUUCUAAAUUGGUGGCCCCUACAAUCCUCGAUAAUUGUACCGAUAUUCACAAGUUGGUGGCCCCUACAAUUAUCAACUGUGCAAGUGCUCAUUCACAAUCUUCCAGGUCAUGCUCUUAAUAAUUGUUUUUUUUUUUUCCUGCAUUCCCUUUCAUGCUCUUAAUAAUUGAAGAGCAUACUUUUCAAAUGUGGAGCCGCGGCUAAUGUCGCUAAUUUAAUUUGGGAUUAAAUCAAGGGACCAUUAUAUUGCAGUGUGCAUUAAUUUUUGUGUUUAUCUAAACUCCUUAAAUUUAAGACAUAUUAUGGCAUAAAUAAGAAUAUAACAAUAGCAAAAGAGUUAGAAAGUGUAGAGAAGAUCUUGCAGAAAUAUAAAUAAUAUCUAUUUUUAAAAUAAUAUCAAUUUUUAAAAUAAUUUUUAAUAUUUUAUGAUCCAUUAGGUAUAUUUUAUUAUAUUAAAGUAAAUUUUAUAAUAAAUAAAAAUAUUCUUAAUUAUGUAAAUCAUAAUUUUUUUAUUAAUUUUAAUUUAAAUUAUGUGAAUAAAAAUUAUUAAUAAUAGCAACACAAAUGAAACAUUAUUAUUAAUAAUAUAGUACAAAAUUAAUAUUUUUUUACAAUAAAAUAUUUAUUAUUAUUAAUUAAAUAAAUAAUUAAUAUUUAUUAAAAUUAAUGUUUAAUAUUAUUAAUUUAAAUAUAAUAUUUAUUUAUUUUUAUUUUAUUAAAUUUAAUAAAAUAAAUAUGUUAUAAUUAUUAUUUUUAAUAAAUAUGAUAUUAUUUAUUUUAUUAAAUAUUAUUUAUUUAUUUUAAUUAUGAGGGUAAAAAGGAAAGAGGGGGGAGUGGAUUUCCACUCCCACCUCCUCCCAUGGGAGUGAGAAUCCCACUCCCCACUCCAAAAUUAGGUGGGAUCCAUGGAGUGGGAAUCCCACUCUCUCCUUAAAAAUGGUAAGUAAACACUAGAAUGUGAGGAAUCCACAUUUUACACUUUCAUUCCAAAAAAUAAACACUACCUAACUAGUUUUUAUUAAAGGCAAGUACAAACUAGUCAAGAAUCGAAUAGUCUUUUUCAAAUUCUUGUUUUAUUAUUUUUCAAAAUUAGUUUUUAGUAAUUACAAUCGGGUCAUUCAUUAAUCAUUAUUCAGAAGUUAGUGUGGGUAAAGGAUAAUUACUAACUGUUUUUCCUUCAAAAGUUAGUGUGGCUCAUGUUUGCAGGUGCGAAUGUGCGAUGCUCUCUUUUUAAAGGCAAUUACAGUGGGUCCCGAAUCAUUACUAAAAUUUGUCUUCCACAGCCCACCGCAGCUUCAGUUAAUCAAACUCCAUCAAUUUUCUUUCUUAACAAAAUUCUAAAGAUGUGUAGCAUUUUUCAGAUCACAUGCGAUGGUGCUUUUUUCAAUCGUUGCUUGGAUUGCUUUCUUGGAAAAGCAGCAUACAUACGUAACCUCCAAGAUAAUCUUGUAGCCUUGCAGACUGAAUUGGGAAAUCUGAUCGCUAAAAAGAACGAUGUGAUGAGGAGGGUUGACAAUGCUGAACGGCAACAAAUGAUAAGGCUGGAAGGAGUGCAAGUGUGGGUUUCGAGAGUAGAAGCUGUUAAAACUGAAGCUGAUCAAUUUAUAAGAGACGGCUCUCGAGAAAUUGAAAAAUUAUGUGUUGGAGGCUACUGUUCCAAGAAUUGCAUGUCAAGCUACAAGUUCGGGAAAAAAGUGGCUAAAAAGCUACGGGAUGUGCGGACUUUAAUCAGUGAAGGAGUUUUUGAGGUGGUGGCUGACAGAGCUCCAGAGUCUGUAGCAGAUGAAAGACCUACUGAGCGAACAGUAGUAGGCUUGCAAUCACAACUUGAACAAGUCUGGAGAUGUCUUGUAGAAGAAUCAGCGGGAAUCAUUGGCCUAUAUGGUAUGGGCGGUGUUGGUAAAACUACACUACUGACCCAUAUCAACAAUAAAUUUCUCGAGAGUCCAACCAACUUUGAUUGUGUGAUUUGGGUUGUAGUUUCAAAAGACCUGCGACUCGAAAAAAUUCAAGAAGAUAUUGGGAAAAAGAUAGGUUUGGUUGGUGAUUCAUGGAAGAGUAAAAGUGUAGAGGAGAAAGCUGUCGACAUCUUCCGGAGUUUAAGAGAGAAGCGAUUUGUAUUGUUGUUAGAUGAUAUAUGGGAGCGGGUUGAUUUAACAAAGGUGGGCGUUACACUUCCCAGACCAAAAAAUACUACCUCAAAAGUCGUAUUCACAACCCGUUUCAUCGAUGUUUGUGGUAGCAUGGAAGUUGACAGGAAGUUUCAAGUAGCAUGCUUAUCAGAAAAGGAUGCUUGGGAACUGUUUCGAGAAAAAGUUGGGGAAGAAACUCUUCAGAGUCAUCAUGAUAUCGUUGAGCUAGCCCAAACUGUGGCCAGAGAGUGUGAUGGUUUGCCACUCGCACUUAUUACUAUUGGUCGAGCUAUGGCCUGCAAAAGGACAGCCGAGGAGUGGAGACACGCAGUUGAAGAGUUAAGGAGAUCAGCUUCUGAGUUUGCAGGUUUGGGAGAAAAGGUGUACUCUCUUUUAAAAUUCAGCUAUGAUAGUUUGCAGAAUGAGACGAUUAAAUCUUGUUUCUUAUAUUGUUGUUUAUAUCCCGAAGAUUAUGGAAUUCUUAAAUGGGACUUGAUUGAUUGUUGGAUUGGCGAGGGAUUUUUGGGGGAAUCUGACAGGUCUGGUGCAGAAAACCAAGGAUAUGACAUUUUGGACACUCUUGUUCGUGCAUGUUUAUUAGAAGAGGUGGAAGAUAGAGUAAAAAUGCAUGACGUUAUUCGUGAUAUGGCUCUAUGGAUAACUUGUGAAAUUGAGAAGGAGAAGAGAAACUUUUUGGUUCGUGCAGGUGCUGGAUUAAAAGAGGCACCGGGUGUUAAAGGAUGGGAAAAUGUGAGAAGAUUGUCAUUGAUGCAAAACCAAAUUGAAACUCUGUCAGAGGUUCCCACAUGCCCUCAUCUCCUCACUUUAUUUCUUGACUUUAAUCAGGAGUUGGAGAUGAUCGCGGAUGGCUUCUUCCAACUUAUGCCUUCUCUCAAAGUUUUGAAGAUGUCAAACUGUUCGAAUUUGAAAUUACCUGUUGGGAUGUCAGAGUUGGGUUCAUCACUAGAACUUCUCGAUAUUUCAGAAAACAGCAUAACAGAGUUACCGGAAGAGUUAAAGAAGUUGGUAAAUCUGAAAUGUUUGAAUUUGAGGUGGACACAGCAUUUAAAUAAAAUUCCACGGCAACUAAUAUCAAAUUCUUCAAGGUUACGUGUGUUGAGAAUGUUCGCUACUGGCCGGUUCAAUUUUCAUGAAGCACCAGAAGACAGCGUUUUAUUUGGUGGGGGUGAAGUUUUGAUACAGGAAUUGCUCGGUUUGAAAUAUUUAGAGGUAUUGGAGUUGACCUUGGGAAGUUAUCAUGCUCUCCAAAUUCUUUUGAGCUCAAAUAAGUUAAAAAGUUGUAUUCGAUCUCUUUACCUCCAGUUGACCGGAGAUACAACGUCAAUUAUUGAUGCUACGGCUUUCGCAGAUCUAAACCACCUCAAUGAAUUAUAUAUUUAUAAAGGUAUUGAGUUGGAAGAAUUGAAGAUUGAUUAUACGGAGAUAGUACGAAAAAGGCGGGAACCUUUUGUUUUCCGUAGCCUUCACUGUGUUACUAUGAUUUCGUGCCGUAAAUUGAAAGAUGUGACAUUCCUCGUUUUUGCUCCAAACCUCAAGUCUCUUCGGCUAUUCGAUUGCGGUGCUAUGGAAGAAAUAAUCAGCGUCGGAAAAAUUGCUGAGACUCCUGAGAUGAUGGGACAUAUAAGCCCUUUUGAAAAUCUCCAAAUGCUUCAUCUAUCGUUAUUGCGAAAUUUUAAGAGCAUCUACUGGAAGCCAUUGCCUUUCGCUCAUCUAAAAGAAAUGAUGGUGCAUCGGUGCGAUCAGCUUGAAAAGCUUCCACUCGAUUCCAACAGUGCAAAGGAGCGUAAAUUUGUUAUUCGUGGAGACACACAGUGGUGGAACCGACUUCAAUGGGAGGAUGAAGCCACUCAAAUUGCUUUUCGUUCCUGUUUCCAACCUCAGUCCUGAGCGGUGGUCGCAAAAUUUGAUUUCUGGUGAGUGCGGUUGUCUUUUAAAAGAAGAAUUUAAAAGAAAUUUAUUCUUGUCGUUUUCUUCUCUGUUUUUAUUUCAGUUUCUUUCUCUCUCUCUCUCUUUUUGUCUUCUGCAAAUCACAAUUAAAUGUUGAAUUAAUGGAAUUAAUGCUUCAUAAAUUUGCCGGCACUGCCAUUACUUUUUUUUUUUUAAUACAAAUUGAUACUUUAUUUAUAUCUUCUUAGCGAUAUAAUUUCCUGUCAAUUGACGAACGAGAAGAACAUAUGACUUAAACCAAUUCUCGCAUAAACUUGCUGUAAAAAGAUAUAAUCUCACUGAAAUGCACACGUCUAGAAUGAAUAGAAUUAAAACAGGGAAAAUAUUAGGUAUAUUAGCCUUCUUUACUGAAAAUCAAAUGACAAUAAAUUUUUUGAAGUUUUGAUUUUCUAUGGUCAAUUCCACCUUUUGCAAUUUCUUCUGUUCUAACAAAAACCAAUUUCUUUGUUCAAGUAUUUUCGUUUGGGUAUUAAUAAUUCUCCACCGAAAGAGUGAACUCUUGGAUGCUGCUCUUUUGUUCUCUGUUUUUAUUUCCCCUUUUUUCUUUUGGUCUUCUGCAAAUCACAAUCAAAUGUUGAAUUUGUUGAAAAAAUAGCAUAACAUGCUAUUUUGAGAGCACAUUUUGAGUGGGUCCCACUUAACAAAAGUGAAAAAUAUUGUGAGGUUCGGAUUCUACUCCGUUGAUACUUCAAUAGUAUAAUUUUAUUUUCUCAAAAUGGUGCUUGGGUGAAUGAGAAAUUGUCUCUCAAAGUUCACCCUUGAAGUUGAAAAUUCGAAAGGAAAUGAGUCUUAUCCCACAUGGGAAAAAGAAGCCUAGGAAUUAGUGUUUAAAUAUAAAUACUUAACCAUACAUGAGUAAGAAUUAUAAGGAUAGAGGCUCUCUCCACACGCGUGCGUGCGCAGGGGGGGUGCGAAUCCAAGCUUGAUUUGGUUGAACUCGUGUGCGUCCUGCGUACACGAAUGUCAGCCCAAAAUCAUCCAUGCAAGCUAGGCACCUUUUGAAUUCAAAUAAAUUGGUGACAGCUUUUUAGCUGUUAUUCACGUUUUUUUUAAAUUGAUUUGGCUGUUAUAACAAGGCACCUUCACUUCUGUUUUUUCCACUUGCAAAAACGAGCACAAAGCACACUUGUUUUCCCUUCAUUCUUCUUCGUCUUUCUCUGAUCGAGUUCGCUGUUGUGGUUCGCCGGAAAUUCUAGCCUGUGCUUGACUGGAAGUUCGUACCCGUUGCAUCCUGGGAAACAAAUACCAAUAAACCUUAAGCACUCCGAAUAGGUGGUAAAUCUGUUUUAAGGAGACUGUUUUGUGCAGGCCUCGGGUUCCUUUCUUUUUAUUUCAAUUCGGUUUCUUCCUCUUCUGUUCUUCAUUUAUUGUUUCCGAUUGCUAGUUUACACUAGCUAACAUAUAAUUUGUUAUCUCACUGUUUUAUUUUCUUACAGAAUUAAAUGGAAUUAAUUCUUUAUAAAUUUGCCUGCAUUGCUUUUUUUUUUUGGGGUCGGGGGGGGGGGGGGGGGGGGGGGGGGGGGGGGGGGGCGAAUUGAUGCUCUGGUUUUUGACUUUUUGUUGUCAAAUUUUACUCUGUUUUUUCAAAUUGAUGCUUCAAUAUUUGAAUCAAAUUAAUGCUCACGUAAAUUUGUCUAGUUGCCGUAAAAGAUAUAAUUAGACUGAAAUACACACUUUUAGAAUCAAUAGAAUUAAACAGAGAAAACAUUAAGUAUAAUAGCCAUCUUCACAUAAAAUCAUGUCAUAAACACAUGAUUAACAUUAAGUUAAAAUUUUGAAGUUUUGAUUUUCGAUGGUCAAUCAUACCCUUUAUAAUUUCUUCUGUUCUAACCACAAUAAAAUUUUUGGUUCCAGGAUUUUUAUUUGGGGUAUUAAUAAUAGUCCACCAAAAGAGUGAACAGUUGGAUGCUGCUCUAAGGGUCUCUAAUGUAAUCAAUAGCUGGAAGCAAUUGAGAAGGCGGUCGCUACUGUGUGCAAAGCCAUGCAGUAUUUGUUAUUCAUCUUAGUAAUUAUGAAGCUUCGGUAAAAUUUUCAUGAAUUUGUAUGAAUAUCGUUGUUCCAUUGAGUUGUAUAUGAAUUCAAAUGUAAAAUAUUCUUUGGUUUUCAAUUUUGAAUUCAAUUUCUUUUUCUUAAGCAUGUUGUGCAGAAAUGAUUUCUAUUAAAUCAUUUUUGAUAAACUAUUUAAAUUAAACAACUGGAAUAAGAACUGUAAGGAUUUAUCGUAAGCAGUCUAAUAUGAUAAUUCUGAAACUAUUAAUUAUUUUUUUCAAUUUGUUGCAGGGAAAGCCAAAUUUUGCGUUUUUCAGUUUUAUCUGAUAUGGAAUUUAUUUCCUCUACACUAGCUACCUAAAGAUUUAUCAAAUUGCUUCUCUUCCCUGCUUCAAAUAUCUUCAUGGCAUCAUAGGAAAAGAGAGUUUGGGUUGUAUUUAUUAGAGUUUUUAUUUUUUUCGUUAUAAGCAAAUUUAUUUUAAAUACUUUAGUAGUAACAGUUUUUAUUGAAUAAUAAUGGGGGAUGGUUAUUAUAGGUUCAAAUAGUUGUUAGAACAUUAUAAAAAGUCUAUUUACUAUCAAAUGUUUUAAAUUGAUGCAACGUGAUAAUUGUCUCAUAUAAUUUUUUUAUAAUAUAUAUGUCCCAUAAUCUUAACAUGAAUAAAUGAAUUUCAACGGUUAAAUUUGACACGAUUAUUAAAUAGAUCAUAUCUAUAUUAAUUCGAUUUAAAAUUUGGCCACAUUUGGAUUUAGAGUUUCUAACAUGAUAACUUGUUUUAUAACAUGAUUUACUAAUCAAUUAAUAAUAAAUCAAAUGUUAGUCAAUUAAAUAUGUGGUACAUUUGUCAUAUUUUAAAAUUAUUUAUUUAUGUUUGAAAUAAAUUUGACUAGACUUUGUGCAGGUAAUAUUGCAUAAUUUCUAAAAAAAAUGUAAUAAAAACAUGUUAAAAUGUUAUUUUUAUGAAGAAAAAUUGAAAUUUUAUUAAAUAGGUGACACAAUAAUAAAUGGAUGCUUGUAAAAAUUGAAAUUAUUGAUAUAAUUAUUAAAUAGAUUGGAUUGAAGUUAGUUUAAUUUUGACAAGAUAAUAAGACGACGCGACACAAAUACAGCCAACCGGUCAACCCAAAUUGCCACCUUUUAUUUUCUUCUUUGUGUUACUUCUCUAAAAAUUUGUGCCAUCGCUUACACUUUUAAAUCUAUCAAAGAACCGUUACUUGGGAAGAUUGCCAUCAGGAAUUUCGAAAUUGAUUUCACUACAAUACGUUAGUCUUUCAGAUACUUCCAUCACUGAGUUGCCAAAAGAGCUAAAAGCCUUGGUAAAUCUUAGGGCAUGUUUGGCACGCGGUAAUAUAUAGGAUAAGGACUCCGCAUUGCAUUAGAAUUAUACAAUCUCGUGUUUGGCAGUUACAGCUCAUUGCAUUAACUAAAAUUUAUAAUGCGGUAACACCCGCAUAAACUACACCCGACCACCCCCCCCCCCCCCCCCCCCCACGGGUUUAUACGGGUUUGCAAUAGAUCUUUCUCCUUCCCUCAACUUUCUCCUUCUUUAUGCUCUCUCACGAACACAGCGCUCCACACCAGGCCAUCGUCCUUCGCCGCGCAACACCCAGCUCCACCACCACCCCAUCCCGCAACACCACUGCCUUCUCUUUUAACUUGCUGACGCACGACACUCGACCACCAUGCAAUCUUCUAUCUCUGCGUGACAGCCAGCUCCGUCACCACCCCACUGUGCAAUACCACCGCCAUGCUUGCCUUCGCCUCCUGAAUCAACGAACUACAACUUUGAUUUUUGAAAAGGUCUUUCUCUUUAUUUCUUCUCACGAUUUCUGUAACAAAACAGAGGCUAAAUAUCACAUGUCUCUUUCUCAUACUAUUCCAAGCUAAAUAGCAAAAGCAAUAGAUUCUCAGACUCAUAUAUGAUCUUCAAGAAGCCGGAGGUUCUCGAUUUAUUUAAUUUCUCUUUAUAUAUAUUUUUUCCAACUGUUAACUUUAAUUUUUUAUGUAAAUGCUUCACAACAUGUUGGAAUUGCUAUUUCUUUGAUAAUUUGGGGAAAUUGAACCCUAACGAAGCAAAGUGAGGGGAAAUUUUCUAUUGGGUCUUGUCUGAGGAGUGUGUAGGGAUUCUUGUGUUGCUGUUGGCUUUCGCUUUGAAUUUGAUGACUGUGGGUUUUUGUUUUGGUUUUUUGGUUUCGUGAGUGGAGGGGAUUGUAAAGCAAAAACAGAAAGCGCGAUAGGAAAUGGAGGGAAGGUGUUUCAUGGUUGUUCUCACUGACAUUUUGUUGUUCUGUUCAUGCUUUAAUUUUCGUUUGAUUUUCGAACAUGCUGCAGUUUGAACUUUGAUGAACUGAGCUUUGCAAGUUAGACACAUGUCUCGUCAUCGGUUCAACGGCGUUCUUUACCAUAGAAAUUUGUGUUUUAUUGUUGUUGUUGUUGUAAGCUUUUCUUGAUUUUGCAGUGAGGCUUGAGGAAAAGAAAAGGAAAAGCAAUGUUGAUUUCAUUCAAUGGCAUUAUUCUAAGACGUAAAAACAAAUAAUCUGGACCAAAUUGAAACGAUCAUAUCACUAUAUUUUCAUUAAACAUAGGCUUUUUGGUUACCAAAUUGAAACAAUAAAAGAAUGAAAAAGAUUUUAAGUUUAUGGAUUAAGCAAUCCUAGAAUUUGAAUUUAUGAAAUUAGAAGACCAAAAAUUGUAAAAAUAUUGUCAGUAUAAAAUUAAUGUUGUAAAAAUAAAUGUUAUACUGACAAAAAUUUAAAGUUAUAAAGUUUGAUUUUUAUGAAGAAUUAUGAUAUUAAAAAAUAAUGUUAAAUUUCUCAAUUUUAAAAUUUUUGAUAUUUAGUAUUUUUUUAAGUAUUAAUAAAUAUUAUUUUUUAAAAUAUGUAAUCAAAAUUAAUCAUUAAAAAAUUAAUACAGUACAAUGCGGCACCAAACAUAGUAUAACUAAAAAUUAAUACAAUACAGUGUAAUACCAAAUAUUGUACAACAUUAUUAUAAUACAAUGCUAAUGCAAUACCGCAUAAUACAAUACACCUGCAUUAAAAUAAUGUAAUAUAACAUAAUACAAUACAGUGUGCCAAACGCACCCUUAAGUGUUUGAACUGGAGUAAAUGUAUAUCGAACCAUCGGUGCGAAAGCUACGAUCAAAGACGACCAACGGUCGAUCGAACUCAUCAGCGCUGGGGAGUCUAAGUGGGGUCUCAACAUCAUGAUGGCGGAUAAUGUAGGCCCCAACUAAGCCAGCCAAAAGGUUGAUCCUAGUCAAGCCCAUGGCAUGAUCAUGGUACCACAAAUUCCCCGGCUGUUGCAUGUUGUGAAAGUGGUAAGUUUUCUUAGUCCAAGUGGGUCCCUUUUCUUUAAAUCCAGCGGUGAACCAUGAAUUUGAGUUUCCAUCACUCUCGGGUUCAUCAAUGCCUCCAUGGAGGUGCACUACAGUAGGAAUUCCCUUCUUGCGUGGAAUGGCAGUUGGAAUUGUGGGGUCCCAUGGAAGUAUGUGUUUUGAAGGGAGAUGAUUUUGCCACGUCACGUAGGUGUCAAUCCCAUGGAGGGCCUCGAUGGUUGGACCAGGGACGGUUGCUGUGUGCUUCGAUGUACCGUAGGCAUACACUGGGGUUUGGAGGUAUAGGUCUCUGUGGAAUUUCUGCACUAGAAAGAAAAAAGAUAAGCCAGAAAUCGUUGAUUAAGAAUAGAAUAAUAAUGAAUUGGAAGAAUUAACUAUAUUUUUUAGAAUAGAAAAUAUUUUGAGUGGUGGGCUAUCAUUAUUUUUAAUUAAAAUAUAAGUUUUUAUAUUUUUUAAAAGUUAAAUUUAAAUUUUAUAGGGAUUUAUAUUUUAUAGCAACUAUUUUAAUAAAUUUAAUAGGAAUUAGUUAGAAAAUUAAAAUAUUUUUCCCUUUUAUUUAUUUAUUUUUUUUUGGCCAGUGCAUCCGUCCCUGUCUGGGUCCCCCACAUUGACUAAACAAAAUCAAUGUACAGAGAAAACUAAGGCAAAAAAAUUAAGGACAUGUGUGAUGUGGGCUUGUGGCCUAAAUAAAAUGCUUGUAGAUAAAGUACCCCUUUUUUUUUUUUUUUUAUUAAGGUGAUUUUUCUCAUGAACACGAAUGCAUCCUAAUUCUACUGUGUACAAAGCAAAUAAAAUGAUUUUUCUCAUGAGCAAGAUCGUAGAUUUCCAAAACAACCAAUUUGUUGCUUGGUAAAUCUUAAUCAAUGGCAGGAAGCAAUUGAGAAGGUGGUAGCUACUGUGUACAAAGCCAUGCAGUAUUUGCUAUUCAUCUUAAUAAUUGUUAAGCUUUGGUAAAAUUUUCAAAAUAAGUUGACAUAUUAUUUUGAGAUUUGGUUCAUGAUUUUGUAUGAAUAUUGUUGUUCCGUUUGAGUUGGAUGUGAAUUCAAACCUAAAUAUUCUUUGGUUUUCAAUUUUGAAUUCAAUUUCUUUUUCUCAAGAAUGUUAUGCAGAAAUGAUUUUUACAAAAUCAUUUUUGAUCAAUUAUUUAAAUUAAACAAUUGGAAUAAGAAUUGUAACGGUUUAUCAUAAGCAUGCUAAUAUGAUAACUUGUUUUACGAACGAUUAAUUAAUCAAUUAAUAUUAAAUUAUAUAUUAGUCAAUUAGAUAUGUGUUAUAUUUGUCAUAUUGUAAAAACUAUUUAUUUAUAUUUCAAAUAAAUUUGACCAGAGGUUACGUAGGUAAUACUACAUAAUUUCUAAAGGAAUGUAAAAAUUUAAAAUUUUAUUAAAUAGGUGACUCAACCAUAAAUGGAUUUCUGCAAGAAUUGAGAUUCUCGAGAUAAUUAUUACAUAGGGGGAAUUUUGGUUGGUUCAAUUUUGACAUGAUAAGAAGACAACACAGCGCAGAAAACCCAAAUUGCCACUUCUACAGUUGUAAUAAAAGAUACCUGUUUGAAAAGUAAUUAUAAACUAUCUUCUUUGUGUUAUUUCUCAAAACUUUUGUGGCACAAAUGUUAUUUCCCUAGUGAAAAGUACGAAAUACCCUCUUUCACGUCGGCAGAAGCAAAGCAAAGCUAUGAGCUAUCUCUGUAUACUUGAAACGCCAUUGCUAAACGAUUCUCGAUGAUGGGUGCCACUGGGCCAGUGUUGUCGCUGAUUUGCAUGAUUUAUUAGUUGUCCACAUGCCAGAGAAACCAUGGUGGCAUUGAAGUUGCCCAGUUGGUUAGUUUUCUGAUCAUUUUUUUAUUCAAUUAUUUAUUUUUUUAGAAAAAUGUAAGAAAUAUGUAGAAAUGUUGACAGCUAUGAUUUUGAAACUUUGCCUAAAAUUGUUAUCAUCACUUAUUUAAAGAGAAAUCCUAGAAACAUGACAUGAUUAGUAGCCUAAUUCAAAAUUAGACGUGAUUACAACAAGAGAAAAGUGGAGAGAACUUGAUAAUCGAGUGCAUUUAGAAUUUAAUUUUUCUUUUAGCUGCCGAUCAUUAAAUUUUUUAUUUCAGAAAAUUAUACCUAGAAUAUUUCAAGGAUAUACUAUGAAGAUUAUGAAGGUUUGAUUACAUGUCACUAUCAAUUGCCCCAAUCAUUUGUAGUAAAUUAAUUGAUCAUUUUGAUGCAAAUGAUUCCCUACUAAAAAAUUCAAGUCAAAGCUGAAUUGCACAGUAGUUAGUCGAGCUUGCACUUCAAAUUAAGUAUUGUAUUUUCUGCCUGGUUUGGUUGAUUAAAGUGUGUGCAUUUGCUUAUGAACGUUGUAGUAUAGAAAUCGAAACAUUUGUUUUUCGCUAAGCCCAGAAGCAAAGUUCUUUGUACUGUACUCAUCACUUCUCUUCGUUCUCUUUGUUGAAAUUUUAUCCAAACAGCGGUUUCUUCGAAUUUGUGCCUUCUCUUACACUUUUAAAUCUAUCAAAGAACCGUUACCUGAGAAGAUUGCCAUCAGGAAUUUCUAAAUUGAUUUCACUAUAAUACCUUAAUCUUUCAGAUACUCCUGUCACUGGGUUGCCAAAAGUGCUAAAAGCCUUGGUAAAUCCUACGUGUUUGAACUGGAGUGCAAAAGUUAUCUCUCCACAAUUCCAAAACAACUGAUUUGUUACUUUUCAAUGCUACACGUUCUGCGAACGUUCAGUUGUGGUUAUCUUGCUGAAAUACCAGAAAAUAGGGUUCUAUUUGGCGGUAGUGGAUUCUUGGUUGGGGAGUUGCUUAGUUUAAAACGUUUAGAUGUAUUAAGCAUCACCUUAAAAGGUUUUUCUUCUGUCCAAAAACUUAUGAGCUCCCAACAGUUUCAAAGCUGUACAAAAUGUUUGGAGCUUAUAGACUGUGAUGAUUCAAAGUUGUUUGCCUUGGCAGAGUUGAAGCAUCUUGAAAAACUAGGUUUUUCAAAUUGUGGAAAUUUGGAAGAUAAAUUACAUUUAUAAACUGUGGAUCGCCCUUUAUAAGUAUUAGGCUUAUCCCAUACUCGAGCAAUGUGGAAUACCUUUAUAAGCAUUAAGCCUCUCCCAUACAAUUUCUGUACAUGACUCUUCUUUUUUUUUUUUUUUUUUUUUUUUGAAGAUCGUUAAAAGUGGUUGAUGAUCCGUUUUGUAAUAUCAUAGAGGGAUCAUGAAUUCCUUUUCUUUUCUGUGGCUAGGCAACACUUUUGGCCAAAGUAAGGAAAUCUAUUUUAGGGAAUGUAAAAACCAGUUGUGGGAUGUAAUAGUUUAUUAUGCACUGACAAUAACUUUUUGUAUAAUUGUCAGUUUAAUGAAUACGAGAGGAACUCUGUUGGCAAAUUCAUCCAUGAUAGAUGCUAAAAUUAUACCAGCUGCCUUAACUAAUUUUUCUCAACACUGGUAUUGAACAGGAAAAUGAAUAUGCAAUUUGUAUUUGUGCCAUUGUGGAGAAUUUGGAUAUUCUUAUUCUUACUAACAAGGAGAGUAUUUGCCUCAUCUUUAAACAAUGAAUCUUUGAGAAAUGAGGAGUGGGUCAUUGGUAGUGUCAGAGUGUCUUCAUGUAAAUGUUCAUUUAUUUGUAUUUUGAACUAUUAUUAGAAUCUUUAUAUGCCAAAUUAGUAAUACAAAUGUUGAGAUGAUUUUCCCUGUUGAUCAUUUCAUUCUUGAGAGCCAUGUACAAUACUAGGAUACCAGAGAAACCAAGGUAGCAUUGAAGUUGCCCCAGUGGCUAGUUUUCCGAACAUUUUUUAUUCAAAUUUUUAUGUUUUAGAAAAAUGUAAGAAAUAUUUAGAAAUGUUGAUAGCUAUGAUUUUGAAACUUUGCCUAAAAUUGUUAUCAUCACUUAUUGUUUCUUAUUUAAAGAGAAAUCCUAGAAACGUGACAUGAUUAUUCCAUACUUGUUUUAAUAUUAUUUAUUAGCAGCCUAAUUCAAAAUUAGACGUGAUUAUUUGUUACUUUUAAUGGUACAUGUUCUGGGAAUAUUCAGUUGUGGUUAUCUUGUUGAAAUACCAGAAAAUAGCGUUCUAUUUGGUGGUAGUGGAUUCUUGGUUGGUUUAAAUGUAUUAAGCAUCACCUUAAAAGGUUUUUCUGCUGUCCAAAAACUUACGAGCUCCCAAAAGUUUCAAAGCUGUGCACAACCUUUGGAGCUUAUAGACUGUAGUGAUUCAAAGUUGUUUGCCUUCGCAGAGUUGAAGCAUCUUGAAAAACUAGGUUUUUCAAAUUGUGGAAAUUGGAAGAGUUUAAGUUCUGCUGUGUCGAGGAUGGAAAGGCUCGAGAAUGUUUUCGUGUGAACAGCCUCCAACGAGUUAAGAUAAAGGCUUGUCAUAAAUUGAGGGAAGUGACAUGGCUUGUAUUUGCUCCGUAUCUUGAGGUUAUUCAAAUAGACAAAUGUAUGGGGAUGGAAGUAAUAAUCAGUGCAAGGAAAUUGGGUGAAGUUCCAGAGAUGAUGGCAGAUCUAAACCCUUUUGCUAAACUCCAAUAUCUUGGCCCACGAGUUCUACCAAAACUAAAAAGCAUCUAUUGGAAUCAGUUGCCCUCUCUACAUGUCAGGCGAAUUUUGUAUCUGAAUGCCCAAUUCUCAAGAAGCUUCCACUUGGUUUUAACAAUGCAAAGGAAUCUAAAACUAUCAUUAGGGGAGAAGAACACUGGUCGAAUGAGCUGCAAUGGGAGGACAAAGUGACCCUUAAUGUUCUUCUUCCUUGUUUCGGAUCCAUUUGAGGGCAUCAACAUGGAUUGAUACUUUGCAGUGGAGAAAUUCGAAUAAAACCUAUGGUAAGCGCUUUUCCAUUUAUUGCAUAUUUGUAUCUAACUUUUGUUUUCCUUUGUGGUUAAAUUUUGCUCUAUAUACGUUGUUGUACGGUGACAUUCUCAUAUCAAUUAUUAGCUUUUUAAUUAUCUUCUCACAUUAACUGCCCCUUUUGAUCAUGUAGGAUAUGCUGAUGUCAAAGAGUCGUAAUUUGGGAUGCAAAUGUAAGAAUUAGACAGAUGACCAGUUGUUUUGAAGCGCUCGAAGAAGGAUUAAUUACGUCAUUGAAAGCCUCCAAUUUUGUGACUUUUUUUUUUAAUUUGUUGUUUUUUCUAUUUUUAGAUAGCUUGAUUGUUAGUUGUCGUGAUGUAAUGCUUUAGUGUAGAAAAAUGAUAUUCGGCCAAGGCAACAUUAGGAGGGCACCUUGUGCAUGCAUACUAGUGGAUAAUUUCGGCAUGCUAAAUCCAAUUAGGGUGGAUGACCCUUUAUAAGCAUUAGGCUUCUCUCAUACCCGAAAACAAUGUAGAAUACGCUUAUAAGCUGCGGAUCACCCAUUAUAAGUUUUAGGCUUCUCCUACACUCGAGCGAUGUGGAAUACCUUUAUAAGCAUUAAGCUUCUCCCAGUAUCUUUAUGUUAAAAAUAAUAAUAAUAAAAGAAAUCCAUUUUAAAAUAGACUCUUUUUUCUUUUUCUAUAUAAACAAAUGCAUUCUUCAAAUCAAUUGUGGGCAGAAGAAGUUAGUAGAAAAGAACUAGUCCCCUUUCAUUCCCCCUUAAACCUCACCAAAGCCUCUUUUGUAAGCUUUUCGGAUUUUCUUUCUAUAUUGCUUACGAUCUCAUUUUUGAUUGAAUCACUUCUUUUGCAUGCUGCAUUUUUUGUUUGUUGUAUUUGGAUAUUAUCGUAUCUGGAAUGCUGUUAUGAUUGAUGGAACAAGUAAUCGAUUUUUGGUCUGAUGGAAGUUGACUUAUUUAUUUAUUGUUAUUUUUAUUUGAAAUUAUGUACAAUUGCAUUUCAUUCAUUUCUUUCUCCCCCCCCCCCCCCCCCCCCCCCCCACACAUAUAUUUGUUAUGUAUAAUUGCGUUUCAUUUGAUAUUGAUCAUGCUGUAGAUAAACCAUGUGAUUGUAGAUGGGGAUUUCAAGUUUGUUGAAUAUUCAAGUAAGUGAAGUAACUGUCAAAAUACUAGUGAAAUUGGGAGCUUUAUUCAUGAGCUUGUGGUUUUGAAAAUUACCACAGUUCAACCGAUGAAGGUUCCUUUUUGGGGUUCUUCUUUUUCUAGGCUGCAAUUAGGAUAUGUACAUGUUAGACAAUCUUUUGUGAGUUUAGCAUAUCUGCUCUGAUUUUGUCUUUUAUUCCCCAAUCUUAUAAUUACACAGCAUGAAUGUUGAGUGAUUGUAUAGAAAAUUUGUGUUAUAACCAAAGCAUUGUGAAGGAGUUAAGUUAGUGGCUUCUGUUUUAUUGGCAUUGAUUGGGUAGAUUAUGAGUUACAGUGAUUCAAUUUGUGAUCCAAACUUUGCUUUAAUUUCUGUUUUCCCUAAUUAUUUAUGUCAAAUUUAAAUCCAGAAGCAUGUACUGAUUUUUUCUUUUUGUAUUAAUCUGUGAAGUUUAUUUGGAAUGGAAGUAUCUGGGUUGGGUCUAACGGAUUAAAUUAUGACAUUGGGGGGAAGGCAGUAAAGGGUUUGCUUGACACAUUUGGUUCUGUGUUUACUUUGCGAGAAAUAGCUUUUGGUUAUCACAAUGCCGGGGGAAAUCCCGAUUUGGCUGGUGAAUUUCUUUGUGACAAAUAGGCAAACACAUCAACCUCUUCUAUCCAUCCUUCUACUGGUAAGGCAAGGGGUAAAGAGUCUUCAAAAUCAUCAAAUAGUAACAUCUCUGAGAAUUCAUUUUAUGCAAAUGGAAAAUCUAGACCUUCUAAGACAAAAUGGCGUCCUGUAUCAGGAGGUACCGUUUCAAGUUUUCUUGGUAAAAAUUAUGUUAAACCUGCACAGCCAGCUAAUGGCACAUUUCUAGCAUCAAAGCCAUUGAAGUUGGAUCCAAAGGGGUUUCCCAUGUCUCCACUUUUGCGGAGAAGAUACUAAACUGAAACAAUCAAAGGAUGACCAUUUGCAGAAGGAUAUGGAAGAUUUUCUGUUUAAAUUGCUAGGAGAAGUGUUCCAAUUUAAUACAUAUUGUCCUUUUCAAUGUUCUUUCUUUCUUUCUCUUCUUUUCUUCUUCUUCUUCUUUUUUCUUUUUGUGUGCGUGUGAUCACUAAUUUGGUAUUGUAGUUAAGUUGCAGAUAGUUGUGGAUAUGAUAUGCAAAAGGUAAGGACUAUAUCUUCCUGAUGGAGGCCUCUGCUUUUUCCUUUAUGCAUAAUUUAAUAAAUCGCAUCUUCCUUUGUGAUCGUUAUAUCAUAUCAAAGACAAGUCUUAAAUACUGCUGUCAUAUGUUAAGGUUCAACUUGCAGUUUGAUUAACAUUCAUGGCUCAAAGUCCUGAAAAAACUUGCCAGUAAUUGUAAAAUGACAUUCUUUGCUUUUAAUGCAAUAGAGGGAACAGGGAAGUAUAGCUUUGGAAGCCUGGAUUGGUAACUAUAGAGAGACUUAGUAUUUCAUUGAUAAAAAUUCCCAUAACCCAAGGUCAAGAAAAUUUUAGAUCGUUAAAGACUUCAUUUUGUUUCGGCCAGAAAUGUUUGUUUCGAUCGAAGACUUGAACCAUUUUCAUUGAACCUGAUUAUGAUGCUUUACGUUAUGCAUGUUCCUCUUAAUCAAGAAAAGUUGAGGUGAUGAUUUUAUAUUUCUAUAUUGUAAGUUGAAAUAAUAAUUGGUCUGCUUGUUUCUGUAGCUUGAUAACAUGAAUUUUCCUUCUCAAGUUAAUUUAAUCAAUAAAGUAAUUCUUCAAAGAAAGUAUGCCCAUUCUAUAAUCAUUUUCUUAACUAACAUGUUUUUUUCUUCACUUUUCAGAGCAUGUUGAAACUAAUUGAUCGCUCGGCAGAGACUUUGGGUGAGAAGACAAAAUUUCUUGGUAAAUCCUCUGAAAAGGUAUGCAUAAUUCCGGAGUAUUAAAUAACCAAUGGUCAUAAUUUUUUUACAGGACUCUUUUCUUGUGGAGAUGAUUAAAAGUGGCUGAUGAUCCAGUUUGUAUAUCAUAGAGGGAGCAUCAAUUCCUUUUCUUUUCAGUGGCUAGGCAACACUUUCAGGGCAAAGUAAGGAAAUCUAUUUUAGGCAAUGUAAAACCCAAUGGUAGGAUGUAAUAGUUUAACAUGCACUGACAAUAACUUUUUGUAUAAUUGUCAGUUGAACGAAUACAAGAGGAACUCUGUUGACAAUUCAUCCAAGAUAGAUGCUAAAAUUAUUUAUGCAUGCCAGUUGCCUUAACUAAUUUUUCUUAACACUGGUAUUGAAGAGGAAAAUGAAUAUGCAAUUUGUAUAUUGUGCCAUGUGGAGAAUUUGGAUAUUCUUAUCUAAGUAACAAGGAGAGUAUUUGCCUCAUCUUUAGACAAUGAAUCUUUGAGAAAUUAGGAGUGGGUGAUUGGCAGUGUCUUCAUGUAAAUGUUCAUUUGUUUGUAUUUUGAACUAUUAUGAGAAUCUUUUAUAUGCCAAAUUAGUAAUGCAAAUGUUCAGAUUAUUUUUUCUGUUGAUCGUGCAUUUGUGUCCGCACACAACCAUUGUAUAUCACUUCAUUCUGAUGCGCAAGUCUCUGUAGUUUAGAAGAAAAGAAAUAAUAAUGAUAUAUUAUUGCUUGAUUCAUGAUUAUUAAAUGAUUAUGGCUUUAAAAAACCUACAAAUUCCUUCUGUUGAUAGAUGAAUGUACCAAGUUUGCUAUAUCUUAGAUUACCAUUUCCAAGAUAAGUUCAAAUUUUUUCUUUAUCCUUUUCCAUCACAGUUGCAUUUUAAGUGUAAGAUUUGUUAUUAAUACCUGGUUUCCUGUCAUUAUGAUUUCAUAAACAGUGUAUGGGUAUGUGCUCUACUUUUGGAGGGCCUCCACGUGAAAGAAAAUUGCAACAAUUGAAUUCUUCCGGAUGGUAUGGUAUUUAAUUUAUUUUCUCAACCUCUUGUAAGACUAAUAUAUUUUCCUUCAGUAGACACGGCAUGGUGGGAAGGGUUUUUUAUUGAAAGAAUUCUGAUAUUUCUUAGACUUUGUUUUGGAAGGGGGUGCAGGGGUUUCUCAUCCAUAUAUGGUUACUUGAUUAGCUUUUGACUGUAUUGCCUCAAUCGUGCAAAGGAAGAUCCAAAUACAAACGAAGGAGAAUUGUUUAGACACCCAGAAGAUGGAAAUGAACUACAGAAGGAAGUUUUUGCUGCUUUAUUUAGUGCUCCUGAGAAAUCUGAUGAAUUUCCUGAAAUUACGGUGAAGACCAAGUGUGAGGUCCAAAGCAUUAGGAAAGGUGGUGAGUGAACUGCUGGAGGAAUUGGUACAGAAUACAAGGCUAAUGUGGUGUACUUGCAGCAAGAUAACCGGAACAGUACGUGCUCUUAUAUUAACUAUAUUGACUGGAUUUGCUAGUGUGUGCAUUUUCGUGUGUAUACUUUUGUAUUUAUGCAUAUUAAUGUGUGUAGGAUUCUUGAUUUCUGCCACUUACUGGAGAACUAAUGGAAAGCUUUAUACUGGUAUAUCUGCAAUAACUAAUGGAAACUAUGAUAUUAAUAUUUUCUCUCGCUUGGAGAACUGCAUAACAGAUAUACUUUGUGGCUCUGGAAUACUAAAGAUUCUGCAAUAACUAAUGGAAACUAUGAUAUGAAUAUUUUCUCUCACCUAGAGAACUUUGUAACAGUUACACUUUGGGGCUUGGAAUGUCUAAAGAAUUUUGUCUGCUUCAGUUAGAUCAAAUAUCUUUUAGUUACAUACAUUAUAGAAAAGAUAAAGUUCUCUGAAUCUGAAAGACUUAAAAUUUUGCAUAUUUCUUGAAAGGGAAAUAUCUGUAGAUACUAGUUCAUGCAUUGUGGUAGCAUCAGUGUUAAAGAAAAACAGCAGUAAGUUAUUAUAUAGAAUUAGGUUCACUUGCUUUAAAUCCUGGUCUGGUCAACCAUAUGAACCUGUAAGUGGUUCUGUAGAAAUAUAUAUAUAUGGGGAGAAAGUAGCUAAAUUUUCCUUUCAUUUAUGGGUUUGGUCAUUUUUUCCCCUUAUUUAUGUUUUCUCACACAUUUUUUAUAUGCCCCAAACAUGCAAUUUUGUAUGUGUCAAUUGCCUUUUAAGUUUUAAAAACCAUAAAGUAAGAAUACAGUUUCUUGUCAGGCUAUUGAUGCAUUUGCUCGGGGGGAUCAUGCUCGAGCAGGAAAACUUCUAGGACAGGUAAGGUUUCCAUCUACAGCCAUUUAUUGACAACAUAUAUAUUUUCAUUCAGCAAGCACUGUUAGCAUUCAAGAUGCUGGCAGAUUCACUUGAUUCUUAUUAGUUUGUUUAGUAGCGAAGCAAAUAACCUGUAUUUCAAAGCUAAGUUGUGCUAUUGAUUAUGUUAACUUUAUUGUUCACAUAAAGUGAUAUAGAGGAAAUAAUCAAUGUAGGAAAAUUAGGUGAAGAGAUGAUGUCAAAUCUUGAACCUCUUACAAAACUCUAAGUUCUUUACUUGAAGAAGCUACCAAAUUCGAACAGCAUCUACUGGAAGGCCUUGCCAUUCCCUGAUGUAUGCAGAAUUUUUGUAUUUAAAUGCCCAGAGCUUAAGAAGCUGCCCCUGGAUCUUGAAAGGGCAGGCCAAGGUAAAAUUCUUAUCAAGGGAAAGAAAGAUUGGUGGAAACAACUUCAAUGGUAGGAUCAAGUAACUCAGAAUGCAUUGCUUCCAUUUUUAAAAUCAACUGACAAGUGAUUGAAGGGGGCAUCAUCAACAUGGAUGGAGAGAUUCAGGAGCAGAUCAGCAGGGUUUAGUACGACCUGUGGUGGUAGCUUUUUUGUGACUUUUUUCCCUUUCAUUUUUUCACUUCCUGUCAUAUUAUCAUUUCUUUGUCUCUGUUUCUAUUGCUGGUGUUGCUGCAUGCUUGCUGCCCUUGACAAAGUUAGCUAGUUUUUUUGUUUAUUAAAUUUUGUAUGUUCGGGACAGUCACAAAGUAGUACUUGUUCUAUAUGGGGGUGAUGUGAAUCAACUUUUCAAUUAUAUAUUCUGUGGUAAUUGUGAAUUCAAUUUCAUUUGUCUCCUGCAAAUUAUGAAGAAAGUACAGAGUUAGAAUAUGGAAAAGUUCACUGGCAAAUACUUUGUAAAAGCUUCGGAGUGAAACAGGGAAUGCACUUGCAACUAAGGACAAAUUGGUGGCCAGCUAAUGCAUUCAUUUUAUGUACAUUCAUCUUUUUAAUUAUUGAAGAUAAGUGGUUCGUUGCUUUUGUUGUAGAUAAAAUUCAGGCGACCUCAAUUGUGAGAUGAAAAUAUUUAAAAUAUCUCUUAAAUUAUUAUAAACUUUAAUUUAUCUUAAUUUUAUUUAAAAGAUAAAAGAAAAAUGUAGUAUAUGGAUAAAAAAAUUUUUAUCUUCUUAAUAAAAUGAAAUAAAUUAAAAUUUACAAUAAUUUAAAGUAUUUUUAAAAUUAUUAUUUCAUAAGAGAUUAAUAUGAAAUUAAUCCUUUUUACUUUUUGAAUGUGAAAGGACAAGAAAAGAGAAAGCAAGUUUCACUGCUUUUUAUUUUAUUUGAAAUCGGAGUUAUCCCAUAUACUUUACUACUUUAGCUCUAACAUUACAAUGUUUUUAGGCUACACUUUUAUUUUUCUUUUUUCCCCUUUUUUUAUACAUGCAUGUGGAUUACUUUUCUCUAAGCUCCUUAAUAUUUAAGACAAAUCAUAAAAGCGAUUGAAGUAUAACAAGAUGAUCAAAACAUUUAACCAAAAAUAAAUAAAUAAAUAAAACAUUGAAAAUGGAGAUGUUGAUUAAUGUAGAAGAGAUGCAAGCAAAAGAUAUUCCCAAAAAAAUGAAAAAAAGAAAAAAGCAACGUUAGUUCAUCCAUGUCUGUCAAUGCGUUUUUUAUGGUUUUUUUUCCAGUUGUUUGUUGUAAUAGAUUGAUUGCAAAUUGAUAUGAACUUGAUGUUGUAAUAUGUUCGCUUUUGUGGAAUUAAAUUUGAAUAUUCAAGAUUAUUCAAGUCUUAUUUAGUAUGUGUUUAGUUGUGUUGUCGAUAACUUUGCAUUCGAAUAAGUUUUCACCUAAAAUAUUAGCAUGAGUAGUAGUCCUUGAAACUUUGGUCAAAAUUAUUGUUAUUGUUUCUUUUAGAGGAAAUUUUUUUAUUAAAGCCUCGUUAACACUAUUUCUUAUUAAGAUUAUAAGUUAGUGUCGGUGUAGGAUUUGCAGCGACAAAUCCUGUCUAGCCACGUGUCAAAAGUACAAAUAAAUCAAGGGAAAAGCACAUGUCGCGGAUUAGGAUCCAAUAAAAUUUAAAUCCCAAGGAAAAGGACAAUUGUAUCCUAAAGUUUCAAUAAGAGAUACUGAUAUAUCUUUUGACUAAUGUUAUUUUUUGGCUUCAUUAAUAAAAAGAUCCAAUAGUUUAUAACAAAUAAAAAUAUAGUAUUAAGCUAAAUGUGAUAAUAUAUACAUUUUACAUAAUUUCAAUAAAAAACAUUUUAAUGUUUUACAAUCUAUCAGACAUAUUUUAUUAAAUUAAUAAGAAUUUUCUUAUAAAUAGCAACAUAAUAUUAAAAUAAAUUUAUAAAGAUUAAAAUGUAAAAUAAUUUUAGUAUAAUUAAUACGUGGGAUAUAUUUUGUAAAUUAUAAAAUUACUUAACCCAAUGAUUUUUAAAAUAAAUAAAAAUAAAUUAUUCACAUUUUGAUGUAAAUAUUUAAAACAUUUUUAUACAUUAGUCCACAAUUAUUUAUGUUAUAUUUGUAUUUAUUAGAAAUUUUGAAAGUCAAAAUGUUUUUCACCUCUAUCUUAUUAGAAUUAUUGCACACAGAGAAAGAGCCAUAUAUGCUUUAUAGCUUUAAAAUCGGUUUGUUUUAUAGCUGGGAACAGAGAUGAUCAUUAUUAUAAGGAUUAAAAAAAGAUAAAGAAUAUUAAUGAUUAACGAAAUCUUUAUGGAAAUUGAAUUUAGUAAGAAAAAAUUGAGCUGAUUUUAGUGGUAUAGUAAUAUUUUAUAUAGAGAAAAGUAAAAGUUGCACCCCCAAAUGUUCAAAACUCUUUUUUAAUCAUAAUAUUCUUUUUCCUAGAUAACUUAAAAAUUUGACUCUAAUAUUUUAUAAUAAAUAAAAACAUAUAAUCCUAAAAUAAAUAAAAUAAUAUAUAUUUUAAAAUAAUCUCAAUAUUUAAAAUAUAUUUUAACAUUUUAUAGUCUAUCAGAUAUAUUUUAUUUUUUUAAAGUAAAUUUUAUAAUAAAUACAAACAUACUAUUAAAAUAGAUAUAUAAAAUUUUUAAAGUAUUUUGAAUAUUAUAUAAAAUAACUUUAAUAUUGUUAAUGCGUGAGAUGAAUUUUAUUAACUAUUAGAUAGACUAAACUAUUUAUAUUAUUUUCUAUUUAUUAUAAAAUUUCAAAGUUAAUCUUUUUAACUACUAUUCAAAAGAUGUUAUGAUAAAAACAGAAUUUUUGUGUUUUUAUUGAAAAUUUGGAGUUUACAUCUAUUUUUUCAAAAAUUCGGGGUGUAACUGUUUUUUCCCUUUUAUAUAUACGAACGGUGGUGAGAAAGCUUGAUUUAACGUUAUUUAUUUAAAUAAAAUCUCAGUUAAAAAUGUACAGAGAAGAAAUUUCUGUUGGUAUUUUAGUCUUUUACCAAUUAAUUGUUUCACUUUUAGCGCUAGUGGCGUUGAAAGUUGUCAAGAAAAAGCAAGACCAUAUUCCACAAAAGCAAAAGUAACGUAGGCUCUUUUAUUAAAGGCAAAGUAUAAAGUAGUCAAGAAUCGAAUAUCCUGUCGUCUACUCUUUUUUUAAAUUCUUCUUUUAUUAUCUUUUAGAAUAGUUUUUGGUAAUUACAAUCAUUAUUCAGAGUUAUUGUUAUCUUCCGGGGCAGUCUCUGUUCAUCGAAGUCGUUACCUUUUUUUUAUGGAUCAGUUCCAGUGGUCAGCAGUAAUUUUCUUAGAACUCGGAUCUUUAAUUCGAGUUUCUGUGUGAAUUAAUAAUAAAAAAUUUUCAUUACACGCAAUUUAAGCUACGAAUUACUUUUUGCAAAGUUGAAUAUGAAAUUGGAGAAAUUAAGUAAUUUAGAAUGUUGGUAAAAAUUGACGAACAUAUCUCCAAUUACAGUAAAACCUCUCUACAGUCAUAACAUUAUAACAAAAUUAAUUUUAUUACUAUGUUGAGGUAAUAUAGGUUUAGUUACAAAAUUAUUGUUUUAAUAUGGUUGGUGUCAAGUGAUAUAAAGGUUAAAUAUGCAGUACAAUGAUAAUUAAAUAAUGAAGCGUGUCAAUUCUAAUGUAUAUAUAUUAAUGAUAUAGAUAGACAUAGUUUUAAAAAACUAAUUAAUGUAUAUUUAUGUAGUGUUAUGAAUAUGGAAAGUCAAGCCUACACUUGACAUUAUCCUUAGUUUUUUCUCUCAGUUAAAUUCUACAAAUAUUGUACAAUGAUUGGGCAAGAACUCUAAAUUAAGAAUAAAUUAUUGUCACAAAUAAUUUUAGAAAAUAUUUUAUUUCGUCUUAAACCUUUAAUGUAAGUAAACAUAUAUAUAUAUAUAUAUGUGUGUGUGUGUGUGUGUGUGUGUGUGUGUUUGUGUGUGUGUGUGUGCAUAUUUUGCAACGUAUAGAUAAUUGUUAGUAUAUGGAGACAAGUCUUUUAAGGUAGGACCUAGAAAAAUUUAUAACUUACUACACUGGGGAGUUUUUAUUCCUUUUUAUAAUUGGCUCAUAUUGAUACAUUCUUACACAAAAAUAUUACCAUUGACAUAUUUUACUACAAUUAGUUUAGAUUCUUUAGAACAUUUGUUAGGAAAAAAAAAAAAAAGAAAAGAAAACAUCCCUUGGAUGUAGCUCUCCUGACUAUUUAAAUCUUUUAAGGAAAAAAAGAAAAAAAGAAAAACUGACACAUUCAAAUCUUGAAGCAAUUACAUUAAAACCUCUCCAUAAUGAUAGGAAUAAUCUCCAUUUAGUAAUAAAAAAUUUUGUUCGCAAUUUAGGCAGAGUUAUAAAUAAGAAUAAAAUCCUCAUUGUAAUAAGUUAUAUUUAUUAUGGAUCCCAUCCUAAGGAACUUGUCUCUAUAUAGUAAUAAUUAUUUGCAUAUUAUAAAUAUAUAUGUUGCAUUAGAUUAAACGAACUUGUCUCCACAUACUACUAAGACAACAAGAGAAAGUUAUUAAAGAGAACACAAAUAUUUAGAGAUUUUUAAGAUUACUUUGCAUAUUUAUAACAAUAAUACAUUGAUAUAUGUAUUAGUUUUUUGAUAUAUUAGAUUUGACAUGCUCUAUUAAUAAAUUAUUAAUAUGAUGCAUACUUCAUCUCCAUAUCCUUGCAGUAAAAGUAACUAAGUUGUAACAAUAAUUAUUAAUACGAUGCGUACUUCAUCUCUAUAUCCUUGCAAUAAAAGUAACUAAGUGAUAACAAUAAUUUUUGUAACUACAUGUUUAUUAGGUUUUAACUGCUUCAUAAUAAUAAAUUAGUUUCGUCCUAAUAUUAUAAUUAUGUAGAGUUGUAGUGUAUAGACACACCCAAUUUAAAUAGUAUCUCAAAUAAAAUUGUCCCCACAAAAAAGAAAAAAGGGUAAAGGAUUGUUAUUUCUUCAAACAUCAGGAGCACGUUUGUACAAGUGCGAUGCCUUUCUUUUUUUUUUUGAAGGCAACGUCAGUGGGUACUAAAUAGGACGUGCGUAAAUCUUUCUAAAAUUUCUCCGGUAUAACUCACAGAGAUCAUUACUUUUCUCUUCCACAGACCACAGCAGCUUCAGUUAAUCCGACUCAAUCAAUUUUCUUGGUUUCUUCGCUUAUCAAAAUUCCAAAAUAUGGGUAGCAUAUUUCAAAUCACAUGCGAUGGUGCUUUUUUCAAUCGUUGUUUGGAUUGCUUUCUUGGAAAAGUAGCAAACACAAGUAAGCUCCAAGAUAACCUUGUUGCCUUGGAGACUGAAUUGGGAAAACUAAUCGCAGCAAAGAACGAUGUGAUGAUGAGGGUUGUCAAUGCUGAACGGCAACAACUGAGAACGCUGGACCAAGUGCAAGUGUGGCUUUCGAGGGUGGAAGCUGUUAAAACUGAAGCUGAUGAAUUGAUAAGACACGGCUCUCAAGAAAUUGACAAAUUAUGUGUUGGAGGCUACUGUUCCAAGCACUGCGCGUCAAGCUACAAGUUCGGGAAACAAGUGGCUAAAAAGCUACGGGAUGUGCAGACUUUAAUCGGCGAAGGAGUUUUUGCGGCGGUGGCUACUGAGGUGGUGCCUGAGAGAGCUCCAGAACCUGUAGCAGAUGAAAGACCCACUGAGCCAACAAUAGUAGGCUUGCAAUCACAACUUGAACAAGUUUGGAGAUGUCUUGUAGAAGAAUCAGUGGGAAUCAUUGGCCUAUAUGGUAUGGGCGGUGUUGGUAAAACUACACUAUUGACCCAUAUCAACAAUAAAUUUCUUGAGAGUCCAACCAGUUUUGAUUGUGUGAUUUGGGCCGUAGUUUCAAAGGACUUGCAACUCGAAAAAAUUCAAGAAGAUAUUGGGAAAAAGAUCGGUUUGGUUGAUGAUUCAUGGAAGAGUAAAAGUGUAGAGGAGAAAGCUCUCGACAUCUUCCGGAGUUUAAGAGAGAAGAGAAUUGUAUUGUUGUUAGAUGAUAUAUGGGAGCGGGUUGAUUUAACAAAAGUGGGCAUUCCACUUUCCGGACCAAAGAAUACUACCUCAAAAGUCGUAUUCACAACCCGUUUCGUCGAUGUUUGUGGUAGCAUGGAAGCUGACAAGAAGUUCCAAGUGGCAUGCUUAUCAGAAGAGCAUGCUUGGGAACUGUUUCGAAAAAAAGUUGGGGAAGAAACUCUUGAGAGUGAUCAUGAUAUCGUUGAGCUAGCCCAAACUGUGGCCAAAGAGUGUGGUGGUUUGCCACUCGCACUUAUUACUAUUGGUCGAGCUAUGGCCUGCAAAAGGACAGCCGAGGAGUGGAGACACGCAGUUGAAGUGCUAAGAAGAUCAGCUUCUGAGUUUGCAGGUUUGGGAAAAGAGGUGUAUCCUCUUUUAAAGUUUAGCUAUGAUAGUUUGCAGAAUGAGACGAUUAAAUCUUGUUUCUUAUAUUGUUGUUUAUAUCCCGAGGAUUAUGGCAUUCUUAAAUGGGACUUGAUUGAUUGUUGGAUUGGUGAGGGAUUCUUAGAGGAAUCUGACAGGUUUGGUGCAGAAAACCAAGGAUACUACAUUGUGGGCACUCUUGUUCAUGCGUGUUUACUAGAAGAGAUAGAAGAUGAUAAAGUAAAAAUGCAUGACGUUGUUCGUGAUAUGGCUUUAUGGAUAGCUUGUGAAAUUGAGAAGGAGAAGAGAAACUUUUUGGUUUGUGCAGGUGCUGGAGUAGGAGCGGUACCAGAUGUUGAAGGAUGGGAAAAUGUGAGAAGAUUGUCAUUGAUGCAAAACCAAAUUGAAAUUCUGUCAGAGGUUCCCACAUGCCCUCAUCUCCUCACUUUAUUUCUUGACUUUAAUUAUAAAUUGGAGAUGAUCACCGAUGGCUUCUUCCAAUGUAUGCCUUCUCUCAAAGUUUUGAAGAUGUCAAACUGUGGGCAUGUCAAAGUUUUGAAAUUACCUUUUGGGAUGUCAAAGUUGGGUUCACUACAACUUCUUGAUAUUUCACAUACCGGCAUAAGAGAGUUACCAGAAGAGUUAAAGUUGUUGGUAAAUCUGAAAUGUUUGAAUUUGAGGUGGACACAUAUGUUAAAUAAAAUUCCACGGCAGCUAAUAUCAAAUUCUUCAUGGUUACGUGUGUUGAGAAUGUUCGCUAUUGGCUUUGAAAAUUCCAAAGAACCAUCAGAAGACAGUGUUUUAAUUGGUGGGGGUGAAGUUUUAGUACAGGAAUUGCUCGGUUUGAAAUAUUUAGAGGUAUUGGAGUUGACCUUGCGAAGUUAUCAUGCUCUCCAUUCUUUUUUGAGCUCAAAUAAGUUAAAAAGUUGUAUUCGAUCUCUUUUCCUCAAUAAGCUGGGAGAUACAAAGUCGAUUGAUGCUACGGUUUUGGCAGAUCUAAAGCAUCUCAAUGAACUAUGCAUUCGUUCGGCUGUGGAGUUGGAAGAAUUGAAGGUUGAUUAUACAGAGAUAGCGCCAAAAUGGUCGGAACAUUUUGUUUUCCGCAGCCUUCACAGUGUUACUAUGGAGCGGUGCCAUAAAUUAAAAGAUUUGACAUUCCUCGUUUUUGCUCCAAGCCUCAAGUCUCUUUCGCUAUACGGUUGUAAUGCUGUGGAAGAAAUAAUCAGCGUUGGGAAAUUUGCUGAGGUUCCUGAGAUGAUGGGACAUAUAAGCCCUUUUCAGAAUCUCCAAAAGCUUGAUUUAUCACAUUUGCCAGCUUUGAAGAGCAUCUACUGGAAGCCAUUGCCUUUCGCUCAUCUGAAAGAAAUGGUGGUGCAUUGGUGUGAUCGGCUUAAAAAGCUUCCGCUCGAUUCCAACAGUGCAAAAGAGCGUAAAUUUGUUAUUCGUGGAAGAGCAGACUGGUGGAACCAUCUUCAAUGGGAGGAUGAAGCCACUCAAAUUGCUUUCCAUUCCUGCUUCCACUCUAAUGAAAUAUAAAUUCCUUAGCGGUGGUUGCAAAAUUUGAUUUGUGCUUUUUCUUAAACUCUUACAUUUAUUUCAGAUUCGUUUUUUGUCUCCUGCAAAUCACAAUUAAAUGCUCAAUUAUAUGGAGUCAAUGCUUUAGAAAAUUUUCAAGGCACUGCCAUUUCCUUUUUUUCAUUUUUUUUUUGGGUCGAAUUGAUGCUCUGGCUUUUUACUUUUUGUUGUCAAAUUUUGCUCUGUUUUUUCAAGUUGAUGCUUGAAUAGUUGAAUUCAAUUAAUGCUCACAUAAAUUUGUUUAGUUGCCGUGAAAGGAUAUAAUUAGACUGAAGUACACACUUCUAGAAUGAAUACAAAAUGUGAAGUAUACUAGCCCUCUUUACAGAAAAUCAAAUGAAAAUCAAUUUUUUGGGGCGUUGAUUUUCUAUGGUCUAUUAUAUACUCUUUUUAAUAUCUUCUGUUCUAACUAUAACCAAAUCCUUUGUUCAAGGAUUUUUAUUUGGGGUAUUGAUAACUGUCCACCAAAAGAGUGAACACUUGGAUGCUGCUCAAGGAUCUCUAAUCAAUAGCUGGAAGCAACUGAGAAGGCGGUCGCUACUGUUUACAAAGCGAAUCAGUAUUUGCCAUUCAUCUUAAUAAUUAUGAAGCUUUGGUAAAAUUUUCAAACAAAGUUGAACAUGUUGUUUUGAGAUUUGGUUCAUGAUUUUGGAUGAAUAUCGUUGUUCCGUUUGAGUUGGAUGUGAAUUCAAAAUCUAUAUAUUCUUUGGUUUUCAAUUCUGAACUCAAUUUCUUUUUCUCAAGCAUGUUAUGCAGAAAUGAAUUUUACUAAAUCAUUUUUGAUGAAUUGUUCAAAUUAAACAAUUGGAAUAAGAAUUGUAAAGGUUUAUCAUAAGCAUGCUAAUAUGAUAAGUUGUUUUAUGAACGAUUAAUUAAUUAAUCAAUUAAUAUUAAAGAAUAUAUUAGGCAAUUAGAUAUGCGUUACAUGUCAUGUUUAAAAACUAUUUAUUUAUAUUUCAAACAAAUUUGACUGGAUGUUGUGUAGGUAAUACUCAUAAUUAAUUUCAAAACAAAAAAAGUAAUAAAAACACGUUAAAUUUUGUUUUUAUGAAGAAAAAUUUAAAAUUUUGUUAAAUAGGUGAAAAUAAUAAAUGGAUUCGUGUAUGGUUUGAGAUUCUUGACAUAAUUAUGAAAUAAGCCGGAUUCGACUUAGUUCAAUUUUGACGCGAUAAGAAGACGACACCACACAAACACACGAUAAGAACCGGUACCUGAGAAGAUUGCCAUCAGGAAUUUUGAAAUUGAUUUCACUACAAUACCUUAAUCUUUCAGAUACUCCCAUCACUGAGCUGCCAGAGGAGCUAAAAGCCUUGGUAAGUCUUAAGUGUUUGAACUGUACACAAAUUAUCUCUCUACAAUUCAAAAACAACUGAUUUGUUACUUUUCAAUGCUACAUGUUCUGCGAAUAUUGAGUUGUGGUUAUCUUGUUGAAAGAUCAGAAAAUAGAGUUCUAUUUGGUGGUAGUGAAUUGUUGGUUGGGGAGUUGCUUAGUUUAAAACGUUUAAAUGUAUUAAGCAUCACCUUACAAGGUUUUUCUGCUGUCCAAAAACUUACGAGCUCUCAAAAGUUUCAAAGCUGUACAAAAUGUUUGGAGCUUAUAGACUGUGAUGAUUCAAAGUCUUUUGCCUUGGCAGAGUUGAAGCAUCUCGAAAAACUAGUUUUUCGAAUUGUGGAAGAGUUUAAGUUCUGCUGUGUUGAAGUUGGAAAAGCUCAAGAAUGUUUUCGUUUGAACAGCUUUCACCGAGUUAAUAUAAAGGCUUGUCAUAAAUUGAGGGACGUGACAUGGCUUGUAUUUGCUCCAAAUCAUACGGUUAUUCAAAUAGAAAAAUGUAUGCAGAUGGAAGUAAUAAUCAGCGCAAGGAAAUUGGGUGAAGUUCCAGAGAUGAUGGCAGAUCUAAACCCUUUUGCAAAACUCCAAUAUCUUCGCCUGCGAGUUCUACCAAAAUUAAAAAGCGUCUAUUGGAAUGAGUCACCCUUUCCGCAUGUCAGGGAAAUUAUUGUAUCUGAAUGCCCAAUUCUCAAGAAGCUUUCACUCGGUUUUAACAAUGCAAAGGAAUCUAAAAUUGUCAUUUAUUACAUGUUUAUAUCUAACUUUUGUUCUCCUUUAUGGUUAAAUUUUACUAUAUAUAUGUUGUUAUACGGUGACAUUCUCGCAUCAAUUAUUAGCUUUUUAAUUCUCUUCUCGUAUUAAUUGCCCUUCUGAUCAUGUAGGAUAUGCCGAUGUCAAAGAGUAGUAAAUUGGGAUACAAAUGUAAGAAUUAGCCAGAUGACAUGUUGUUUUGAAGCUUUCGAAGGACUAAUUAUGUCAUUCAAAGCAUCCAAUUUCGCUACUUUUUUUUUUUUUUCAUUUGUUGCUUUUUCUAUUUUUAGAUAGCUUGAUUGUCAGUUGUCGUAAUGUAAUGUUUUAGUAUAGAAAAAUGAUAUUCGGCCAAGACAUCGAUAGGAGGGCACAUUGUGCAUGCAUACUCGUGGAUGAUUUUGGCAUGCCGAAUCCAAUUAGUGUGAAUAACCCUUUAUAAACAUCAGGCUUCUCUCAUACCAGAUAGAGGUGGCAAAAAUACCCGCUCGGUCCGGAUCCAGACCAUACCCGGGCGUUGUGGGUCGGGUAUUACUUAAUCUGGGUAUAAAGUCGAGUCGGUCUUGGGCAUCACUUGAUAAACCCGGAACCCAGAUUUUAUUAAAAAAAUAUUAUAAAAUAUAUAUUAUUUUAAAUAUUUAUAUUUAUUUGACUCAUUUAUUAUACAUAUAUAAAGUUUUAAACACGUAAAGUUUAUAUUUUCAUGUCAAAUUUUAUUAAAAUAAAUUUAACACUUAUAAAAUUACCUAAAAAUAAAAAAUAUAUAUACAUAUAAUAUUAAAAAAUAUACAAUUCGGGUACCCAGAUUAAAAUCUAGCCUGGACUCGGACCCAGACCGAUUGCAUCCAAGCAGGAUCCAGUCAUUGCAAUAAUCGGACCUGGCCUGGGGUUUCGCCAUCUCCAAUACCAGAGCAAUGUAGAAUAUGUUUAUAAACUGUGAAUUACCCUUUAUAAGUAUUAGGCUUCUUUUAUACUCGAGCGAUGUGGAAUACCUUUAUAAGCAUUAAGCUUCUCCCAUACACUUUAUGUUAAAAAUAAUAAUAAUAAAAUAAAUCCAUUUUAAAAUAGGCUUUUUUUUUUCUUUUUCUAUAUAAACAAAAUGCAUUCUUCAAAUCAAUAGUGGGUGGAAGAAGUGAGUAGAGAAGAACUAGGCCCCUUUCAUUCCCCUAAAACCUCACCGAAACCUCUCUUGUGAACUUCUCAGAUUCUCUCUCAAUAUUUCUUAUGAUCUCGUUUUUGAUAGAAUCACUUCUUUUGCAUGCUGCAUUUUGUGAGUUGUUUUUGGGUAAUAUCUUAUCUGGAAUGCUGUUAUGAUCAAUAGAACAAGUAAUCAAUUUUUGGUUCGACGGAAGUCGAUUUAUUUAUUUACUAUUAUUUUUAUUUGAAAUUUUGUACAAUUGUGUUUCAUUCAUUUCUUUUCUUCUUUUUUUUUUUUAUAUUUAUUAUGUAGAAUUGUGUUUCAUUUGAUAUUGAUCAUACUGUAGAUAACUAUGUGAUUGUAGCUGGGGAUUUUAAGUUUUGUGAAUUCAAGAAACUGUCAAAAUGCUAGUGAAAUUGGGACCUUUAUUCAUAAGCUUGUGGUUUUGAAAAGUAGCCCGGUUCAACUGAUGAAGUUCCUUUUUGGGAUUCUUUUUUUUCUAGGCUGCAAUUCGGAUAUGUACGUGAUAGACAAUCUUUUGUGGGUUUAGCAUAUCUUCUUCGAUUUUGUCUUUUAUUCCCCAAUUUUACAGCUACACACCAUGAAUGCUGGGUGAUUGUACAGAAAAUUUGUGUUAGAACAAAAGCAUUGUGAAGGAGUUUCUGUGCUAUAAGUUAUUGGCUUCAGUUUUAUUGGCAUUAAUUGGGUAGAUUAUGUGUUACAGUGAUUCAAUUUGUGAUCCACACUUUAAUUUUCUCUUUUCCCCAAUUAUUUAUGUCAAAUUCAAAUCCAGAAGCAUGUGCUGAUUUUUUUUUUUUUGUGUUAAUCUGUGAAGUUUAUUUGGAAAGGAUGUAUCUGGGUCUAAUGGAUUAAAUUAUGACAUUGAGGAAAAGGCACUAAAGGUUUUGCUUGACACAUUUGGUCUGUGUUUACUCUGCAAUAAAUAGCUUCGCUUAUCGGAAAUCCCGAUUUGGCUGGUGAAUUUCUCAGUGACAGACAGGCAAACACCUAAACCGCUUCUAUCCAUUUUUCUGCUGGUGAGGUAAGGGGUAAAAAGUCUUCAAAAUCAUCAAAUAGUAACAUCUCUCAGAAUUCAUUUUAGAAAAAUGGAAAAUCUAGACCUGCUAGGACAAAAUGGCGUCCAGUAUCAGGAGGUACCGUUUCAAGUUUUCUUGGUAAAGAAUAUAAUAAACCUGCGCAACCAGCUAAUGGCACUUUUCUGGCAUCAAAGCCAUUGAAGUUGGAUCUAAAGGAGUUUUCCCAUGCCUGCACUGUGCAGAGAAGAAACUAAACCAAAACAAUCAAAGAAUGACCAUUUGCAGAAGGAUACGGAAGAUUUUCUAUUUAAAUUGUUAGUAGAAGGGUCCCAGCUGAACAGGGAUGUGAUUCAGGAGGUUCUCGGUAAUGUCUUAAAUAUACUGAUGCCAAUUUAAUACAUAUUGUCCUUUUCAAUGUUCUUUCUUUCUUUUUUUUUUCCCUUCUUCUUCUUUUUUCUUUUUGUGUGCAUGUGAUCACUGAUUUGGUAUUACGCUUAAGUUGCAGAUAGUUGUGGAUUUGAUAUGCAAAAGGUAAGGACUAUAUCUUCCUGAUGUAGGCCUCUGCUUUUUCCCCUUCUAUGUAAUUUAGUAAAUCACAUCUUCCUUUGUGAUUGUUAUACCAUAUCAAAGUCAAGUCUUAAAUACUGCUGUCAUAUGUUAAGGUUCAACUUGUAUUUUGAUUAACAUCCAUUUGCUGCUGCUUCCAAAAGUGAGAAUGAGAUACUUUGGUUAAUUUCAGUGGUUGAACCCAAUAGAGAACUUUAUUUAGAUCUUCAUGGUUCAAAGGCCUGAAAAAACUUCCUGUAAUUGUAAAAUGCCAUUCUGUGCUUUUUAUGCAAUAGGGAACAGGGAAGUAGAGCUUUGGAAAAGCCUGGAUUGAUAACUAUGGAGAGACUUAUUAUUUAAGUGAUGAAAAAUUCCCAUCACCCGCGGUCAAGAAAAUUUCAGAUAGUUAAAGACUCCAUUUUGCUUCAGCCAAAAAUGUUUGUUGCAAUGAAAGACUUGAACCAUUUUCAUUGAACCUGAUUGUGAUCCUUUACGUUAUGCAUGUUCCUCUCAAUCAAGAAAAGUUGAGGUCAUGAUUCUAUAUUUCUAUAUUGUAACUUGAAAUAAUAAUUGGUCUACUUGUUUCUGUAUCUUGAUAAGAUGAAUUUUCCUUCUCAAGUUAAUUUGAUCAAUAAAGUAAUUCUUCAAAGAAAAUAUGCCCAUUCUAUAAUCAUUUUCUUAGCUAAGAUGUUUUUUCUUCACUCUUCAGAGCAUGUCAAAACUAAUUGAUCGCUUGGCAGAUACUUUGGGUGAGAAGACAAAAUUUCUUGGUAAAUCCUCGGAAAAGGUAUGCAUAAUUCCCGAGUAUUAAAUAACCAAUAGUCAUAAUUUUUGUACAUGACUCUUUUUUCUCUUUUUUGUGGAGAUCAUUAAAAUUGGUUGAUGAUCCAUUUUGUAAUAUCAUAGAGGGAUCAUCAAUUCCUUCUCUUUUCUGUGGCUAGGCAACACUUUCUGGCCAAAGUAAGAAAAUCUAUUUAGGUAAUGUGAAAACCAACGGUAGGAUGUAAUAGUUUAUUAUGCACUGACAAUAACUUUUUGUAUGAUUGGCAGUUUAAUGAAUACAAGAGGAACUUUGUUGACAAAUUCAUCCAAGAUAGAUGCUAAAAUUAUUUAUGCAUGCCAGUUGCCUUAACUAAUUUUUCUUAACACUUGUAUUGAACAGGAAAAUGAAUAAACAAUCUGUAUAUUGUGCCAUUGUGGAGUAUUUGGAUAUUCUGAUUUAAGUAACAAGGAGAAUACUUGUCUCAUCUUUAAACAAUGAAUCUUUGAGAAAUGAGGAGUGGGGGAUUGGAAGUGUCUUCAUGUAAAUGUUCAUUUAUUUGUAUUUUGAACUAUUAUGAGAAUCUUAUAUGCCAAAUCAGUAAUACAAAUGUUCAGAUGAUUUUUGCUGUUGAUCAUGCAUUUGUGUCUGCACACAACCAUUGUAUAUCACUUUAUUCUGAUGUGCAGGUAUGUGUAGCUUAGAAGAAACGGAAUAAUAAUCAUCUAUUAUUGCUUGGUUCAUGAUUAUUAAACGAUUAUGGCUUUAAAAAGUCUACAAAUUCCUUCUGUUCAUAUGUGAAUGUGUGAUGGGUGUCGAAGCCAACAAAAAUAAAUUCCUACUCUAAAUAAAUUGUGUAUAGUGAUUGAGCAGGGUCGUGUCCACAGAGAUCGGUAAUUAUUUAAAUCCUUUUGAAACGUAAAACGUAAAAUGGGGGAAUUGUUGACAAUAAUAAAAAUCAAAUUAAAAUAACAAGAAUGCAAAUUAAAGUUGUAAUUCAAAUUGGAGAAAGCUCUGGUUGAAGGAAUUAACUCAGCUUGAUUCGACUACUGAUCAUUGAUUCAAAUAUAGAUUAUUAUUACUCAUGAAUAGACCGGUUAUAGCUACUGAGACCCUCGAAUAGCCAAUCUCUCCUUAACUAGUCGAUAACCAAGGUACGACCGUUGGUUAUUUCCCUAAUCAAUAGACAACCCUAGAUACGAUCAUAGGAUUUAAUCAAUUGACAGCCUGAAAAAUCAGAGAGACCCAAAUCCUAAUCAACACAUAUGAUGAUUCAUUUAAAUUAGAUUGUUUAUUCUCACAACACAACUCUCUGCUAUGUUAUUUGUCACAAACAUUAAAUUCUUCAUACGAUGAAUCCUUUAAUUGACAAUAGAUUAAGUUGAUAAUUAAAUAGUGGCCAAUUACCUAAUUAACAAACAUAAUCAUGAAACUAAUUCAGAGAAUAAACAAAUACCCAAAAAGUAAUAAAACAAUUAAAGCAUAAGAAAGAUCUCACAGUAGUGAUGAAUCAAAGCUUCAUUAUCCUUCAACCAGAAAAAUAAGUUUAGUUCUUCAUAGAGAGAAGAGAAAAAUUAGAUCUAGGGUUUCUUUCUUUGUCUCCAAUCCAAAAAUCCCCCUUUUUCACAAUAGAUUCCUCCCUUAAAUACUCUCUCUCUCUUCUCUUUUAGAAUUCUAUUUAAAAUAAAAUACUAAUAUCUUAAAUAUUAAAUUCGUAAUUACAAAAAUAGCCAAAAAUACAAAACACGUUAAACUAAAAACUGCAGGUCCGCAGUUGACAGCACGCGCCCACGCCUUAUCAACAAAGUUCUUCUGACGCUCAUAAUUUCUCCAAGAGAACAAUCCUCCUUAAACAUCAUCUUUUAGCUCAAUUUUAUCACCAAUCAAUAGAAUUGCACCUACAAAAGUAAAACACAAGUAAAAUAUUAUUAUUAAGUGCAAAACAUCGAUAUUAAGGGAAGUAAAUAAUGCAAAACUAGUGCAUAAAUUGCACUCUAACAAAUUCCCCCACACCAAGACGAUGCUUGUCCUCAAGCAUAUAACUCAAGAUUAAUCCCAAAUCUCCACUCAAUUCUCAUCUCAACUCAUCCAAAAAUAAUUUUAAGCAAGCAUACCUCAAGAAAUUAAGUCGAUCAACAUUCGAGAGACAAGGAUUUUAAAGCAUAGAAUUUCAUAAGAUAGAAUAAGAACAUUCAACCACCAAGAAGAUCCAUUCAAAAUUCAAGUGCAACAAGAUUUAAUAGCCCUCUCAAUAACUUCACUCCAUGCACUCAAAGUGUUUAGGGUGUCAUUUAUUCACUCAAAUCAAAUCAAAGAAUGCUAUUACCAUAAGCUUGCUCAUAUAUCACAUCUCAAUCCACAAAACAUGAAUAAAAUGCAAAAAUCUAAGGGUCUUAAAAGGGUUGUAAUGGGGUUAAAUGGGUUAAAUGAAAAAGAAAGGUUUACGAAAGAAAACAAAAAUCAAAAUGAGAAGAAUGAACUCAUUGAAUGAACUUAUGAUAUCAAAAUGCUUAUUUCUACUCAAGUCACCAAGAAUGUAAACAUUUUUUUUUUCAAUUUUUUUUUUCGAUUUUUUUUUUCUUUUUUUUUUCUCUUUUUCCUUUUCUUUUCUUUUUUUUUUUUUUUUGAAUCAAACAAAAGAAAUGAACCUUGCACAAUUUAAUUCAAGCAUAAUGCUUGUUGAUCUAAUUGAGAAACUUUAAUACAAGGUAGAAAAAGCAACAAAAUAUAUCCACACAAUGAGUCCAAAAAUCUCCUUAAAUUGAGGCUCAAAAAGAAGAAAAAUGGUUAAGUAGACGGAGAGAAUUAGAUGGGUAAUGGUUAAGGCUCAAACAAAGGUAGCAAAUAAAGGUCUUCGGGUAGAGAAAAAGGAAAAAGCGAGAAUAGAAAAAUGGUAAAUUGUUUGCCCUUAUUAUUUUAAUGCCUAAAAUCCCGUAAUGUGGCUUCAACAUGCAUAACAAAGCAAGUUCUAGAAUAAACAAACUAGGAUUGAUAUUCACAUAACAAAAAUAAUUAGAGCAAAGUGGUUGCUCAUAGGCUCAAAUCCUCACAAAGUUGGUAAAUUUGCCAUCAAAUCAUGUACACUCUUCAAAUGAAUCAACCAUCAAUAGUGGUGUAGAAUGGGAAGAAGGUAUGAGUGAAGGAAAGGUAAAAAUGAUAAGAAGUGAGAAAGAUGUAUGUAGUAAUAUGAAAAGUGAAAGAUAAAAUGUGAGUGAUGAAAGAGUAUGAUAGAAUAAAAAUAGAUGUAAAUAAUUUGAGAUAGAUGGGAAAAAAGUAGUGAGAAAGAAAAGAAAAGAAAAAUAAUAAUAUAUGAAGCAUACUAACUCCAAAAUCAUUUAAGGAUGAGUAGAGUGAAAACAAUAAUUCCAGACAUCAAUAAUGCAAAAAUCCCUCCCCCACACCAAGAACUUACAUUGUCCCCAAUGUAAGAUAAUUAAAGCUCACAUAAAAAUUAAAGCGCAAGGAUAAAAGAUUAAAGGCAAAAAAAACUUCCCUGAAUUGUGAGCUUUGAUCCACAUAACGUCUAUGGUUGCGUUGCGAUUGCUGCUCGGCUGGAGCUUGCUUGAUGGGCGCGGGAUGGAGCUGAUUGUGUUACGCGCGCGCGCUGGGGCUGCUGGAUCUGCGCGCUGCGUGGGCUGUGUUGCGCGCGAGAGCAGGGCUGACGCUGGUUUUGCGCGCUGCUGGGCGAAGGCUGGAUCUACGCGCGCGGUUUGCUGCUUGCUAGACGCGGGAUGCUGGUGCUGCUGGUUGCGUUGCAGGUGGGACUGAUGCGGUUGCUGCUGGUUCUGCGCGCUGGAGCUGAGGGUUGCUGCGGGAAAACGAUAAUCAACAGUGAAUUUUUUUGAAUUAGGGAUUUGUGAACAGUGAUUUGUGAUUUUUGUGUUUUUUUUUGUGUUUUUUUUUUAAAUAAAUAAAGAAAAUAUAUAUAUAUAUAUAUAUAAGAAAGAAAAGAAGGAAAAAAAACUUUUUUUUUUCGUUUUUUUUAUAAAUAAAUAAAAAAUAUAUAUAUAAGAAAAGAAAAUAAGGAAAAAAAAACUCUUUUUUUUUUUUUUUGAAUCACUUUGAGACACUAAAAAUUUCAGAAGUACUUUUCUAAUAAGCACGUAGGCACGCCUUAAAACUAUUUUACUUUAAAAAUUACAGAAGUACUUAUUAGUUAAGACGUGGGCACGCCUUAUCAAAAAUUUUCUUCUGACCAAAAUAAGCAAACACAUUAUUUAAAAAAAAAAAUAUGAAUCAAAAUUAAAAGAAGAUAUAACAAAAACCAAAAUAAAUAAAUCAUUUGGGUUGCCUCCCAAAAAGCGCCUUUGUUUUAUGUCUUUGGCUAGACACAUUUAUGCAUCAAUCUCCAUAAUUAGGACUCUCGAGAGCCACAUCCUCCACAAUAUUCACCGAAAAACCUUCAUAAAAAGGUUUUAAGCGAUGACCAUUAACCUUAAAAACUUUGUCAGAGGUCGGACUCCGAAUUUCAACUGCACCAUGAGGAAAAACAUUAGUAACAAUAAAAGGUCCAACCCAGCAAGAACGUAAUUUACCCGGAAAAAGUUUAAGCUUAGAAUGAAAAAGAAGAACUUUUUGACCAACAGAGAACUCCUUUCUCAAAAUCAUUCUAUCAUGAAAUGUCUUCGUCUUUUCCUUGUAAAAAAUUUCCUGCGCUAUAGGGUUAAUAACAUCCACAGAAAAUACCGAAUGUUCCUCACUAGGAUAUUUCAUGGCAUCAUUCAUAUUGAAUUCUAUAACCUCUCCAUCAAACUCCAUAGUGAGAGUCCCUUUAUGUACAUCCAUUUUAGUCCUAGCAGUCUUAAGAAAAGGUCUUCCUAGCAAAAUUGGGACAGAAUUAGAGGAGUUAUCCUCUUCCAUAUCAAGUACAUAAAAAUCAGCAGGAAAAACCAACUCAUUAACUUGUACUAAGACAUCUUCUAAUACCCCAUCAGGAUAUGCAUUAGACCUAUCAGCUAGUUGAAUUAUCACGCCAGUUUCUUUUAAUGGACCAACAUUCAAAGAUGAAUAAAUGGAACGAGGCAUGACAUUAAUAGAAGCUCCUAGAUCUAACAUAGCCUUUUCAACUCUAACACUACCAAUUUUACAAGGGAUAGUAAACAUACCUGGAUCCUUGCACUUACGAGGUAGUUUCUUUUGGAGAACUGCUGAAACAUUCUCCCCCAUGUGAACUUUUUCAUCUCCUCUUAAUUUUCUCUUGGAGGUGCACAGUUCCUUAAGGACUUUAGCAUAUCGAGGUAUUUGUUUUAUAGCAUCUAAUAAAGGAAUAUUUACCUCAACCUUGCGAAAUGUCUCAAGGAUGUCUUUCUCUUGUUCCUCCUUCUUGGAUUUUGCAAAUCGGCUUGGAAAAGGAGGAGGUAUCACAAUAGGUAGGGGUUUAGCUCUGGUGGGUUCCGCAUCAUGAGAUUGAGGCAUCAAUUCAUUCUUCUCAAGUUCAUCUUCUACAUGCUUUGUCACUUUCUUACUAGGCUCUUGCAACUCCGUCCCACUUCUAAGAAUGACAGCACUAACGUUUUCCUUUGGAUUCACCUCAGAUUGUGAAGGCAAUCUCCCCAAUACUUGAGACUCCAGACGGCUCACUGUAGUCGCCAAUUGACUCAUUUGGUUCUCCAAGUUCUGAAUGCUUGCUGUAGUUGCCUGCUGAAAUUGUUGAGUGUUAGUCGCAAGUGAUUUAACAAUUUCUUCAAGAGAUAUACCUGACUUGGAGUUUGACUGUGGAAGUGCUGGUUGUCUUGGUGGAUACUGUUGUGGGAAUCCUGAUUGCCUAACUCCAUAGCUGAAGUUGGGAUGAUCCUUCCAUCCCGGAUUGUAUGUUUGUGCAUAAGGAUCAUACCUCCUCUGAGGCAUGCCUGGAAAUCCUCCAAUUGCAUUGGCUUGUUCAACGGGUUCUUCUUGAAGUGUAGGACACAUAUCAGUUGAAUGACCCAUAUUGUAACAAAUGCCACAAGUCUUCACCUGUUGCACAUUACCUACAACAAACUUUUCCACAAGAGAAGUAAGUUUAUCUAAACGUUGUUCAACAGAAGAAAUAUUUACCUCAUUCACCGUUCUUGAAGUGGCAUCUUGUCUGCUGCCAAAUUGUUGUGCAUUGGCAGCCAUAUUUGAGAUCAACUCCCUUGCUUGAGUAGGGGUCUUGUUCACCAACACACCUCCACUAGCAGCAUCUAUCAUACUCCUAUCCAUCAAUGAUAGUCCUUCGUAAAAAUAUUGAAUAAGAAGUUGAUCAGAGAUCUGAUGCUGAGGACAACUGGCACACAAUUGUUUGAAUCGCUCCCAAUACUCAUACAAAGUCUCCCCAGGAAGUUGUCUGAUCCCACAAAUAUAUUUUCUGAUGUUGGCAGCUCUUGAAGCAGGAAAGUACUUCUCAAGGAACUGCUUCUUCAAACCAUUCCACGUUGUAAUCGAUCCAGGAGGCAAGUAGUACAACCAAUCUUUAGCUAGCCCAUCUACAGAGAACGGAAAAGCACGCAGCUUAAUCUGCUCUUCAGUCACGCCUUGUGGUCUCAUACUUGAACACACAACAUGAAACUCCUUAAGAUGUUUAUGAGGAUCUUCACCUGCAAAACCAUGAAACUUGGGUAAUAAAUGAAUAAGACCAGACUUUAAUUCAAAAUUUACCUCCAAAUCUACAUAUUGAAUGCAGAGUGGUUGCUGAUUCAAGUCUGGUUCAGCUAACUCUCUAAGAGUUCUUUCUACAGGUGCAGGUCUAUUCAUCACUUGUUCUUCCGAAUCACUAGAUGAUUCAACUAAAUCAGGCACUGUAUCUGUUUCAGAAAGCAAAGGCGACGAGGAUCGUUGCUUAGCUCGCUUCGUCUGCUGUCUCAGCUGGCGAGCUGUCUUCUCAAUUUCGGGAUCAAACGAAAGUGUACCUGUACGAGAAGAACGAACCAUACACAAAGUAAAACGUAAAAAGGAUUAAAUAAAUGACACCAAUCCCCGGCAACGGCGCCAAAAUUUGAUGGGUGUCGAAGCCAACAAAAAUAAAUUCCUACUCUAAAUAAAUUGUGUAUAGUGAUUGAGCAGGGUCGUGUCCACAGAGAUCGGUAAUUAUUUAAAUCCUUUUGAAACGUAAAACGUAAAAUGGGGGAAUUGUUGACAAUAAUAAAAAUCAAAUUAAAAUAACAAGAAUGCAAAUUAAAGUUGUAAUUCAAAUUGGAGAAAGCUCUGGUUGAAGGAAUUAACUCAGCUUGAUUCGACUACUGAUCAUUGAUUCAAAUAUAGAUUAUUAUUACUCAUGAAUAGACCGGUUAUAGCUACUGAGACCCUCGAAUAGCCAAUCUCUCCUUAACUAGUCGAUAACCAAGGUACGACCGUUGGUUAUUUCCCUAAUCAAUAGACAACCCUAGAUACGAUCAUAGGAUUUAAUCAAUUGACAGCCUGAAAAAUCAGAGAGACCCAAAUCCUAAUCAACACAUAUGAUGAUUCAUUUAAAUUAGAUUGUUUAUUCUCACAACACAACUCUCUGCUAUGUUAUUUGUCACAAACAUUAAAUUCUUCAUACGAUGAAUCCUUUAAUUGACAAUAGAUUAAGUUGAUAAUUAAAUAGUGGCCAAUUACCUAAUUAACAAACAUAAUCAUGAAACUAAUUCAGAGAAUAAACAAAUACCCAAAAAGUAAUAAAACAAUUAAAGCAUAAGAAAGAUCUCACAGUAGUGAUGAAUCAAAGCUUCAUUAUCCUUCAACCAGAAAAAUAGGUUUAGUUCUUCAUAGAGAGAAGAGAAAAAUUAGAUCUAGGGUUUCUUUCUUUGUCUCCAAUCCAAAAAUCCCCCUUUUUCACAAUAGAUUCCUCCCUUAAAUACUCUCUCUCUCUUCUCUUUUAGAAUUCUAUUUAAAAUAAAAUACUAAUAUCUUAAAUAUUAAAUUCGUAAUUACAAAAAUAGCCAAAAAUACAAAACACGUUAAACUAAAAACUGCAGGUCCGCAGUUGACAGCACGCGCCCACGCCUUAUCAACAAAGUUCUUCUGACGCUCAUAAUUUCUCCAAGAGAACAAUCCUCCUUAAACAUCAUCUUUUAGCUCAAUUUUAUCACCAAUCAAUAGAAUUGCACCUACAAAAGUAAAACACAAGUAAAAUAUUAUUAUUAAGUGCAAAACAUCGAUAUUAAGGGAAGUAAAUAAUGCAAAACUAGUGCAUAAAUUGCACUCUAACAAUGUGCCAAGUUUGCUAUAUCUUAGAUUAUCUUCUUCCAAGAUAACAAGUUCAUAUUCUUUUUAAUCUUUUUCCAUCACAGUUGACUUUUAGGUGUUAAGAUUUGUUAUUAGUCCCCUGUUAUUAUGAUUUCAUAAACAGUGUACGGAUAUGUGCUCUAACUUUGGAGGACCUCCACGUGAAAGAAAAUUGCAACAAUUGAAUUCUUCCGGAGGGUAUGGUCUUUAAUUUAUUUUCUCAACUUCUCGUAAGAUUAAUAUAUUUCAUUCAGUAGGCACAGCAUGGGGGGAAGGGUUUUUAUUGAAAGAAUUCUGAUAUUUCUUAGACUUCGUUUUGGAAUGGGGUGGAGGGAUUUCUCAUCCAUGUAUGGUUACUUGAUUAGCUUUUGACUGUAUUUCCUCAGUCAUGUAAAGGAAGAUCCAAAUACCAACGAAGGAAAAUUGCCUAGACACCCGAAAGACAGAAAUGAGCUACAGAAGCAAGUUUUAGCUACUUUAUUUAGUGCUCCUGAGAAAUCUGAUGGAGACCGAAUGGAGGUCCAAAGCACUGGGAAAGGUAGUGAGUGAACCGCCGGAGGAGUUGGCACCGGAAUGCAAGGCUAAUGUGGUGCACUUGCAGCAAGAUAACCAAACCGGUAUGUGCUCUUAUAUUAACUAUACUGACAGGAUUUGUGAGUGUGUGCAUUUUUUUGUGUAUACUCUUGUAUUUAUGCAUAUUAAUGUGUGUAGGAAUUUCUGCCACUUACUGGAGAACUAGUGGAAAGCUUUAUACCGAUAUAUCUGCAAUAACUAAUUGGAAACUAUGAUAUUAAUAUUUUCUCUCACCUGAGGAACUGUGUAACAGAUAUACUUUGUGGCUCUGGAAUACUAGAGAUUCUGCAAUAACUAAUGGAAACUAUGAUAUGAAUAUUUUAUCUCAACUGGAGAACUUUGUAACUUGUAGCUCUGGAAUGUCUAAGGAAUUUUGUCUGCUUCAGUUAGAUCAAAUAUCUUUUAGUUGCAUACAUUAUAGAAAAAGAUAAAGUUCUCUGAAUCUGAAAGACUGAAACAUUUUGUAUAUUUUGUGAAAGGGAAAUAUCUGUAUAUACUAGUUCAUGCAUUGAGGUAACAUCAAUGUUAAAGAAAAACAGCAAUAAGUUAUUAUGUGGAACAAGGUUCACUUGCUUUAAAUGCUGGUCUGGUCAACCAUAUGAACCUGUAAGUUCUGCAGAAAUAUAUAUAUGGGGAGAAACUAGCUAAAUUUUCCGUUCAUUGAUGGCUUUGGUCAUUUUUUUCCCCUUAUUUUUCAGCUUUCCUUCUCCUGAAGUAUGUCAACAACUGCAGAUAAUGAUGAAGAGGACAGCUUGCAGGCUCUUCUUAGAGCCAUGAUGGAAUAUAGGGGCACAAUGAAGGAACAUUGCAAAGCUGUAGGUUCUUUUUCUCCUGUCAUUUAUGUUUUCUCACACAUUUUUUAUAUGCUCCAAGCAUGCAAUUUUGUAUGUGUCAACUGCUUCCUAAGUUUUAAAAACCAUAAUGUAAGAAUACAGUUCUUUGUCAGGUUAUUGAUGCAUUUGCUCAGGGGGAUCAUGUUCGAGCAGGAAAACUUCUAGAGCUGACAAGGUUUUCCAUCUACAGCCAUCUAUUGACAACAGAUACAUUUUCAUUCAGCAAACACUGUUAGCAUUCAAGAUACUGGCAGAUUCACUUGAUUCUUAUUAGUUUGUUUAGUAGCAAAGCAUAUAACCUGUAUUUCAAAGCCAAGUUGUGCUAUUGAUUAUGUUAACUUUAUUGUUCACAUAAAGUGAUAUGGAGGAAAUAAUCAAUGUAGGAAAAUUAGGUGAAGAGAUGAUGUCACAUCUUGAACCUCUUACAAAGCUCCAAGUUCUUUACUUGAAGAAGCCGCCAAAUUUGAAGAGCGUCUACUGGAAGGCAUUUCCAUUCCCAGAUGUAUGCAGAAUUUUUGUAUUAAUGCCCAGUUCUUAAGAAGCUGCCACUGGACUUUCAAAGGCGGGCCAAGGUAAAAUUCUUAUCGAGGGAAAGGAAGAUUGGUGGAAACAACUUCAAUCGGAGGAUCAAGUAACUCAGAAUGCAUUGCUUCCAUUUUUAAAAUCAACUGACAAGUGAUUGAAGGGGGCAUCAUCAACAUCAUCAACAUGGAUGGAGAGAUUCAGGAGCAGAUCAGCAGGGUUUAGUACGACCUGUGGUGGUUUCUUUUUUGUGACUUUUUUCCCUUUCAUUUUUUCACUUCCUGUCAUAUUAUCAUUUCUGUCUCUGUUUCUAUUGCUGUUGUUGCUGCAUGCUUGCUGUCCUUGACAAAGUUAGCUAGUUUUUUUGUUUAUUAAAUUUUUUAUGUUCGGGACAUCCUUGACAAAGUUAGCUAGUUUUUUUGUUUAUUAAAUUUUUUAUGUUCGGGACAGUCACAAAGUACUACUUGUUCUAUAAGGGGGUGAUGUGAAUCAACUUUUCAAUUAUAUAUUCUGUGGUAAUUGUGAAUUCAAUUUCAUUUGUCUCCUGCAAAUUAUGAAGAAAGUGCAGAGUUACAAUAUGGAAAAGUUCACUGGCAAAUACUUUGUAAAAGCUUCGGAGUGAAACAGGGAAUGCACUUGCAACUAAGGACAAAUUGGUGGCCAGCUAAUGCAUUCAUUUUAUGUACAUUCAUCUUUUUAAUUAUUGAAGAUAAGUGGUUCGUCGCUUUUGUUGUAGAUAAAAUUCAGACGAUCUCCAUUGUGAAAUGAUAAUAUUUAAAAUAUCUCUUAAAUUAUAAUAAACUUUAAUUUAUCUUAAUUUUAUUUAAAAGAUAAAAGAAAAAUGUGGUAUAUCGAUAAUUUUUUUAUCUUCUUAAUAAAACGAAGUAAAUUAAAAUUUAUAAUAAUUUAAAAUAUUUUAAAGAUUAUUAUUUCAUAAGAGAGUAAUAUGAAAUUAAUCCUUUUUACUUUUUGAAUGUGAAAGAUCAAGAAAAGAGAAAGUAAGUGUCCUUGCUUUUUAUUUUAAUUGAAAUCGGAGUCAUCCCAUAUACUUUACUCCUUUAGCUCUCUCCUCAAGGUGAGAUGCGUGAGUUGGGUGAAGAUUUGGUGAGUGUUGUGAUAUGCGUGCUACUUUGAGAAUUUAUAGAUAGCACAAAACGCAGCGUUCUGUGUUAAUUGUGGUUCUUACUGUGGUAAGAAUCUCAUUUUCUUAUUUCAACAGGUUUACCAGAAGAAAAAUCCCUCAGAUCACAUCACUGCCUUUUCUCUCAUUUUCUCUCUCUAUAUUUUCUAAUACAUUCUACAUAUUUUUCAUGUCCUCACAUACUUGUAUUUCAAAUGCAAUAGAUGUGUUUAUAUAGAGGCUAAUGAGAGUGAUUAAAGUUAACUAAAAAACUUCUAUGUAAAAUAAACUUCUAUGUGUUUAAAACCAAUAAAAUAGUAAGUAUAGCAGCCCUUUUUACAAUAAUGAAGUGAAAAUUAAUUUAGCAAGAUAUUUUCUUAAUUUAUACUUUCUUUUUUGAAGUUUUUAUUUUCUAUGGUCAAUUAUACCGUUUACAAUUUCUUUUGAUCUAACUACAACUAAAUUUUUGGUUUAAGGAUUCUUAUUUGGGAGUAUUAAUAUGUGAGCGAACGCUUGGAUACUGCUCAAUGAUAUCUAAUCAAUAGCUGGAAACAAUCGAGAAGGCGGUCGCAGCUGUGCACAAACAGCUUUGGUAAAAUUUUUAAACAGAGUUGACAUGCUAUUCUGAGAUUUGGUUCAUUACUUUGUAUGAUUUUUUCUCAAGCAUGUUAUGCCGAAAUGAACAAUUAAAAAAGAAGAAGGAAAAGUUAGGGUAAAAUUUUUACUAAAUCAUUUUUUAUUAACUAUUUAUAUUAAACAAAUGGAACAAGAAUUGUAGUCAUUCGUCAUAAGCGUGCUAAUAUGAUAAUUCUCUGACUACCAUUUUCUAUUUACCCCUUUUGCAGCAGGGAAUCCAAAUUUUGAAUUGUCCAAUGAUCCACAAUCAAUCCAAUGGUCCAAAACUUUUGGUCGUUAUGCGAAAAAUUUUCCCAAUUUUGGGCCAAUAUUCUAACAAGUUUUAUUGAAGGGCUGGACUAUUGGCACCCCUCUAAAAUUUCCUUAAAACCCCUUUUCUAUUACAAUUACAUUUAAAGAUAAAAAUAAUUACCAAUUCAUCUAUUUUAAUAUUUUAUCCCUCUUCAAACUUUUCUAUUUUCUUCUCAUCAAAAUUUUUCCCUCAAAUUCUCUGUAUUUUUUUGUUUUAUUCAUUUAUUAACAUAUUCUUUUUAUUAUAACAAAUCCAAAUUUUCAAGCAAAAUUAUAGUACAAUAUUGAUUGUUGUUUGCUUUAUUAGAAGGGACUUUUUAGCUGAGGAAAUAAAAACUGUAUAUUUGGUUUCUUCUAACUGCUCGUUGACGAUAGUCACGGCAUCCUGCACAUUUCUAAUGACUUCCUUUAGUAUGUUCUGCUUCUACCUCAUUAGUUCCAAAUAGCUUCUGUUAUCCCAUGCGUACUUCUUAAAAAUAACUUCUGCUAUUUUUUUAAUUAAUUAUUUGAAUCUUGGAGUUUUCUUUUUUAUCUUUUCCACAAUUUUUCAUUCGGAUUUAUUCAUAAUCAUACUAAAACUUUUUACAUUAUAAUUCUAAAGAUAUUGAAUCUAAUUCACUAAUUUGUAUUAAGAAGUUUAUCGCAUAAAUUUUGUGUGGAGAUUGAUAUAAUAAGACUCUAAAAUAAUUUUAGAAAUAAGAAAAUAUUAAGAAAUCGAAAGAUUAACAAAUUAGAAAUAAGGGUAAUUCUGACAUUAAAUGAAAUAUUAGGGACAAAGGAGUUUUUAGAGGAUUUUAACGGGUGCCAAUAGUUCAACUCUUUAUUGAAAUAAAAGGGAGAGGAUCGUUAAAUUGAAAAGUCCAUUUUAUUAUCAAGUGUUUUAAAUUAGUGCAACGUGACAAUUUUUACUGAUGAUAUCUUCUAUUUUUUUCAUAUAAAAUUAAUGUUAUUUUACUUACAAAUAUAAACUCCUAAAUAUUUGUAGUAGAUUUGAAGUUGAGCCCAUGAAACGGUAAUGAGGAAUUAAUGAGACUGAGGAUCUGCAAUUUAGUCAUGAAAAAUUUGUAAUUAAGCACGACUAAAUUUCAAUUUUCUCUUUGUAAUUUCUUUGGGUGCCUGAAAUUUUUUCUCCCUUAAUUUUCUGAUUACAAGUGCAUAAUUGUAAGUGCAACCGAUUUUAUUUUCAGGGAAUACUAUCGGACGGUGUGGAUAUAUAUAUAUAUAUAUAUAUAUAUAUACGAGAAAUGUUCCAAUUCAGAAUUUUAAAGUGUAGGAACGUCUGGGAAAACGCAUAAACCGUGCAGUUUAAACGCUUUAAGUUUUAAGCCUUUAAAACCCCGCAGUUUUAAAGUUUUCCUAGAUGUUUUCCGCACUUUAUGAUCCCGGACUAGAAAACUACUAUAUAUAUAUAUAUUAUCUGCUCGGUGAAAAGUUUUUUAAUCCGAGCUUAGAAUCUAGGAUUAAAAUUAUGAAAAAAAUUUAAGUAUUACACACACACACACACACUAUUCGGUCAUUUUUUUUUAAAAUCUGAGUUUAGAUGUAGAAUUAAAGUUCGAAAUGAAUUUACUGUGUUAUAAAUCAAUUUUUACAAUGUUGUAAAUUGAUUUAUGAUAUUAAAAAUCCAUCUUAAAUUUUAAUCUCAGAUUCUGAGUUUGGAUCUAAUAAACACUCUCUCCGAUUAUGUUGUCUAUAAUUUUGCAUUCAAAGAAACUUCACGAAAAAUAUAAUAUCAUGUGUAGCCCUAGAAACUUUAAUAACAAUAAAAAAGAUAUCAUAAGAAAAGAAAACUCAUAAUUGUUCAGAUAUUUAUAAAUUGGUGGCCGUUGGAAAUUUAACUGCAAGUGCCAAUCCGAGAAAAGUCUUCGUGCAGGAAAGACUUUUAGCCAUACGUUCUUCCAAGUCAAAUGAAACAGUGGAUGUACAAAGAAUAAGACAUGUCAUUCAGCUGCAGAUUUCAUGGCCAGUAUGACUCAUUCAGUCCCUUAUGGGUUACAUGUUUUUGAUAGCCCGCCUGUGGGUAUUUAUUCAAUUAUUUUACAAGACAUAUUUGGGGUUGCUAAACCCCGUAUGGUUCUGUCUUAGCUCGUUUUAUUGAGCCCAUUUUAAUCAAAAAAAAAAAAAUAAUAAGACAUGUCAUUCAUUGUUUGUUUGCUGCAUUCCCUCUCAUUUUCUUAAUUAUUGAAGACAGGUUGCUCAUAGCAUGUACUUUUCAAAUGUGGAACCGCAGCUAAUGUCACUAUUUUAAUUUGGAAUUAAAUUAGGGCCCAUCUAUAAAAUUUAUAACAUUAUAUUGCAGUGUGAACUAACUUUUAUGUUUAUCUAAACACCUUAAAUUUAAGGCAAAUUAUGGCAUAAAUAAGAAUUAAAACAGAACACUUAUGAUGUAUAGCAAAAGAGUUGUGAUGAAGAUCUUGAAGAAAUAUAAUAUUAGCGCCGAAUUAAGUAACUAAGAACACCCCUGAACUGAAUAAUGGUUAUCAAAAUUGUGUUACUUGCACUCCUAUUUACUAAAAGUCUGGUUCUGUUCCAUUUGAGUUUUUAUCUUCAAAUUUCAAAAUCUUGCUAAGUUUUGACAACAAAAAGGCUCAGUUUGCUUGUUCUAUAUUUGUAUUAUAUGAAUCCAAAUUUUUGUGUUCUAUUUUCUCAAUUUUGAAUACAAAUUCUUUUCUUCUCCCACAAACCAGAAAGAAAUGCUGUAUUAAAAAAAAUGGAAAUAAAUUCAUUACAACAAAAAUUAGGAAAAAUAAUACAAACCAAAUUAGGAUAAAUAACAUCACUUUCUAGAGAAGCAGGCAAAAAUGGAAAAUGAUAUUUCAAUUCUUCAAGAUCCCAAAUCUCUGUUUCUAAAUUUUCUUUCAUGUUGCUUCUCGCAUAGAAUCAUUUGGUAUUAAUAAAAUUUUUACUUAUUAAACAAAAGUUUUUAAAAUUUUUUUUAUUCCUGCUGUUAAUCUAUGAAUGGUUUCAUUGUUGGAGUUUCUUUCAGAAGACAAGAAUACUUUGGUUAAGUGUUUGGCUAAGUACUAAAUUAAAGGUUGUUAGAUAGAAGAAAUUAAAAAAAAAAAAAUCCUAACCCUUUUAUUCAGUGUUUAAUCAGCAAAUAUUCAACUCAACAUGAAUCUUAAUCAUCUUUAAAAAAAAAUUAUUCAAUUUUCUAAUAAUAUUUAUUCAGGUACUAGAAGUUAAAACCCUACUUACAUGGAUGCGUGGCCAUCGGUCCAAUUUAAAAAAAAAGAGAGAAAAAAUAAAUGUAAUCCAUGAAUUUGGUUAAUUUUCCUUUGUUUGUUUGUUUCUGUUCUCCCCCCCCCCCCCCCCCCCACCCCCUUUUCAAUAUCAUUCCUUUUUGGCCGCCCAAGGACAUUUUCACAAAUACCUUUUGUGCAUAAGUCUUUUAAACCAUCAAUCGGAAGAAACAUGCUUCCAGUGAUACCUCCAAUUAUCAUUGAUGACUUUUCUUACUCUAAUGCUAUGUCAAUUCCAACAUUUGUAUGUUAAUAUAACAUAAUCAAUGAUUUGGAUAAUUGAUGACUUUUACAGAUUGUGGAUUCUUGCGGAUUUUCAAUCUAAUCCAAUCCACCAAUUCACAAAUUCAGAUUUUUACGGAUUAAAUUUUUACAGAUCAGACGAAUUGAGCAGACUAGAUUGGAUUUUGAACAUUGCUAAUUUGUAUGUUAAUUAUAAGAUAAUCAAUUAUUUGGAUAAUCCCUUGUGUUUUAUCUCUAAUUAGAACAUCAAUCUUCACAAUAUUUACAAUGCUACAAUGGCUAUAAACAAAACCUGCUUGCAAAUUGUCAAGGAUACUUAUCCUUUCGCUUGACAAGUCAUUUGGAAAAAUAUUGUCCCUUGGCGGCUCCAUGUCUUCCCCGCCCUUCCUUUUGGUCUUAAUGUACGGUUGCUUAAUGAUAGUUUAGGCCCUUUAGGGACUACUUUCCCUGGUGUUGUUAAGUCUUAGCUUGUGCUAGGCUCGUUUUUCUUACCAAAAGAAAAGGAAUACUUCUCCUAUAAGAAAUAAUCUCUAUAUAUAGGGUGGUUGGAUUCACUUGUUUACAUAACAGAUCAAUUAGUUCUCUGUAAAUAGAGAGUUUCAAGUAUGAAAGAAACGGUAGGUCUAUUGAGAGAUUAUGUGUUAUUAGGAUUUUGGUUGUGAAGAAAAGUACUAGAGUGAUUGUGUUAAUUUUCUACGUAGUUGAUUUUUCUAUCGUCAUCUUUGUGGCUGUGAUUUUUCUUUCAUAUAGAAGUUUCCCACGUAAAUUGUUAUGUUAUGUGAUUAGUUUUGAUAUUUUAUUUGUAAGAUGUUGGAUGGGAUUAAAAGUUCAUAUUACUGCUAGAUGAUAUAUGGGAGCGGGUUGAUUUAGUAAAAAUGGGUGUCCCUCUUCCUAGAUCAGAAAACAACACAUCUAAAGUGAUAUUUACAAACCCGUUCUAAGGAAGUUUGCAGCUUAAUGGAAGCUCGUAGGAGUUUUAAAGUGGCGUGCUUAUCAAAUAAAGAUGCUUAGGAAUUGUUUCGAUACAAAGUUGGGGAAGAAACUUUGAACAAUCAUCCUGAUAUCCUUGAGCAAGCACAAUAGUUGUUAAGGAGUGUGGUGGUUUGCCACUUGCACUUUUUACCAUCGGCCGAUCUAUGGUGUGCAAGAAGACAUAGCCGAAGAAUGGAGAUAUGCUAUUCAAGUGUUCACUUCGUCCGCUUCCCAUUUCCAGGUCUGGAAGAAGGGAUAUAUACUCUUGUAAAUUCAGUUAUGAUAGUUUACCCAAUGACACAAUUACACCUUGUAUGUUAUAUUGUAGUUUAUAUCCAGAAGAUUGUUGCAUUUCUAAAGAGAAUUUCGUAUAUUGUUAGAUUAGUGAAGGAUUUUUGAAUGAAAGUGAUUGGUUUGGAGAAAAAAAUCAAGGAUAUUUCAUUUUGGGCAUUCUUCUUCAUGGUUUUUUUUUUUUUGGAAAAGGGAGGAGAUUGUGAAGUGAAAAAUGCAUGCAUGACGUUAUUCGUGAUAUGGCUUUGUGGAUCGCAUGCGACCAUGAGAAGGAGAAGGAGAACUUUUUGGUUUAAGCUAGUGUUGGUUUAACUAAGGUACCAGAUAUUAGAGAUUGGGAAAAGGUGAGGAGAUUGUCAUUGAUGAAAAAUAAAAUUGAGAAUCUAACUGAGGCUCAUACAUGCCCUCAUCUCCUCACUUUCUUUCUUGAUGAUAAUGAGUUUCGAAAGAUCCCCGAUGACUUCUUCCAGUUUAUGCCUUCUCUCACUGUUUUAAACUUGUCACAUAUUAAACUAAAGUCAGUUCCUUUAGGGACUUCAAGGUUGGUUCCACUACAACAACUCGAUCAUUCAUAUUCAAGCAUAAAAGAGUUGCAAGAAGAGUUAAAUGCCUUGAUUAAAGUUAAAUGCUUGAAUAUAGAUCAUGUAGAAGAGCUAAUUACAAUUCCACAACAACGAAUAUUUAAUUUUUAAGGUUAUAUGUGUUGAGAAUGUUCGAUACUAUUAGUUUAAAUUUUCAAGAAGCAUUAAAUAAAGACAGUAUUUUAUUUGGUGGGAGUUAAAGAAACAGAAAAUAAGUGUUUGGCUAAUAAAAAAAUAAAAUGAGAUCUGGAAACUUUUAAUCCUUUUAUUUUCUCAAGCUUAAGUUGCUACUGAACGAUUACAAACAUAUAUAUACAAGUGUAGCUGCUCAGCUGAAGAUUACUAAACUAACUAACUGAUUACAAAUUGAUUAACAAACGCAUCACGUGUAUGAGUACAAGCAGCUACAUAACCACCUGGUGCCAGCUGGCAGUACAUGUCAUCAACUUGUAACUGAUUAUAGAAGCUUCUGUGAUCCUCUGCUCUGUGGUCCUCAGCUUGACUACAAAUAUGAGUUUCCUUAAGAUCCCCCCCAAGCUCAAAGGUCUACUAAUGACAUGGAGUUUGGACCUGAAGUAGCUGAAUUUUGGAAGAGAUGAAGCCUUCGUGAGAACAUCAGCAACUUGUUCAUCUGUAAGAAUGUAUCUCACUUCUAAUUGCUUUUGAAGUACCUUAUCUCGGAUGUAAUGGAUGUCCAACUCGAUAUGCUUAGACCUGGAGUGAAACACAUGAUUUUUGGCUAAUUUCCCAGCACUCUGAUUAUCACACCAAAGCACUGGUGUUGGCAGUUUUACAAUGUUGAGCUCAUAAAAUAAAGAUUCCAGCCAAGAGAUUUCUGAACUUGCUGAUGACAGUGCUCUGUACUCAUUUUCAGUGCUGGAUUUUGCCACUAUGGCUUGUUUCUUAGAGGACCAUGAAAUCAAAUCGUUGCCAAGAUAGAUGCAAUAUGCUCCAAUAGACUUUCUAUCAUCUAUAUCACAAGCCCAAUCUACAUCUGAGUACCCAUUCAAACCUGUAACUUCAAGCUCCCCUUCUUUCUGAAUAUAUAUUCUAUAAGUAACAGUUGCUUGAAGAUAUCUAAGUACAUUUUUACAAGCAAGCCAGUGCUGAAGUGUAGGAGCACUUAGAUACUGACUUAGCUUAUGAACUGAGUAUGCAAUAUCAGGCCUGGUGAGUAUCAAGUAUUGGAGCCCUCCAACAAUGCUUCUAUAGAGAGUUGGAUCUUCAAAUUCUUUCCCCAAACAACCCUUUGCUACCUUUUCUAAUUUCUAACUUUGUGCUGAGAGGUGUAUCAGAACCUUUACAGUUCUGCAUUGAAGCUCUACUUAAGAGGUCUUCGAUAUAUUUUGUUUGUGAUAAAUGUAUCCCACUAUCUGUAUAACACACCUCAACACCAAGAAAGUAGGAUACCGAUCCCAAAUCUUUUAAGGCAAAAACCUUACUAAACUUAAUGAUGAAGGUUUCCAACAGGGAAAAAUCUGGUCCUGUAAUGAGAAUAUCGUCCACAUAGAUAAGAACAAGAAUGAUACCUCUUCUGUCAUGUUUGAUGAACAGGGAUGUAUCAGCCUUGGAGUUGAAGGAAUUCUAGCUUGUAAGACACCCUUUGAGUUUGUCAUACCAAGCUCUAGGAACUUGCUUCAAGGCACAAAGAGCUUUGCUAAGUUUACAGACAUAGCCCUCUUUGGUUAUGAAGCCCUCUGGUUGUGUCAUGUAUAUAUCCUCUAAAAUAUCUCAAUUAAGAAAAGAAUUAUUUAUAUUGUAGAAAAUAUGGAAAGAUUAGAUUAGUUGACAUUCCUGAUUUCUAGGAUUAGUUGUCUAAUUUGUCUGAUUUGUACAGCUAUUACUAAUUUGUAUAUUUUCAGAAAUUAGAAAGUUAAAUUUGGAAUAUGUUGUCCUAUAAAUUAACCCUAUUGUACUGGCUGUUAGAGGUACUUAAAAAUAAGAAAAGAUAUUUAUUCUUCUCCUCUGUUAACAUGGUAUCAAAGCUAUGGCAGAAUUAAGCCUAGCUUGACUCCCAUACGGAUCAGUUCAUUGCCUUGUUGUAAUGGCGCAAAACACCAUGCCUGGGGUUACAGUAAUUGGUGAUACUAAUUCCACUGCUACAUCUAUUGGAAUUGGUACAGGGGAGUUUCUUCCGUCGGGAUUUGGAAACUUGAACGGAAGUGAGAGUUUUCCCAUGCAAUUAACCGGUCACAAAUUGAACGGUAAAAACUAUCUAGAAUGGGCGCAAUCCAUUAAGUUGGUGGUCGAUGGCAAGGGUAGACUUGGCUACAUCACCGGUGAGACGAAGGAGCCGGAAAAAACUGAUCCAACAUGGAAGACUUGGAAGUCAGAAAAUUCCCUAGUUAUGUCCUGGUUGAUCAAUUCCAUGGAGGUUUCUAUUGGGAGGACGUAUUUGUUUCUUCCCACCGCAAAUGAUGUAUGGGAUGCAGUCCGAGAAACGUAUUCUGAUCUAAAAAAUUCAUCAUAGAUUUUUGAAUUGAAAACAAGACUAUGGCAGACUAGGCAAGGUGAUCAUGCUGUUUCUGAGUAUUACAACGAGAUGAAGGCUUUAUGGCAGGAGCUUGAUAUCUGCUAUAAAGAUGAUUGGGCCUAUAUGACAGAUAGUGUUCGUUAUUUAAAAAGAAUUGAAGAUGAUCGUGUUUAUGAAUUUUUGGCAGGUUUGAAUAAGAGCCUUGAUGAAGUGAGAGGCCGGAUUCUUGGCAGAAUUCCUUUGCCAUCAAUCCAGGAAGUAUUUUCAGAAGUACGACGAGAGGAAGGUCGACGCAAAGUGAUGUUAGGAGAAAAAACUGUAUCUGCUCCAGAAGUUUCAGCCCUAAUGACAGGGACUAAUCACAAUAAUUCCCCAUACCAAGCACGAUAGAACAAGAAAGGAGAAAAGGUGUGGUGUGAUCACUGCCACAAACCACGUCACACUAGGGAGACUUGCUGGGAUUUACACGAAAAACCUCCUAAUUGGAAGCCACGAAAUUUUAGUCAGUCAAACCGUGACUCAAAGGCCUUCCACUCAACCACUGAGGAGAAUGGAAACACUGCAACUACAACUACGACACCUUCAUUCAGUAAGAAAUAGUUAGAACAACUGUACUUUUUCUGUCCAGAUAAGUGACCAAUCCAGUAUCUUCUUCUUAUUCCUUAGCCCAGAAAGGUACUUAUCAAUUUGCUAUCUUCAAUGUGUCCACUAUUCCUCUUUGUCCAUGGAUAAUAUAUUCAGGUGCCACCGAUUAUAUGACUGGAUGCUCUAAAUUAUUUUCUUUCUAUAGUCCUUGUACAGGCAAUCAAAAAAUUAAGAUUGCUGAUGGCUCCCUCUCGGCAAUUGCUGGGAAAGGGUCAAUUGUUAUAUCUAAUACUCUCGUUCUUCACGAUGUCCUUCAUGUUCCAAAUCUCUCUUGUAAUCUUUUUUCUGUAAGUAAAAUAACUCGUGGUUUAAAGUGUUGUGCUAAAUUUCUUCCAAAUUGUUGUGAAUUUCAGGAACUGGAUACGGGGAGGAUGAUUGGCAAUGCUAGAGAGUAUGGCGGUCUCUAUUACUUUGAUGAUGGGAACUCUAUGUGUCAGCAACAGAAAAUUUUGAAUCUUGGAGCAUGCUUUAGUUCUACUGAUGAUAAAAUAAUGCUAUGGCACCGUAUGUUAGGCUAUCCUAAAUUUUUAUAUUUAAAACAUUUGUUUCCAACCUUAUUUCGUAAUAAACUUUUAUUGUCUUUUCAAUGCGAUAUUUGUCAGUUAGCUAAACACCAUCGUGCAUCUUUUCCUAUUCAACCAUAUAAAGCAUCCAAGCCUUUUACCCUUAUUCAUAGUGAUGUGUGGGGUGCCUCUAGGACAUCCACCAAUUCUGGAAAAAGAUGGUUUAUAACAUUUAUUGAUGACCAUACACGCCUAAGUUGGGUCUAUCUACUCAAAGAAAAAUCUGAAGCAGAACAUGUUUUUAAAAACUUUUAUAAUAUAGUUGAAACACAAUUUCAAACAAAAAUUCAAGUGUUCCGAAGUGACAAUGGGAAGGAAUACUUUAAUCAAAUAAUGGGGUCAUUUUUCUUAGAAAAAGGAAUUGUUCAUCACAGCUCUUGUAAUGACACUCCUCAACAAAACAUAAUAGCAGAACGGAAAAAUAAGCACCUCCUAGAAGUAGCUAGGUCUUUAAUGUUCACCACUAAAGUUCUUAAAUACUUAUGGGGAAAAGCAAUUCUUACUGCUACAUAUCUUAUUAAUAGGAUGCCAUCAAGAGUUUUGAACUUUCAGCCACCAUUGACAGUUUUUAAAAAAUUCUUUCCAAUGACACGUUUGACUUCAGAUUUACCUUUAAAGGUCUUUGGAUGUGUUGCCUUUGUACAUAUACACAAUCAUAAUAGGGAUAAACUAGAUCCAAGGGCUGUAAAAUGUGUUUUUCUGGGCUAUUCUCCUACUCAGAAAAGGUAUAAAUUUUUUUAUCCUAACAAACAAAAAUAUUUUGUCACGAUGGAUGUUACCUUCUUUGAGUCUCAAAGUUUUUUUAAUCCUCCUCUUCAAGGGGGGAAAGGAAAUGAAGACUCAGUGUUUGAGCUUGACAUGAAUACUAAUGGUGAGGCAAAUAUUGAAACUGAAAUUUUUAAUCCUAAUACCUUGAAUAAGGAGGAUAUGAGGAUUACCUUAGUGCCUGAACAUAAAACUGACACUACGAUAAUAGACGAGACAUGCUUCAAUGAUGAGAGAUUGUUCGGGAAAACUUACACUAGGGAGAAACGGAUUCAAAGUAAGAAAAAUGCAGCGAUACUUCCUCAACGCCAUGAAUCUGAUCCAAUUCCAGAUUCGAAAAACAUUGAUUCUGAAAAUCCAGGUACAAUCUCUAAAUUUAUAGAGUAUGAGUCUUUAUCUAUCCCACAAGUACAUUCUGACCCUCUAGAUCUUCCCAUUGCUCUUAGGAAAAGAAAUAGAUCAUGUACUCAACAUCCCCUUUUCAAUUUUGUGUCUUAUAAGAACCUGCCAUUAUUUUAUCAUACUUUUGUCUCACAAUUUUCAAGUGUGGAUAUACCUAAGUCUAUACAGGAAGCGCUAAAGGUUCCUAAAUGGAAGAAGGUUGUUCGUGAAGAAAUGGAGGCUCUAGAAAAAAAACAGAACGUGGGAGAUGGUUUUACUUGCCUGAAGGAAAAUUGAUUAUUGGUUGCAAGUGGAUUUUCACUGUGAAAUACAACUCAGAUGGAUCCUUGGAACGCUAUAAAGCAAGGUUAGUAGCAAAAGGAUUCACACAGACCUACGGAGUUGAUGAUCAAGAGACAUUUGCUCCCGUAGCCAAACUAAAUACCAUUCGAAUACUACUCUCUGUAGCUGUUAAUUUGGAGUGGCCAUUGUUUCAAUUGGAUGUUAAAAAUGCGUUCCUCAAUGGAGAAUUGGAAGAGGAAGUAUAUAUGGGUGCACCCCCUGGUUUUGAAGACAAGUUUGGAGGAAAGGUGUGUAAAUUGAAGAAAUCCUUUUAUGGACUGAAGCAGUCUCCUCGUGCUUGGUUCGAGAGAUUUACUAGGUUUGUUAAAAAAGAAGGAUAUAGUCAAGGACAAUCUGAUCAUAUAAUGUUCGUGAAACACACAGAUGGUGGAAAGAUGGUUGUCCUAAUUGUAUGCGUAGACGACAUAAUACUUACUGGAAGCGAUAAUGAUGAAAUGAAUAAGCUGAAGAAGCACCUGGCAUCGGAAUUUGAAAUUAAGGAUUUGGGUCCCUUACGCUAUUUCCUGGGUAUGGAAGUUGCAAGAUCUAGAAUGGGAAUUUCUCUGUCACAAAGAAAGUAUGUUUUGGACUUGCUAGAGGAGACAUGAAUGAGUGGUUGCAGACCAAGUGAUAACCCCGUGGAUCCUAAUCAGAAGUUAGGAGAGGUUUCCGAUGGAGUUCGAGUUAAUAAAGGUAGAUAUCAACGUCUCGUAGGGAAACUCAUUUAUUUAUCUCACACAAGACCUGAUAUUGCCUUUGCCGUUAGUGCUGUAAGUCAAUAUAUGCACUCACCCUAUGUGGAACAUUUGGAGGCAGUUCACAAGAUUCUCAGGUACUUAAAGAGGACACCUGGAAGAAGGUUAUUAUUUAAGAAGAGUGAUCAAAAGAGUGUAGAAGUCUUCACAGAUGCAGACUAGGCAGGCUCAAUUUCAGAUAGAAGAUCAACAUCUGGUUACUGUACAUUCUUAUGGGGAAAUUUAAUUACUUGGCGAAGCAAAAAACAAAACGCGGUUGCCAGGAGUAGUACUGAAGCUAAGUUUAGUGCCAUGGCAAAUGGAGUUUACAAGGUAUUAUGGAUUAAAAGAGUCCUUGGAGAACUGAAAUUAGAUAUUGAAGCACCUAUGAGACUGUUCUGUGAUAAUAAAUCAGCAAUAAGCAUUGCAAAUAAUCUUGUUCAGCAUGAUCGUACAAAGCACAUUGAGAUUGAUAGACAUUUUAUUAAACAAAAGCUGGAGAAUGGAGUUAUAUGUAUGCCAUUCAUCCAUUCAGAGUAAUAAACAGCAGAUGUUCUUACCAAGGGACACUUCAGGCCAAAGUUUGAAUCUUUCAUUGACAAGUUGGGCAUGAUUAAUAUCUAUGCACCAACUUAAGGGGGUGUAGAAAAUAUGGAAAGAUUAGAUUAGUUGACAUUCCUGAUUUCUAAGAUUAGUUGUCUAAUUUGUCUGAUUUGUACAACUAUUACUACUUUGUAUAUUUUCAGAAAUUAGGAAGUUAAAUUAGGAAUGUGUAGUCCUAUAAAUUAACCCUAUUGUACUGGCUGUUAGAGGUACUUAAAAAUAAGAAAAGAUAUAUAUUCUUCUCCUUUGUUAACAUAUAUCAAUUUGCCUGACUUUCCAACACUUCAUCACUGCCAAACUCAGUAUAGUUCUAAUUGUAAAAGACUUUACCACAGGACUGAAAGUUUCCUUAUAAUCCACUCCUGCUGUCUGGUGAAAGCCCUUGGCCACCAAUCUUGCUUUGUGUUUAGAAACUGUACCAUUUGUAUUGUACUUGGUUCUAAAAACCUAUUUACAUCCAACCAACUUGUGCUAAGAUGUCACAGGUACUAGAGUCCAUGUGUUAUUGUUGGUUAGAGCAUCAAAUUCUAAUUGCAUUGCAGCUUUCCACUUAGGAUCAGAUAAAGCUUCAUCAACAGUGGAUGGUUCCAGGCUGUUAUGUGAUGUUAAGAAUGCUUUAGGCUUGAAUAUACCAGCUUUUACUCUGGUAAUCAUAGGAUGAUUUGGCAGAGAAUGUUGGGAUGGUUGUGUGGAUUGAGUAUGAGAUGAUGAUGGCUGUUGUGUAUGUGAAGCAUCUAUGAUAGAGGGUUGAAAAUGUAUUUGAGAAGGUGAAACAACAAAGGUUGUAUUGUGAUUGUCAGAUGAGGAGUGAUCACUGAAAUGAUGAGAUUGAGCUUUAUCUUCUGCAGAGCCAGCUUCAAAGGUUUCUUGAUUGCUAUUGGGAAGUGAAAUAGUAUAAGAUUGAAGAAGACUGUAAUGAAAAUCAGAGAGUUUAGAUGGUGAAGUUAAAAAUUGUGAAUUUGAUGUGUAAGGAAAAGAGGUUUCAUCAAAUAAAACAUGACUGGGUAUAAAAUUCUUUCCAGAAGAAUGAAUACACUUGUAACCAUUGUGUAAAGGGCUGUAACCAAGAAAUACACAUUUUGAGGUAUGAAAAUGGAAUUUGUGAGUAUUAUAAUCCCUUAGGAAUGGAAAACAUGAACAACCAAAGACCUUGAGAAAUUUGUAAUCAGGUUUGGUUUUGAAAACACAUUCAUAAGGUGACUGCAUAGAUAGUAUGGGUGUGGGAAGUCUAUUGAUAAUAUAGGUGGCUGUAUGGAAGGAAUCCCACCAAAAUUUUAUAGGUAAAGUGGCUUGAGCAAGUAAGGUGAGACCUAGCUUGGUUAUGUGUCUAUGUUUUCUCUCAAUUAAGCCAUUCUGAUUGUGAGUAUAGGGACAUGAGUUCCUAAAUUGAAUACCUUCCUCAUGAAGAAAAUUAACAAAUGAUCUAUACUCUCCACCCCAAUCUGAUUGAAUACACUUGAUGGAUCUAUCUAGCUGUUUCUAAAUUUGCUUUUUAAAGAUUUUAAAAACAACUAGUGUUUCAUCCUUGGUUUUUAAUGGGAAUAUCCAUGUGAACCUCGAAAAAUCAUCCACAAAACUCACAUAGUAUCUGUAACCUUGAACUGAAAGCACAGGGGCAGGUCCCCAUAAAUCAGUGUGCAAAACCUUUAAUACAUGCUUUGUUUUGGUAGUAGAAACUGGAAAAUGUAAUCUAUGCAUUUUUCUCAUUUUACAUGCAUCACAUGAAUCAAGAAAUUUACUUCCAUUUAAAUUCUUGAAAGCUGAACAAGAGUUUAUUACAUGACUUAAAACUUUGGAAUUAGGAUGACCAAGUUUCUGAUGCAAUACAGAAACACUCAGCAUAUAAUUUGGACUGAUACAAGGUUCUGCUGCAGUAUGCAAGCAGGUGCUUGUUUGAUUAUUGACAACUGAUUGAACAACUGAAAACAUAAACAGGGGAACAUCUGGAAUUUUGGAUUGAGUGGCGUCAAGAGACCUUUGAAAUGAUUGAGAAGAGACUUUAUUAGAGGGAAACAAUAGCAAUCUGUAUAAACCUUUUUCAGCUUUGCCCUGCAGUAUGAUCAAAUUCCUUACCUUGUCCUUCACAUAAUAGGAUUGAUCAGUAAAUUCAAUAACAAUAUUGUUAUCUUUGGUUAGCUGAGAUAUGCUAAUAAGGUUCUUGGAUAUUUGUGGAACAAAUAGCAUGUUGUUUAAUUUGAGUGUGUUAUGAUCAGAAGAGUUAUGCAUUCUUAACACAGCAUUUCCAACAUGUGUUAUGUGCAAACCAGUACCAUUUCCAAUUAUGAGUUUAGAGUUACCUGCAAAAGGUUCUGUCAUAGUCGUAUUUCUCAUGUCAUUGGUAAGAUGGUGUGUAGCUCCACUAUCCAGAUACCAGUUGACAUCAGCUGCACCAUCCAUAUCAGCUAGAUAUGCAGCUUUGGGAUUUCUAUUUGGAGGAGGUCUGUAAGCACCAGAGGUAAAGAAUUCUUCAAGUUUCUAGCAGACAUUUGCAGUAUGACCAGUUUUGAAGCAGUUUUAGAAGCAUUCCACUGAGGUUUAGGAUUCAUUUGGGGCCUAAUAGAGUUAUUGUUACCACCCCCACCAUUGUUCCAAUUUCCUGAGCCUAAUCCCCUUUGAUUAUCACUUUGAAAUCCUCUGAACUGGUUAUUUGAAUUAUUUCCAGAACCAUUUCCAAUGAAACCAGAUCUUCCAUAGCCACCUCUGUAAUUAUUUCCAAAAUUUCCAGCAUUAUCUAAACCAGAAAAAUAGUUAUGAUUUCCAGAUCCUCUACCACCUGAGAAGUUUCCUUUCUUAAAACCUCUGUUCUAAGCUAAAUUAGCUUCAAAAUUAUGCUUAACAUCCAUUCCAGAAAGCAUAUGUGCUUGUUGCUCAAUUCUAGCCUCUUAAGUCAACAACAUAGCAUAAGCCUCAUUCAAAUUCAUUUUAUCACCACUUAUUUGACCAGUAAUAUAAGUAGCAACAACAUUAUAAUCUGGUCCUAGUCCUGAGAGUACAUGCAAAAUUAAAUCAUCACUGCUUAAGGCACUUCCUGCCGCAACCAUGUUAUCAACAAUAUUCUUCAUUUUAAUGAAAUACUCAUUGAUUUUCAAAUCAUCUUUCCUAGUUGAAUUUAUCAAAUAUCUCAAAUGUAAGAGUCUGGAUUUUGAUUGUGAUCCAAAUUGGGUUUCAAUAGCUUUCCAUACCUCAAGAGAAGUUUCCAGAUUAAACACCAGGCUUAUAAUACCUUCACUCAUCGAUGAUAGCAACCAGCCAAGGAGUACUUGAUCUUGUGCUUUCCAGCUUGACAAAUCUGGAUUCUCAAUAGAUCUAAGUUCAUCGUCAAUCCUCUGAGCAAUAUGAGAUGGAGGAGGAGUGACAGUUUCAUCAAUGAAUUUUUCUAACCUAUUGCCGCAUAUGGAAGCUAAAACUUGGGACCUCCAGAUCAGAUAGUUUGCCUGAUCCAGUUUCACAGGAGUAUUGAAAGUGAAUGAGAAGUUUGUUGAGUUUGCAUGAACAUUUGAAGUGUGGUUUGAUGAGGCAAUAUUCAGAGACGCCAUGACUAGCUCUGAUACCAAGUUAAAGAAACAGAAAAUAAGUGUUUGGCUAAUAAGAAAAUAAAAUGAGAUUUGGCAACUUUUAAUCCUUUUAUUUUCUCAAGCUUAAGUUGCUACUGAACGAUUACAAGCAUAUAUAUACAAGUGUAGCUGCUCAGCUGAAGAUUACCAAAUUAACUAACUAAUUACAAAUUGAUUAACAAACUCAUCACGUGUAUAAGUACAAGCAGCUACAUAACCACCUGGUGCCAACUAGCAGUACAUGUCAUCAACUUGUAACUGAUUAUAGAAGCUUCUGUGAUCCUCUGCUCUGUGAUCCUCUGCUUGACUACAAAUAUGAGCUUCCUUAACAGUGGGGAGGAAGUUUAAGCAGAGGAGUUGCUCGGUUUGGAAUAUUUGGAGGUAUUGAGCUUCACUUGAGAAGUGUUCGUGCUCUCCAAUUUAUUUUGAGCUCACAUAAGCUACGAAGUUGUACUCAAGCGGUGUUCCUCCAAUCCUUCAAUGAUUCGAUAUGGCUUGAUAUUUCACUUUUGGCAGAGUUAAAAGCACCACUACAGAUUUAAGUAUUUUUGGGUGUAGAAAAUUGGAGGACUUGAAGAUGGAAUAUACAGGGGGAGCGAAAAACAAGCGGCAACCUUGUGUUUUCUAAGGCCUACAUACAGUUCACAUAGAGGUUUGUUCUAAAUUGAAGGACUUAACAUUCCUUGUUUUUGCUCCAAAUCUCAAGAACUUGUAAAUACAAAAUUGCCCUGCUGUGGAAGCAAUCAUCGGUGUGGAAGAAUUUGCGGAAGCUCUAGAGGUGGUGGAAAAUCUAAACCCAUUUGCAAAACUCCAGUAUCUUGGACUAGAAAAUCUGCUAAAUGUGGAGAGCAUCUAUUGCAAGCCUCUGCCCUUUCCAUGUUUGAAAAGAAAUGACUGUGGAUGGUUGCCGUUGUCUUAAAAAGCUUCCACUCUACUCCAACAGUGUAAAAGAGUGUACAAUUGUUAUUUCAUCAUUCGGAGAGUUAAUGGUGCAAUGAGAUUUGGCAGUUAACUCUCGUGGGAAGAGCUUGAAUGGGAAGACGAAGCUGCUCGAAUUGCUUUUCAUUCCUGUUUCAAAUCUCUGAUUGGAUUGGAGAUUGCAUUUCGCCUCAGGUUCGUACUUUUCUUGAAUUUUUCUUGUUAACUUCAUUUGUUCAUUUAUCCAUUUUUUUUUAAAGGAAUCAGAAGGGUUAAUAUUUUUGGUUGUGUUAGGUCGACUUCUAAUCACGAGGCAGAAGGAGUUGAGAUGAAGUUUAAUUUUGGUGGAGAAAUUGUUUGAUUUAAAAAAUUUAAAUGAGUUGAUCAUCAUUCUUUAGCAUAUUUGUAUGAACAGGAGUGUGUAAAUAUGCAAACUGUCCAGCUGUAUGUGUGUAACGUAAUAAUUUUGAGGAGUUAAACAUUGAAGAGUAUUGAUGUUUCCAUUGUCAAACCAAAUAUACUUAAUUACUUGAGGAUAAUGAUUACUGCUAAUACAUUUGCAAAGAAAAAACAUGCCUAUUGAAAAACUCAUCUUAUUAGCAACAGCAUUAUAAGUAGUAUCCAAUCAUAGUUUCAUGCAAGAUUUUGAGAUUUUUCAAAUGCUGAUUCCGGGAAUGGAGAUUAAUAGAAAAUGGAGACAGGUUGACUGCAAUGGCUAAUUGCAAGAGGGAAUUUUAGUCGUAAAAACAGACCAACUAGCAAAGCAAAUUCCAAAUCUUGGAAUGAAGUGGCAAAAAAACGAAACAAACAAAUGGCAAGAGGAAGUGACUAUACAAUAAUAACAUCGACUUGCAAUUCAACAUUUAUACAGUUUUACACACCAAGAAAAGAGAAAAUUACAAUAGCAAUUUGGCUACUAGAAGAUGGUCAUUCAUGCUUAUGCCUGUCAUAUGGAUUUGAAACAAGGAGUAAAAGCAUUUAGAGUGGCUUCAUCCUUCCACUGCAGCUCAUUCCACCAGUGUUGCUCUCCCCUAAUAACAAGUUUUCGUUCCUUGGCGCUGUUGUAAUCGAGUGGAAGCUUCUUGAGGUUCGGGCAUCCAGAUACAAACAAUUCCAAGAGAUUUGGAAAGGGCAAUGCAUUCAAACAGAUCUUCUUCAAAUUUCUUAGAACUUGCAACCGAAGAUAUUGGAGUUUCGCAAAAGGUUUUAGCCCUGGAACUUCUUCCACUUUCCAAACACUGAUUAUUUCUUCCAUCUCAUAACAACGUUCUACAUGGACCAUCUUCAGAUUUGGGGCAAAAACAAGCCAUGUCAUCUCCCUCAAUUUACUGCAAUAGUCUAUGGUAACACUUUGAAGGCUGUUGAAACCAUAAAGUUCUCUUGUUGUUUGAACUUCUGCAUAGUCAACCUUUAGCUCUUCCAAACUUGUACAAUACACAAAAUCUAGUUUGUCAAGAUACUUGAGAUCUGCUAUGGACAAAAUAUUCCAUGACCUUGAAUCCUCACAGCGGCGAAGCUCUAAAGCAUAUUUACAACUCUUGUACUGUUGGCAGCUCAAAAGUCUUCGUAGAGCAUAAAAACUUCUUAACGUGACGCUUAAUACAUUUAAAUGUUCCAAAGUAAUCAACUCUACCAAAAUUUCACUACCACCAAAUAGAACGCUAUCUUCUGGUACUGUAUUAGCAGAGCCACAAUCUAGCAUCCUCAACACCUUUAACCCAGAAAAAUUACAAAGCAGUUGCCGUGGAAUCGUAUGGAGAUAACGCAUGUACUCCAAGUUCAAACACUUUAGAUUUUUCAAGGCUUUUAAUUCAUGUGGCAACUCUUUGAUGAAAGUUUCUGAAAGAUUAAGAUAUUGUAGUGAAACCAAUUUUGAAAUUCCUGAAGGCAAUUGACUCAAGGAGCGAUUCUUUGAUAGGUUUAAAACUUUAAGAGAAGGCAUAAAAUCGAAGAAAUCACUAGGGAUAGUAUCUAACAUAUUAAUGCCGAGGAACAAAGUUAUAAGAUGAGGGCAUAUUGGAGUUAUUGGUAAAAUCACAAUUUUAUUUCUCAUCAACGAUAUCCUUCUCUUAUCUUCCCAUUGUUUAACCUCGGGUGGUUCAGUUAAUUCAAUACCGGAAGAAACCAAAAAGUUUUCAUUCUCCACUUCACAGGCUAUCCACAAGGUCAUAUCACGAAUCACAUCAUACAGUUUUACAUAAUCUGAUCCUGCUUCUUCCAAUAGGCAUGCAUGAACAAGAACACCAAUAAUGUAGUAUCCUUGGUUAUGUACUCCGUUAAUUCCUUCAUUUUCCUUCAGAAAACCCUCACCAAUCCAACACCCGAUCAAUUCAAUUUUGCUAAUUUGAUAAUCCUCAGGAAAUAAACCACAGUAUAACAGACAAGAUCUAAGGACGUCACUAGACAAACUAUCAUAACUGAAUUUUAAAAGACGAAACACCUCUUUCUCCAUACUUGGAAAUUCAUAAGCUGAUCUCCUUAACAUCUGAAUUGCAUAGCUCCAUUCUUCGGGUGUCUUCUUGCUGCUCAUGGCACGACCGGUGGUAAUAAGUGCAAGUGGCAAACCACUAGACUCCUUUGCCACAGUUUGGGCUAACUCCGGAAUAUCGGGAUGACUUUCAAGAGUCUCUUCUCCGACCUUCUUUAGGAACAAUUCCCAAGCAUCUUGAUCUGCCAAACACUCCACCUUGAACUUUUUUUGAGCUUCCAUGAGGCCACAGACGUCCACAAGACGAGUCGUAAAGACUAUCUUUGAUGCAUUUCUUGAACUCGCAGGAAAAGGGACACCCACUUUGGCUAAAUCAAUUCUUUCCCACAUAUCAUCUAACAAUAGCAGAAAUUUCAUUUUGCUCAAUAAAUUGAAUAUGCCUGAUGCUUUCUCUUCAAAGCUUCUAUUCUGAAGCCAUCCUAUUCUUUCUCCGAUUUUCUGUUGAAUUCUCUCAAGCUGCAUGCCUUUUGACACCACCACCCAAAUCACAAUAUCAAAAUAAUUUGGUGUUUUAAGGAACUUGUUGUUGAUUUGGGUUAAUAGUGUAGUCUUGCCGACUCCCCCCAUGCCAUAAAGUCCGAUGAUUCCAAAUUGUCCUUCUACAAGACAUCUCCAAACUUUAUCAAAUGAUGAUUCUAGGCCGAUUAUUGUUGGCUGAAGAGGCCUUUCAUCCACUGCUGGUUGUGGUACCUUUUCAGCUACCACUGCAAAAGCUCCAUCAUCUAUUAAAGUAGCCACAAGCUGCAGCUUUUUAGACACCUUUUUCCCAAACUUGUAGCUUGACUUGCAGUUCUUGGAGCAGUAGCCUCCAAGACAUAGUUUUUCAAUUUCUUGAGAGCUGUCCCUUGUCAAUUCACCUACUUCAGCUUCCACAGCCUCCACCCUUGAAAGCCAACCUUGCACUCUGUUCAGCCGUCUUAGUUGUUGUUGCUCAGCAUUAGAGACCCUCAUCAUCACAUCGUUCUUUGUUUCAAUUAGUUUCUGCAAUUCGGUCUGGACGGCAACCAGGUUAUUUUCAAGCUGGCUUAGAUAUGCUGCUUUUCUGCGGGUACAAUUUAUGAAGCCAGUGGAAAGGGCAUCACAUGUAAGUUGGAUUCCCAAAAUAUUACCCAUAGUUUGUAUGAGAUUCAGAGUACAAUAGAAGGAAUGCAACACAGUAUGUAUUCGGUUGUGGUGUCUAUGAUUUUACAGUCGCAGAAGCUUUUUCACCUUGUGAGGGCUGAUCAGGUGGGCACCAUCACUCUCUUUACGCUUUAUAGAGAGCGAUAGUCCAUGUGGUCAGAUCUCAUUCAGAUAACUAGCCAAGUGGGCAAUCGCUCCACCUUAUCAAAAUUCUUCAUCUUAUAAUAAUAUCAUGAGUAGGCCUUGAAUUUUUCUUUUAAUUUUAACAUUUAAAAGGUAGAGGUGAAAAAGUCUAAAUAGUAUUUUUGUCCUCGUACUUUAACUAAAUAACAUUUCUUGAAAAUCACUCAAUCUUAAAAUUUAAUUAAGAAGAUAUUAUAGAUUUAUAAGCCCUUAAAAUUUAUUUGCAAGUAACAAUUAGAGAAAAGUCGUCAGGCCCAAAAGACUUACUAAAAGUCGUCAACUCGUCAUGACCAAAAUUCUUCCGCGUGUGAAAUACGGCAUGCGCAGAUGCAUUAAAAACAAAGGCCAGCUAUGAUAAUCUUUGUAGUAUUAAUAAUUUCAGACGCGUCGUUCGUUGCCUGUGACUUUUCAUAUGCAAAAGCGGAGUCAGUGUUACUUGCAUUCCCUGUCACCUUAUUAAUAAUUUCAGACACCAUCGUUGGUUGCCUGUGAUUUUCAUAUGCAAAAGCACAGUCAGAAUUACAAUUUUACAUUUGGAAUUGAGUGCCAUCUAUUUAUUCUAGCUGGAUCUAAAAUGAUAUUGCAGUAUUGCACUGACUUUUUAGUCACAGCGUUUCUCUAUGAAUUCCUUAAAGUUUAAACACAUCAUGGAAUAAUUAUUUUCUUAAAGACCAAAUUAACAUAAUUCUUAAAUCAUUUAUAAAACAACAUUUAUCAUAUAACAGAUCGUACAUGAAUAAAUUUACCUUGAACCGUAGCAAACAAACAAGAAUCUCAACCACAUCAAUAUCAUAACCCCUUCUGACCUUAACAAUAAUUUUAUUCGUCCUUAAUUCAUAGGUAUAAGUAUCCCAAUAUAUACUUGAUGUCAACCUUUACAAUUCUUUACAGAAUUGCAGCAGACCAAAUUUGUAUGCAAAACUGAAAUCAUACAGUAAUUGAAUACAGUGAAAAUAGACAUGAUGGGAAUUAGUAUAUAUAAAUAUCUUAAUAAUUUAAAAGUUUCUUAAACUGAUUUUACAUAUCUGAAAAAUUAUAGAAAUCGGAACUGCUGCAGAAAUCAUAAUUUUCCAGCGAAUGUGUUACAACUUCAGAAACUCAUAAGAAAUUAAAUUCUUGGGAUCACAAAAUAAUUCAAUAGAAAGCUUAAGAUGUCUAGUUCAUAAAAUCUGAUUUUUUUUUUUAAUAAGAUCUUUGGAAUUUAAGAGAUUCAGCAGUACUUUUAUUACAUCAAUUCUUCAAACAAUCACCAAUCUAACAUUCAUCAAAAUUAAGUCAUAAAAAUCAUGUGGUUUAUAAAAAAGAAUUACCUGAAAAAGAUUAGCCUUCCCCUUUCAAAAGCAACGUGAAACUCCAAAAACUCUUCUUCCAUUACCUAUUCAAACAUGAAAAAAAAAAAAAAAAAAAUUGGUAUCUCCUCUUUAAACGCGUGAUGAGUGUGCUCUGUUUUCUCUGUUCUUCUUUUUCUUUUUUAGAUUUCGAAAACGUAAAGAGUGUUGGAGUCUUUAUUUUCUAAAAACAAGACUUUUCCAUGUAUUCAAUUAAAUUAAAUUAUGUCCUAAUGCUAUGUCAGUUCCAUCAUUAACAUUUUUUUUUUUCCUUUUAACACCAACAUUAGCGUAUCUUAAGUAUCAUAAUCCAUAGUUGGACAAUUUGAAAUCUCUUCGUGUUUUAUCUCAAAGUAGAGCUUCAAACAAUUUGUACCUCACAAAUUUACAAUAUCUAUGAGGGCUAAUAAGACCAAACUCAGGCAUAUUGUCAAAUGUGCUUAUACUUUCGCUUGACAAGUCAUUUUAAAAUUGUCUUUCAAUGCCAAAAAACCACAUAAACUAAUGGUCCACUACUUUAAUUUGAAAGCAUGCAUGCGAUCGCCAAUAAUCAAGGAUGUUAGGGUCAUGCUACAGAGUAUAGAACAUGAUUUGAUGGUAUAGCCUUUUUUCUUUAUAAUUUUUAAGUUUAAUACUGUUACGUAUGUAGCACAUAAGUUGGAAAACAUAACAUAAAAUUUGAAAAAUGUGUAGUUUUCGUUCCCUUUUUUCCCCUCUAAAAAUGGGAAAAAAGAACGUAAUUUUGAUUUAUUUAAAUUACUGUUGUGAUAACAAUUUUUAUUUUAUUGAUUAGUUACCCAUACAUGUGGCAAAUUUUUUAAGAUAAGGUGAAGGAUGAAGCUCAAAUAUAUAAAUUAUAUAAUUAAUUACCCUCUGUAGUAAGUUUAAAGUUUAUUAUUUUUAACUACAUGUUUAUAAUUUAUUUUUAUUAUGUGUUAAUCUAUAGAUCUAAAUUCACUUCGGAACCAUAUACAUAUUUAGACAUAAUGUGCAUGUUAAUCUAUAGAUCUAAAUUCACUUUAGAUCUAUAUGAGUAUUUAGACAUAACGUAUUGCAACCAUAUUGGCAUGUUCUCACUAUAGUAUUGGUGUAUUGAGUAUUGACAUUAUAUCUAAUUGUCCUUAUAAAUCCAAAAAUAAUCUAGAUAUACAAAUUAACAUAAAAUAAAUAUAAUUGGUAGAAAAUGCAAAUUAUAAACAUAUAAUUGAAAAUGAUAAAUUUAAAUUUACUUAAGAAAGUAAUUAAUCACUUAUUUCUUUUUUAUAAUAUGACAAAUAUUAUAAUAAAUAUUAAUUAAUAAUAAUUAGAAUAACAAAUUAAGGAUAUUUUAGUAACUUAAAAUAAUUCAUUUUGAUUUCGAGACAAAAUAAACACAUCAAUCACAAUACAACUCAUUCUGAUUCCACUCAUUCAGAUUUCAACAUAUUUUAAUUAAUUCAAGUGCUCUCCAUUAUAAUUGAAGCCGCUGCCCCACUCGUGAUUCCAAACUUUAUCUUUUUCCUUUUUUAAAUUAAUGCAAGCAGCCGCUGUCCUUUUUAUUAAUUAAUUAAUUAAUUCGGCCUCCCACAUUUCUUUUCCUAAUGUCUUCGGCUUUCGAUUUUCUUUUAUUUUCUCUUUAUUCUUAAAAUAGACUUAUAAUAAUAAAAUAUAAAAAUAUAAAAAAAAUUAACAUAAUCAAAAUAUAAUUUAACAGAAAAUUAAGAUAAAAAAUGUGAAAAUAAUAUAUAAAUUAUGAGCGUAUCAAUCAAUAAAUGAAAAAUAAUAAUUUUUAUUUUUAUUAAAUAUAUAUUUUUCAGUAUGAAUCAGUUAUCUAAAUAACUAAAAUCAGUUAAAAAUAAAUAAAUAAAUUAUUCUUAAAAAAAAAAUUUUAUACCACUCACUAUGCUGGCUGUCAAGGGUAGAAGCUUUGGGGACUGAAGUUGGUAACUUCUACAAGUAGUCUUAAGUUGACUGGCAACAACUACAUUGGCAUGUUCAAAUGUUCUCACUAUUGUAUUGGUGUGUUGAUAUUAUCUCUAACUGCCCUAUAGAUCCAAAAAUAAUCUAAAUUUACAAUUUAACAUAAAAUAAAAUAAUUGGUAGAAAACAAUUAUGGUUCAUUUACUUAUCAGUAAUUAGAAUAAACUAAAAUCAGAAUGAGUUGUAUUGCCGUUAAUGUGUUUAUGUUGUAUCGGAAUGAAUUAUUUUAAGUUACUAAAAUACCCUUGGUUUGUUAUUCUAAUUAUUAUUAUUAUUUAAUAUUUAUUAUAAUAUUUGUCAUAUUAUUAAAAAGAAAUAAUAAUGAUGAUAAUAUUAUCAUUAUUGUUUGUUAUAUUAUUAUUAUUAAAAAAAUUAUUGUUAAUAACAAUAAUAACUUUAUUUCAAUAAUAAAAAUGAUAAAAUUAAUAAUAACAAUCAUGACAACAACAACAAUUAUUUAUUAUGCCAAAAAAUAACAAUAAUAAUAAGAAUAAUAAUCAUCAUCAUUUUUUCCCAAAGAAGCAUUAUCAUCAUCAUUUCAAAAAAAAAAAAAAAUCAUCAUCAUCAUCAUUUUUGUAGUGGCUGCCUAUCGGCUGCUGCUUUCAUGCGAGAUUGACUUGCGACGCUUCAACUGCUAUUAUUUCUGGCAAUGUCAGGUGUUGUUGUUUCAAUGGGGGGAGAAGUUGUUUCGGUGCGCUAACGAUGGGAGGUAAUGACGGUAGGUGUUGCUGCUCAAUGCGAGGUCCAUGGCCAGUUGUCUUGUUUUACAACCAGCUCUUGUAGGAAAUUCUUCAUCCAAAAUAUUUUUUUGUAACCUUCAAUAAUUGUAAUAUCAUUUGCUUCCGUGGUAGAAAAGACAACUCAUUACUAAAGUCUAGAUUGUGAUGAGACUGCUCUCCCUGCAAAAGUGAGCAAAUAUCCUAGUAGGGAUUUUUCAGAAUCAACAUCUCCUGUCAUAUCUACACACUUGUAACACAGGUUUGUCACCACCAAAAUAUAAACAUAUUCUGGAAAUGCCUCUAAGAUAUCUGAGAAUUCAUUUCACUGUUGUCCAGUGCUCUUUGCCAAGAUUGAAGAGAAACCGACUGACUACACUAAUUGCAUAGGCAAUAGCUGGUCUUGUACAAAUCAUGGCAUACACCAAACUGCCAAUUGCUGAAGCAUAAGGAACUCCUCUCACUAAGAAAUGGGUUUUGCUCUUGAGAUUUUUGGGAACAUGAAGAAUAAAGAUGUAAUUUCUUGGACUACCAUUGUUUCGGGGUAUAUAAAUAGAGGACAAGUCGAUAUAGCUCGACAGUAUUUUGCUCAGAUGCCAGAACGAGAUUAUGUCUUAUGGACUGCCAUGAUUGAUGGGUACCUUCAAGUGAAUAGGUUCAGAGAGGCUUUGACACUUUUCCGGGAGAUGCAAACUUCAAAUAUAAGGCGAGACGAGUUUACCAUUGUUAGGAUUCUUACAGCUUGUGCGAAUCUGGGGGCACUAGAACCGGGAGAAUGGAUAAAGACUUAAAUUGACAAAAACAAGGUCAAGAAUGAUAUAUUUGUGGGGAAUGCUUUGAUAGACAUGUACUGUAAAUGCGGAGAUGUUGAGAAAGCUCAAAGGGUAUUCAGGAAGAUGCUUCGAAAGGACAAAUUCACAUGGACGGCCAUGAUUGUUGGCCUUGCCAUCAGUGGCCAUGGUGAUAAAGCUCUUGAUAUGUUUUCCCAAAUGCUUAGGGCUUCGAUUAGACCAGAUGAGGUAACUUAUGUUGGUGUUCUGUCUGCCUGUACUCACAAUGGUAACGAAAUUUUUUUGAUAAAUAGUUGCAACUUAAGGUGAGAAUUGGAGGAAACGAAAUAGACUGAAGUUGUUCAAUCAUCGGUGGUUGCUAUUUGAUUUUAAGUUGUUCAAUCAUCGGUCGUCUCUAUUUGGUUUUCUCCAAUAUCUCAUCUCCAGUUUUGACUCAGAUUCUGUCUUACCACUAGUAAUUACAUAGACUUGCUGCCAAAGGUAAGAAUGGUAAUAAAUUAAAUAGAUUAUGUCGAUAACGAAAUAGAUUUACUAUUGCUAUGUGCAUUAUAUUUGGUUCCUGCAAAAUAUUUUCUCCUGCCUAAAAUUUUUUGAAUCAGUAAGUUUUUACCUUACGCAAGAAUUGUGCUAAGAGUAAUUCCAGUCUCUCUAUGUUUCAAUGAAGACGUAAAACUUGUGUUUUAGAGCACCAAUGUUAUGCUUCUUACAAUUGGAUUUUAAUUUACUUCGUAAAACUUUUGUCAAGAAGUACUAAGCGUGUAUUUGAAAUUGAGGUACUGUAGUUUUUAAGCUACAACUGCUGUGGAAAAAAAAUUGUAAUUAUGAAAUAAAAAUUAAUAAUAUAUAGUAAAUAUAAAUUUUAAAUAAUAGUUUUGAUAAAAUUAUUAAAGAUAUAAUAGUUUUUUUUAUUAUACAAGUGAAAAAUUAUAUAAACAUAGUUUUCAAGUUACAGCAGUUAGUGUUUACCAAACACUUUAGUGCUGUACUUUUUAAGUUGCAGCUGCCCAACAUCAAUCUCAAACGCACCUUAAGGAGUAGUGCGCCAAACACCAACUUUAUUACAGAGAGGACUUUGGUUAAACUUUAAGAAAAACACUCAAAGGAAGAGUUAUAAAUUAUUAUAGAAAUAUUUCACAUAAAUAAAAGCCAUUCCACAAUGCGAAGAUCUUGCUAUCAUCACCAGAAACCAUCGGGAGCUUUCAGGGUUUCCAUGAAAACGCCAUUUCAUUCCAAGAGUCAAUGGUGGGUAGAAAGUGGUGCAAACGAUACUCAUUGUUAAUGCUAUAAGUUUUUGCUAAAUUAUGUCUUACCCAAAAUGAUGAUUUAAUUUCCAUUCUCAAUUAAUUUUCAAGUUUCAACACUUUUCUUUGUAGCAUGACAUUGGAAAGGUCUUGUACUACUAAAAGCUAGCACCACACGUUAAUUAUUGUUAAGUUCUUUUUCAACGUGAAAUAAAGGAAGUAGUCCUUCGUUAAAACCAUUAUAGCCAAAUUUCAUGUAAUUGGACACUUACAGACUUUCAUUUCAAGCUGGAAUUUGGUCCAACGUUUCAAAGUUGACCCAACUAAUUGUCUGAUCAAGUCCUACACAGCUAAGACCCUCAAUGAAUGAGGGUGAGACUGCUAAAAAUUACGACAGUUGAUAUUAUUAUUAUUAUUAUUAUUUUGGGAUAAAUCCUCACCAAGGUGAGUGAGGAGAUUUUAUCAAAAUAAAAUAAAAAUAUAACAAGAAAACUAGCUAAAUUAAAAUAUUACAAAAGCUAGAUGAACUGAAAGGCAGCCUAAAAACAACCUUAUGGAAAAGAGAAGCAACAUGCUAGUAUUCCAAGCUUCUUGUUAUAAAAGUGUAGAAUGAAGUAGGUGACGUAGUUUUAAGUUACACCUCCAUGCCCAAUCACAAUAUCAAAUAAUGCUUAAAGUAGUUAUAUUAACUCUUAAAUUUAUAAAUAAUUAAAUUUGUAAAAGUAUGGAUUUAUAUUAAAAAAUUUAUAUAUAAAUAAAUAAUAUAUGCAUUUUUACAACAUAGUCUUUAAAUUUAAACUUUUCUAGAAAAAUCUUCUGGAUAUCUUUUCUAUUAAAAAAGAGUUUCUCAAAAUUUAUAAAAGUAACUUAAAGUUUUGUCUUCCCUUUUCUUUUAGCUUAUACAUAUGUGUGUGUAUUCUUUUAUAGCAAUAACUAACGUUAUUUAUUUUUAAAUCAUAAAAAAAUUAUGAAAAAAAAAUGUACCAAAUUUAAUUGGACCCAGCACAAUGCACAUGCAUAGAACACAUUCUGAAAAGCCAUGCUAUUCGGAAAUUGACGAAUGGAAAGUGAAGAGGCAGCAGUCAAUGCUAUUUCGGCUUGGCCCAAAAUUUCACCAGUUUGUUAAUCAGUGUUCUGCAGCUCUUGCUGCUUUCCUAGAGAUUCUGCAUGUUUUGCAAUCUGAUAGAAUUAAAAAAAAAAAAAAAUUAGUGGCCAUUUGGAAUGGAGGAGAGAUUUGUGUGAAUGGUAUAGGUGAAAAAUUGGAUGAAAAUAAACAGGCAACCGUCCGUAUAAAACAACAAUAACAAUAUACAAAAAGAUAAGUAAUUCACGAAAGGAAAUUUACGGUUGUUUCUGAAAAACAUACAUAUUAAUUUCACUUAUACUCUAAGAUUUGCCAUCAUGACUGGGCUUGUGAGGAAUUUGGAAACAUGUAUGAUGUAGAAAUGCUGAAGUAGCUUGAACCAGAUGGUGAAAUCGUCUAGCGGUCAGCGGGACAUGAAGCUAUAGGGGUUGUUAGUUGUGUUUUGGAUAUUUACAGACAUGCUGAGUUUGAGUUUAUAUCUUAACUUAAAAUUUGUAGUUUUCACUUGAAAAGAUUCAGUUAAAAAUUGAUUGGUAGAAUUGUUAAAAAGUCUAAAUUUUUAGUUCAAACCUAUUGCAUAUUUAAGAACAUCUCAAAUGAAUUGUUUAUUGCUAUCGUCAUCAUCAUUGCCCGUAUAAUUAUUAUUAUGUCUUUAUAAUUAUUAGUAUCGCUGUUAUUAUUUUUAUGGGUAAAUGGGCUUUCUAUCCUGGCAAUUUAAGCCAAUUACCUAACUAAUCCAUGUAAGUUUAAAAAUGUUUCAAAAGAUCUUUAUUUUAUAUAUGUUUCCACUAAAAUUUAUUUAAUUAUUCUUUAUUUUUCAAUUAUUGCAUGUUGGAUUUUUUUGAGUUCUAAGCUAUAUCAAUAGAAAUGUUAUCUUAUAUAUCCACAAAAAGUUAGAUCCAACAAUUAUGAAAAUUACUAUAGAGCUGCUUUGAAUAAUUUUUAAAAAAUACCACAAGUAAAUAAUAAUUAGUUUAAAUAGUGGAGACUAAAAAGCAUUCACCCUUAUUUUUUAUCUGUUAUUUGUAUUUUUUCCCGUUAAUGCACAUGUUAUACAUUUGAAACAUUCCGUUAAUUGCCAAUUAUGUAAGCGAGAUAGUAAUUUAAAUUUUUUUUUAAAAAAGUGAAAAUUAAUCCUAUGCAAUGUGAAUAAAUUUCUUUCCUUUUUCCUUCACUCUUUUUAUUUGAUAAUUAAGUUUCAAUCUAUGUACGCAAAAUUUCUGCAACAGGUGCAAAACAUAAAAAUAUAUGAUUGUUAAGGGAAACACGCGGAAGCUCAUCAUUUCAAUGUUCAGUAUUUCCAAUUUUGGCAUACGAAUAUAUUUCACUUAGAAAGCCAAAUAUUAGAUUUGUGAUUUUAAUUCAUUCAUCAUAUCUCAUUUCAAUCCCAAAAUAUUCAAGAGGAUCCAAGUUACCAUAAGACUUCAGAGGCUCGAGCCUUAGCCAGAGACGGUUAAUUGAUAGACUAUGUGCCCGGGUCGAGCACUGGAAGCGUGCAAUGCAGACUGAUUGAUUUAUCAGUUUGAUGUGUGCCAGGAAUGAAGAACUGGAAUAUCACCGUCAAGCAAGCACCCAGUGAAGCAAUACCAUAGAAUGCACAAUCCGGCCUUGCUAGGUGACACUGGGGGCUUUUUGAAAAGUGCUUCAUGCUCACUUGCACAGAUUGAGCAUCCCCUCUGGAUAUUGCCCUCUCUGAUCGAGUCAGAGCACUCAAAUUUCGGUCCUCAGAUGGAGCUACAGCUUUCUCUCCAAUAACCAACAAUUUUCUAAACUCAGCACCUAGUGUGAUCAGAGUUGUUGAUAUUUGUAAAUGGAGAUCCCCAUAUUUGCAAAUGGAGACAUUUAACAAAUCACCAACAUGCUUCAUCCGGUCUACGAAAUUCUGCAGCUGAUUCAAAUCCGGAACCUGAACCAGAGUCGGAGGUAAAUCUUGAGCCAUAUCUAAAGCAGUUUGAAGUUCAAGUACUUGAGCCCUCGACAGUGGUUUUGAAAUUGGAACAUCUUGAAUUACUGCAGACUUGUACCCUUUGGUUUCAAAGGUAAGGAAAGGCAUUGCUUGAGUACAAUUUGGAGGCAGCUUCUUCACCAAUUUUAUUUGGAGGCGAUUGGCAGCAGAUCCAGCUGCACCAUUUUCAGAGCAAAUACUGACACUACUUCAAACAGCACGCUGAAGAAGCGCUAUGUCUACGGCAAAGGCAAUGCAGUCCUCAUUUUGGCUUGAGAUGCGGUAAUCAUCGAAGAGAGUUUCCUUAUGAAACUGGGCAACACAUUGAAUCCCUUCACCACUGAGAAGGUUGUGGAGGAAGUACGCUUUCUCUCUAGUGAGGAAGAGGUGGCAUACCUUCCCCAUUUUGUCUAGGGCAGUUAGGAAUCUUUUUUCUAAGAGAUUUACUCCAUUCUCUGUGAGAAAUGCUUUGAACUUCAUCCCUCUGUCUCUAUCCUCACUUAUCAGUAAAACAGUUGAAAGUGAUACAAGGAGAGAAAAGGAGAGUACUAAGAUAUAUAGACAAGAAAAACAUUAGGUGUCGAUCUUACAUGUUAAUACUUCAAACAGUAUCCUAGAAAGCUAAAAACUGCAGAAUGGCUUGAAAUUUGAAAAGAACACAUGCUUUUCCUCCUUAACUUGAGAAAAUGUUUAACAUAGCGCGCCUUACAGAAGCAAGCAAUUAGAACUUUGCACAAAAACAUUCAAGAAGACCAAUAUUUCAACUAUUUUACUGAUGAAAAUCUCAAAGCACAAAUGGCAUUGCAUUUUGUCCUCAACUGUAAUAUUUAUUGAUGAAAAUCAGUACAGGUCCCUCAUUUGUUAUGGAAAGCUUUCUUGCAAAGUGACGGACAUUUCUUUCGAUUUAAAGUCUUUGCAUCACCACUUCAUCACACACCAAGCCAAUAUUCUGUCUACCUCUACAACAAAAAGUUUUAAGUAAACGAUCCUAAUGCACGCAGCCAAAUAAAAUGCAGUAAGAAUAUUCAACUUAAAAAUCUGAAAGUCAACUUGGUGAAUUGCCUUCUUAGGGGAAGUUCCAUGAUUUACUAUACUAGACAGAACUGAGCAAAAGCUUCCAUACGACAGAUUUUGACAAUAAUGAUGCCAACAGAUCCUCAUUAAAUCCAUUAAAACUCCUAAGGUUCAUUGUUCAUGGAUGUUUACAGAGUGAAAAUUAGAUCACCAGCAGCUAAUUGUAAAUUCAAACUUAACUCUUCAUCUCCUUUGUAAACAGGAAACAAAAUGGAGACACGCAAAAUGAAUAAGGAGAACAUUUGAACUCAAAUGAAAUGAGGGCACGAAAGCAAACAAAUGGCAUGCACAAACAAACCAAGCCUCAAUAAAAAACUAAUUAACCAUUAAAAAAAAAAAAAACUGGUCAGAGAAUGAACUCCAAAUUCGGUUCGGGAGUGAAGCAAGAAGCUUUAUUAUUUCAGAAGCUCCUGUACAAAUUAAUAAGUUAUGCUCUUUGGAAACAAACCUAAAUUCCAUGAGAAACAGAACUCAAAAAAUUUGCAAUUAUACGCCAAGGAAGUGAAGCACAGCAUUCUAUCACACGUACGAAUUGUAUAACAAGAGAUCGACACAUCGAAUCAGAAGAACUCAAUUCAAAUUUGUCUCAAAAAUCAAAAUUAGAAGAUUUCACAUUUCGAGAGGAACAAGGGACAGGUCAGAUGCAAAAUUUUCAGCCACAACAUGCCACAAUUAACGGUUUAUUUCCAUGGAUUUAGAGAGCUAACUGACCUUUUGGCUUUUGGAAUUGAGAAGAUCGCGCGCCAAAAUGGAAGAGGGAAAGCGAAAGUGCGGGUUUUAAUAGGGUAUUGGAUUAGCAAAUUUUAUUAGUUUGCGGGGGUAAAAUAGGAAAGAGAUAUCACUAUUAACCUUUUUUUUAUAAGAAAAAAGAAUAAUAAAGAAUAUUUUAUUGUCAUUUGCAGCCUUUAAUUUUUUUUUAAAUGCUAUUAGAAAAAUACGACGACAAAGAAAUGCUAUUUUUUUAUUUUUUUCUUGAAGGUGAAAUCAAUUAUUUAGCUCCUUAUAUGUAAUCAAACUCCAUUUCUUACUUUAAGUCAUAUCCAACGGACCAACAAAAUAAUUAUUUUUUUUUCAUUCAUUUUUGCAGAAAAUUAAUAACUUAAAAAUAUUGAAAGCUAUUGUAAAAUUUUUUAUUAUCAACCUCAUAAUUUAAUUUUUUUGGGGAAGAAUUGAAUUUUUUUUUUUAAUUUCCAAGAAUUUCAUUCUCUAGUUUUUCCAUUAAUAUUACUUAUCUUCAUACCCAUCUUAAUUAAAAUCUGUAGUUUUAUUCAAGAGUCAUGCUAUUCAUUCACUCGGACCAAAGGCUUUCCGCAGCAAUAUUAUUAUUUAAAUUACAACAAAGGGGAAAUCAAAUACGUCAUACAGAGGCUUAAAGCUCAAUCUACAAAAUCUAGAGUUCUCAACUACAUAAAUUACACUUGAUGAUCCUCUACAAGAUGAAUCUUGUUCAAUAUCUCAUCCAAAGCUUAUAAAGUAACCUUGUAACGAUCUUGAGAUUGCCUGCCUUCCUCGACGACCUGCACCAUGCGUUUGUACAAAUCAUCUGUGAUCAAGAACAUAAGAGCGUUUAACAUCUUUUCUCCAUCGAGAAAGAAUGUAGUGAGAUGGGAUCUCCUCCAUACCACUCUGGUUUAGAACACAAAGAAUGUGUCUGCAUAAAUAUCCUCUGAAAUUGAACAACCCACAAACACAAAGCACCUCCAAGUCGGAGGCAUUGUACAAAACAUCGAAAGCCCUUGAAUCUUUCUCGUUGCUACCAACCUCAAAUUCUUCCUUCACUAUGUAUGUUAUAGGUCCAUCAGCACUGACAUGUUUUGUGCUAUAGCAAGAGUACAUAGCCUCCACCUCCAUCUGAAACUUCCUUAACAUUUCAUUUGUGUACAGUUUUGAGAGUUGAAAUUCAUAGGAACAUCUUGGUUUCUGGAUACAACUUGAAUUUCUUGAAUCCAUAUCUGCCAAGGCUUCCAGUUGAUAAUUCGCCUGCAGUGCUUGAUCAUAUUUGUCUAAGUAUUCUUUCAAAGGAGUAUUCUUAUCAAGAUAUCCUUCAAAGUAUGAAGUAGAAACCUCACUCUGCAGGAAUGAAAACACUCCUGAUAAAAAUGUUUCCUUCAAAUAAACAGGAGCCCAACUUUUACGAUCCUCAUAUAAAGUUUGAAUCCAUCCAUGAUCCCUUAUUCCAUGACGUUGAAUCGUGUCCUCCCAAGCUGUCUCAAAUUCCUCAGGCCUAAGAGAGUGACAAAUUGCUCUAUGCAAUGCAGCUCUAAUAGCUUCAUAUUCAAAAUAUCCUUGGAGAUUCUCUGGAAUUUUUUGCAUGACGCAUGACAAUGAAAAACAAUGAUAAGCUCUUGGGAAAACAUCGCCGACAGCAGUUUGCAAGAUCUACAUUGGUCAGUGAUGAUUGUUUGUGGAGAGCGUCCUAACAUACAUGUAAGCCACACCCUAAACAACCAUGUAUAUGAUUCUAUAGUCUCACCGGCAAGUAAACCACAGCCCAACAGCACUGAUUGUCCAUGAUGAUUCACCCCAAUGAACGAAACCAGCGUUGCAUCAUAUCUUUCUGUCAAGCAUGUAGUAUCAAUUGAUUUGAGCUAUUAACAUCAUUUCCAAAUACUCCAUUGGCAUCUACAUUACCAUUUCCCUCGGCAUCAAUGAUAAGAGUUCGAAACAGUCUAAUCUUUUGAACUUCUUCAGCACCAUCUAAGAGCAAUGUUCUUUUGGUUCCAAUACCCAUGUGCUUAUGAGACUUGUAAAACUUCCCGCUUCUUGGGCUUAACAAGUGGUUAUGCUCAAGCUCGACUUCAAUGAUUCUCCACCUUUUGGUUUCCAUCAACCUAAACUUUAUCAUUGCUGGACAGCCCGUUCUUGUUUCUGGUCUUGGGCGGUUUGCCUCGCUUUUCUUCUUGAAGCCUGCAUUACUACAGCUGAGCUUUCCUUUAUACUUUUCUCUACUCUUUUGGUACCAUGUAUUGCUAACUCCAACACCAAAACCCUGUUCCUUGGCAUAGCAAUUAUAAAAGUAAUAUACGUCAUCAUACGUCUCAAACUCCAUUCCAACAGCAGGAGGCAAUGGAUUUUGGAUUAUCCCAGUUUGUCCAACAUAUUCAGUCAUCGCACAAUCUCCUACGACCUCAAAAUCAUCAGCUUCAUCAUCACCUACUGGUUCAGUAUUCAGAGAAACUUCAUCCAUCUACAAUAGAUGUUUAAUGAAGUGAGCUUUAAGGAGAAAAAGCAAAAUCAGUUCAAGGAAAGAUAAUAUAACCAUACAGUUACUUUCACAAAGCUGCGUAUUUCAUCAAUACUUUAACAACAUACAACUGCCUGAGAACAUAUAGACAUGUCAUAGACGUUUGAAUUAAGUAUUGGUACAAAUUAGCACACAUCAUGUGGGACACAAUUUCAGUCACUAAACCCAAUGCCUUUUUUUUUUCACAUCAUACCAAGGAACGGAUUAAACCCAAUACCUUCUUUUACGCCAUACCAAAGAACAGAUUAAAUCAUCAAUGAAAAUUUAAUCAAAUAAUAAUUUAACUAGACAAUUGAAGAGCUUGAAACAGCACAAAACUUGAAUCUGAUUAUGAUAAUUGUUGAGUCCUUGUAUCCACAGCUUUCCUUCAAUGAGAAGAUUAUGAACAUAAACUACACAUAAAAAAAUUAUUUAAACUGACAGCCCAUGAUAUAAAUCAAACAAAAUUAACUCCUUUUACAAAUCACAUCUCGUAUUCAGUUACAUUGAAACACAAAAAAGGAAGCAGGAGCCGGAGAAAAACAACAACAGAGAAACUUAUUUCCAGAAGGUUUACGAAAUAAGGAAUUUAUUAAGACACAAAAUUUGAGGUCAACAAUAAGAAUUUGGUUCUCAUUCUCUUUUUCUUCAUUUUUCACUUAUUGAUGGAGUUAGCGUACAAUCCUAUAUGAUAAAACCCCAUCUCCAUCUUUUUGAACUAGAGCUAAAGCAAAGCAUUUUAAGAUGUUUUUCCCUAAAAGACUCAAUAGUACAAUGCUUUUCAAUAUUAAAUACACAACUCAAUCUUCCCCUAAUUUACUCUAAUAAUCUCUUAACUAAGGAAGAUUAAGCUCCACUUGUAAGCUAAAACAAGUUUCUUAAAUCAAGCCCCAAUGCUCUAUACUAUUCAACAAGGCCUCAUAAAUGAUAAAACUACCUCUGCAAAGAUACCCAUUUUAAUUUCGCAAACUAAAAUCAAACUUCUGAAACGUAACGAGCAUUAAAACAAACAAGUCCGAACAAGAACUGAAAAAUGAUACGUAAACCCGUUUACACGUUUCGACAAACACUUUCCAAUCAAUGAGCAAAAAGGUUAAUGGAAAACAUGAAAUUCAAACAAAACAUACCUUAGGUUGAUAAAUUAGUAGGGCAAAAGAAAUUUUAGCGAGAUAUGGGAUCAGGGAUUUUGCCACGGUGAUGUUAAUUGCGACAUUCGGGUGACUCAGCAGCCUUCGAGGCUGAAACUUUGAUUGACCAAAAGGUUCCCGUUCGUUGAUUCUCUAAUUGCAGAAACGAAACUGGCAGUGUACAGAAAAAGUACGCUGAUUUGAUAAUUCUGUGAAAAUCAUUGUUUUUUUCAGAUUUUAAUGUGUUCGAUAAAAUAUCAAAAUCUCAAAAACUUUUGUCUUUCAUUUUGGGGGGAAAAACACACUGAGAUCCUUAUGUUUUUUCUUAUAUAAUCUGGCUUAAUAAUUUGCAAAGUCUAUUACUUUGCACCCAUGCAUGCUGCGUUACAAUUUACAAAAUUGUACGUGAGUGCAUCCAGCUAAAAUUUGUAAAAAGAAAAUAACAAUAACAUGUUAAAAAUGUGAUUAUUAUGAAGAAAUUUUAAUUUAGUUAAAUAGGUGACGAUGGAUAGGUAUAAAAUCUGAGAUCUUUUAUGAGAUUAAUAAAUAUGUUGAGUUUGGAUUAGUUCAAUUUUGACAUAAUACAGAAUAAACACAACCUGCUAAUCUAAGUUACCAUCUUUUCCCGUCAUCAGGUACCUGUUUGAAAAAUAAUUAUAUACAAUUUUAUUUGCGUUGUCUCUCUAAAAAUUUGGGACUCAAAUGUUAUUUCUAAUUGCUAAAAGUACGAAAAUGCCCCAUUUCUCUUCAGCUAAAGGAGUGCAAAGUCAUCUGUAUAAUUGAAGCUGCAUCAUCAGUUUCUAUUGCUGGUGUUUACUGCAUGCUUACAGUUGCUUGACAAAGUGAGCCAGUUUUUUGUUUAUUAAUUUUUUUUCUUGUCGAGAUAGUCACAAAGUAUUACUUGUUCUAUAUAAGAAUGAUGUGAAUCAAUUUUUCAAUUAUGCAUUCUGUGGUAAUUGUGAAUUUAGUUUCAUUUGUCUUGUCUCCUGCAAAUUUUGAAGAAAAUGCAGACAUACAAACUUACAAUACGGAAGAGUUCACAGGCAAAAACUUUGUGAAAGCUUCCAAGUGAAACAGGGAAUGCGCUUACUAGUAAAGAACAAAUUGGUGGCCAGCUAAUGCAUUCAUUCUAUGUCCAUUGAUCUUUUUGAGUUAUUGAAGACAAGUGGCUCACCGCUUUUAGUAUUGGUAAAAUUCAGAUAAUCUCUAUUCCGAAAUAAUAAUAUUCAAAAUAUCUCUUAAAUCAUUAUAAACCUCAAAUUUAUUUUAAUUUUAUUUAAAAGAUAAAAGAAAAAUAGGUUAUGUUGGUGAUUUUUUAUUAUCUUUUUAAUAAAAAUGAAAUAAAUUGAUGUUUAUAAUUAAUUAAAGUAUUUUAAAGAUUGCCAUUUUAUGAGAGAAUAAUAUUUCACUUUUUUUAGUGUGAAAGACCGAAAAAGGACAAAGCAAGUUUCCCUAAUUUUUAUUUUAUUCGAAAUUGGUCAUCUCAUAUACUUCACCCUUCAACAUUAUAAUUUUUUUGGUUAUAAUUUUAUUAUUUUUUUUUCUUUUACACAUGCAUGUGAAUUACUUUUCUUUAAGCUCCUGAAUAUUUAAGACAAAUCAUGGAAGAGAUGAGAGUAUAACAAGAUGAUCAAAAUAUGUAACAAAAAAAUUUUAGAAGUGAAAAAUAUGUUAGAGUCGAAGUAAAACUCUGAGGUGAUGUUUGAUUUGAAGAAAAUGGAGGAGAGGAAAUGAGUGGAAUGGAGAGGAAAAGAGAGAAAAGGAGAGGAGAGGAGAGUGAAAUUUUUUUCUAAUGUUUGGUUUGUCACAUAAUUAUACAAAGAAAAGAAAUCUCUAAUUUUUUAUUUAGACAAUUUUAACCUUAAUAAGUAUUAAGCUUUCAAUAUUUAUCAUGUGUAUAAUUUAAAAAAAGUAAAUGGUAGAAAGCGGUUUCUGAUUCCGGCCACAUCGCCGGCAAUGGAAGGUACUUAUCAGAACAUCAAGAGCCGACCAUCAUUCCCUAGCCAUCACUGCUGUCGGAACACUGCCAGAAAGCUGCCGAUUGAACCGCAAAAAGUCGUGGAAAUCGCUGCCUCAAAUCGGUGAGUUUCGCCUUUUUCUGGUCACGCCGUCACCUUGGCUUUGUCCAUCAAGGCUGCCACUUCCAUUUUCAACCAUCCAUAGCCACUAUUAACGGCCAAAUCGCCGCCGAUCAGCGGGAUAUGUGGAAGUUAAAAAGUUUCUAAAUUUUUUUUAACUGGAUUUGAACAACAUACGACCAUUUUUUGAUCUCGAUAACGACGUAGUAAUGUUGAUCAUUGGUCGGCAAGUCGAAUGGUAGUGGCGGUGAGUAACACGCGCCAAUGACAUCGGCGGCGGCACUAUCCGGCGACUGUUAAAAUUAAUAUUUUAUAUUUUUAGAUUAAAUAAAUUUAUUUUAUUAAACUUUUUAAAUCAUUAUUUAAAUUUAAUUAAUUUAAAAUUAUCUAUAAUGUUGAAUUGAUAAAAUAAAUUUAUAAAUAAUAAUUAUGUGAUUACAUUAAAUAAGUUAAAAAGUUGAAAGGUUAUUUUUGGAAGAUUUAGUUUCCAACACAAAGGGAAUUUGAAUUCUUCACUUCUUAGUGUGGAAUUCAAAUUCUAUAUUGUAAUGGAUAUUAAAUUCCAAUAGAAAUUAAAUUCUUAUAAGUUAUGUCAAACCAAACAACGGAAAUAAAAAAGGAAUUUAAAUUACUUUCCUUUCCUCCACCCUCUCCUUCCAACCAAAUACAUCCUGAAAAUAGAGAUAUUGAUUAAUUUAGAAGAGAUGCAAGCAAAAGAUAUUCCAAAAAAAAAAAGCAAUAUGUCCCUUUGGAGGGCAAACUUGUCAGUUUUAAAAAAGUACAUGCUUUGGAUUGAUAGUUGUAGGAUAUUUGUUUUGUCACUAUGUAUUAGUUGGAGAAGUCAAGCCUUGUGAAGAAUGUUAUGAAAGAGCAAAUGUUAGAGUACAAUUUAUGCACUAGUUUUGCAUUGUUUACUUCCAUUAAUAUCGAUGUUUUGCACUUAAUAAUAGUGAUUUACUUGUGUUUUACUUUUGUAGGUGCAAUUCUAUUGAUUGGUGAUAAAAUUGAGCUAUAAGAUGAUGUUUAAGGAUGAUUGUUCUCUUGGAGAAAUUUAGAACGUCAGAAGAACUUUGUUGAUAAGGCAUGGGCGCGUGCUGUCAACUGCGGACCUGCAGUUUUUAGUUUAACGUGUUUUGUAUUUUUGGUUAUUUUUGUAAUUACGAAUUUAAUAUUUCAGAUAUUAGUAUUUUAUUUUAAAUAGAAUUCUAAAAGAGAGGAGAGAGAGAGUAUUUAAGGGAGGAAUCUAUUGUGAAAAAUGGGGAUUUUGGAUUGGAGAAAGAAAGAAACCCUAGAUCUAAUUUUUCUCUUCUCUCUAUGAAGAACUAAACUUAUUUUUCUGGUUGAAGGUUAAUGAAGCUUUGAUUCAUCACUACUGUGAGAUCUUUCUUGUGCUUUAAUUGUUUUAUUGCUUUUUGGGUAUUUGUUUAUUCUCUGAAUUAUUUUCAUGAUUAUGUUUGUUAAUUAGAUAAUUGGCCACUAUUUAAUUAUCAACUUAAUCUAUUGUCAAUUAAAGGAUUCAUCGUAUGAAGAAUUUAAUGUUUGUGACAAAUAACAUAGCAGAGAGUUGUGUUGUGAGAAUAAACAAUCUAAUUUAAAUGAAUCAUCAUAUGUGUUGAUUAGGAUUUGGGUCUCUCUGGUUUUUCAGGCUGACAUUGAUUAAAUCCUAUGAUCGUAUCUAGGGUUGUCUAUUGAUUAGGGAAAUAACCAACGGUCGUACCUUGGUUAUCGACUAGUUAAGGAGAGAUUGGCUAUUAGAGGUUCUCAAUAGUUAUAACCGAUCUAUUCAUAAGUAAUAAUAAUCUAUAUUUGAAUCAAUGAUCAGUAGUCGAAUCAAGCUGAGUUAAUUCCUUCAACCAGAGCUUUCUCCAAUUUGAAUUACAACUUUAAUUUGCAUUCUUGUUAUUUUGAUUUGAUUUUUAUUAUUGUCAACAAUUCCCUCAUUUUACGUUUUACGUUUCAAAAGGAUUUAAAUAAUUACCGAUCUCUGUGGACACGACCCUGCUCAAUCACUAUACACAAUUUAUUUAGAGUAUGAAUUUAUUUUUAUUGGCUUCGACACCCAUCAGCAAAGGAUAUUCCUGAUAGCUGAUAGAGCUCUAUUUGAUUAUGUAUCCAAUGAAUGGAUGUGUUGUUGGAAGAUAUCUGAGUGCAUUAGUUCAUAUGUGUCUGUCAAUGUGCUUUUAAUGAUUUUUCCACUUGUUUGUUGUAAAAGAUUAUUGUAAAUUGAAAUGAGCUUGAUGUUGUAAUAUUUUUUCCUUAGUGGAAUUUCACCUAGUAUGUAUUCAGUUGUGUUCUCUAUAAUUUUGCAUUCGAAUAAGUUUCACCUAAAAUAUUAGCAUGAGUAGUGGCCUUUGAAACUUUGGUCAAAAUUAUUGUUAUUAUUUCCGACUAGAUGUAAAUUUUUUAUUAAAUCUCGUUAACACAAUUCUUAAUUAAAAGUAUAGGUUAGUGUUGGUGCAAGAUUUGCCACACCAAAUUCUGCCUAGCUGUCAAAAGUGCAAAAUAAAUGAAGAGAAAGCACAAAUACACGACUUGAAUAAGGAUACAACGAAACUUAAUUUCAAGAGAAAAUGAUAGCUAUAUCUCAAGAUUUGAAAAAAUGGUCAUGUAGAUUUUUAAGAUUUCAAUAAGCGACUGAGAUUCAAAUAAUAUCCUUUAAUUCUAUUAACAAAAAACAAAGACUCAAAUAUUUUAUGAUAAAGAAAAAUAUAAUAUUAAAAUAUAUGUGAUAAUAUACACAUUUUAAAUACUUUUAAUCCAAAAAAAUAGUUAUGUUUUACAAUCUAUUAGACAUAUUUUAUUAAAUUAAUAUAAAUUUUCUAUAAAAUAAUAAUAUAAUAUUAAAAUAAAUUCACAAAAAUUUAAAGAAUUUUGAAUGUAAAAUAAUUUUAAUAUAUUAAUACGUGAGUUUUUUAUUAAUAUAAAAAUUAUUUAACUUUAAGAUUUUUUAAAAUCUUUACAAUAAGUAUAACUAUAUUAUUUACAUUUAAAAAUAUUUAAAUAUUAUUAACCUACAAUUAUAUUUGCAUUUGUUAGAAAUUUUUUAAGUCAAAUAUUUUGCACUUCUAUAUUAUUAGAAUUAUUGCACACAAAGAAAGAAACAUAUACCUUUAGAAAUUGUUUUCUUUUAAAAUAGAGAUGAUGAUUAGUAUAAGGAUGAAAAAAAGGAUAUUAACGAAAUCUCUAUACAAAUUGAUUUUAGUAGGAAAAAAAUGAGUUAAAUGAUUUAGAGUGCGUUUGGAAUUGAGAUUGGGCAGUCAUAGAUUUUAAGUUACAACACUGAAGUGUUUGGUAAAUACUAGCUACUGCAGAUUGAAAGUUAUGUUGAUAUGAUUUUUCACAUGUAUCAUAGAAAAUAUAUUACAUCUUUAAUAAUUUUUUUAAAAUUUAUAUUUGCUAUAUAUUAUUAUUAUUUUUUUUUAUAGUUAUAACUUUUUUUCCAUAGCAGCUGUAGCUUAAAAGCCACAGCACCUCAAUCUCAAACAAGUCCUUAGACAUUCAUAGUGUGUUUAUUUUUUGGAUUGGUGAAUCAAAAUUAUUGACAACGCUAACUUCAUCUUCACCGUUCGCAAUCCAACAGCAGCAAUUGUCACCAAUAAUGAUAUCUCCAAUGAUGAUGACAAUUAUUAUUAUUAUUAUUAUUAAUUAAUUAAUUAAUUAAUUAAUUAAUUAAUAUAUUAAUGUUAAUAUUAUUAUUGUUAAGAUUAACAAUAAUUAUUAGUAAUACAAUUUUUUGAAUAAAAAUAAUCACAAUAAUUAAAAUACAAAUUAAUAAUUAUGACAAUAGUUAAUUAAUUUCUUUUUAGUAAUUUGUAACAAUCUAACUCAUUUUAAUUCUGAUUAUUACAGCUUAAGUAAACAAAUUAUUAUGAUUCCUAUUCUCCUUUCCCAUUUUAGCUCACUUCGAUUCCAGUCUAUUCCGAUUUCUAUCUAAUAAAUGCACCAUUAGUGCUAAAGUAAUAUUUCAUACAUAGAAAAGUAAAAACUACACCUAAGGUUAAGGGAAAGGACUUCAAAACUCUCUUUUGAUCAUAAUACAUUUUGUCCUAAUUAACUUAAAGAUUUUGAAUCUAAUAUUUUAUAAUAAAUAAAAAUAUAUUCCUAAAAUAAAUAUAAUAUCAAUAUUUAAAAUAUGUUUUAAUAUUUUACAAUCUAUCAUACACAUUUUAUUAUAUUAAAGUAGAUUUAUAAUAAAUAUAUAAAAAAUUUAGAAUAUUUAGAAUAUUAUAUAAAAUAAUUUUAAUAUAAUGCGUGAGAUAUAUUUUAUUAAUUUAAAAUGUCAUUUUACCUAAAAAAUAUGAUAAAUUAAUAAUUACAUAUUUGAAGUUAUUUCAAAUAUUAAAAAAAUUUAAUAUUAUUAAUCUUUUAGAUAGAUUAAAUUAUUUUUCAUAAGAGAGAUUAAUCUUUUACUAAAAUUUCUCUUCCACAGCCCACCGCAGCUUCAGUUAAUCAAACUCCAUCAAUUUUCUUUCUUAACAAAAUUCUAAAGAUGUGUAGCAUUUUUCAGAUCACAUGCGAUGGUGCUUUUUUCAAUCGUUGCUUGGAUUGCUUUCUUGGAAAAGCAGCAUACAUACGUAACCUCCAAGAUAAUCUUGAUGCCUUGGAGACUGAAUUGGGAAAUCUGAUCGCUAGAAAGAACGAUGUGAUGAGGAGGGUUGUCGAUGCUGAACGGCAACAAAUGAGAAGGCUGGACGGAGUGCAAGUGUGGGCUUCGAGGGUGGAUUCUGUUAAAACUGAAGCUGAUCAAUUUAUAAGAGACGGCUCUCGAGAAAUUGAAAAAUUAUGUGUUGGAGGCUACUGUUCCAAGAAUUGCAUGUCAAGCUACAAGUUCGGGAAAAAAGUGGCUAAAAAGCUACGGGAUGUGCGGUCUUUAAUCAGUGAAGGAGUUUUUGAAGUGGUGGCUGACAGAGCUCCAGAGUCUGUAGCAGAUGAAAGACCUACUGAGCGAACAGUAGUAGGCUUGCAAUCACAACUUGAACAAGUCUGGAGAUGUCUUGUAGAAGAAUCAGCGGGAAUCAUUGGCCUAUAUGGUAUGGGCGGUGUUGGUAAAACUACACUACUGACCCAUAUCAACAAUAAAUUUCUCGAGAGUCCAACCAACUUUGAUUGUGUGAUUUGGGUUGUAGUUUCAAAAGACCUGCGACUCGAAAAAAUUCAAGAAGAUAUUGGGAAAAAGAUAGGUUUGGUUGGUGAUUCAUGGAAGAGUAAAAGUGUAGAGGAGAAAGCUGUCGACAUCUUCCGGAGUUUAAGAGAGAAGAGAUUUGUAUUGUUGUUAGAUGAUAUAUGGGAGCGGGUUGAUUUAACAAAGGUGGGCAUUCCACUUCCCGGACCAAAAAAUACUACCUCAAAAGUCGUAUUCACAACCCGUUUCAUCGAUGUUUGUGGUAGCAUGGAAGUUGACAGGAAGUUUCAAGUAGCAUGCUUAUCAGAAAAGGAUGCUUGGGAACUGUUUCGAGAAAAAGUUGGGGAAGAAACUCUUCAGAGUCAUCAUGAUAUCGAUGAGCUAGCCCAAAUUGUGGUCAAAGAGUGUGGUGGUUUGCCACUCGCACUUAUUACUAUUGGUCGAGCUAUGGCCUACAGAAAGAAAGCGGAGCAGUGGAGACGUGCAAUUGAAGAGUUAAGGAGAUCAGCUUCAGAGUUUGCAGGUUUGGGAAAAGAGGUGUAUCCUCUUUUAAAAUUCAGCUAUGAUAGUUUGCAGAAUGAUACGGUUAGAUCUUGUUUCUUGUACUGUUGUUUAUAUCCUGAAGAUUAUGGCAUUCUUAAAUGGGACUUGAUUGAUUGUUGGUUUGGCGAGGGAUUUUUUGGGGAAUCUGACAGGUCUGGUGCAGAAAACCAAGGAUAUGACAUUUUGGAAACUCUUGUUCGUGCAUGUUUAUUAGAAGAGGUGGAAGAUGAUGAAGUAAAAAUGCAUGACGUUAUUCGUGAUAUGGCUAUAUGGAUAACUUGUGAAAUUGAGAAGGAGAAGAGAAACUUUUUGGUUCGUGCAGGUGCUGGAUUAAAAGAGGCACCGGGUGUUAAAGGAUGGGAAAAUGUGAGAAGAUUGUCAUUGAUGCAAAACCAAAUUGAAACUCUGGCAGAGGUUCCCACAUGCCCUCAUCUCCUCACUUUAUUUUUUGACUUUAAUAAGGAGUUAAAGAUGAUCGCGGAUGGCUUCUUCCAAUUUACGCCUUCUCUCAAAGUUUUGAAGAUGUCAAACUGUUUGAAUUUGAAAUUACCUAUUGGGAUGUCAGAGUUGGGUUCAUCACUAGAACUUCUCGAUAUUUCAUAUACCGGCAUAAGAGAGUAACCGGAAGAGUUAAAGUUGUUGGUAAAUCUGAAAUGUUUGAAUUUGAGGUGGACAAUUUGGUUAAAUAAAAUUCCACGGCAACUAAUAUCAAAUUAUUCAAGGUUACGUGUGUUGAGAAUGUUCGCUACUGGCUUGGGCAUUUUUCAUGAAGCACCAGAAGACAGCGUUUUAUUUGGUGGGGGUGAAGUUUUAGUACAGGAAUUGCUCGGUUUGAAAUAUUUAGAGGUAUUGGAGUUGACCUUGGGAAGUUAUCAUGCUCUCCAAAUUCUUUUGAGCUCAAAUAAGUUAAAAAGUUGUAUUCGAUCUCUUUACCUCGAGUUGACCGGAGAUACAGCGUCAAUUAUUGAUGCUACGGCUUUCGCAGAUCUAAACCACCUCAAUGAAUUAUAUAUUUUUAAAGGUAUUGAGUUGGAAGAAUUGAAGAUUGAUUAUACGGAGAUAGUACGAAAAAGGCGGGAACCUUUUGUUUUCCGCAGCCUUCACUGUGUUAUUAUGGUUUCGUGCCGUAAAUUGAAAGAUGUGACAUUCCUCGUUUUUGCUCCAAACCUCAAGUCUCUUUUGGUAGACGGUUGCGAUGCUAUGGAAGAAAUAAUCAGCGUCGGAAAAUUUGCUGAGACUCCUGAGAUGAUGGGACAUAUAAGCCCUUUUGAAAAUCUCCAAAUGCUUGAUUUAACGGCAUUGCCGGAGUUGAAGAGCAUCUACUGGAAGCCAUUGCCUUUCACUCAUCUGAAAGAAAUGGAGGUACUUAGGUGCGAUCGGCUUGAAAAGCUUCCACUCGAUUCCAACAGUUCAAAGGAGCGUAAAUUUGUUAUUUGUGGAUACACAAAGUGGUGGAACCGACUUCAAUGGGAGGAUGAAGCCACUCAAAUUGCUUUUCGUUCCUGUUUCCAACCAAUGGGAGUACUGAGCGGUGGUCGCAAAAUUUGAUUUCUGGUGAGUGCGUUUUUGUUAACGCUUAUGUUUUUAUUCCAGUGUGUUUUUCUUCUGUCUUCUGCAAAUCAAUGCUUUAUAAAUUUUCCUUUUCCCUUUUUUUUUGGGGGGGGGGGGGGGGGCGUGGGUCGAAUUGAUGCUCUGGUUUUUUACUUUUUGUUGUCAAAUUUGGCCUUUUUUUUUUUUUUUUUUUUUUACAAGUUGAUACUUUAUUUAUAUCUUCUUAGCGAUUUAAUUUCCUGUCAAAAGACGAGCGAGAAGAACAUAUGACUUAAAGCAAUUGAUACUUUAUUUAUGUGCAUUGUAUGUAAUAAAUAUUAAGUAUACUUUAUUUUGCCCUGUUCUCUGUUUUUAUUUCAGUCUCUCUCUCGCUCUCUCUCUUUCCUGUCUUCUGCAAGUCAUAAUUAAAUGUUGAAUUAUAUGGAAUUAAUGCUUUAUAAAUCUGCCUGCGCUGGCUUUUUUUUUUUUUUUUGUGGGGUCGAAUUGAUGCUCUGGUUUUCGACUACUUUUUGUUGUCAAAAUUUUCUCUGUUUUUUCAAAUUUAUAUCUUAUUCGUGAAAAGUGAUUUAAUUUCCUGCCAAAAGACGAACGAGAAGAACAUUAGAGUCAAACUAAUGCUCACAUAAAUUUCCCGUAAGAAUAUAUAAUUAGACUGGAAUGCACACCUCUAGAUUGAACAGAAUUAAAGCUGAGAAAAUAUUGAGUAUAGUAGCCCUCUUUACAGAAAAUGACGCGAAAGUUAAUUUAGAAAGAUAUAUUCUCGAUUAAUCCAUUUUCUGAAUUUUUUUUUUAUUUUGUAUGGUCAAUUUUUUUUUUAAAUUACAACCUCAUAGUCAUGCUAUUCAUUCACUCACAGACCAAAGGCUUUCCGCAGCAAUAUUAUUAUUUAAAUUACAACAAAGGGGGAAUCAAAUACGUCAUACAGAAGCUUAAAGCUGAAUCUACAAGAUCUAGAGCUCUCAAGAUGAAGCUUGUUCAAUAUCUCAUCCAAAGCUUGUAAAGUAACCUUGUAACGAUCUUGAGAUUGCCUGCCUUCCUCGACGACCUGCACGAUGCGUUUGUACAAAUCAUCAUACUUGUGCACUGGAUUUUUAAUAUCAACGCCACUGCAGCUGUGAUCAAGAACAUGAGAGCGUUUAACAUCUUUUCUCCAUCAAGAAAGAACGUAGUGAGAUGGGAUCUCCUGCAUGCCACUCUGGUUUAGAACACAAAGAAUGUGUCUGCAUAAAUAUCCUCUGAAAUUGAACAACCCACAAACACAAAGCAUCUCCAAGUCAGAGGCAUUGUACAAAACAUCGAAAGCCCUUGAAUCUUUCUCGUUGCUACCAACCUCAAAUUCUUCCUUCACUAUGUAUGUUAUAGGUCCAUCAGCACUGACAUGUUUUGUGCUAUAGCAAAGAGUACAUAGCCUCCACCUCCAUCUGAAACUUCCUUAACAUUUCAUUUGUGUACAGUUUUGAGAGUUGAAAUUCAUAGUAACAUAUUGGUUUCUGGAUACAACUUGAAUUUCUUGAAUCCAUAUCUGCCAAGGCUUGCAGUUGAUAAUUGGCCCGCAGUGCUUGAUCAUACUUGUCUAAGAAUUCUUUCAAAGGAGUAUUCUUAUCAAGAUAUCCUUCAAAGUAUGAAGUAGAAACCUCAUUCUGCAGUAACGAAAACACUCCUGAUAAAAAAGCUUCCUUCAAAUAAAUAGGAGCCCACCUUUUACGAUCUUCAUAUAAAGUUUGAAUCCAUCCGUGAUCCUUUAUUCCAUGACGUUGAAUCAUGUCUUCCCAAGCUGCUUCAAAUUUCUCAGGCCUGAGAGAGUGAUAAAUUGCUCUAUGUAAUGCAGCUUUAAUAGCUUCAUAUUCAAACAAUCCUUGGAGUUUCUCUGGAAUUUUUUGCAUGACGCUUUCCUUCAAUGAUAAGACAAUGAACAUAAACGAGACACAAAAAAAAUUAUUUUAAACUGACAGCCCAUGAUAUAAAUCAAACAAAAUCAACUCCUUUUUUUACACAUCACAUCUCAUAUUCAUUUGCAUUGAAGCACAAAAAGGAAGCAGGAGUGGGAAAAAAAAAACAACAGCAGAGGAACUUAUUUCCAUAAGGUUUAGGAAAUAAGGAAUUUAUUAAGACACAAAAUUUGAGGUUACCAAUAAGAAUUUGGUUCUCAUUAUUUUUUUCUUCAUUUUUCACCAAUUGAUGAACUUAAAAUACAAUCAUCAAUGAUAAAACCCCAUCUCCAUCUUUUUGAACUAGAGCUAAAGCAAAGCAUUUUAAGAUGUUUCAUCAUUUUUUUUAAUAAAAAAAAACCUCAAUAGUACAAUGUUUUUCAAUGUUAAAUGCACAACUCAAUCCUCUCCUAAUUUACUCUAAUAAUCUCUUAAUUAAGGAAGAUUAAGCUUCAGUUGUAAGCUAAAACAAAUUUCUUAAAUCAAGCCCCAAUGCUUUAUGCUAUUCAACAAGGGCUCAUAAAUGAUAAAACUACUUCUACAAAGAUACCCAUUUUCUAAAUUAAUUUCAAAAACUGAAAUCAAACUCCUGAAACGUAACGAGCAUUAAUAUAAUCAAACCCGAACAGGAAUUGAAAAAUGACACAUAAACUCGUUUACACAUUUCGACAGACACUUUGCAAUCAAUGAGCAAAAAAUUAAUGGAGAAGAUAAAAUUCAAACGAAACAUGCCUUACAUUGAUAAAUUAGAAGGGCAAAAGAAAUUUUAGUACGAUAUGGGAUCAGGGUCUUGCCACGGUGAUGUUAUUUGUGAUGUUCGAGCGACUCAGCAGCCUUCGAGGUUGAAAAUUUGAUUGACCGAAAGCUUCCCGUUCGUUGAUUCUCUAAUAGCAGAAACGAGACUGGCAGUAUACACAAGAAGUUCGCUGAUUUUAAAUUCCGUUGUUUGAGAUGGAAAUUUUUUUGAAAAAAUUAAUGUGUUCGAUGAAUAUCAAAAUCUCAAAAACUUUUUGUUUCUCAUAGCACCCAUGCAUGAUGUGUUGUUUCUCUAAAAGUUUGAGACACAAAUGUUAUUUCAAAUUGAAACGCCAUGCACUAGUAGUAGACUAGUAGGUAGGAGAAACCAAGGUUGAAGUUACUGUUCAUUUAUUUUUAUUUAUGAUUUUUUGUAAAAUGUAAGAAAUAUGUAGAAAUGUUGCCAGCAAUGAUUUUGGAACUUUGCAUAAAAUUUUUAUCAUUAUUGUUUUUGGUAUUAAGAAAUCCGAGGCGGUGAUUAGACGUAUGUUGCAACAAUUAAGAAAUUUCUUAUUGGAGAUAAUUUGGUAGGUUGCAACAAUUAGAGAAUCAUUUUCCUGUCAGUUAAUCAAUCAAUAAUAAAUUUCAAAUUGCAGAAAAUAAAAUAAUACUGUCACACUUAGAAUCAUCUUUUCUAUCUCUUUCAAUUGUGGCAAUCAUUUGUAACAAAUAAAUCAAUUUGAUGCACAUCAUUUCCCCAAUUCAAAGUUCAAGUCACUGCUCAAUUGCAGAGUAGUUAGUAGACAUGCAUGCAUGUUUAAUUAAGUACUGCAUUGUAGUAUCGAAAAUCAUAAUAUCUCACCAAGCCCGGAAGCAUAGCUCUUUAUCUUGUAAACGUUGAAAUCUUAUGCAAACUAUGGGAAACAUGAUCUCACUCUCAGUGUCACUUGAUUCCAUUUUCUGUUCUUGCCUUGAUUUCGAUGUUGGGAAUGUGACGUCUGAGUCCAAGGUUGAAGAUAAUCUCGAUGCCUUGCGGACUGCAAUGGAAAAAUAAGCGGAAACGAGAAAUGAUGUGAUAAGAAGAGUUACUGUUGCUGAAGGACAACAUCAAAUGCAACGAAUGGAUCGAGUGCAGGGCUGGCUUUCAAGGGUAAAAGCUGUGGAAAAUAAAGCUGAUGAUUUGAUGAGACACAGCUCUCAAGAGAUUGAGAAGUUAUGCCUUGGAGGCUUCUGUUCCAAGAACUGCAAAUGAAGCCACAGCCGUGGGAUAGAAGCUGCUACAAUGCUACGAGUUGUGGAGACUUUAAUGGGUGAAGGAUCAUUUGAAUUGGUGGCUGAGAGGGUGCCAGAAGAUGCAGCAGACUGAGCAGAGGAGAUAAAUUGUGAGUCAACAAUAAUGGGCAUGGUGUCGACUUUUGAGAAAGCCUGGAGAUGCCUUGAAGAAGAAUCAGUUGGAAUUAUUGGCCUAUAUGUCAAUGGGAGAGUUGGAAAUAUUUACUCAAAUCAACAACAAGUUCCUUGAUAGUCCAAAUAAUUUUGAUGUUGCAAUCUGGGUAGUGGUCUGCCAAGAUUUGCAACCCCAGAAGUUUCGGGAAAAGAUUGGGAAAAAGAAAGGCUUGUUCGAUGAGUCAUGGAAGAACUGAAGUUUUGAAGAGAAAGCACUCGAUAUAUUCAAGAAUUUAAGCAAGAUGAAGUUUGUAUUACUGCUGGAUGAUAUAUGGGAGCAGGUUGAUUUAAUUAAAAUUGGUGUCCCUCUUCCAAGCACAAAAAUUACAUUCAAGAUAGUCUUCACAACUCCUUCUAUUACAUUUGUGGCCUCAUGGAAGCUCACAACAAGAUUAAAGUGAAGUGUUUAAAUGACGAAGAAGCAUGGGAAUUAUUCUGCAAGAAGGUUGGAGAAGAUGUGGCGACUCUGUACAAGUGCUAAGGAGCUCAGCCUCAGAAUUUCUAGGUAUGUAAAAACAAGUAUAUCCUCUUUUGAAAUUCAGUUAUGAUAAUUUACCUAGCGAUAAAAUUAGAUCGAGUCUGUUAUACUGUAGUUUGUUCCCAGAAGACUUUCCAAUUAGCAAAAUGGAAUUGAUACUGAGAUACGAAAUCAAGGAUACUACAUUAUUGGUGUUCUUGUUCCUUUAUGUUUAUUGGAAGAAGAGGCUCCACUGUUUGUAAAAGUGCAUGAGGUGAUACGCGAUAUGCUUCUGUGGAUAGCAUGUGAAAUUUUAUUUUUAUUUUUUUAUAGGGAUAUCAUGUGAAGUUGAGAAGGAGAGAGAGAAUUUUUUGGUUCGUGCAGGUGCAAGGAUUAACUGAAGUACUAGACAUUUGGAAAUGGGAAGGGUUGAGAAGGGUGUCUUUGAUGAUCAACAAAACUGAGAAGGUAUCAGAAAUUCCUUCAUCUCACGAUCCACUAACUUUGUUGCUUCAACAUAAUUAUUUAGAGGUGAUCAAUAAUGACUUCUUCCAAUCUAUGCAUUCCCUUAGAGUUUUGAACUUAUCAUGUAAUCAUUCUCUAACUGAUCAUUUCAAAGUUAGUUUCCCUACAUACGAGAGUUGCCGAAUGAGUUAACGUUCGUAGUGAAUCUUAAGUUUUUGAAUGUGGAGUCUGCACGGUUUCUUCAUUCAAUUCCAGGGCAAGUGAUAUCCAGUUUUACGAUGUUACAAGUUUUGAAGAUGUUUGGUUGUGGCAGGUCAUCUUCUGAUCGUGAGCCACACCAGAAGAUAGCGUUUUAUUUGGAGGCAGUGAACUUUUGAUUGCGGAGUUGUUUGGUUUGAGAGACAUUUAGAUGUGUUGACCAUCAUCCUAAGAAGCUCCCAUGCUCUGAAAAGAUUUUUGAGCUCCAACAAACUUCAAAGUUGUACUCAAUCUCUCUAUCCUAAAUGCUUUGAUUCGAAGUCAGUUGAUGUUUUUUGCCUGGCUGAUCUGAAGCAUCUCAAUAGGCUAUAGAUAUUGCGAGUUGUAAGCUUUUGGAAGAAGUGAAGAUUGACUUUGUUGGGAAAGCACAAAUGAACUCAUGGUUUUCACAGCCUUAUGUCACGGAAGUUGUGUAAACACUGCACGGGUUGCUGCGCAAAGUAACCAUCCUAUGACAUUGAGCCAUGUUGAAAUAUCAUUUUGCUGUAAACUGAGGGAUUUGACAUAGCUUGCUUUUGCUCCAGACCUUCUUGUUGUUUCCAGAAAGCAUUGCCAUGAUAUAGAGGAAAUACUCGGUGUUGGAAAAUUAGGUAAAGAGAUGAUGUCAAACCUGGAACCCCCUAUAAAACUCCUAAGGUUAUGUCUGGCAUGUAGGAUUGGAUUGAACUAAAUUAUUAGGACUGGAUUAAAUUGGGUUAUAUUUAUAUUCUUAUGUUUGGUACAGUACUGGAUUGAACUAUAUUAGAUUAUAUUUAAAUAAUAUUAAAUAGUAUUUAAGUUGGUAUUUUAAUAUAAAUAUCAAUUAUCCAUGAAAUUUUAUAAUCAUAAUUAAAAUAAAUUUAAAAAGCAAUUACUAGAAAAAUUAAAUAUAUUACAAAAAGUUAUUGGGUAGUCAUAAUAUAAUAAGCAAAUAAAAUUAAAUAAAACAAAUUAAAUAUUUAAUUAAUUUUUAUCAAAUAUUUAAAAAUAUUAUAUAAAAUCAAUUAAUUAAUGGUUUUAUUAAUUUUCAUGAUUAUUUUUAAUAUUACAUUAGUAAUUAUUAAAUUUAAUACAAUCAAAUAAUGCAAUAAAUAAUUAAACGUUUAAUUUUAUCGAUUAAUUAUUAAAUAUACAAGUAAUGAAAAUUUAAUCUCAGGAGUUGGCAGAAGCAAAAGUACUAAUUUAAUUAGAUCAUAGAUAAUAAAUAAAAAUUAAUUUUAAGUAAAUCAUAAUAAAAAAAUUAAUUAAUUGAUUCAAUCAAUCAAUAUUAGGUGUAAAUAAAAAAAGAGUAAUGAUAUAGCCACAAAUUCUUGUACAAACUUAUUUUGUACAAACUCAUGUGUCAUGAUAAGAUUAGUUGAAUUAAAUAUCACUUGGCCCACAUGAUUUGUUUUUAUUAUUUUAUAUUUUUAUUCAACCAAUGAAUUAACGCCACGUCAGUUUGUACAAGAGUUUGUGGUUGUAUCAUCACUCAUAAAAAAAAAGAUACAAAUAAAAAUCUCAUAAAUGGACAACUUUUAUCUUUAAUCUUAUCCCAACUAAACACAUGUGUGAAUUAAGAUUAUUAAUCCCAUGAUUUUAGGAUUAAAUUCAAAUUAAUUCCCCCUUAAUCCAAUCCAACUAAACUUGUCAAACAUGGGAUAAAAGUUUAAUUCUAAAAUUAGUCCAAUUCCAUACUUAAUCCUAGCAUCCACAUAUAGCCCAAGUUGUUUGCUUAAAGAAGCUACCAAAUUUGAAGAGCGUUUACGGGAAGGCCUUGCGUUUCCCAGAUGUAUGCAGAAUUUUUGUAUCCAAAUGCCCAGAACUUAAGAAGCUGACGCUGGAUUUUGAAAGGGCGGGCCAAGGUAAAAUUCUUAUCAAGUGAAAGGAAAAUCGGUGGAAACAACUUCAAUGGAAGGAUCAAGCAACUCAGGAUGCAUUGCUUCUGUUUUUCAAAUCAACUGACAAGUGAUUGAAGGGGGCAUCAUCAGCCUGGAUGGGGAGAUCCUGGAGCAGAUCAGCAGGGUUUGAAUCUGCAUCAUCAACAUCAUCAGGAUCUCUAUUUCUAUUGCUGGUCGUAAUGCCUGCCUACUGUUACUUGAAAAAGUGAUUAAGUGAGCCAGUUUUUUGUUUAUUAAAUUUUGUCUUGUAGAGACAGUCACAAAGUAUUUUUCUUAGUUGUUCUAUAUGAGAGUGAUGUGAAUCAAUUUUUCAAUUAUAUAUUCUGUGGGAAAUUGCAAGUAUUUUUAAAAUAUGAUCGUUAUUAAAGGAAACAAAGGAAUCAACACAGCAUACUGAACCUCAGCAGUAUGAAGCUAAUGAUUAAACUCCUCACACAAUUCAUAACAUGCAAAACCAUUCACAAAAUCAUCCCCAGCAACCAUAAUUGGCGUCCAAUAGAAAUUUACAAGAAUUACUUUUCUGUUCAUGCAAUCGGCGUCCGAAUGCGGCUGAUCGGUCACCGGUGUUGGCGUUUACUGUGAUUAGACAAAUUGUAGGAAUUCAAAAAUAACUUCUAUAGGGGUAAUUUCGAUUUCACAUAAUUAAUUUUAUUUACAAUAUUUUAUUCCUGCUAGAUCAAUUGAGAUUCUUUCCACCGGGCACACCCUUCAUGUUCUUUUAUUUUCUGUCUUUUAUUAGCCGUAGGAUUUUACUACUCUUAUAUCCAACGGCUUGCCACAACAAGACAAAUGAGGUGGUACCUUCCAACCGCUGAAAGGUCGUUUUGGCCCCAGGUGAAAGAGGGAAAUAGGGAAUUGAUGCUAUAUUUUAUAUUUUCUAUUUUACUACUCUUGUAUCCACCGGCCUUUCUUAUAUUUUAUUGCAAAUUGAUGCUAACAAGAAAAAGCUACAUCAUAUUCCACAAAAAACAAAAGUGACAAAACAACCAGUUGGAUUCUUUUAUUAAACUACAAAUUAAAUGGACUUUUUUUUAAUAAACUAUAUAUGAAAGUAGAAUCUUUUGAAUAUAAGUGGGGUAGACUUCCUUUCCAAAACAAAAAAUGCGGGGUAGGCUCUUUUAUUAAAGACAAGUCACAAGACGAUUAGAGUCUUUUAUUAAACUGCAAAUUGUAUAGUCUUUUUCAAAUUGUACAGACAUUUAUAAAUUGGUGGCCCCUUGGAAAUUUAAUGCCAAGCAGAGAAAAGUCAUCAUGCACAAUCCUCAAUAAUUGUUUCGAUAUUUAUAAAUUGGUGGCCCCAACGAAUAAUUGGGAUCGGUUAUGGUGCAAUUAUAGAACCAUGGCACAGUUGCAUCCAGCCGUUAAAUGCACUUAGAUUGGUGAGGUUUAUUGGCAUCUAAUGGCUGAAUGUAACUAUAAUACGGUACUACAGUUACAACACAAGUUUCCACCAAUAAUUGUUCCGAUAAUUAUAAAUUGGUGGCCCCUUGAUAAUUUAACAGCAGCCUGCAAGUGCCAACCAGUGAAAAGUCAUCAUUCACAAUCUUCCAAGUGAAAUAGGAGAUAUACAAAAUAAUAAAAAAAAAACAUGUCAAUUCUUUUUUUUUUUAUUCAUUCCCUUUCAUGUUCUUGAUAAGGGAGGGAGGACGUGACAUGUAAUGUAACUUACACCCAAAUACAUAAAUAAUAUAAAAUGAAUGGAUAGAUGCCCGAGCAGAUCGGCAGGGUUCGAAUAUGACCUUUGGUGCUUGCUUUUUUUUUUUGUGAUUUUGUUUUUCAUUUUUUCCUUCCUGUCAUUUUAUCAUUUCUUUGGCUUUGUCUCUAUUGCGGGUGUUACUGCAUGCUUACUGUUGCUUGACAAAGUUUGCUAGCUGAAAGAAACUUAGUUCUAUAUUGUUUGGUAGGCUAGAAAAUGAAAGGAAAUAAAAGAAAAGCUUUGCAAAGAAAUCUGUUGGAUCUUUUAUUAUUCCAAACUUACAGUUUAAUGACUACUAAUUGAUAUUUAUAUUGAGCUACAAUCUCUUAACAUACACACGAGAUUGUUGCAACACAUAACCAUUUGCUGUAUAACUAACUUGACACAUCAGCUCAACCAGCUAACUAACUUUGACAGGUCAGCUUAAUGAUUUGAUCUGCUACAACCAGCUACACAACACAUCAUGCUCUGCUCCAGCUACACAGCAACAUCAUGCUCUGCUCCAGCUUCAUCUAAUUCACUAACAUCCCCCUUCAAGCUGAAAUGUUUAGGAUGAACAUUCAGCUUGCUGCGGAAGUAACUAAAUUGUUUGAAAGUAAGAGCUUUAGUCAACACAUCUGCAGUUUGAUCUUGACUAGGCACAUAACAGACUGCAACUUCUUUAGCAGUAACUUUAUCUCGGAUGAAAUGGAUAUCCAAUUCAACAUGCUUAGUUUUAGCAUGAUAGACUGGAUUAUAAGCUAAAGCAAUGGCUCCUUGAUUAUCACACCACAUCAUAGGAGUAGAGCUCAAUUUGAUGCUAAGUUCACCAAGUAAAGACUUGAUCCAGGUAACCUCUGAAGCAGCAUGAGCAAGAGAUCUAUACUCAGCCUCUGUGCUGAAUCUGGAAACAACAGCUUGCUUCUUGGACGACCAAGAGACAAGAUUAGGACCUAGAUAAACAGCAAAGCCAGCUACUGACUUCCUAUCAUCAUGAUCACAAGCCCAAUCAGAGUCUGAAAAACAAUGGAGUUGCAGAGCUCCUUGGUUGUAGAAUUGCAGCCUAAGAUGGAUAGUACCUUUUAAGUACCUCAAUAACCUUUUACAUGCUUCCCAAUGUUGAGUCCUAGGAUUGGAAAGGAACUGACUCAACUUAUUGACAUAAAAAGCAAUGUCAGGUCUGGUAAGAGUAACAUACUGAAGAGCUCCUAUAACACUUCUGUAUUGAGAAACAUUGUCAAUUGGCUCCCAUGAGUCUUUGGUGAGAUAAUAACCUGUAGACAUUGGAGUUGGCACAGGACUGCAAUCAAUCAUGCCAUGUUUGUCCAGAACAUCAGCAAUAUACUUUGCUUGUGUCAAGGAAACCCCUUUUGAAGACUUGCUGACUUCAAUCCCCAAAAAAUAGUGAAGUUCCCCUAAAUCCUUUAAAGCAAAAGUCUGAUGCAUAUUCUGAAUAGCUUGCUGAAUCAAUGAUGGACUGGAACCAGUGAUGAUAAUAUCAUCAACAUAGACUAAAACAAUAGUUAUAUGACCACUGUUCCAGGCAUAAAAAAGAGAGUUAUCAGACCUUGAAUGCUGAAAAUGCCACUGGGAGAUCAUUGCAUCCUUAAAUCUAUCAAACCAGGCUCUAGGAGCCUGUUUUAAACCAUACAAAGCCUUAUUCAGCUUGCAAACAUGAUUAAGUUUAGUUGAAUCAACAAAACCUUGAGGUUGAGCCAUGUACACAUCUUCAAUUAAAAUGCCAUUGAGGAAUGCAUUAUUAACAUCCACCUGCCUAAUAACCCAGUGGUUCAAUAUUGCUAAGCUAAGAAUAACUCUGAUAGUUGAAGAUUUAACCACUGGACUGAAGGUUUCUGUGUAGUCAACCCCAUGUGUCUAAUGAAACCCCUUAGCAACAAGCCUGGCUUUAUACCUUGAAACCGAGCCAUCUGAGUUAUACUUAAUUCGAAACACCCACUUGUUACCAACUAUCUUCACUGGAGUAGCAGGUAAAACCAAAUCCCAGGUGUGAUUAGUUUUAAGUGCUAGAUACUCUUCUUGCAUAGCUUUAUACCACAUAGGAUCAGAGAGUGCUUUGGAAACAGAAGUUGGUUCUGAUUGCUGGGCUAACAAGGCUGACAAAUAAACUUUUGGCUUAAAAAUACCUGCUUUUGAUCUGGUUACCAUUGGAUGACCAGAUGGUGCAUGUUGUGGUAAUGUAUGUGGAGGUGAGGAAUGGGAAGAUGAGAAAGGAGAAACUGAGUUGGAAUUAUCAGAAAAAUAAACUGGAGUAGAGUUUGGGAAUGAAAUAGAAGCAUUAGACUGAUGAUCAGUAGGUUGAGGUGCUGAUGAUGCUGCUAAAGGUGCUUGUAACUGAGUAACAGAAGAAGUAGAAGACUUAAAAGAAGACUCAGAGUGUGAUGUAGACUGACAGCUUAAAGAGGUUGAAGAAAACUCUACCCCAGACUCAUAAGGAAAGGAAUUUUCAUCAAAGGUGACAUAAUUGGAAAUAUACACCCUUCCAGAAGAGUGAAGACACAUAUAUCCCUUGUGUUGUGAACUGUAGCCAAUGAAUAUACAUCUAGCAGUUCUGAAAUCAAACUUAUAUCUAUUGUAUGGUCUGAGUGUUGGAUAACAAGCACAGCCGAAAGUUUUAAGUGUUGAAUAAUCUGGUUGAUAAUGAAACAACUUUUGGAAAGGAGAAAUGUUAUUUAGAACUGGAGUUGGAAGUCUGUUUAUCAAAUAGACAGCUGUGUGGAAUGCAUUCCACCAAAAUUUGAGUGGUAAAUGUGCUUGAGCUAAUAAAGUCAGACCUACAUCAACUAUGUGUCUAUGCUUCCUCUCAAUUCUUCCAUUUUGGUGAUGAAUAUGUGGGCAAGGGUGUCUAAAAUGGAUACCAGAAGUAGUGAGUAAUGAGGAAAAAGAUCUGAACUCCCCUCCCCAGUCAGUUUGGACAGUUUUGAUGGAAAGUUGAAGAUGCUUUUCAAUGAAUGUUUUGAAAUUUUUAAAAACUUCAAGAGCAUCAGAUUUUGCUGAUAAAGGGAAUAUCCAGGUAAACCUACUAUAAUCAUCUAGGAUUCACAGGUAGUAGUUAUAUCCUUGGGUAGAACAAACAUGAGAAGGACCCCACAGAUCUGCAUAUAUUAGUUGUAAAGGUUCUGAAGUUUUUGUUUCAACUGAAUCAAAAUGCAGCAUAUGAUUUUUCCCAUAUUGACAUGCAUAACAAAAUUUCAAACUUUCAACUUUAUUAAGAGCAGUAAAGUUGUUACAAGCUUUGAGUAUGGUUUUGAGAGUAUAAGGAGCUGGGUGUCCUAAUCUUCUAUGUAGAAGAUUUACAUAAGUUAAACCCUUUGCAACAACUGACAGACAUGACUUUUUAUUCAGCUCAUAAGAACUAACAGCAGAAGGCUUAUCAGAAGUAAAAACAGGAGAACAAGCAAAAAGAGACUGAAUUUUUUUUUUACCAACUGAACUGAGAAAAACUGAGUGAGCAGCAGCUUGUGAAGAGACUCUAUACAAGCCACCUUUAGCAACACCUUCAUGUAAAAUUUUCCCUGUGUUCCUGGCCUUUAUAAAACAGAAAUCACCAAGAAAUUCAACAGUAACUGGAUUGUCAGCCAAUAAUUUGGAAAUGCUAAGUAAAUUCUUAGUAAUAAAGGGAAUAUGAAGAACAUGGUUAAGAAAUAAAGAUUGAGAAUUUGAAGUGUUCAGCACAACUGAUCCUAUAUGUGUAACAGCUAAUGCAUUUCCAUCCCCAACAAAUAACUUCUCAGUACCAGUAUAAGCUUGUGAAUCUAGAAGUUUACCUAGAUCAUUAGUAAUGUGAUUUGUGGCUCCACUGUCAAUGUACCAGGAAAGAUCUUCAAUGUGUUCUGGAAGUGAAGAAGACAUAGUUGAGGAAGAUGAAGCACUUGACUGUCCAGGAUUAUUGUUUCCUUGACCAGCAACAAAAUUAGAUGAUCCAGGAGUGAAAGAGUAAUAGGCAGAAGGAUUGUUAUCUGGAUACACUAUAUUUCCUUGAUAACCAAAACCCCUGGGUGCAUGACCAAAACUAGCAUUUUGUCCAAAACCAGCAUUUGAACCAAAACUUCUUCCACUAUUACCAUUAUAGACUCUUCCUCUACCAUAUUGCCCUUGAUUAAAACCUCUGUCACCAUUCAUAUUGCCUCUACCAUGAUUCCUCUGUGGAACAUAAGAUGAGUUGUACCUAUUCCUGCAUCUAUUUGCUGCAUGACCAGGUAUGAAGCAAAUUUGACAAACAACUUCAGAGGAAUUACUACCAGUAUUAAACUGACCAUAUCCAUAUCCAUUAAAACCUCCAUAUCCAGAAUUAUUACCACCUCCAUAGUUAUUUCCAUAAUUUUUCUGAAAAUUUCCAUUAUUCUUUCUAGCAUAUGAGUUCUUCUGAGCAAUAUUUGCUGUCAUGUUAUGCAUCACAUCACCAGCAAUUUUCCCUUUCUUUUGCUCAACUCUAUUUUCAUGAUUCAACAACAAAGAAUAUAGUUCAUCUAAUGUGAUCUUUUCACCUCGAGCUAACACAGCUGUGACUAAAGACUCAUAGUCUGAUGAAUCAAGACCAGUUAAUAUAUGCAUCACAAGAUCAUUUAACUCAAUAGGUUUUCCAGCUAGAGCUAAAGUAUCAGCUAUGCGUUUUACUUUUACAAAAUAAUCAGACAUAUGCAUUGCACCUUUCUUAAUAGUUUGAAUCUGCAUUCUAAGUGUUUGAAUUCUAGCUUGUGAUUGAGAGAUAAACAUACUAGCAAGAGUCUCCCAAAGCUGUUUUGAAGUUGUAGAAUCAAUCACAGUAGCAAGCAGAUUUUGCUGUAUCGAUGACAUCAUCCAACUCAGUAAGAGUUGGUCAGUCUUCAUCCAAGCUACGAAUUCUGGAUUAAUAGAUCUGGAUCCAGAUUCAGUUAAAACUUCAGCUCCAUUGUUGUUUCCAGAAGAAAGAAACUGCUCAGGACAUUCUCGAUCGCCAUUGAUAAAUCCUUCCAAACCGUUUCCUUUGAUUGAAGUUAAAAUUUGUGUGCGCAACAGAAUGAAGUUGUUUUGAUCUAGCUUUACUGGCGUAACAAAACUGAAAGAGUUGUUGUUUUGAACUAUAUUUGCCAUUUAUGGCUCUGAUACCAUGAAAGAAACUUAGUUCUAUAUUGUUUGGUAGGCUAGAAAAUGAAAGGAAAUAAAAGAAAAGCUUUGCAAAGAAAUCUGUUAGAUCUUUUAUUAUUCCAAACUUACAGUUUAAUGACUACUAAUUGAUAUUUAUAUUGAGCUACAAUCUCUUAACAUACACACGAGAUUGUUGUAACACAACCAUUGCUGUAUAACUAACUUGACACAUCAGCUCAACCAGCUAACUAACUUUGACAGGCCAGCUUAAUGAUUUGAUCUGCUACAACCAGCUACACAGCACAUCAUGCUCUGCUCCAGCUACACAGCAACAACAUGCUCUGCUCCAGCUUCAUCUAAUUCACUAACACUAGCUUUUCCUUUUGUUUAUUAAAUUUUUUUAUGGUCACAAAGUAUUACUCGUUCUAUUUGACAAUGAUGUGAAUCAAUUUUUCAAUUUUAUAUUUUGUGGUCAACGUGAAUUCAAUUUCAUUUGUCUCCUGCAAUUAUGAAAAAAUUACAGUCAUAAUAUGGGGAAACCUGUGGUGCAACUGUGGUACCAUGUCACAGUUGCAUCCAGCCGUUGGAUGCCAAUAGAUCCCACCAAUUUAAGUGCAUCCAACAGCUGGAUAUAACUAUAGCACGGUACCACAAUUACACCGUAACUUGAUCCCAUAAUAUGGAAAAGUACACCGGCAGAAACUUUGUAAAAGCUUCGGAGUGAUACGGGGAAUUCACUUACUACUAAAGACAGUUGGUGGCAACCUAAUGUCCAUCCAUCUAUUUAGUUAUUGAAGAUUAGUGGUCCAUUUGUAAAUUUCAGAUUGUCUCUCUCUCUCUCCCUCUUGAAAUAACAAUAUUUAAUAUAUCUAUUAAAUUAUUAUAAAUUUUAAUUUACUCUCGAUUUAAAAUGGAGCAUGUCGAUAAAUUUUUUUUCUUCUUAAUAAAAUUGACGUAAGUUGUGUUUACAGUAGUUUGAAGUUUGAAAUAUUUUAAAGAUUAUUAUUCUAUAAGGGAGUAAUAUGAACUGAAAUUUACUUUUCAUGUGUGAAAUGAAAAACGACGAAGCAAGUGUCCCUGCUUUUAUUUUAUUUCAAGGAGGAGUCAUCUCACAUACUUUAGCUCUUAACAUUACAUUUUUUCUGGUUACAUUUUUAUUUUUUAUUUUUUUUAACACAUGCGUGUGGGAUGCUUUUCUGUAAGCUCCUUAAUAUAUAUUUAAGACAAAUCAUGGAAGAGAUGGGAUUAUAUCAAGAUGAUCAAAGCAUGUAAAAAAAGAAAAAAGAAAAAAAAAUUAAGAAGUAAGACACUGAAAAUGGAGAAGAGAUGGAAGCAAAAGAUAUUCCAAACAAAGCAAUCUAUCCCCUUUCGAGGGCAGACUUAUCAGGUUUAAAAAAGUACAUGCUUUGGAUUGGUAGUUACAAUCAAGGGAAAAUAAAUAGGAUCCAAUGAAAUUUAAAUCUUGGAGAAAAUAAAUAAUCAUGCAGAUUUUCAAGAUUUUAAUAAGGGAUACUAAUAUCUUAUUUUGAUUAAUAACAUUCUUUCACUGUGUUAACUCAAAAAAAAUAUUAUAAUGCUUUACAAUAAAUACAAAUGUCCUAUUAAAUGAAUAUAUAAAAAAUUUAGAAUAUUAUAUAAAAUAAUUUUAAUAUAAUGCGUGAGAUAUAUUUUAUUAAUUUAAAAUGUCAUUUUACCUAAAAAAUAUGAUAAAUUGAUAAUUACAUAUUUGAAGUUAUUUCAAAUAUUAAAAAAAUUUAAUAUUAUUAGUCUUUUAGAUAGAUUAAAUUAUUUUUUAAAGAGAUAGAUUAAAUUAUUUUAAAAUACCUUAAUUGUUUUUACUUUAAACAUUACCGGCCUUUCUUUUAUUUUAUUGCAAAUUAAUGCUAACAAGAAAAAGCUAGAUCAUAUUCCACAAAAGCAAAAGUGACAAACACAGCCAGCUGGAAUCUUUUAUAAAACUACAAAUUAAAAUGGAUUUUUUUUUUUGAUAAAUUACACAUGAAAGUGGAUUCUUUUGAAUAUAAGUGGGGUAGGCUCUUUUAUUUUAUUUUUGAAUAUUGUAUAACGGGACUGUAGACUCUUUUAUUAAACUACAAAUUGUAUAGUCUUUUUAAAAUUGUUAUAAAUUAGUGGCCCCUAAAAUCCUCAACAAUUGUACCGAUAUUCACAAGUUGGUGGCCCCUACAAUUCUGUUCAGUUAAUUUAACUGUGCAAGUGCUCAUUCACAAUCUUCCAGGUCAUGCUCUUAAUAAUUUUUUUUUUUUUUUCUGCAUUCCCUUUCAUGCUCUUAAUAAUUGAAGAGCAUACUUUUCAUUUUCAAAUGUGGAGCCGCAGCUAAUGUCGUUAAUUUAAUUUGGGAUUAAAUUAGGGGACCAUUAUAUUGCAGUGUGCACUAAUUUUUGUGUUUAUCUAAACUCCUUAAAUUUAAGACAUAUUAUGGCAUAAAUAAGAAUAUAACAAUAACAAAAGAGUUAGAAAGUGUAGAGAAGAUCUUGCAGAAAUAUAAAUAAUAUCUAUUUUAAAAUAAUUUUUAAUAUUUUAUGAUCCAUUAGAUAUAUUUUAUUAUAUUAAAGUAAAUUUUAUAAUAAAUGAAAACAUACUAUUAAAAUGAAUAUAUAGAAAAUUUAGAGUAUUUUAAAUAUUAUAUAAAAUAAUUUUAAUAAAAUAUGUGAGAUAUUCAUAUUUUAUUAAUUUAAAAUACCAUUUAACCUAAAGAUUUAUUUAUGAUAAAUUAAUAAUUAUAUUUUUGAAAUUACUUCAAAUAUUAAAAAAAUUAAUAUUACUAAUCUAUUAGAUAGAUUAAAUUAUAUAUAUUAUUUUCUAUUUAUUAAAAAAUUAAAAUUAUUUUUAAUUACUAUUCAAAAAAUAUAAUGAUAAAAAAAAAUCUUAACAUCUUUAUUAAAAAUUUAAAAUUUACAUGAUCAAUUCUCUAAAUAUUUAGGGUAUAUGUGAACAUCGGUGGAGAAGCUUUAUUUAAUAUUAUUGAUUUAAAUAAUAUGUCAAUUAAAAAUGUGCGGAGAAGAAAUUUCGGUGGGUAUUUUAGUCUUUUCAGCAAUUAUCAUGAUCAGAUCAGCCUUUAGCCUUGAAACGUCGGUCAGAAAGUUUUAAAAUUAACGCUAACAAGAAAAAGCUAGGUCAUAUUCCACAAAAGCAAAAGUGACAAAACAACCAGUUGGUUUCUUUUACUAAACUACAAAUUAAAAGUGGAUUCUUUUGAAUACAAGUGGGACAGACGAUUAGGCUCUUUUUAUUAAAGGCAAGUAAAAAGUAGUCGAAUAGUCUUUUUCAAAUUCUUGUUUUAAUAUUUUUCAAAACUAGUUUUUGGUAAUUACAAUCGGGUCAUUCAUUAAUCAUUAUUCAGAGUAAUUAUGAAUUUCCCAAUUAUAAUUACUAACUGUUUUUCCUUAACCACUCGGCUCAGCCCGAGUGGCCAGGGCUGCUGCCCUCCAAGUUCGAACCCCCACAAAAGUAUUGUGGGGGUAUUUUCUUUCUCAAUUAAUUUGAGUGAAGGUAGUCUUUUCCUUUAUCCAUGAGUGAGGAGUAGACAUCCCUCGAAUAUUUGUGAGGGUUAAAAUCUGAGUAGAGCUCUAUUAGCAUUGAUGUAAGUUGAUCCCAGUAAUUGUCUGAUCUGUAAAUAUCAGGUUAAAAUCUGGGCAAAGCUCCAUUAGCAUUGAUGUAAGUUGAUCCCAGUAAUUGUCUGAUCUAUAAAUAUCAGUUAUAGUCUCAUGUAAUAUGAGUUGUAAUCUGAGCAAUAGUCUCGUGUAAUAAAAAAAAAAAAAAACUAUUUUUCCUUCAAAAGUUAGAGACUCGUGUUUGCAACUUGCAAGUGUGAAUGUGCAAUGCUCUUUGUCUAAAGGCUAGUGUUUCUAGUGGGUCCCGACUCGAGCGUGCCUAAAUCAUUUUAAAAUUUUUCCCGUAUAAUGGACAGAGGUCAUUACUAAAAUUUCUCUUCCACAGGCAAUUACAGCAGCUCCAGUUUAUCAAACUCAACCAAUUUUCUUUCUUAACAAAAUUCCAAAGAUGUGUAGCUUUUUUCAGAUCACAUGCGAUGGUGCUCUUUUCAAUCGUUGCUUGGAUUGCUUUCUUGGAAAAGCAGCAUACAUACGUAACCUCCAAGAUAAUCUUGAUGCCUUGGAGACUGAAUUGGGAAAUCUGAUCGCUAAAAAGAACGAUGUGAUGAGGAGGGUUGUCGAUGCUGAACGGCAACAAAUGAGAAGGCUGGACGGAGUGCAAGUGUGGGUUUCGAGGGUGGAUGCUUUUAAAACUGGAGCCGAUGAACUUAUCAUAGACGGCUCUGAAGAAAUUGGCAAAUUAUGUGUUGGAGGCUACUGUUCCAAGAACUGCAGGUCAAGCUACAAAUUCGGAAAACAAGUGGCUAGAAAGCUACGAGAUGUGGAGACUUUAAUCGCCGAGGGAGUUUUUGAGGCGGUGGCUACUGAGGUGGUGCCUGAGAGAGCUCCAGAGCCUGUAGCAGAUAAAAGACCCAUUGAGCCAACAAUAGUAGGCUUGCAAUCACAGCUUGAACAAGUUUGGAGAUGUCUUGUAGAAGAAUCAGUGGGAAUCAUUGGCCUAUAUGGUAUGGGCGGUGUUGGUAAAACCACACUAUUGACCCAUAUCAACAAUAAAUUUCUUGAGAGUCCCACAAACUUUGAUUGUGUGAUUUGGGUCCUAGUUUCAAAAGACCUGCGACUUGAAAAAAUUCAAGAAGAUAUUGGGAAGAAGAUAGGUUUGGUUGAUGAUUCAUGGAAGAAUAAAAGUUUUGAAGAGAAAGCUGUGGACAUCCUGCGGAGAUUAGGAGAGAAGAGAUUUGUAUUGUUGUUAGAUGAUUUAUGGGAGCGGGUUGAUUUAACAGAAGUGGGCGUUCCACUUCCCAGCGCACAAAAUACUACCUCAAAAGUCGUAUUCACAACCCGUUCCAUUGGUGUUUGUGGCAGCAUGAGAGCUAGGCCGGUUAAAGUGGCAUGCCUAUCAGAAAAGCAAGCUUGGGAACUGUUCCGCGAAAAUGUUGGGGAAGAAACUCUUGAGAGUGAUCAUGAGAUCGUUGAGCUAGCCCAAACUGUAGCCAAAGAGUGUGGUGGUUUGCCACUCGCACUUAUUACUAUUGGUCGAGCUAUGGCCAACAGAAAUACAGCUGAGGAGUGGAGACAUGCAAUUGAAGUAUUAAAAAGGUCAGCUUCGGAGUUUGCGGGUUUGGAAAAAGAUGUAUAUCCUCUUUUAAAGUUUAGUUAUGAUAGUUUGCAGAAUGAGACGAUUAGAACUUGUUUCUUAUAUUGCUGUUUGUAUGCGGAAGAUUAUGUCAUUCCUAAAUGGGACUUGAUUGAUUGUUGGAUUGGUGAGGGAUUCUUAGAGGAAUCUCACGGUUUUGGUGCAGAAAACCAAGGAUACUACAUUGUGGGCACUCUUGUUCGUGCAUGUUUAUUAGAAGAGGUGGAAGAUGAUGAAGUAAAAAUGCAUGACGUUAUUCGUGAUAUGGCUAUAUGGAUAACCUGUGAAAUUGAGAAGGAGAAGAGAAACUUUUUGGUUCGUGCAGGUGCUGGAUUAAAAGAGGCACCGGAUGUUAAAAGAUGGGAAAAUGUGAGAAGAUUGUCAUUGAUGCAAAACCAAAUUGAAACUCUGUCAGAGGUUCCCACAUGCCCUCAUCUCCAUACUCUAUUUCUUGCCUCUAAUAAUAGUUUGCAGAGGAUCACCGAUGGCUUCUUCCAACUUAUGCCUUCUCUCAAAGUUUUGAAGAUGUCAAACUGCUGGAAUUUUACUUUGAAAUUACCUUUGGCGAUGUCAGAGUUGGGUUCGUCACUAGAACUUCUUGAUAUUUCAUAUGCCAGCAUAACAGAGUUACCAGAAGAGUUAAAGUUGUUGGUAAAUCUGAAAUGUUUGAAUUUGAGGUGGACAGAUACGUUAAAUAAAAUUCCACGGCAACUAAUAUCAAUUCUUUCAUGGUUACGUGUGUUGAGAAUGUUGGGUACUGGCUGGUUCAAUUUUCUUGAAGCACCAGAAGACAGCGUUUUAUUUGGUGGGGGUGAAGUUUUGAUACAGGAAUUGCUCGGUUUGAAAUAUUUAGAGGUAUUGGAGUUGACCUUGGGAAGUUAUCAUGCUCUCCAAAUUCUUUUGAGCUCAAAUAAGUUAAAAAGUUGUAUUCGAUCUCUUUACCUCCAUUUGACCGGAGAUACAGCGUCAAUUAUUGAUGCUACGGUUUUCGCAGAUCUAAACCAACUCAAUCAAUUAUGGAUUGAUGAAGGUAUUGAGUUGGAAGAAUUGAAGAUUGAUUAUACGGAGAUAGUACGAAAAAGGCGGGAACCUUUUGUUUUCCGCAGCCUUCACUGUGUUCGUAUAGAGCAGUGCCAUAAAUUGAAAGAUGUGACAUUCCUCAUUUUUGCUCCAAACCUCAAGUCUCUUGACCUAUCCUACUGCUCUUCUAUGGAAGAAGUAAUCAGCGUCGGAAAAUUUGCUGAGACUCCUGAGAUGAUGGGACAUAUAAGCCCUUUUGAAAAUCUCCAAAGUCUUCAUUUAUCGCAAUUGCCAGCUUUGAAGAGCAUCUACUGGAAGCCAUUGCCUUUCACUCAUCUCAAAGAAAUAUCUGUGGGUUAUUGCCGUAAUCUUAAAAAGCUUCCACUCGAUUCCAACAGUGCAAAGGAGCGUAAAUUUGUAAUUCGUGGAGAAGAAGACUGGUGGAACCGACUUCAAUGGGAGGAUGAAGCCACUCAAAUUGCUUUUCGUUCCUGUUUCCAACCAAUGGGAGUACUGAGCGGUGGUCGCAAAAUUUGAUUUCUGGUGAGUGCGUUUGUCUUUUAAAAGCAGAAUUUAAAAGAAAUUUAUUCUUGUCGUUUUCUUCUCUGUUUUUAUUUGAUUUCUGGUUAGUUUCUCUCUCGCACUGCCAUUACUGUUUUAAUUUCCUGUCAAAAGACGAGCGAGAAGAACAUAUAUAUGACGUAAACCAAUUGAUAAAUAUUAAUUGCCUGUUCUCUGUUUUUAUUAAGUAUACUUUAUUUUGCCCUGUUCUCUGUUUUUAUUUCAUUCUCUCUCUCUCCCUCUCUUUCCUGUCUUCUGCAAGUCAUAAUUAAAUGUUGAAUUAUAUGGAAUUAAUGCUUUAUAAAUCUGCCUACGCUGGCUUUUUUUUUUUUUUUUGUGGGGUCGAAUUGAUGCUCUGGUUUUCGACUACUUUUUGUUGUCAAAAUUUUCUCUGUUUUUUCAAAUUGAUGCUUUAUUUAUAUCUUCUUCGUGAAAAGUGAUUUAAUUUCCUGCCAAAAGACGAACGAGAAGAACAUUAGAGUCUAACUAAUGCUCACAUAAAUUUCCCGUAAGAAUAUAUAUAUAAUUAGACUGGAAUGCACACCUCUAGAUUGAACAGAAUUAAAGCUGAGAAAAUAUUGAGUAUAGUAGCCCUCUUUACAGAAAAUGACGCGAAAGUUAAUUUAGAAAAAGAUAUAUUCUUGAUUAAUCCAUUUUCUGAAGUUUUUUAUUUUGUAUGGUCAAUUAUACCUUCAUACUAAAAAUUUCUGAAGUUAUGGGGUUGUUGGAUGUGUUUUGGAUAUUUGCAGCUAAGUUUGAGUUUAUAUCUCAACUUAAAAUUUGUAGUUUUCACUUGAAAAAAUUCAGUUAAAAAUUUAUUGGUAGAAUUGUGAAAAAAGUUAAAAUUUUUAGUUCAACCCGAUUGCAUAUUUAAGAACAUCUCAAAUGAAUUGCUUACUGCUAUCAUCAUCAUUAUUGUCCAUAUAAUAAUGGAUCUUUAUUAUAUAUAUAUAUGUUUCCACUAAAAUAUAUUUAAUUAUUCUUUAUUUUUCCAUUGUUGCGUGUAAGAUUUAUUUGAGUUCUAAGUUAUAUCAAUACAAAUGUUAUCUUAUCCAUAAAAAAGUUAGAUCCAACAAUUAUGAAAAUUACCAUAGAGUUGCUUUCAAUUAUUUUUUAAAAAUACCAGGAGUAAAUAAUAAUUAGUUCAAGUGGUGUAGACUAAAAAGUGUUCACCUUUAUUUUUUAUCUGUUAUUUAUUUAUUUCAUUAAUGCACAUGCUAUACAUUUGAGACACUCCAUCCUAUGCAAUGUGAAUAAAUUUCUUUCCUUUUUCCUUUACUCUUUUUAUUUGACAAUAAAGUUUCCAUCUAUCAUCUAUCAUCUAUCAUCUAUGUACGCAAAAUUUCUGCAACAAGUACAAAACAUAAAAAUAUAUAUGAUUGUUAAGGGAAACACGCAGAAGUUCAUCAUUUCAAUGUUCAGUAUUACCAAUUUUGGCAUUAAGCUUGUACGAAUAUAUUCCACUUAGAAAGCAAAAUAUUAGACUCAUGAUUUUAAUUCAUUCAUUAUCUCUCAUUUUAAUCCCAAAAUAUUCAAGAGUAUCCAAGUUACCAUAAGACUUCAGAGGCUCGAGCCUUAGCCAGAGAUGGUUAAUUGAUAGACUAUGUGCCUGGGUCGAGCACUGGAAGCCUGCAAUGCAGACUGAUUGAUUUAUCAGUUUGACGUGUGCCAGGAAUGAAGAACUGGAAUAUCACCGUCAAGCACGCACCCUGUGGAGCAAUACCAAAGAAUGCACAAUCUGGCUUUGCUAGGUGACACUGGAGGCUUUUUGAAAAGUGCUUCACGCUCACUUGCACAGAUUGAGCAUCCCCUCCGGAUAUUGCCCUCUCUGAUCGAGUCCGAGCACUCAAAUUUCAAUCCUCAGAUGGAGCUACAGCUUUCUCUCCAAUAACCAACAAUUUUCUAAACUCAGCUCCUAGUGUGAUGAGAGUUGUUGAUAUUUGUAAAUGGAGAUCCCCAUAUUUGCAAAUGGAGACAUUUAACAAAUCACCAACAUGCUUCAUUCGGUCUACGAAAUUCUGCAGCUGAUUCAAAUCCGGAACCUGAACCAGAGUCGGAGGUAAAUCUUGAGCCAUAUCUAAAGCAGUCUGAAGUUCAAGUACUUGAGCCCUUGACAAUGGUUUUGAAAUAGGAACAUCUUGGAUUACUGCAGACUUGUACCCCUUGGUUUCAAAGGUAAGGAAAGGCAUUGCUUGAGUACAAUUUGGAGGCAGCUUCUUCACCAAUUUUAUUUGGAGGCGAUUGGCAGCGGAUCCAGCUGCACCAAUUUCAGAGCAAAUACUGACACUACUUCGAACAGCACACUGAAGAAGUGAUAUGUCUACGGCAAAGGCAAUGCAGUCCUCAUUUUGGCUUGAGAUGCAGUAAUCAUCGAAGAGAGUUUCCUUGUGAAACUGGGCAACACAUUGAAUCCCUUCGCCACUGAGAAGGUUGUGGAGGAAGUAAGCUUUCUCUCUAGUGAGGAAGAGGUGGCAUACCUUCCCCAUUUUGUCUAGGGCAGGUAGGAAUCAUUUUUCUAAGAGAUUUACUUCAUUCUCUGUGAGAAAUGAAUUGAACUUCAUCCCUCUGUCUCUAUCCUCACUUAUCAGAAAAUAAGUUGAAAGCACUUCGGAGAGAGAGAGAGAGAGAAUUAAGAUAUAUAGACAAGAAAAAUAUUAGACGUUGAUCUUACAAACUAAUACUUCAAGCAGUAUCCUAGAAAGCUAAAAACUGCAAGAUGGCUUGAAAUUUGAAAAGAGCACGUGCUUUUCCUCCUUAACUUGAGAAAAUGUUUAAUAUAGUGCACCUACAGAAGCAUUUAAGCAAUUAGAACUUUGCACAAAAACAUCAAGAAGACUAAACAAAUCAGAUGCAGUGUAUUUGUCCAAGCACAAAUUGCAUUUUGUCCUCAACUUUAAUAUUUAUUGAUGAGAAUCAAUACAGGUCCCUCAUUUGAUAUAGAAAGCUUUCUUUCUUGUAGUCUCACCAGUUAAUUCACAGGUCUAUAAUCAUCUUGCAAAGUUAAGGGCAUUUCUUUCGAUCUAAAGUCUUUGCAUCACCACCUCAUCACACGCCAAGCCAAUAUUCCAUUUACCUCUACAACAAAAAGUUUUAAGUAAACAAUCCUAAUGCACGCAGCCAAAUAAAAUGCAGUAAGAAUAUUCAACUUAAAAAUCUGAAAGCCGACUUGGUGAAUUGCCUCCUUAGGUGAAGUUCCAUGCUUUACUAUAGUUGACAGAACUCAGCAAAAGCUUCCAUACAACAGAUUUUGAAAAUGAUGAUGCCAAUAGAUACUCAUUCAAUCCAUUGAAAAUCCAAAGGUUCAUUGUUAAUAGAAGUUUACAGAGUUUUGGUCAUCAAAUAGCUCAGACCUAAUCCCAAACAAAAAACGAGUGAAAAUUAGAUCACGAGCAGCUGAUUGUAAAUUCUAACUUAACUCUUCAUCUCCUUUGUAAACAAGAAACAAAAUGGAGACACGCAAAAUGAAUAUGGAGAAAAUUUGAACUCAAAUGAAAUGAGGGCACGAAAGCAAACAAAUGGCAUGCACAAAAAAACCAAGCCUCAAUCAAAAACUAAUUAACCAUUAAGAAAAAAAUUGGUCAGAUAAUGAACUACAAAUUCAGGAGUCAAGCAAGAAGCUUUCAUUAUUUCAGAAGCUCCUGUACAAAUUAAUAAGUUAUGCUCUUUGGAAGCAAACCUAAAUUCCAAGAGAAACAGAACCCAAAAAAUUUGCAAUUAUACGCAAAGGGAGUGAAGCACAGGAUUCUAUCACACAUAGGAAUUGUAUAACAAGAGAUCGAUAUAUCGAAUUAGAAAACUCAAUUCGAAUUUGUGUCAAAAAUCAAAAUUAGAAGAUUUCACAUUUCGAGAGGAACAAGCAACAGAUGAAGUUCAAAAUUUCAGCCAUAACAUGCUAAAAAUGCUACACUUAACGGUUCAUUUUCAUGGAUUUUCUCGGGAAACAAACAGAAAAUUACGGUUUAGAGAUUUGACUGACCUUUUGGCUUUUGAAAUUGAGAAGAUCGCACGCCAAAUUGGAAGAGGGAAAGUGAAAGUGCGAGUUUUAAUAUGGGUAUUAGAUAAGGAAAUUUUAUUAGGUUGCGAGGGUAAAAAAGGAAAGAGAUAUCAUUGUUUUAUUAUCGAUAAUUAUUAAAUUUUUUUCCAAAAAAAAAGAACAAGCAAGGAUAUUUUAUUGUCAUUUGCAACCUUUAAUUUUUUAAAUGCUAUUAGAAACACAAGACAAUAAAGAAAUACUUAUUUUUUUCUAAAACUAAAAUCAAUUGUUUAAAAAAAAUUGUUUCAAAAUUACUUGAGUCAUAUCCAAUGGACCAACAAAGUAAUCGUUUUUAUUUUUAUUGAUUUUUGCAGGAAAUUAAUAACUUAAAAAUACUGAAAGCUAUUGUAAAAAUUUUUAUUAUCAACCUCAUAGUUUUUUUUUUUUUUUUUGGGAAGAGAAUUCAAACUUUUUUUUUUAUGAAUAUCGCUGUUUCGUUUGAGUUGGAUGUGAAUUCAAAUACAAAUAUUCUUUGUUUUUCAAUUCUGAACUCAAUUUCUUUUUUUCAAGAAUGUUAUGCAGAAAUGAUUUUUACUGAACGGCAACAAAUGAAAAGGCUGGGCCAAGUGGAAUGGUGGGUUUCGAGGGUGGAUGCUGUUAAAAUUGAAGCUGAUGAACUUAUCAGAGACGGCUCUCAAGAAAUUGACAAAUUGUGUGUUGGAGGCUACUGUUCUAAGAACUGCACGUCAAGCUACAAGUUCGGGAAACAAGUGGCUAAAAAGCUACGAGAUGUGGAGACUUUAAUCGCUGAAGGAGUUUUUGAGGCGGUGGCUACCGAGGUGGUGCCUGAGAGAGCAGAGCCUGUAGCAGAUGAAAGACCUACCGAGCGAACAGUAGUAGGCUUGCAAUCACAACUUGAACAAGUCUGGAGAUGUCUUGCAGAAGAAUCAGAGGGAAUCAUUGGCCUAUAUGGUAUGGGCGGUGUUGGUAAAACUACAUUACUGACCCAUAUCAACAAUAAAUUUCUCGAGAGUCCAACCAACUUUGAUUGUGUGAUUUGGGUAGUAGUUUCAAAAGACCUGCGACUUGAAAAAAUUCAAGAAGAUAUUGGGAAAAAGAUAGGUUUGGUUGGUGAUUCAUGGAAGAGUAAAAGUGUAGAGGAGAAAGCUGUCGACAUCUUCCGGAGUUUAAGAGAGAAGAGAUUUGUAUUGUUGUUAGAUGAUAUAUGGGAGCGGGUUGAUUUAACAAAGGUGGGCGUUCCACUUCCCGGACCCCAAAAUACUACCUCAAAAGUCGUAUUCACAACCCGUUUCAUCGAUGUUUGUGGUAGCAUGGAAGCUGACAGGAAGUUCCAAGUGGCGUGCUUAUCAGAAAAGGAUGCUUGGGAACUGUUUCGAGAAAAAGUUGGGGAAGAAACUCUUCAGAGUCAUCAUGAUAUCGUUGAGCUAGCCCAAAUUGUGGCCAAAGAGUGUGGUGGUUUGCCACUCGCACUUAUUACUAUUGGUCGAGCUAUGGCCUGCAAAAGGACAGCCGAGGAGUGGAGACACGCAGUUGAAGUGCUAAGAAGAUCAGCUUUUGAGUUUGCAGGUUUGGGAAAAGAGGUAUAUCCUCUAUUAAAGUUUAGCUAUGAUAGUUUGCAGAAUGAGACGAUUAGAUCUUGUUUCUUAUAUUGUUGUUUAUAUCCCGAAGAUUAUGGAAUUCUUAAAUGGGACUUGAUUGAUUGUUGGAUUGGUGAGGGAUUCUUAGAGGAAUCUGACAGGUUUAGUGCAGAAAACCAAGGAUACUACAUUGUGGGCACUCUUGUUCAUGCAUGUUUAUUAGAAGAGUUAGAAGAUGAUAAAGUAAAAAUGCAUGACGUUAUUCGUGAUAUGGCUCUAUGGAUAACCAAUGAAAUUGAGAAGGAGAAGAGAAACUUUUUGGUUCGUGCAGGUGCUGGAUUAAAAGAGGCACCGGAUAUUAAAGGAUGGGAAAAUGUGAGAAGAUUGUCAUUGAUGCAAAACCAAAUUAAAACUCUGUCAGAGGUUCCUUCAUGCCCUCAUCUCCAUACUCUAUUUCUUGCCUCUAAUGAUAAUUUGAGGAUGAUCACAGAUGGCUUCUUUCAAUUUAUGCCUUCUCUCAAAGUUUUGAAGAUGUCAAACUGUGUGGAUUGGCCAGUUUCGAAAUUACCUUUGGCGAUGUCAAAGUUGGGUUCACUACAACUUCUUGAUAUUUCACAUACCGGCAUAGAAGAGUUACCAGAAGAGUUGAAGUUGUUGGUAAAUCUGAAAUGUUUGAAUUUGAGGUGGACAUUUGAGUUAAAUAAAAUUCCAUGGCAACUAAUAUCAAAAUUUUCAAGGUUACGUGUGUUGAGAAUGUUCGCUACUGGCUUUGCCCGUUUUGAUGAAGCAUCAGAAGACAGCGUUUUAUUUGGUGGGGGUGAAGUUUUAGUACAGGAAUUGGUCGGUCUGAAAUAUUUAGAGGUAUUGGAGUUGACCUUGGGAUGUCAUCAUGCUCUCCAAAUUUUUUUGAGAUCAAAUAAGUUAAAAAGUUGUAUUCGAUCUCUUCUCCUCCACUUGGCCGGAGAUACAACGUCGAUUAUCGAUGCUACGGCUUUCGCAGAUCUAAACCACCUCAAUGAAUUAUGGAUUGAUAGGGCUAAGGAGUUGGAAGAAUUGAAGAUUGAUUAUACAGAGAUAGUUCGAAAAAGGCGGGAACCUUUUGUUUUCCGCAGCCUUCACCGUGUUACUAUACAUAGCUGCCAGAAGUUGAAAGAUACGACAUUCCUCGUUUUUGCUCCAAACCUCAAGUCUCUCGAUCUAGACCGUUGCGAUGCUAUGGAAGAAAUAAUCAGCGUCGGAAAAUUUGCUGAGACUCCUGAGAUGAUGGGACAGAUAAGCCCUUUUGAAAAUCUCCAAAUGCUUGAUUUAGAAGAUUUGCCACAUUUGAAGAGCAUCUUCUGGAAGCCAUUGACUUUCACUCAUCUGAAAGAAAUAUCUGUGGGUUAUUGCCGUAAUCUUAAAAAGCUUCCACUCGAUUCCAACAGUGCAAAGGAGCGUAAAUUUGUUAUUCGUGGAGAAGAAGACUGGUGGAACCGACUUCAAUGGGAGAAUGAAGCCACUCAAAUUGCUUUUCGUUCCUGUUUCCAAUCUCUUUUUGAUUAACUCUUAUACAUUUUCUCGUCGUUUGCUUCGUGCAAAAAAGACUACGUCUUUUGUUCUCUGUUUUUAUUUCAGUUUCGUUUGUUGUCUCCUGCAAAUCACAAUUAAAUGUUGAAUUAUAUGGAAGUAACGCUUUAUAAAUUUUCCGGCACUGCCAUUUCUUUUUCCUCUUUUUUUUUUUGGGUCGAAUUGAUGCUCUGGCUUUUUUACUUUUUGUCAUCGAAUUUUGCUCUGUUUUUCAAAUUGAUGCUUGAAUAUGUGAAUUCAAUUAAUGCUCACAUAAUUUUGUUUAGUUGCCGUAAAAAGAAUAUAAUUAGACUGCAAUUCGCACUCCCAGAAUGAAUAGAAUCACAACAGAGAAAAUAUUAAGUAUGCUAGCCCUCUUUACAGAAAAUCAAAUGAAAAUAAAAUUUUUUGGAUAUUUGAUUUUCUAUGGUCUACUAUAUACAGUUUAUAAAUUCUUCUGUUCUAAGGAUAACCAAAUCCUUUGUUCAAGGAUUUUUAUUUGGGGUAUUGAUAAUAGUCCACCAAAAUAGUGAAUGCUUGGAUGCUGCUUAAGGAUCUGUAAUCAAUAAGCUGGAAGCAAACGAGAAGGCGGUCGCUACUCUGUACAAAGCCAUGCAGCAAUUGCUAUUCAUCUUAAAUUCUUAAUAAUUACGAAGCUUUGGUAAAAUUUCCGAACAAAGUUGACAUGUUAUUUUGAGAUUUGGUUCCUGAUUUUGUAUGAAUAUCGCUGUUUCGUUUGAGUUGGAUGUGAAUUCAAAUCCAAAUAUUCUUUGUUUUUCAAUUCUGAAAUCAAUUUCUUUUUCUCAAGAAUGUUAUUCAGAAAUGAUUUUUACUAAAUCAUUUUUGAUGAAUUGUUUAAAUUAAACAAUUGGAAUAAGAAUUGUAACGAUUUAUCAUAAGCGUGCUAAUAUGAUAACUUAUUUUACGAACGAUUAAUUAAUUAAUCAAUUAAUGUUAAAUUAUAUAUUAAUCAAUUAGCUAUGUGUUGCAUUUAUCAUGUUUUGUAGGUGAUUCUACAUAAUUUCUAAAAGAAUAUAGUAAAAACACGUUAAAAAUUAUUUAAUGAAGAAAAUUUUAUUAAAUAGGUGACACAAUAAUAAAUGGAUUUCUGUAAGAAUUGAGAUUCUUGAGAUAAUUAUUACAUAAGGAGAAGUUUAGUUGGUUCAAUUUUGACAUGAUAAGAAGACAACACAGCACAGAAAACCCAAAUUGCCACUUCCACUAAUAAAAGAUACCUGUUUGAAAAGUAAUUAUAAACUAUCUUCUUUGUGUUAUUUCUCAAAACUUUUGUGGCACAAAUGUUAUUUCCAUUGACAACAGUACGAAAUACCACCCCUUUCACUUGAGCAGGAGCAAAGCAAAGGUAUGAUGAGCUAUCUCUGUAUAAUUGAAACGCCAUUACUAAACGAUUCUUGAUGAUGGGAGCCACCGUGCCAGCUUUGUCGCUGAUUUGCAUGAUUUAUUAGUUGUCCAGAUGGCGGAUUUUGUACUGUUACCUUCGUUUCAUUCUUCAGAGCCAUGUACAGUUCUAGGAUACCAGAGAAACCAAGGUGGCAUUGAAGUUGCCCCAGUGGUUAGUUUUCCGAUCAUUUUUUUUAUUCAAUUAUUUAUGUUUGUAGAAAAAUGUAGGAAAUAUGUAGAAAUGUUGACAGCUAUGAUUUUGAAACUUUUGCCUAAAAUUGUUAUCAUUACUUCUUGUUUCUUAUUUAAAGAGAAAUUCUAGAAACAUGAAAUGAUUAUUCUACGCUUGUUUUAAUAUUAUGCUAUGAAGAUUAUGAAGGUUUGAUUAUAUGUCACUAUCAAUUGCCUUAAUCGUUUGUCGUAAAUCAAUUAAGCAUUUUGAUGCAAAUGAUUCCCUAUUAAAAAAUUCAAGUCAGAGCUGAAUUGCAAAUUAGUUAGUCGUGCUUGCCAUUCAAAUUAAGUAUUGUAUUUUCUCCCUGAUUUGGUUGAUUCAACUAUGUGCAUUUGCUUAUGAACGUUGUAGUACAGAAAUUGAAACAUCUUGUCUUUUGCUAAGCCCAGAAGCAAAUUCUUUGUAUUCUACUCAUCAGUUUUCUUCAUUCUCUUCGUUGAAAUUUUAUCCAAACAGCGGUUUCGAAAUUGUUUUCACCACAAUACCUUAGUCUUUCAGAUGCUCCCGUCACUGAGUUGCCAGAAGAGCUAAAAGCCUUGGUAAAUCUUAAGUGUUUGAACCGGAGUACACAAAUUAUCUCUCUACAAUUCCAAAACAACUGAUUUGUUACUUUUCGAUGCUACAUGUUCUGCGAAUAUUCAGUUGUGAUUAUCUUGUUCAAAUACCAGAAAAUAGCGUUCUAUUUAGUGGUAAUGAAUUCUUGGUUUGGGAGUUGCUUAGUUUAAAACGUUUAAAUGUAUUAAGCAUCAUCUUGAAAAGUUUUUCUGCCGUCCAAAAACUUAUGAGCUCCCAAAAGUUUCAAAGCUGUACACAAUGCUUGGAGCAUAUAGGCUGUGAUGAUCCAAAGUCAUUUGCCUUGGCAGAGUUGAAACAUCUUGAAAAACUAGGUUUUUCGAGUUGUGGAAAUUUGGAAGAGUUAAAGUUCUGCUGUGUCGAAGUUGCAAAGGCUCGAGAAUGUUUUCGUUUGAACGGCCCUUGCUGAGUUAAGAUGAAGGCUUGUCAUAAAUUGUGGGAAGCGACAGGUUAUUCAAAUAGAAAAAUGUAUGGAGAUGGAUGUUAAUCUUAAGGUUAUUCAAGCAGACAAAUUCGAAUAAAACUUAUGGUAAGUGCUUUUCCAUUUAUUGCAUAUUUAUAUCUAAUUUUUAUUUUCCUUUAUUGUUAAAUUUUGCUCUAUAUUUGUUGUUGUAUGGUGGCAUUCUUGUACAAUUAUUAGCUUUUCAUUUCUCUUCUCACAUUAACUGCCCUUCUGAUCAUGUAGGAUUUGCUGAUGCAAAGAGUCAUAAUUUGGGAUACAAAUGUAAGAAUUAGACAGAUGACGUGUUGUUUUGAAGCUCUCGAAGAAGAAGGACUAAUUAUGUCAUUGAAAGCCUCCAAUUUUGUGAUUGGUUUCUUUUUAUUUUAUUUGUUGUUUUCUCUAUUUUCAGAUCGCUUAAUUGUUAGUUGUUGUAAUGUAAUGUUUUAGUAUAGAAAAUUAUAUUCGGCCAAGACAGCGAUAGGAAGGCACAUUGUGCAUGCACACUAGUGGAUUUGGCAUGCCAACUCCAAUUAGGAUGGAUAACACUUUAUAAGCAUUAGGCUUCUCUCGUACUUGAGUAAUAUAGAAUAUGUUUAUAAGUUGUGAAUCACCCUUUAUAAGUGUUAGGCUUCUGCUAUACUCAGUGAUGUGAAAUAUAUUUAUAAGCACUAAACUUCUCCCAUACACUUUAUGUUAAAAAUAAUAAUAAUAAUAAUAAUAAUAAUAAAAUAAACCCAUUUUAACAGACUCUUUUUUCUUUUUCUAUAUGAACAAAUGCAUUCUUCAAAGCAAUUGUGGGUAGAAGAAGUGAGUAGAGAAGAACUGGGCCCCUUUCAUUCCCCUAAAACCUCACCAAAACCUCUCUUGUAAGCUUUUCGGAUUUUCUUUCUAUAUUUCUUAGGAACUCAUUUUUUAUUGAAUCACUUCUUUUGCAUGCUGCAUUUUUUGUUUGUCGUAUUUGGGUAUUAUCUUAUCUGGAAUACUGUUAUGAUUGAUGGAACAAGUAAUCGAUUUUUGGUCUAAUGGAAGUUGAUUUAUUUAUUUAUUGUUAUUUUUAUUUGAAAUUAUGUACAAUUGCAUUUCAUUCAUUUCUCUCUCUCUUUUUCUUUUUUUCCCCCCAUAUAUUUGUUAUGUAUAAUUGCGUUUCAUUUAAUAUUGAUCAUACUGUAGGUAACCAUGUGAUUGUAGAUUGGGAUUUCAAGUUUGUUGAAUAUUCAUGUAAGUGAAGUAACCGUCACAAUACUAGUGAAAUUGGGAGCUUUAUUCAUGAGUUUGUGGUUUUGAAAAGAACCACAGUUCAACUGAUGAAGGCUCCUUUUUGGGAUUCUUCUUUUUCUAGGCUGCAAUUAGGAUAUGUACAUGAUAGACAAUCUUUUGUUGGCUUGGCAUAUCUUCGCUGAUUUUUUCUUUUAUUCCCCAAUUUUAUAAUUACACACCAUGAAUGUUGGGUGAUUGUAUAGAAAAUUUGUGUUAUAACAAAAACAUUGUGAAGGAGUUUCCGUGCUAAUAGUUAGUGGCUUCUGUUUUAUUGGCAUUGAUUGGGUAGAUUACGUGUUACAGUGAUUCAAUUUGUGUUCCAAACUUUGCUUUAAUUUUCUGUUUUCCCCAACUAUUUAUGUCAAAUUUAAAUCCAGAAGCAUGUACUGAUUUUUUCUUUUUGUAUUAAUCUGUGAAGUUUAUUUGGAAUGGAAGUAACUGGGUCGGGUCUAAUGGAUUAAAUUAUGACAUUGAGGGGAAGGCACUAAAAGGGUUUGCUUGACACAUUUGGUUCUGUGUUUACUCUGCAAGAAAUAGCUUUUGCUUAUUGCAAUGCAGGGGGAAAUCCCGAUUUGGCUGGUGAAUUUCUCUGCAACAAACAGGCAAACACCUCAACCUCUUCUGUCCAUACUUCUGCUGGGGAGGCAAGGGGUAAAGAGUCUUCAAAAUCAUCAAAUAGUAACAUCUCUGAGAAUUCAUUUUAUGGAAAUGGAAAAUCUAGAGCUUCUAAUACAAAAUGGCAUCUGGUAUCAGGACGUACCGUUUCAAGUUUUCUUGGUAAAGAUUAUGUUAAACCUGCACAGCCAGCUAAUGGCACUUUUCUGGCAUCAAAGCCAUUGAAGUUGGAUCCAAAGGAGUUUCCCAUGUCUGCACUUUGCAGAGAAGAAUCUAAACCGAAACAAUCAAAGGAUGACCAUUUGCAGAAGGACAUGGAAGAUUUUCUGUUUAAAUUUCCAGGAGAAGGGUUCCAGCUGAACAGGGAUGUGAUUCAGGAGGUUCUCGGUAAUGUCUUAAAUAUAUUGAUGCCAAUUUAAUACAUAUUGUCCUUUUCAAUGUUCUUUCUUUCUUUCUUUCUCUUCUUUUAUUCUUCUUCUUCUUCUUUUUUCUUUUCGUGUGCAUGUGAUUGCUAAUUUUGUAUUAUUUUUAACUUGCAGAUAGUUGUGGAUAUGAUAUGCAAAAGGUAAGGACUAUAUCCUCCUGAUAGAGGCCUCUGCUUUUUCCCUUCUAUGUACGUAAUUUAGUAAAUCGCAUAUUCUAUAUAUCAUACCAAAAUCCUGUCUUAAAUGCUGCUGGCAUAUGUUAAGGUUCAACUUGCAUUUUGAUUAACGUCCAUUUGCUACGGCUUCCAAAAUUGAGAAUGAGAUACUUUGGUUAAUUUCAGUAGUUGAACCCAAUAGGGUACUUUAUUUAGAUCUUCAUGGUUCAAAGGCCCGAAAAAACUUGCAGGUAUUUGCAAAAUGACAUUCUGUGCUUUUAUUUAUACUUAUUAUUUAAGUGAUAAAAAUUCCCCAAACCUGCGGUCAAGAAAAUUUCAGACAGUUAAAGACUCCAUUUUGUUUCAGCCAAAAAUGUUUAUUUCAAUUAAAGAUUUGAACCAUUUUCAUUUAACCUGAUUGUGAUGCUUUACAUUGUGCACGUUCCUUUCGAUCAAUAAACGUUGAGGUCAUGAUUUUAUAUUCCUAUAUUGUAACCUAAAAUAAUAGUUGGUUUGCCUGUUUCUGUAGCUUGAUAACAUGAAUUUUCCUUCUGAAGUUACUUUGAUCAAUAAAGUUAUUCUUCGGAGAAGAUAUGCCCAUUCUAUAAUCAUUUUCUUAGCUAAUAUGUUUUUUUCACUCUUCUGAGCAUGUCUAAACUAAUUGAUCGCUCGGCAGAGACUGUGGGUAAGAAAACAAAAUUUCAUGGUAAAUCCUCUUAAAAGGUAUGCAUAAUUGAAAUGACCCGCCCCGAAUUCCCCUCAGGCGAGUCUAUCUAGUCUCAUCAAAACGGACUUGAUAAUAAUUCUAUUAGUAAAGACUCUGCCAAAAAUUCGGCAGAAUUUUUUUUUUUUUAUAUAUAACACUCCCAAUCUACAAAUAUGAAUAUAACACUCCCAAUACAAUUCAGUAUACAACAAACUCCAGUGAUCAACAUCUUCAACCAAAAUGCUGAGCUUUAUAUCUCCAGAGUCUCAAAAGAUAAUAUUAUAACUAAUAUUAAUAUCUUAGUUUAUUCUUAAUCCCAAAAGAAUAAUAUAACAAAAUUAUACAAUCCCAACAGGACGAGAUAACCAAGAUGUCCUAACAAAAAUAUUUAUAUCUUCUAACACCAUCACGUGGCCGAGAUUCAAAAUAUAUUUACAGUCGCUAGGUCGGUCUGGUGUACCUGCAACCUCCUGGUGAGGGGGGAAAAAUAUAAUAAAAACGGGGUGAGUUUAAAACUCAGUGAGAUCAGUGAGUGAAUAGUAGUUUUGAAAAUUAAUUCUUACUUUAAAAAAAAUAAUCGUAUCAUUUCCAAACACAAUUUCAUUAAACCAUAAGCGAGAAACCAAUAAUAAAUCAUUAAACAUUUAAAUCAUAUUACUAACCAUAGAAAUCAUAUCACAAUAUCAUAUAGAAUACACAAAUCUAAAAAUCAUCACCAAACAAGUACCCAGAGAAAUAAUCUCGUCAUAUCCGAACCUCAACAGACGGGCAAUGACGUACUAUCUAGGUAACGUCACACCCCGGAGCUACACGGAUAGACAGGGAAAUACCAUCUCAUAUCUCAUCAUAUAUGUGCAUGCAUAAUCUAGUCCCCAAGGGACAAAAGCGCCCAAGCACACGGCCCAAAGCCUCUGUGUAUACUCAGAGGGACCCCAAAGGCCUAUAUCUCAUAUGUAUCAUAUGUAUCAUUUGUAUCUCAAUUAUCUCAUAUCCGUAUAUCUGUAAUCAUCAUACCGCAUGCAUAUGCCCCCAAAAGGAAAAAGCGUCCAAACACACGGCCCAAAGCCUUUAUAUAUAUUCAGACGGGUCCUAAAAGCCUCUCAUCUCAUCUUAUCUGUAUCACUGUAUCUGAAGGGAAUGGUACUGUCUAAUGAUUUCAAAAACAAUCAUUAUACUCAUAUUCACAUACCUCUUAAUCAUAUUUUAAAUCAUACCACAUUUGAAUCCACUUUUCUUAUCUUUAAAAUACUAUCAUGCUUUAUUCAAAGUCGAUACGCAAAAUCAAUAACCAAACAUUUUAAUAAAAUACCAAUGCGUAAAUAAAAUCCAUUUCGAGAAAUCAUUAAAUCAGAACAUUUAAAAUACUUAUUUCGCAAACAUGCUUUACUAUCAUCGCUAACUAUGAAAAUAAGUUUUGUAUAUUCCACUCACAGUGACGGUGUUCACGGUCGGUUCUCGCUCGCGGAUCCUCCUAAAUCAACGAAACGACAUAAUUAUUUUCCGUAAAUCGGAAUUAUGACUAAAUUUUAUGCAAUAAAUUUAAAACGAACAUAUAUUCAUAAUUGACAACUCCUGUGUCCAUAAAAUUACUAAAAUGCCCUUGAGUCUGUAAAUCAUUAACAUGCUUCGAAAUCGUAAAUUACUGAAUUACUCUCGGAAUCGUAAUUACACUCAAUCCUCAAUUCUAGGAAUUACUAACAUAUCCACGGGCUCAGAAAUUACAAAUUUGCCCUCAUAGUGUGAAAUUACCAAAAACUGGAAUUUGGUCAACACUGGCUAGGAAGCUCAAAUCGUAAAGUUCCAAUCACGCUGAGUUCAAUGGUACCGGCGAUGAUCUCCAACGCGCGGCAACGACGCCGGAAUCUAGCUCGGCAGCCGUGAAUUCCACCAAUCGACCGGCGGCAAAACAGUGACUCUCGGUGCCUAUGGAUGGUCGGAAAUGGAAGAGGGAGUCGUGGGGAACAAAAUUCAACCGGUGGUGUAGCCAAAACCGGCGAAAAUCCCGGCGGAGCAAAGUGAAACAGUCGCGGGUUUCAAGCUUCGAUCGCCGGUGUUCCGAUUGGUUUUUGGCGAGGAGGAUGGCAAGGGAACGACGGCCGGCUUCUAAGCUUCAGAUUGGUACCAAGCUCGGCCGAAACGGUGGCCGGAAAUGGGAGAUAUGGCCGGGUCAAGGUCGCGGGUUCCGGGUCGGGUUUUCGGGUCUGUAGUUGGGUCGGUUUGGCAGCUUCUCUCUCACUCUCUGUUACACGUGCAUAUGUUUCCUCUGUUUCUAGCUUAUUCUUUUGCUUUUACUAACUUCUUAACCGCCUCAUACUUAUUCAUUUUUAAUUCACAUAUGUUACAAUAAUUCCCGAGUAUUAAAUAACCAGUGGUCAUAAUUUUUGUACACGACUCUUUUUUUUUUUGGAGAUCGUUAAAAGUGAUUGACGAUCCAUUUUGUAAUAUCAUAGAGGGAUCAUCAAUUCCUUUUCUUUUCUGUGGCUAGGCAACACUUUUUGGCCAAAGUAAGGAAAUCUAUUUUAGGUAAUGUAAAAACCAGUUGUAGGAUGUAAUAGUUUAUUAUGCACUGACAAUAACUUUUUGUAUAAUUGUCAGUUUAAUGAAUACAAGAGGAACUCUGUUGGCAAAUUCAUCCAAGAUAGAUGCUAAAAUUAUUUAUGCAUGCCAGUUGCCUUAACUAAGUUUUCUCAGCACUGGUUUUGAACAGGAAAAUGAAUAUGCAAUUUGUAGAUUGUGCCAUAGUGGAGAAUUUGUAUAUUCUUAUUUAAGUAACAAGGAGAUUAUUUACCUCAUCUUUAAACAAUGAAUCUUUGAGAGAUGAGGAGUGGGUGAUUGGCUGUGUCUUCAUGUAAUUGUUCAUUUAUUUGUAUUUUGAACUGUUAUGAAAAUCUUUAUAUGCCAAAUUAGUAAUACAAGUAUUCAGAUGAUUUUUCCUAUUGAUCAUGCAUUUGUAUCUGCCCACAACCAUUGUAUAUCACUUUAUUCUGAUGCGCAAGCAUCUGUAAUUUAGAAGAAAAGAAAUAAUAAUCAUAUUUUAUUGCUUGGUUCAUGAUUAUUAACGAUUAUGGCUUUAAAAAUCUACAAAUUUCUUGUGUUCAUGUAUGAAUGUGCCAAGUUUGCUGUAUCUUAGAUUACCUUCUUCCAAGAUAACAAGUUCAUAUAUAUUUUUUUUUAAAAUCCUUUUCCAUUACAGUUGAAUUUCAAGUGUUAGUUUUGUUAUUAGUACCUGGUUUCCUGUUAUUAGGAUCUAAUAAACAGUGUACGGAUAUGUGCUCUACUUUUGGAGGGCCUCCACGUGAAAGAAAAUUGCAACAAUUGAAUUCUUCCGGAGGGUAUGGUAAUUAAUUUAUUUUCUCAACUUGUUGUAAGACUAAUAUAUUUCCUUCAGUAGGCACGGCAUGGUGGGAAGGGUUUUUAUUGAAAGAAUUCUGAUAUUUCUUAGACUUUGUUUUGGAAGGGGGUGGAGGGAUUUCUCAUCCAUAUAUGGUUACUUGAUUAGCUUUUGACUGUAUUGUCUCCGUCGUGCAAAGGAAAAUCUAAAUACUAACGAUGGGGAAUUGCUUAGGCACCCAAAAGGCAGAAAUGAAUUACAGAAGGAAGUUUUUGCUGCUUUAUUUAGUGCUGCUGAGAAAUCUGAUGAAUUUCCUGAAAUUACGGUGAAGACCGAGUGGAGGUCCAAAGCAUUAGGAAAGGUGGUGAGUGAACUGCCGGAGGAAUUAGUACCAGAAUACAAGGCUAAUGUGGUGCACUUGCAGCAAGAUAACCAGACCGGUAUGUGCUCUUAUAUUAACUAUAUUGACUGGAUUUGUUAGUGUGUGCAUUUUUUUGUGUAUACUCACUUUUGUAUUUAUGCAUAUUAACAUGUGUAGGAUUCUUGAUUUCUGCCACUUACUGGAGAACUAGUGGAAAGCUUUAUACUGAUAUAUCUGCAAUAACUAAUGGAAACUAUGAUAUGAAUAUUUUCUCUCACCUGGGGAGCUGUGUAACAGAUAUACUUUGUGGCUCUGGAAUGCUGAAGAUUCUGCAAUAACUAAUGGAAAAUAUGAUAUGAAUAUUUUGUCUCACCUGGAGAACUUUGUUACAGAUACCCUUUGUGGCUCUGGAGUGUCUAAAGAAUGCUUCCGUUAGAUCAAAUAUCUUUUAGUUAGAAAAGAUAAAAUUCUCUGAGUCUGAAAGACUGAAACAUUUUGCAUAUUUUGUGAAAGGGAAAUAUCUGUUGAUACUAGCUCAUGCAUUGAGGUAAUAUCGAUGUUAAAGAAAAACAGCAAUGAUUUAUGAUAUAGAAUUGGGUUCACUUGCUUUAAAUGCUGGUCUGAUCAACCAUAUCAACCUGUAAUGAUUCUGCAGAAAUAUAUAUACAAGGAGAAAGUAGCUAAAUUUUUCUUUCAUUUAUGGGUUCGGUCUUUUUUCCCCUUAUUUUUCAGCUUUCCUUCUCCUGAAGUAUGUUAACAAUUGCAGAUAAUGAUGAAGAGGACAGCUUCCAGGCUCUCCUUGGAGCCAUGAUGGAAUAUAGGGGCACAAUGAAGGAAUAUUGUAAAGCUGUAGGUACUUUUUCUCCUGUCAUUUAUGUUUUCUCACACAUUUUGUAUAUGCCCUGAACAUGCACCUUUGUAUGUAUCAAUUGACUUUUAAAUUUUAAAAGCCAUAAAGUAAGAAUACGGUUCCUUGUCAGGCUACUGAUGACAUUCGCUCAGGGGGAUCAUGUUCGAGCAGGAAAAUUUCUAGAACAGGUAAGGUUUCCAUCUACAGCCAUCCAUUGACAGCAGAUAAAUUUUCAUUCAGCAGACUCUGUUAGCAUUCAAGAUGCUGGCAGAUUCACUUGAUUCUUAUUAGCUUGUUUAGUGGCAAAGCCUAUAACCUGUAUUUCAAAGCCAAGUUGUGCUAUUGAUUAUGUUAACUUUUUUGUUAACAUAAAAUGAUAUGGAGGAAAUAAUCAGUGUUGGAAAAUUAGGUGAAAAGAUGAUGUCAAAUCUUGAACCUCUUGCGAAACUCUAAGUUCUUUACUUGAAGAGGCUACCAAAUUUGAACAGCGUCUACUCGAAGGCCUUGCCAUUCCCUGAUGCAUGCAGAAUUUUUGUAUUUAAAUGCCCAGAGCUUAAGAAGCUGGCACUGGAUCUUGAAGGGGCAGACCAAGGUAAAAUUCUUAUCAAGGGAAAGGAAGAUUGGUGGAAACAACUUAAUGGGAGGAUCAAGUAACUCAGAAUACAUUGCUUCCAUUUUUUAAAUCGACUGACAAGUGAUUGAACGGGGCAUCAUCAAUAUCAUCAACAGGGAUGGAGAGAUGCCGGAGCAGAUCAGCAGGGUUUGAAUAUGACCUUCGGCGGUUGCUUUUUUUUUUUGUGAUUUUUUUUCAUUUUUUCCUUCCUGUCAUUUUAUCAUUUCUUUGGCUCUGUUUCUAUUGCGGGUGUUACUGCAUGCUUACUGUUGCUUGACAAAGUUUGCUAGCUUUUUGUUUGCAGCGCUGCUAUACGCCCCGAGUCAAGCCCCGAAAAUUUAUUAAACGACGCCGUUUCGACAGUAACAAUUCUUUUCUUUUCCCUUUGCCUGUUUCUUUCAUCUGCUGUUUCUCUAUCACUUUUCAUUUUUGAUUUCCGUGCUUCCCAGCUGCCCCUAAAUUGUUAUUCUAGCAAUAUACUUUCUCAUCUUUGAAUUUUCAUCCUUGAGUACUCCCACAGCCGUAAUUUCAUCAUUAUAGACUUCACUUGGAAUGCUAGAUUUUUUCGAUUCUUGAGCUACUUCAAUUACAUCUUAGUAUAGGAUCCUCAUCUUCCUUUAUUUCUUCAUCUUAUGAGGUAACAAAUGGAUUUCACAACUCAUCUACUUUUAAGCAAUUACAUAUUAUACCCUGAAUGAUUCAACUGUUCCGACAGUUAAAGAUUUUAUGCUCAACCUGCAGUGCUACGAACAUUGUCCAUGAAAGAUGAGUUUCAGCAUAUAAAAUGAAAUAUAGAUGUUUAAUCUAAAAUAACCCUUCACUGCCAGAAACCUAGGUCACAAAAUUCACAGAUAAUGAUAAAGAACUAAAAAAUUUGAAAAACUCUACAGAUCACACAUCAAGCAAGAUAUCAUGUUUUUUUCCCUCAUUCGGUGGUGAUUGAUUCGCUUUUUGAUGAUGGAUAUGGUAUAAAAGUUUUGACCCAAUUUCAAGCAAACACAAAUAGAAACACAAACACAAUCAGGACUAGAGUUGUGGGCGAUUAUCUCAGGUGUACAAGUGAAACGGUGGUGGCUGUCGAUGGUGGUAGUGGGGUGGUUGGGUAUGCGUGAUGGCUAGAUUUUAGGACAAUAAUGGUUGGAGUUGACCUCAAUCAACGAAGGAAAGUGACAACAAUUUUGACAUCAAAUGGUGCAUUUUUUAGCUUAGUAAAAUGGAACCGUUUUGAAUUUGGGGUUUAAUCCGGGGUUUGACUCGGUGCAAGUAUCAUUUUCCUUUUGUUUAUUAAAUUUUUUAUGGUCACAAAGUAUUACUCGUUCUAUUUGAGAGUGAUGUGAAUCAAUUUUUCAAUUUUAUAUUUUGUGGUCAAUGUGAAUUCAAUUUCAUUUGUCUCCUGCAAUUAUGAAAAAAUUGCAGUCAUAAUAUGGAAAAGUACACCGGCAAAGACUUUGUAAAACCUUCGGAGUGAUACGGGGAAUUCACUUACAACUAAGGACAAUUGGUGGCAAGUUAUUCCAUUCAUUUUAUGUCCAUGCAUCUAUUUAGUUAUUGAAGAUUAGUGGUCCAUUUGUAAAUUUCAGAUUGUCUCUCUCUCUCUCUCCCACUUGAAAUAACAAUAUUUAAUAUAUCUCUUAAAUUAUUAUAAAUUUUAAUUUACUCUCGAUUUAAAAUGGAGCAUGUCGAUAAAUUUUUUUUCUUCUUAAUAAAAUUGACGUAAUUUGUGUUUACAGUAGUUUGAAGUUUGAAAUAUUUUAAAGAUUAUUAUUCUAUAAGGGAGUAAUAUGAAAUGAAAUUUACUUUUCAUGUGUGAACUGAAAAAGGACGAAGCAAGUGUCCCUGCUUUUAUUUUAUUUCAAGGAGGAGUCAUCUCGCAUACUUUGGCUCUUAACAUUACAUUUUUUCUGGUUACAUUUUUUAUUUUUUUUUACACAUGCGUGUGGGUUGCUUUUCUGUAAGCUCCUUAAUAUAUAUUUAAGACAAAUCAUGGAAGAGAUGGGAUUAUAUCAAGAUGAUCAAAGCAUGUAAAAAAAGAAAAAAGAAAAAAAAAAUUAAGAAGUAAGACACUGAAAAUGGAGAAGAGAUGGAAGCAAAAGAUAUUCCAAAACAAAGCAAUCUAUCCCCCUUCGAGGGCAGACUUAUCAGGUUUAAAAAAGUACAUGCUUUGGAUUGGUAGUUGCAAUCAAGGGAAAAUAAAUAGGAUCCAAUGAAAUUUAAAUCUCGGAGAAAAUAAAUAAUCAUGCAGAUUUUCAAGAUUUUAAUAAGGGAUACUAAUAUCUUAUUUUGAUUAAUAACAUUCUUUUACUGUGUUAACUCAAAAAAAAUAUUAUAAUGCUUUACAAUAAAUACAAAUGUCCUAUUAAAUGAAUAUAUAAAAAAUUUAGAAAAUUAUAUAAAAUAAUUUUAAUAUAAUGCGUGAGAUAUAUUUUAUUAAUUUAAAAUGUCAUUUUACCUAAAAAAUAUGAUAAAUUAAUAAUUACAUAUUUGAAGUUAUUUCAAAUAUUAAAAAAAUUUAAUAUUAUUAAUCUUUUAGAUAGAUUAAAUUAUUUUUUAAAGAGAUAGAUUAAAUUAUUUUAAAAUACCUUAAUUGUUUUUACUUUAAACAUUACCGGCCUUUCUUUUAUUUUAUUACAAAUUAAUGCUAACAAGAAAAAGUUAGAUCAUAUUCCACAAAAGCAAAAGUGACAAACACAACCAGCUGGAAUCUUUUAUAAAACUACAAAUUAAAAUGGAUUUUUUUUUUAAAAAUUGUUAUAAAUUGGUGGCCCCUACAAUCCUCAAUAAUUGCACCGAUAUUCACAAGUUGGUGGCCCCUACAAUUCUGUUCCGAUAAUUUAACUGUGCAAGUGCUUAAUAAUUGUUUUGUUUUUUUCUGCAUUCCCUUUCAUGCUCUUAAUAAUUGAAGAGCAUACUUUUCAAAUGUGGAGCCGCAGCUAAUGUCGCUAAUUUAAUUUUGGAUUAAAUUAGGGGACCAUUAUAUUGUAGUGUGCACUAAUGAAUAUGUGAGAUAUUCAUAUUUUAUUAAUUUAAAAUACCAUUUAACCUAAAGAUUUAUUUAUGAUAAAUUAAUAAUUAUAUUUUUGAAAUUACUUCAAAUAUUAAAAAAUUAAUAUUACUAAUCUGUUAGAUAGAUUAAAUUAUAUAUAUUAUUUUCUAUUUAUUAAAAAAUUAAAAUUAUUUUUAAUUACUAUUCAAAAAAUAUAAUGAUAAAAAAAAUCUUAACAUCUUUAUUAAAAAUUUAAAAAUUUACAUGAUCAAUUCUCUAAAUAUUUAGGGUAUAUGUGAACCACGGUGGAGAAGCUUUAUUUAAUAUUAUUGAUUUAAAUAAUAUGUCAAUUAAAAAUGUACAGAGAAGGAAAUUUCGGUGGGUAUUUUAGUCUUUUCAGCAAUUAUCAUGAUCAGAUCAGCCUUUAGCCUUGAAACGUCGAUCAGAAAAGUUUUAAAAUGCUUAAUUGUUUUUCACUUUUAAAAAUUAAUGCUAACAAGAAAAAGCUAGGUCAUAUUCCACAAAAUCAAAAGUGACAAAACAACCAGCUGGUUUCUUUUACUAAACUACAAAUUAAAAUAGAUUUUUUCGAUAAAUUAUAAAUUAAAGUGGAUUCUUUUGAAUACAAGUGAGACAGACGAUUAGGCUCUUUUUAUUAAAGGCAAGUAAAAACUAGUCAAGAAUCGAAUAGUCUUUUUCAAAUUCUUGUUUUAUUAUUUUUCAAAACUAGUUUUUGGUAAUUACAAUCGGGUCAUUCAUUAAUCAUUAUUCAAAGUUACUGUUAUCUUCGGGGGCAGUGGGUAAAAGAUAAUUACUAACUGUUUUUCCUUCAAAAGUUACCGGCUCAUGUUUGCAAGUGUGAAUGUGCGAUGCUCUUUUCUUAAAGGCAAUUACAGUGGGGCCCGAAUCAGAGGUGCCUAAAUCUUUUUAAAAUUAAUAAUAAUAUGAGUAAUAAUUAAUAAUUACAGUGGGUCAACUUUUGAAAUUAGAGUCUAGUAUCUCUCUCCCUGUCAUUACUAAAUUUUCUCUUCCACAGCCUACAGCAGCUUCAGUUUAUCAAACUCAAUCAAUUUUCUUUCUUAACAAAAUUCCAAAGAUGUGUAGUAUUUUUCAGAUCACAUGCGAUGGUGCUCUUUUCAAUCGUUGCUUGGAUUGCUUUCUUGGAAAAGCAGCAUACAUACGUAACCUCCAAGAUAAUCUUGUAGCCUUGGAGACUGAACUGGGAAGACUAAUCGCAGCAAAGAACGAUGUGAUGAUGAGGGUUGUCCAUGCUGAACGGCAACAAAUGAGAAGGCUGGACGGAGUGCAAGUGUGGGUUUCGAGGGUGGAUUCUGUUAAAACUGGAGCCGACGAACUUAUCACAGACGGCUCUGAAGAAAUUGGCAAAUUAUGUGUUGGAGGCUACUGUUCCAAGAACUGCAGGUCAAGCUACAAAUUCGGAAAACAAGUGGCUAGAAAGCUACGACAUGUGGAGACUUUAAUCGCCGAGGGAGUUUUUGAGGCGGUGGCUACUGAGGUGGUGCCCGAGAGAGCUCCGGAACCUGUAGCAGAUAAAAGACCCAUUGAGCCAACAAUAGUAGGCUUGCAAUCACAACUUGAACAAGUCUGGAGAUGUCUUGCAGAAGAAUCAGCGGGAAUCAUUGGCUUAUAUGGUAUGGGCGGUGUUGGUAAAACCACACUAUUGACCCGUAUCAACAAUAAAUUUCUUGAGAAUCAAAACAACUUUGAUUGUGUGAUUUGGGUCGUAGUUUCAAAAGACCUGCGGCUUGAAAAAAUUCAAGAAGAUAUUGGGAAGAAGAUAGGUCUGUUUGAUGAUUCAUGGAAGAAUAAAAGUUUUGAAGAGAAAGCUGUGGACAUCCUGCGGAGAUUAGGAGAGAAGAGAUUUGUAUUGUUGUUAGAUGAUAUAUGGGAGCGGGUUGAUUUAACAGAAGUGGGCGUUCCACUUCCCAGCCCACAAAAUACUACAUCAAAAGUCGUAUUCACGACCCGUUUCAUUGAUGUUUGUGGUAGCAUGGAAAGUCACAGGAAGUUUAAAGUGGCAUGCUUAUCAGAAGAGGAUGCUUGGGGGCUGUUUCGAGAAAAAGUACGGCAAGAAACUCUUGAGAGUGAUCAUGAGAUCGUUGAGCUAGCCCAAACUGUGGCCAAAGAGUGUGAUGGUUUGCCACUCGCACUUAUUACUAUUGGUCGAGCUAUGGCCUACAGAAAGAAAGCGGAGCAGUGGAGACGCGCAAUUGAAGCGUUAAGAAGAUCAGCUUCAGAGUUUGCAGGUUUGGGAAAAGAGGUGUAUCCUCUUUUAAAAUUCAGCUAUGAUAGUUUGCAGAAUGAUACGGUUAGAUCUUGUUUCUUGUAUUGUUGUUUAUAUCCUGAAGAUUAUGGCAUUCUUAAACGGGACUUGAUUGACUGUUGGAUUGGUGAGGGAUUUUUGGGGGAAUCUGACAGGUUUGGUGCAGAAAACCGAGGAUAUGACAUUUUGGACACUCUUGUUCGUGCAUGUUUAUUAGAAGAGUUAGAAGAUGAUAAAGUAAAAAUGCAUGACGUUAUUCGUGAUAUGGCUAUAUGGAUAACCUGUGAAAUUGAGAAGGAGAAGAGAAAAUUUUUGGUUUGUGCAGGUGCUGGAUUAAAAGAGGCACCGGAUGUUAAAGGAUGGGAAAAUGUGAGAAGAUUGUCAUUGAUGCAAAACCAAAUUGAAACUCUGUCAGAGAUUCCUACAUGCCCUCAUCUCCUCACUUUAUUUCUUGACUUUAAUGAGAAGUUGGAGAUGAUCGCGGAUGGCUUCUUCCAAUUUAUGCCUUCUCUCAAAGUGUUGAGGAUAUCACACUGUGGGCAAUUAGAAGGUUUUCAAUUACCUAUUGGGAUGUCAGAGUUGGGUUCGUCACUAGAACUUCUUGAUAUUUCAUAUACCAGCAUAAGAGAGUUACCAGAAGAGUUAAAGUUGUUGGUAAAUCUGAAAUGUUUGAAUUUGAGUUGGGCACAUAGGUUAUAUAAAAUUCCACGGCAACUAAUAUCAAAUUCUUCAAGGUUACGUGUGUUGAGAAUGUUCGCUACUGGCUAUGUGUGUCUUCAUGAAGCAUCAGAAGACAGCGUUUUAUUUGGUGGGGGUGAAGUUUUAGUACAGGAAUUGCUCGGUUUGAAAUAUUUAGAGGUAUUGGAGUUGACCUUGGGAAGUUAUCAUGCUCUCCAAAUUCUUUUGAGCUCAAAUAAGUUGAAAAGUUGUAUUCGAUCUCUUUUCCUACAGUUGUUCAGAGAUACAACGUCGAUUAUUGAUGCUACGGCUUUCGCAGAUCUAAACCACCUCAAUGAAUUAUGGAUUUAUAGAGGUAGUGAGUUGGAAGAAUUGAAGAUUGAUUAUACGGAGAUAGUACAAAAAAGGAGGGAACCUUUUGUUUUCCGCAGCCUUCACCAUGUUACCAUAUAUAGUUGCACUAAAUUGAAAGAUUCGACAUUCCUCGUUUUUGCUCCAAACCUCAAGUCUCUUCAGCUACUCGAUUGCUAUGCUAUGGAAGAAAUAAUCAGCGUCGGAAAAAUUGCUGAGACUCCUGAGAUGAUGGGACAUAUAAGCCCUUUUGAAAAUCUCCAAAGUCUUUAUUUAAAUGAUUUGCCAAUUUUGAAGAGCAUCUACUGGAAGCCAUUGCCUUUCGCUCAUCUAAAAGAAAUGACGGUGCAUCGGUGCGAUCAGCUUGAAAAGCUUCCACUCGAUUCCAACAGUGCAAAGGAGCGUAAAUUUGUAAUUCGUGGAGAAGAAGACUGGUGGAACCGACUUCAAUGGGAGGAUGAAGCCACUCAAAUUGCUUUUCGUUCCUGUUUCCAACCUCGUUCCUGAGCGGUGGUCGCAAAAUUUGAUUUCUGGUGAGUGCGUUUGUCUUUUAAAAGAAGAAUUUAAAAGAAAUUUAUUCUUGUCGAUUGUUUUCUUCUCUGUUUUUAUUUGAUUUCUGGUGAGUGCGUUUGUCUUUUAAAAGAUGAAUUUAAAAGAAAUUUAUUCUUGUCGAUUGUUUUCUUCUCUGUUUUUAUUUGAUUUCUGGUGAGUGCGUUUGUCUUUUAAAAGAAGAAUUUAAAAGAAAUUUAUUCUUGUCGUUUGUUUUCUUCUCUGUUUUUAUUUGAUUUCUGUUUUUAAUGGAAUUAAUGCUUCAUAAAUUUGCCGGCACUGCCAUUACUUUUUUUUUUAAUACAAAUUGAUACUUUAUUUAUAUCUUCUUAGCGAUUUAAUUUCCUGUCAAUAGACGAACGAGAAGAACAUAUGACUUAAACCAAUGCUCGCAUAAACUUGCUGUAAAAAGAUAUAAUCUCACUGAAAUGCACACGUCUAGAAUGAAUAGAAUUAAAACAGGGAAAAUCAAUCAAUUCCACCUUUUGCAAUUUCUUCUGUUCUAACAAAAACCAAUUUCUUUGUUCAAGUAUUUUCGUUUGGGUAUUAAUAAUUCUCCACCGAAAGAGUGAACUCUUGCUCAAGGGAUCUCUAAUCAAUUGCCGGAAGGGCGCCGAGACCUGAUCGGACCUAGGCCCAAGUUUGGUCUUAAAGCCUGGGCUUGAGCCUGGCAAUUAAAUUAAAACAUUAAUUGAUUUCUUGGUUGAUUUGUCGUGUAAUUGAUUUAUGGGGGAUGACACAUCAACAUACUUGAAAAUACACUAAUCUCAGCAUCAUCGGUUAAUAACUUUUAGAUUUAUGCGUAAUCAAUAGUUAAGAUUAGUUGUCAUUAAUACUAAAUAUUUUUUACUUUUUUUGUCUCUUCUAGAAAAAUGCAUCCACAAUUAAAUUUAAUACUUUACAUAAUAAACAAAGCAUAAAUGUUAAAUUUAAGAAACUGCAUUGUAUUUCAGCUGAAGUUGACUUUAAUAUUUAGGGUAGAAAAAAAUUAAAUCCUUAAUGUGUUUAAUUUGUAUCACUUGUGUCAUUAAAAUUUUCUAGUCACCCUAACCAAUUACAUCUCAACCCACUUUGUUUUUGGAUGAUUUUAUUUUUAGACUAUUAUUUUCAUCAUUUUUUUUCCUUUUAACACCAACAUUAGUGUAUGUUACGUAACAUAAUUCAUAUUUGGAUCAUUUGAAAUUUGCUUGUGUUUUAUCUAAAAAUAGAGCUUCAAUCAAAUUGUACCUCAUAAAUUCACAAUAUCUAUGAGGGCUAAUGAGACCAAACUCUGGCAUAUUGUCAAAUGUGCUUAUCCUUUUGCUUGACAUGUCAUUUUAAAAUUGUCAUUCAAUGCCAAAAAAUCACAUCAACUGAUGGCCGACUACUUUAAUUUGAAAGCAUGCAUGCGAUCGCCAAUAAUUAUAACUUAAUUGUUAUUUUGAAAUUUUUUUCUUUAUAAUUUUUAAGUUUAAUACUACUACAUGUGCAGCACAUAAGUUGGAAAAUAUAACAUAAAAUUUGAAAAAUGUGUAGCUUUCGUUCCUUUUUUUUCUUAAAAAUGGGAAAAAAGAAUGUAGUUUUGUUUAAAUUACUGUUGUGAUUACAAUUAUUAUUUUAUUGAUUAAUUGGCAGAGAAUCGUAAUGGUUUUGCAUGGUUGUUAAAACAUUGGAAAAUCCACUACAUCAUCCGUUAAUAACUUUCAGAUUUAUGAUUAAUCAAUAGUUGAGAUUUGUUAUCAUUAAUGCUAAAUAUUUUUUUAAUAUUUUCUCUCUCUCUUAGAGGAUCAUCCAAAGUAAAAAUUUAAUAUUAUAAAUAGUAAACAAAGUAUCAACGUUAAAUCGAAGAAACUGCAUUGCAUUUCAACUGAAGCUAACUUUAAUAUUUAAUGGAGAAAAGUAAUUAAGUCCUUAAUGUGCUUUAUUUACCCAUAUAUAUGGCUAAUUUUUCAAGAUAAAGGGGAAGGAUGAUGCUCAAAAAUAUAAAUUAUAGAAUUAAUUGAACUCUCAAGUAAGUUUAAAGUUCAUUAUUUUUAAUUACUUGUUUAUAAUUUAUUUUUAUUUCGUAUUAAUCUAUGGAUCUAAAUCCCCUUUGGAUUCAUAUACAUAUAUAGACAUAAUGUGUAUGUUAAUCUAUAGGUCUGAAUUCACUUUAGGUCUAUAUAGGUAUUUUGACAAAUGUACUCCAAUCAUGCAUAUUGGCAAGUUCUAACUACUCUAUUGAUAUAUCAAUAUUAUUUCUAACUGCACUAUAGGUCCAAAAAUAAGUUAGAAAUACAAAUUAACAUAAAAUAAAAAUAAUUGGUAGAAAAUACAAAUUAUAAACAUAUAAUUGAAAACGAUAAACUUUAAAUUUACUUAAGAGAGUAAUUAAUUUCAUAGUUAAAAUCUUUAAAUUUUACCCCUCAUCUUAACUUAAGAAAAUUAAUCACUUAUUUUAUUUAAUAAAGAAGAGAUUUUUUUCCCCUAUAUUUCCCAAUUAUUUCUCUCCCUCUCGCUCCCGUAAGUUAUACAACUUGAAGUGAAAUAUGAGUGGUCUGAUUCUAGCUUAAAUAAUUUAUUGUGACAUGCUAUCUAAGGACAAUACAUUACCUAGCUCUACAUAUUUUAUUUAACCUCCGGCCCACCCUGUGCAAACUUGCCUUUCCCCUGCAAGACAAGAUUAAUCAAUGUAUCAAGUCUCAAAUUCAAUUUCGAAUAUGACCAUCGUACGCUCUUGUUCUUCCCUCUUUACGAGUGCAUUCCCCCCAACCUCAAGCUCCCUCUCUCGUCUUCAAUGUCACUGCUUAUAUCCUUAUGUUGUUCUAGUUUGAAAUAGUGGCUUCCACUAUUUCAGGGCCCCCAAAAAUCCAGAAACAUACUAUUCAUCACGAUGACAAAAUUUUUGGCAGGCAGGUGCUUCCUGACUUUCACACGGUAAUUCUCAAAUUCUGAUUUCACCAUAUUUUAAUUACUGAUUAGCAUAUAUUCAAGUGCUCUCCAUUAUAACGGAAGCCGCCGCCUCACUCGUGAUUCCAAACUUUUAUCUUUUUUUCCUUUUUUAAAUUAAUGCAAGUAGCCGCUGUCCUUUUUAUUAAUUAAUUAGUUCGGCCGCCCACAUUUCUUUUCCUAAUGUCUUCUACUGUCGAUUUUCUUUUAUUUUCUCUUUUUUCUUAAAAUAUACUUAUAAUAAUAAAAUAUAAAAAUAAAAAUUAACAUAUCAAAAUAUAAUUUAAUAGAAAAUUAAGAUAAAAAAUAAAAAAAUUAUGAGCAUAUCAAUCAAUAAAUGAAAAAUAAUAAUUUUUAUUUUUAUUAAAUAUAUAUUUUUUAAAAUUAAUCAAUUAUCUGAAUAAAUCAAAUCAUUUAAAAAUAAAUAAAUAAAUUAUUCUUAAAUAAAAAAAAGAAACUUUUUAUAACACUCACUAUGCUGGUUGUAGGGUAGACGCUUUGGGGACUGAAGCUGGUAACUUCUACAAGUAGUCUUAAGUUGACUGGCAACAACUAUAUUGGCAUUUAGACAUAAUGUACUGCAACCAUAUUGGUAUGUUCAAAUGUUCUUACUAUUGUAUUGGUGUAUCAAUAUUAUCUCUAACUGCCUUAUAGAUUAAAAAAAAUCUAAAUUUACAAUUUAACAUAAAUAAAAUAAUUGGUAAAAAAACAAUUAUGGUUUAUUUACUUAUCAGUAAUCAGAAUAGACUGAAAUCGAAAUGAGCUGUAUUACCGUUAAUGUGUUUAUGUUGUCCUUGAAUCGGAAUGAAUUAUUUUAAGUUACUAAAAUAUCAUUGGUUUGUUAUUCUAAUUAUUAUUAUUUAAUAUUUAUUAUAAUAUUUGUCAUAUCAUUAAAAAGAAAUAAUAAUGAUGAUAAUAUUAUCAUUAUUGUUUGUUACAUUAUUAUUAUUCAAAAAAAUUAUUGUUAAUAACAAUAAUUACUUUAUUUCAAUAAUAAUAAUGAUGAAAUUAAUAAUAACAAACAUGACAACAACAAUAAUUAUUUAUUAUGCCAAAAAUAACAAUAAUAAUAAGAAUAAUAAUCAUCAUCAUUUUUUUCCCAAAGAAGCAUUAUCAUCAUCAUUUAAAAAAAAAAUCAUCAUCAUCAUUUUUGUAGUUACUGUUUCAAUUUAGGAAGAAGCUGUUUCGUUGUGCUAACGAUGGGAGAUGUUGUGGCUGCGAUUCGGGGAGCUACUAGUUUAUUGCACUAAUGACGACAGGUGCGGCUGCUUGAUGCGAGGUCCAUGGCCAGUUGUCAGCAGUUCGACUUUGGUAUGGGCGUUGCUGGUUCGAUUUUAGGUGUUGUCUAAUUUCAUUUUCAGGAUUUUAAUUUUAAUUUUUUUUUAUAUUUUCAUUAAUUAAUCAGUGCAAAGUUUGAUUUUAGAAUUUGGAAUGAAGGUAAUUUUGUUAAUCAUGGAAAUGAGAUUCUGAUUGUCGAGAAUGAACUUACAAAAUUGCUGCAAAUUAAGUGAAAACAAAACGCUUUUUCUCUUUGUGUGAUUAAAACAUGAAAUGUACCAUAAAUAAAUAGGUAAAAAAUAAAUCAACACAAUUCAAAAUAGUAAACCAAUUACAAGAGGCACAAAUUUUUAUGUGAAAUACCGAAAAUGAAAAAAAACUAUAGCAUCCUAGUCUAAUAUAAUCUUCUACUAUAUUAAUGGGAUUACAGCACAAAUUCUUCCCUAUCUAACACUAGAGAUUAACAAUAUCAAAAAUCUCAAUAAUCUUAACUUACAAUACAACCUAAUAUAUGUCUCUCUAAUAAGUAGAUAUCUAAAAUAACAGUCUCUAAUAAGUAGGUAUCUCAAAUAAUAGUUAAUAAGAGGAUAAAACAAAAAUUAAGAUUAGUAGAAUGUGUAUAAGGCGAUGCUAUCAACUUAUCUUCUAAAUUUGAGAAAAAUAGUUAAAUUCACUUUUUCGAUUGUACGACCAAAGAUGGAAACCCUUGCCCCAAAACCAAAGGAAUCACCAUUGUGUUUUUUUUCUCUCUUUCUCUUUCUCGUUCUUCUCUUCUACUUUUCUUAAUGUUAGCCGCCACUUGCUUUUAUUCUUUAUAGCAUUUAAAAAGCUACUUUUAAUGGUAAAUUCAUCUAAGUCCAAAACUUAGUGAUAAUUGCACACCAAACAAUCCUUUUUGGACUAUGGACUUUUGGGCCUCCAAAUGAGAUGAAUACAACAAAUCUCCCCCUUCAGAUUAUGUGGGGGGCACUACAAGCCCGCUCUCUGCAUAUAGCUUUUCAGCUUCUCCUUGAAUAAUGACUUUGUCAUCAUACAUAACCCAUUCUUCGUUGUGUAAAUCUUCUCAAGCUAUAACUGUUCUUUCUCAAGCACGUCUCAUAUCUAAUGAUAUCUCACAUCAAUUUACUUAGAUUUCGAAUGGUAUAUCAAAUUCUUUGAACGGCACUCUGACUGUCGCAGUACAUAACAUAGUUGUCUCAUUUUAUAUCCAGCUCUUGUAGGAAAUUCUUCGUCCACAAUAUUUUUUUGCAACCUUCAAUAAUUGUAAUAUCAUUUGCUUUAGUGGUAGAAAAGGCAACUUAUUACUAAAGUUUAGAUUGCGAUGAGCUCCCCCUGCAAAAGUGAGCAAACAUCCUAGUACGAAUUUUUCGGAAUCAACAUCUCCUGCCAUAUCUAUACACUUGUAACACAGGUUUGUCACCACCAAAAUAUAAACAUGCUCUGGAAAUGCCUUUAAGAUAUCUGAGAAAUUUUCACUGUUGUCCAGUGCUCUUUACCGGGAUUGAAGAGAAACCACUGACUACACUAGCUGUAUAAGCAAUAUCUGGUCUUGUACAAAUUAUGGCGUACAAUAAACUGCCAACUGCUGAAGCAUAAGGAACUCCUCUCAUGGAGAAAUGGGUUUUGCUCUUGAGAAUUUUGGGAACAUAAAGAAUAAAGAUGUAAUUUCUUGGACUGCCAUUGUUUCGAGGUAUAUAAACAGAAGACAAGUCGAUAUAGCUUGACAAUGUUUUGAUCAGAUGCCAGAACGAGAUUAUGUCUUAUGGACUGCCAUGAUUGAUGGGUACCUUCGAGUGAAUAGGUUCAAAGAGGCUUUGACGCUUUUUCAGGAGAUGCAAACUUCAAAUAUAAUGGGAGACAAGUUUACCAUUGUUAGCAUUCUUACAGCUCGUGCCAAUCUGGGGGCACUAGAUCUGGGAGAAUGGAUAAAGACUUAUAUUGACAAAAACAAAGUCAAGAAUGAUAUAUUUGCGGGGAAUGCUUUGAUAGACAUGUACUGUAAAAGAGGAGAUGUUGAGAAAGCUCAAAAGGUAUUCAGGAAGAUGCUUUGAAAGGACAAAUUCUCAUGGACGACCAUGACUGUUGGCCUUGCCAUCAGUGGCAAUGGUGAUAAAGCUCUUGAUAUGUUUUCCCAAAUGCUUAGGGCUUCGAUCAAACCGGAUGAGGUAGCUUAUGUUGGUGUUCUGUCUGCCUGUUCUCACAAUGGUAACGAAACUUUUGUGAUAAAUAGUUGCAACUUAAGGUGAGAAUUGGAGGAAAGGAAAUAGACUGAAGUUGUUCAAUCAUCAGUGGUUGCUAUUUGGUUUUAAGUUGUUCAAUUAUCGGUCGUCUCUAUUUGGUUUUCUCCAAUAUCUCAUCUUCAGUUUUGACUCAGAUUCUAUCUUACCACUAUUGUUCUGUUCAUUCUAUUUGUUUCCUACAAAAUAUUUCUCCUGCCUAAAAUUUUUUGAAUCAGUAAGUUUUUAUCUUAUGCAAGAAUUGUGCUGAGAGUAAUUCCAUUUCUCAGUCUCGUUAUGUUUCAAUGAAGACGUAAAACUUGUGUUCUAGUGCACCAAUGUUUAUGCUUCUUACAAUUUGACUUUAAUUUACUUUGUAAAAUUUUUGUCAAAAAGUACUAAAAAGUAGUGCACCAAACACCAACUUUAUUAUAGAGAGGACUUUAGUUAAAUUUUAAGAAAACACUCAAAAGAAAGAGUUAUAAUUUAUUAUAGAAAUAUUUCACAUAAAUAAAAGCCAUCCCAUGCUGCAAAGAUCUUGCUAUAAUCACCAAAAACUAUCGGGAGCUUUUAGGGUUUCCAUAAAAAUGUCAUUUCGUUCCAAAAGUCAAUGGUGGGUAGAAAGUGGUGCAAAUGAGACUCAUUCUUAAUGGUAUAAGUUUUUGCUUAAUUAUGUCUUCCCCAAGAUGAUGAUUUAAUUUCCAUUCUCAAUUAAUUUUCAAGUUUCAACACUUUUCUAUGUAGCAUGACAUUGGAAAGAUCUUGUACAGUUGUACUACUAAAAGCUAGCAUCACACGUUAGUUAUUGUUAAGUUCUGUUUCAACGUGAAAUAAAGGAAGUAGUCCUUCAUUAAAACCAUUAUAGCCAAAUUUCACCUAAUUGGACACUUACAGACUUUCAUUUCAAGUUGGAUUUUGGUCCAACGUUUCAAAGUUUGGCCCAAUUAUUUUUGUCCGGUCAAGUCCUACGCAGCUAAGCCUCUCAAUGAAUGAGGGUGAGAUUGCUAAAAAUUACGACAGGUGAUAUUUUAUUAUUAUUAUUAUUAUUAUUUUUGGGGGAUAAAUCCUCACCAAAGUGAGGAGAUUUUAUCCAAAUCAAAAUAAAAAUAUAACAAGAACUGAAAGUCGGGCAGCCUAAAAGCUAGAUGAACUAAAAGUCAGGCGCCUAAAAACAACCUUAUGCAAAAGAGAAGCAAUAUGAGACCGAUCAAGUAAAAGAAUCCACCGCAACACCUAAAUUGGCCAAAUUAUCUGUUGGUAUUACAAGUUUCUUGUUAUAAAAGUGUAGAAUGAAGUAGGUGACGUAGUUUUAAGUUACAGCUGCAUGCCCAAUCGCAAUAUCAAAUAAUGCUUAAAUAUCAAAUAAUGCUUAAAGUAGUUGCCUAGGCCCGCCACAACUUAUAUUAACUCUUAAAUUUAUAAAUAAUUAAAUUUUUAAAAGUUUGGAUUUAUAUUAAAAAAUCUUCAUAUAAAUAAAUAAUAUAUGCACUUUUACAACAGUCUUUAAAUUUAAAUUUUUCAAAAAAAAUCUUCUGUAUAUCUUUUCUAUUAAAAAAAUUUCCAUAUAAAUAAAUAAUAUACCUAAUUUAAUUGGACCGAGCACAACGCACAUGCAUAGAACACAUUCCGAAAAGCCAUGCUAUUCAGAAAUUGACGAAUGAAAAGUGAGGAGGCAGCAGUCAAUGCUAUUUCGGCUUGGCCCAAAAUUGAUUUAUCAGUUUGACGUGUGCCAGGAAUGAAGAACUGGAAUAUCACCGUCAAGCAGCACCCUGUGGAGCAAUACCAUAGAAUGCACAAUCUGGCUUUGCCAGGUGACACUGGAGGCUUUUUGAAAAGUGCUUCAAAAAGCCUUUUCUGAUCGAGUCUGAGCACUCAAAUUUUGGUCCUCAGAUGGAGCUACAGCUUUCUCUCCAAUAACCAACAAUUUUCUAAACUCAGCUCCUAGUGUGAUGAGAGUUGUUGAUAUUUGUAAAUGGAGAUCCCCGUAUUUGCAAAUGGAGACAUUUACCAAAUCACCAACAUGCUUCAUCCAGUCUACGAAAUUCUGCAGCUGAUUCAAAUCCGGAACCUGAACCAGAGUCGGAGGUAAAUCUUGAGCCAUAUCUAAAGCAGUCUGAAGUUCAAGUACUUGAGCCCUUGACAAUGGUUUUGAAAUUGGAACAUCUUGGAUUACUGCAGACUUGUACCCCUUGGUUUCAAAGGUAAGGAAAGGCAUUGCUUGAGUACAAUUUGGAGGCAGCUUCUUCACCAAUUUUAUUUGGAGGCAAUUGGCAGCGGAUCCAGCUGCACCAAUUUCAGAGCAAAUACUGACACUACUUCAAACAGCACGCUGAAGAAGAGAUAUGUCUAUGGCAAAGACAAUGCAGUCCUCAUUUUGACUUGAGAUGCGGUAAUCAUCAAAGAGAGUUUCCUUGUGAAACUGGGCAACACAUUGAAUCCCUUCACCACUGAGAAGGUUGUGGAGGAAGCAAGCUUUCUCUCUAGUAAGGAAGAGGUGGCAUACCUUCCCCAUUUUGUCUAGGACAGGUAGGAAUCUUUUUUCUAAGAGAUUUACUCCAUUCUCUGUGAGAAAUGCUUUGAACUUCAUCCCUCUGUCUCUAUCCUCACUUAUCAGUAAAAUAGUUGAAAGCACUACAAGGAGAGAAAAGAAGAGUAUUAAGAUAUAUAUAGACAAGAAAAACAUUAGAUGUCGAUCUUACAAGCUAAUACUUCAAACAGUAUCCUAGAAAGCUAAAAACUGCAAAAUGGCUUGAAAUUUGAAAAGAACACAUGCUUUUCCUCCUUAACUUGAGAAAAUGUUUAAUAUAGUGCACCUUACAGAAACAUUUAAGCAAUUAGAACUUUGCACAAAAACAUUCAAGAAGACUAAACAAAUCAGAUGCAGUGUAUUUCUCCAAGCACAAAUGGCAUUGCAUUUUCUCCUCAACUGUAAUAUUUAUUGAUGAAAAUCAGUACAGGUCCCUCAUUUGUUAUGGAAAGCUUUCUUGUAGUCUGACCGGUUAAUUCACGGGUCUAUAAUCAUCUUGCAAAGUUACAGGCAUUUCUUUCGAUUUAAAGUCUUUGCAUCACCACCUCAUCACACACCAAGCCAAUAUUCCGUCUACCUCUACAACAAAAAGUUUUAAGUAAACGAUCCUAAUGCAUGCAGCCAAAUAAAAUGCAGUAAGAAUAUUCAACUUAAAACUCUGAAAGCCAUCUUGGUGAAUUGCCUCCUUAGGGGAAGUUCCAUGCUUUACUAUACUUGACAGGACUGAGCAAAAGCUUCCAUACGACAGAUUUUGACAAUAAUGAUGCCAACAGAUCCUCAUUAAAUCCAUUAAAACUCCAAAGGUUCAUUGUUCAUGGAUGUUUACAGAGUUUUGGUCAUCAAAUAGCUCAGACCACAAUCCCAAACAAAAAAGGAGUGAAAAUUAGAUCACCAGCAGCUAAUUGUAAAUUCUAACUUAACUCUUCAUCUCCUUUGUAAACAGGAGACAAAAUGGAGACACGCAAAAUGAAUAAGGAGAACAUUUGAACUCAAAUGAAAUGAGGGCACGAAAUCAAACAAAUGGCAUGCGCAAACAAACCAAGCCUCAAUCAAAAACUAAAUAACCAUUAAGAAAAAAAAACUGGUCAGAGAAUGAACUCCAAAUUCGGGAGUGAAGCAAGAAGCUUUCAUUAUUUCAGAAGCUCCUGUACAAAUUAAUAAGUUAUGCUCUUUGGAAACAAACCUAAAUUCCAAGAGAAACAGAACUCAAAAAAUUUGCAAUUAUACGCAAAGGAAGCGAAGCACAGCAUUCUAUCACACGUACAAAUUGUAUAACAAGAGAUCGACACAUCGAAUCAGAAGAAUUCAAUUCAAAUUUGUCUCAAAAAUCAAAAUUAGAAGAUUUCACAUUUCGAGAGGAACAAGCGACAGGUCAGAUGCACAAUUUUCAACCACAACAUGCCACAAUUAACGGUUUAUUUCCAUGGAUUUAGAGAGCUGACUGACCUUUUGGCUUUUGGAAUUGAGAAGAACGCGCGCCAAAAUGGAAGAGGGAAAGCGAAAGUGCGGGUUUCAAUAGGGUAUUGGAUUAGCAAAUUUUAUUAGUUUGCGAGGGUAAAAUAGGAAAGAGAUAUCACUAUUAACUUUUUUUUUUAUAAGAAAAAAGAAUAAUAAAGAAUAUUUUAUUGUCAUUUGCAGCAUUUAAUUUUUUUUAAAUGCUAUUAGAAAAAAACGACAAUAAAGAAAUGCUCUUUUUUUAUUUUUUUCUCGAAGGUAAAAUCAAUUAUUUAGCGUCUUAUAUGUAAUCUAACUCCAUUUCUUACUUUAAGUCAUAUCCAACUGACCAAUAAAGUAAUUGUUUUUUUUUUCAUUCAUUUUUACAGAAAAUUAAUAUUGAAAGCUAUUGUAAAAAUUUUUAUUAUCAACCUCAUAGUUUAAUUUUUUUGGGGAAGAAUUGAAUUUUUUUUUUUAAUUUCCAAGAAUUUCAUUCUCUAGUUUUUCCAUUAAUAUUACUUAUCUUGAUACCCAUCUUAAUUAAAAUCUGUAGUUUUAUUCAGGAGUCAUGCUAUUCAUUCACUCACAGACCAAAGGCUUUCCGCAGCAAUAUUAUUAUUUAAAUUACAACAAAGGGGAAAUCAAAUACGUCAUACAGAAGCUUAAAGCUGAAUCUACAAAAUCUAGAGCUCUCAACUACAAAAAUUACACUUGAUGAUCCUCUACAAGAUGAAACUUGUUCAAUAUCUCAUCCAAAGCUUGUAAAGUAACCUUGUAACGAUCUUGAGAUUGCCUGCCUUCCUCGACGACCUGCACGAUGCGUUUGUACAAAUCAUCAUACCUGUGCACCGGAUUUUUAAUAUCAACGCCACUGCAGCUGUGAUCAAGAACAUAAGAGCGUUUAACAUCUUUUCUCCAUCGAGAAAGAAUGUAGUGAGGUGGGAUCUCCUGCAUGCCACUCUGGUUUAGAACACAAAGAAUGUGUCUGCAUAAAUAUCCUCUGAAAUUGAACAACCCACAAACACAAAGCACCUCCUGCAUAAAUAUCUUUCUCGUUGCUACCAAUCUCAAAUUCUUCCUUCACUAUCUAUGUUAUAGGUCCAUCAGCACUGACAUGUUUUGUGCUAUAGCAAGAGUACAUAGCCUCCACCUCCGUCUGAAACUUCCUUAACAUUUCAUUUGUGUACAGUUUUGAGAGUUGAAAUUCAUAGUAACAUCUUGGUUUCUGGAUACAACUUGAAUUUCUUGAAUCCAUAUCUGCCAAGGCUUCCAGUUGAUAAUUCGCCUGCAGUGCUUGAUCAUACUUGUCUAAGAAUUCUUUCAAAGGAGUACUCUUAUCAAGAUAUCCUUCAAAGUAUGAAGUAGAAACCUCAUUCUGCAGGAAUGAAAACACUCCUGAUAAAAAUGCUUCCUUCAAAUAAACAGGAGCCCACCUUUUACGAUCUUCAUAUAAAGUUUGAAUCCAUCCAUGAUCCUUUAUUCCAUGACGUUGAAUCGUGUCCUCCCAAGCUGUCUCAAAUUCCUCAGGCCUAAGAGAGUGAUAAAUUGCUCUAUGCAAUGCAGCUCUAACAGCUUCAUAUUCAAACAAUCCUUGGAGUUUCUCUGAAAUUUUUUGCAUGACGCAUGACAAUGAAAAGCAAUGAUAAGCUCUUGGGAAAGCAUUGCUGACGGCAGUUUUCAAGAUUCUACAUUGGUCAGUGAUGAUUGUUUGUGGACAGCGUCCUAACAUACAUGUAAGCCACGCCCUAAACAACCAUGUAUAUGAUUCUAUAGUCUCACUGGCGAGUAAACCACAGCCCAACAGCACUGAUUGUCCAUGAUGAUUCACCCCAAUGAACGAAACCAGUGGUACAUCAUAUCUUUCUGUCAAGCAUGUAGUAUCAAUUAAGACUACAUCACCAAAGUACCUAUAUGCAACUCUUGACCUGGUAUCAGUCCAGAAGAGGUUUCUCAGGCAUCCCUUUUCAUUUAGAUCCACCACAUUAAAAAAGUUUGGAUCUGUCAACUGCAAACGACAAAAGAAACUCUGGACAGCUUGUGCAUCUCCUGGUUUAAGCUUCAAUUGAUUUGAGCUAUUAACAUCAUUUCCAAAUACUCCAUUAACAUCUAUAUUACCAUUUCCCUCGGUAUCAAGGAUAAGAGUUCGAAACAGUCUAAUUUUUUGAACUUCUUCAGCACCAUCUAAGAGCAAUGUUCUUUUGGUUCCAAUACCCAUGUGCUUAUGAGACUUGUAAAACUUUCCGCUUCUUGGGCUUAACAAACGGUUAUGCUCAAGCUUGACUUCAAUGAUUCUCCACCUUUUGGUUUCCAUCAACCUAAACUUUAUCAUUGCUGGACAGCCAGUUCUUGUUUCUGGUCUUGGGCGGUUUGCCUCGCUUUUCUUCUUUAAGCCUGCACUACUACAGCUCAGCUUUCCUCUAUACUUUUCUCUACUCUUUCGGUACCAUGUAUUGCUAACUCUAACACCAAAACCCUGUUCCUUGGCAUAGCAAUUAUAAAAGUAAUAUACGUCAUCAUACGUCUCAAACUCCAUCCCAACAGCAGGAGGCAAUGGAUUUUGGAUUAUCCCAGUUUGUCCAACAUAUUCAGUCAUCGCACAAUCUCCUAUUCAAAAUCAUCAGCGUCAUCAUCACCUACGGGUUCAGUAUUCAGAGAAACUUCAUCCAUCUACAAUAGAUGUUUAAUGAAGUGAGCUUUAAGGAGAAAAGGCAAAAUCAGUUCAAGGAAUGAUAAUAAAACCGUACAGUUACUUUCACAAAGCUUCGUAUUUCAUCACUACUUUAACAACAUGCAACUGCCUGAGAACAUACAGACAUGUCAUAGAUGCUUGAAUUAAGUAUUGAUACAAAUUAGCACACAUCAUGUGGGACACAAUUUCAGUCACUAAACCCAAUACCUUUUUUUUACAUCAUACCAAGAAACAGAUUAAACCCAAUACCUUCUUUUACGCCAUACCAAAGAACAGAUUAAAUCAUCAAUGAAAAAUUAAUCACAUAAUAAUUUAACUAGACAAUUGAAGAGCUCAAAACAGCACAAUACUUGAAUCUGAUUAUGAUAAUUGUUGAGUCCUUGUAUCGACAGCUUUCCUUCAAUGAGAAGAUUAUGAACAUAAACUACACACAAAAAAAAAAAUUAUUUAAACUGACAGCCCAUGAUAUAAAUCAAACAAAAUUAACUCCUUUUACAAAUCACAUCUUGUAUUCAUUUACAUCGAAACAUAAAAAGGAAGCAGGAGCCAAAAAAAACAACAGCACAGAAACUUCUUUCCAUAAGGUUUACGAAAUAAGGAAUUUAUUAAGACACAAAAUUUGAGGUCACCUAUAAUAAUUUGGUUCUCAUUCUCUUUUUCUUCAUUUUUCACUUAUUGAUGGAGUUAGCAUACAAUCCUAAAUGAUAAAACCCCAUCUCCAUUUUUGAACUAGAGCUAAAGCAAAGCAUUUUAGGAUUCAUCAUUUUUUUUUCUAAAAGACUCAAUAGUACAAUGUUUUUCAAUAUUAAAUACACAACUCAAUCUUCUCCUAAUUUACUCUAAUAAUCUCUUAACUUAGGAAGAUUAAGCUCCACUUGUAAGCUAAAACAAUUUUCUUAAAUCAAGCCCCAAUGCUCUAUACUAUUCAACAAGGCCUCAUAAAUGAUAAAACUACCUCUACAAAGAUACCCAUUUUAGUUUCGCAAACUAAAAUCAAACUCCUGAAACGUAACGAGCAUUAAAACAAACAAGUCCGAACAAGAACUGAAAAAUCAUACAUAAACUCGUUUACACGCUUCGAAAAACACUUUGAAAUUCAAACGAAACAUACCUUAGGUUGAUAAAUUAGUAGCGCAAAAGAAAUUUUAGUGAGAUAUGGGAUCAGGGUUUUUGCCACGGUGAUGUUAAUUGCGACAUUGGGGUGACUCAGCAGCCUUCGAGGCUGAAACUUUGAUUGACCAAAAGCUUCCCGUUCGUUGAUUAUCUAAUUGCAGAAACGAAACUCGCAGUGUACAGAAGAAGUACGCUGAUUUGAUAAUUCUGUGAAAAUCAUUGUUUUUUUGAGAUUUUUAAUGUGUUCGGUAAAUAUCAAAAUCUCAAAAACUUGUCUUUCAUUUUGGGGGGAAAAACCCAUUGAGAUCCUUAUGUUUUUUCUUAUAUAAUCUGGCUUAAUAAUUUGCAAAGUCUAUUACUUUGCACCCAUGCAUGCUGCGUUUCAAUUUUACAAAAUUGUACGUGAGUGCAUCCAGCUAAAAUUUGUAAAAAGAAAAUAACAAUAACAUGUUAAAAAUGUGAUGAUUAUGAAGAAAUUUUAAUUUAGUUAAAUAGGUGACGAUGGAUAGGUAUAAAAUCUGAGAUCUUUUAUGAGAUUAAUAAGUAUGUUGAGUUUGGAUUAGUUCAAUUUUGACAUAAUACAGAAUAAACACAAUCUGCUAAUCUAAGUUAUCAUCUUUUCUCGUCAUCAGGUACCUGUUUGAAAAAUAAUUAUAUACAAUUUUAUUUGCGUUGUCUCUCCAAAAAUUUUGGACUCGAAUGUUAUUUUUAAUUGCUAAAAGUACGAAAAUGCCCCCUUUCUCUUCAGCUAAAGGAGUGCAAAGUCAUCUGUAUAAUUGAAUCUGCAUCAUCAGUUUCUAUUGCUGGCUGGUGUUACUGCAUGCUUACAGUUGCUUGACAAAGUGAGCCAGUUUUUUGUUUAUUAAUUUUUUUUCUUGUCGAGACAGUCACAAAGUAUUACUUGUUCCAUAUGAGAAUGAUGUGAAUCAAUUUUUCAAUUAUGCAUUCUGUGGUAAUUAUUGUGAAUUUAGUUUCAUUUGUCUUGUCUCCUGCAAAUUUUGAAGAAAAUGCAGACAUACAAACUUACAAUAUGGAAGAGUUCACUGGAAAAAACUUUGUGAAAGCUUCCAAGUGAAACAGGGAAUGGGCUUACUAGUAAAGGACAAAUUGGUGGCCAGCUAAUGCAUUCAUUCUAUGUCCAUUCAUCUUUUCGAAUUAUUGAAGACAAGUGGCUCACCACUUUUAGUAUUGGUAAAAUUCAGAUAAUCUCUAUUCCGAAAUAAUAAUAUUCAAAAUAUCUCUUAAAUCAUUAUAAACCUGAAAUCUAUUUUAAUUUUAUUUAAAAGAUAAAAGAAAAAUAGGUUAUGUUGGUGAUUUUUUAUUAUCUUUUUAAUAAAAAUGAAAUAAAUUGAUGUUUAUAAUUAUUUAAAGUAUUUUAAAGAUUGCUAUUUUAUGAGAGAAUAAUAUUUCACUUUUUUAGUGUGAAAGAUUGAAAAAGGACAAACCAAGUUUCCCUAAUUUUUAUUUUAUUUGAAAUUGGUCAUCUCACAUACUUCACCCUUCAACAUUAUAAUUUUUUUGGUUAUAAUUUUAUUAUUUUUUCUCUUUUACACAUGCAUGUGAAUUACUUUUCUUUAAGCUCCUGAAUAUUUAAGACAAAUCAUGGAAGAGAUGAGAGUAUAACAAGAUGAUCAAAAUAUGUAACAAAAAAAUUUUAGAAGUGAAAAAUAUGUUAGAGUCGAAGUAAAACUCUGAGGUGAUGUUUGAUUUGAAGAAAAUGGAGGAGAGGAAAAGAGUGGAAUGGAGAGGAAAAUAGAGAAAAGGAGAGGAGAGGAGAGUGAAAUUUUUUUCUAAUGUUUGGUUUGUCACAUAAUUAUACAAAGAAAAGAAAUCUCUAAUUUUUUAUUUAGACAAUUUUAACCUUAAUAAGUAUUAAGCUUUCAAUAUUUAUCAUGUGUAUAAUUUAAAAAAAGUAAAUGGUAGAAAGCGGUUUCUGAUUCCGGCCACAUCGCCGGCAAUGGAAGGUACUUAUCAGAACAUCAAGAGCCGACCAUCAUUCCCUAGCCAUCACUGCUGUCAGAACACUGCCAGAAAGCUGCCGAUUGAACCGCAAAAAGUCGUGGAAAUCGCUGCCUCAAAUCGGUGAGUUUCGCCUUUUUCUGGUCACGCCGUCACCUUGGCUUUGUCCAUCAAGGCUGCCACUUCCAUUUUCAACCAUCCAUAGCCACUAUUAACGGCCAAAUCGCCGCCGAUCAGCGGGAUAUGUGGAAGUUAAAAAGUUUCUAAAUUUUUUUGACUGGAUUUGAACAACAUACGACCAUUUUUUGAUCUCGAUAACGACGUAGUAAUGUUGAUCAUUGAUCGGCAAGUCGAAUGGUAGUGGCGGUGAGUAACAUGCGCCAAUGACAUCGGCGGCGGCACUAUCCGGCGACUGUUAAAAUUAAUAUUUUAUAUUUUUAGAUUAAAUAAAUUUAUUUUAUUAAACUUUUUAAAUCAUUAUUUAAAUUUAAUUAAUUUAAAAUUAUCUAUAAUGUUGAAUUGAUAAAAUAAAUUUAUAAAUAAUAAUUAUGUGAUUACAUUAAAUAAGUUAAAAAGUUGAAAGGUUAUUUUUGGAAGAUUUAGUUUCCAACACAAAGGGAAUUUGAAUUCUUCACUUCUUAGUGUGGAAUUCAAAUUCUAUAUUGUAAUGGAUAUUAAAUUCCAAUAGAAAUUAAAUUCUUAUAAAUUAUGUCAAACCAAACAACGGAAAUAAAAAAGGAAUUUAAAUUACUUUCCUUUCCUCCAUUGUCUCCUUCCAACCAAAUACAUCCUGAAAAUAGAGAUAUUGAUUAAUUUAGAAGAGAUGCAAGCAAAAGAUAUUCCAAAAAAAAAAAAAGCAAUAUGUCCCUUUGGAGGGCAAACUUGUCAGUUUUAAAAAAGUACAUGCUUUGGAUUGAUAGUUGUAGGAUAUUUGUUUUGUCACUAUGUAUUAGUUGGAGAAGUCAAGCCUUGUGAAGAAUGUUAUGAAAGAGCAAAAGAUAUUCCUGAUAGCUGAUAGAGCUAUAUUUGAUUAUGUAUCCAACGAAUGGAUGUGUUGUUGGAAGAUAUCUGAGUGCAUUAGUUCAUAUGUGUAUGUCAAUGUGCUUUUAAUGAUUUUUCCACUUGUUUGUUGUAAAAGAUUAUUGUAAAUUGAAAUGAACUUGAUGUUGUAAUAUUUUUUCCUUAGUGGAAUUUCACCUAGUAUGUAUUCAGUUGUGUUCUCUAUAAUUUUGCAUUCGAAUAGUUUCACCUAAAUAUAUUAGCAUGAGUAGUGGCCCUUGAAACUUUGGUCAAAAUUAUUGUUAUUAUUUCCGACUAGAUGUAAAUUUUUUAUUAAAUCUCGUUAACACAAUUCUUAAUUAAAAGUAUAGGUUAGUGUUGGUGCAAGAUUUGCCACACCAAAUUCUGCCUAGCUGUCAAAAGUGCAAAAUAAAUGAAGAGAAAGCACAAAUACACGACUUGAAUAAGGAUACAACGAAACUUAAAUUCAAGAGAAAAUGAUAGCUAUAUCUCAAGAUUUGAAAAAAUGAUCAUGUAGAUUUUUAAGAUUUCAAUAAGCGACUGAGAUUCAAAUAAUAUCCUUUAAUUCUAUUAACAAAAAACAAAGACUCAAAUAUUUUAUGAUAAAUAAAAAUAUAAUAUUAAAAUAUAUGUGAUAAUAUACACAUUUUAAAUACUUUCAAUCCAAAAAAAUAGUUAUGUUUUACAAUCUAUUAGACAUAUUUUAUUAAAUUAAUAUAAAUUUUCUAUAAAAUAAGAAUAUAAUAUUAAAAUAAAUUCACUAAACUUUAAAGAAUUUUGAAUGUAAAAUAAUUUUAAUAUAUUAAUACGUGAGUUUUUUUAUUAAUAUAAAAAUUAUUUAACUUUAAGAUUUUUUAAAAUCUUUACAAUAAGUAUAACUAUAUUAUUUACAUUUAAAAAUAUUUAAAUAUUAUUAACCUACAAUUAUAUUUGCAUUUGUUAGAAAUUUUUUAAGUAAAAUAUUUUGCACUUCUAUAUUAUUAGAAUUAUUGCACACAAAGAAAGAAACAUAUACCUUUAGAAAUUGUUUUCUUUUAAAAUAGAGAUGAUGAUUAGUAUAAGGAUGAAAAAAAGGAUAUUAACGAAAUCUCUAUACAAAUUGAUUUUAGUAGGAAAAGAGUGAGAUGAAUGAUUCUUUUACAAUUAGAAACAUAGAUGAUGAUUAUUAUAACGAAGAAAAAAAGAUAAAGAAUAUUAAUUAUUAAUGGAAUCUCUAUGCAAAUUGAUUUUAGUAGGAAAAAAAUGAGUUAAAUGAUUUAGAGUGCGUUUGGAAUUGAGAUUGGGCAGCCAUAGAUUUUAAGUUACAACACUGAAGUGUUUGGUAAAUACUAGCUGCUGCAGAUUGAAAGUUAUGUUGAUAUGAUUUUUCACAUGUAUCAUAGAAAAUAUAUUACAUCUUUAAUAAUUUUUUUAAAAUUUAUAUUUGCUAUAUAUUAUUAUUAUUUUUUUUAUAGUUAUAACUUUUUUUCCACAGCAGCUGUAGCUUAAAAGCCACAGCACCUCAAUUUCAAACAAGUCCUUAGACAUUCAUAGUGUGUUUAUUUUUUGGAUUGGUGAAUAAAAAUUAUUGACAACGCUAACUUCAUCUUCACCGUUCGCAAUCCAACAGCAGCAAUUGUCACCAAUAAUGAUAUCUCCAAUGAUGAUGACAAUUAUUAUUAUUAUUAUUAUUAUUAUUAUUAUUAUUAUUAUUAUUAUUAUUAUUAUUAUUAUUAAUAAUUAAUUAAUUAAUUAAUAUAUUAAUGUUAAGAUUAUUAUUGUUAAGAUUAACAAUAAUUAUUAGUAAUACAAUUUUUUGAAUAAAAAUAAUCACAAUAAUUAAAAUACAAAUUAAUAAUUAUGACAAUAGUUAAUUAAUGUCUUUUUAGUGAAUCAAAAUUAUUGACAACGCUAACUUCAUCUUCACCGUUCGCAAUCCAACAGCAGCAAUUGUCACCAAUAAUGAUAUCUCCAAUGAUGAUGACAAUUAUUAUUAUUAUUAUUAAUUAAUUAAUUAAUUAAUGUUAAGAUUAUUAUUGUUAAGAUUAACAAUAAUUAUUAGUAAUACAAUUUUUUGAAUAAAAAUAAUCACAAUAAUUAAAAUAAAAAUUAAUAAUUAUGACAAUAGUUAAUUAAUGUCUUUUUAGUCAUUUAUAGUAAACAAAUUAUUAUGAUUCCUAUUCUCCUUUCCCAUUUUAGCUCACUUUGAUUUCAGUCUAUUCCGAUUUCUAUCUAAUAAAUGCACCAUUAGUGCUAAAGUAAUAUUUCAUACAUAGAAAAGUAAAAACUACACCUAAGGUUAAGGGAAAGGACUUCAAAACUCUCUUUUGAUUAUAAUACUAGGAAAUAAAACCGCGCUUCGCGCGGCUUUAGAAAAUAAAUUUAGUAUUAUCAAUUUUCUUUCUUUACACUCGACAAAACUGAUAAAAAAUAUAAAUUAAUUUUUUUUAAAUGAGCCAGCGUUAUAAAACUAAUAUUAUUUAUGAAAGUUAACUAUUUUUUUGUUAACUUUAAAAAUAUAUAUUAACGUGUAUAGUUUAAGUGUACAGACUUUAUACCUUUUGUAGUUGAUAAGUUCCAAAUUAAAUUUUGUAAUUGAGGAUCCUUAGCAUUGAAGUAUAAAAGAAAUAAGUAAAAUACAUGUAAAGACUUUUGUAAUUUAUUUCGCAUCGUUUGUAGCUGCGUAGGUGAGCAGUUGUUUAUAUCAAGCUUGCAGCUAUGGCAAGUUCCAAUGGGGAUCAGCAACACCUAGUGCCAAAAUGUUCUUUAUCUGUAUAUAAACCAUGUCUCCAUGGAUUAGAGAGAAUGAAAGGAGAAACAGUUGAUGUAAAAAAGAAUGCUUCUUCACGUACUAUGUUCUUUGGCGAUUAAAUCCUCCAUAACAGCUUGGAAAACUCAGCCAAAUUACCAUUUUGUUGUCUCGAUAGUUCCUUUGAUUUAUCCAUUUGUCUACUGAAUAAUUAAAACACAUAAUAAAAAUCAUUAUUAUAGGGUGAAGUAAGAGCUUGCAAUGUAUAAAUUAAAUUUUAAAAUAUAAUCUAAAAAUGUGAUACCUUGAUUUUGUGAGCUAAUGUGUGAAUAUUUUGAAAUACUUCUUUGUAGACAAUGUUUUUUAUGAAGGUUCGGUCUUCUACCUCUUGAUCGGCAUUUAGUAUGGUCAAUCCUUCUCUUGAGGUAACUCGAGACACGGCGACAUAUAAUUGACCAUGUGUGAAUACUUGCUUAGGGAGAUACAAGCCAACAUGUUUAAGAGAUUGUCCUUGGCUUUUGUUGAUCGUCAUGGCAAAACAUGGUGCUAAAGGAAGUUGUCGUCUGUUAAGCUUGAAUGGCCAUCUUGAUUCAUUAGGAGACAUAAUAAUUCUUGGAAUUGUGACAUUUUGUCCAAUAUUUGUUCCAGAAAUGAUGUCACCUCUAAUGGACCAUUUACCAAGAUGAGUGACAAUUAAUCUUGUGCCGUUGCAUAGGCCUUCUAUUUGAUUUAGAUUUCUGAGAAGCAUUACGGGAGCACCUUCCUUAAGUCGUAUGUCAUGAUUAGGGAUGCCAUUGAAUUUCAAACUAUUCAAAAAUUCAGUUGGAUAUAGAACAUCUUCAUCAUUUGUGUUUGCGCUUGCUUUGCAUAUACUGUCUGAGCUAAAAUAGGUUCUCCCUUGACCAGGUAUUAUAUUCAUAAUCAUCUCGUUCAAUUCAUGCACCAUUUCAUUUUUUGGGGUUAAUAUUGCUCUUUCUUUCAAAUAUGUUGGAUCACUGUAGUUAUGCUGAAUUGAUGGGUAGAUAGUGUCGACUAUUGAUUUUAUCAGAUUUUCUGAUGGUUUCUUACAGAUAUCAGAAGGUAGUUUAACUAAAUCUCUAUCAAUGUCAUCAUAUAAUGAACCAUCUCCAAUCUGCAAUAACCAUUUGUCAAAAGAAGCUAUUUUAGCAGCCUAAGAGCCACUCACACUUCCAUUAUAGAGCCUCAUAUUUUUUUUGAGGUCAUAAAUUUUGAAAAAUGGCCACAAGUAGGAUGAGUUAAGUGAAGCAUCAACAAUGUCUGCUCUUGUCCUCUUUGGCACAACUGGCAAUAUUUGUCGGAAAUCGCCACCACAUACUAUUGUAAGUCCUCCAAAAGGUUUGAUAGAACUAUUUUCAUACAUUGUUCUUAGAAUAUCUCUCAAGGUCCUAUCCAAAGCUUCAAAGCAGAACUUAUGUGUCAUAGGCGCUUCAUCCCAAAUGAUCAAAGAAGUUUUCAUAAGAAGUCCAGCUAAUAAGGUGCCUUGUCGGAUUUCACAAGUGGACUCUGCUGUCACAUCCAAAGGAAUAUGAAAUCGCGAAUGAGCUGUCCUACCAUUAGGCAAUAACAAAGCUGCUAUACCUGAAGUUGCAACAGGCAAGACUAUUUUAGAAUGUGAUCUGAGCUUUGCAAUAAUUGUAUUCCACAAAAAUGUUUUACCAGUACCACUGUGUCCAUUGAUAAAAAAUAAACGCCCUUCUUCAUUGUCAACAGAAUGCAUUAUUGCUUCAUAGGCUGAUUUUUGGCAAGCAUUUAGAGCAGCAAACGAUUUCUCAUGCAACUUCUUUAAUUGAUCACGAUCAUAAUCAAGCUCUUCAUUGACCAAUCGGUUACCUGAAUCUCUUAUCAAAGAAGAAUUAGGAAGUGGCAUUCCAUCUAUGUCUCUCAAACUUUUUCCCAUUUUCAACAUGAUAGUUUAAAUCUCCAACAAUGUGUAUGCUUCAACUUGUUGCUCGGUUAACUGAAGAUCUUUCAAUCUGAAUUUUUUCCUUUGCAAUGAAGUUAUGUCUUCUGAUAAAGUAGUAUAAUUAGAUUUCCAAAGUUGGGGUGCAUCAGAAACCUGACAAUGAAUGAGUAUCGUGACAAAAAGAUGUCUUAAUUCAUUUCCAGUCGCCCAUAUUGCAGCUUCAGUCAAGCAGUCGAUCCAUUCUUUAUCAUCGUCUAAUAAUCCCAAAGCAUAGCACGCAGCUUUAAAAGUUGGAUAUGUCACUCCAUUUACUGUUCUAAUACUUUCAAAUGAAGUGCUUCCUUUUACAAAAUUGAGCAACAUUCUCAUAUAAAAUCGUUCUCCACUUGAAGGAUGUGCAAAGUAAAUUCUUCCGAUUGCUAAGCCAUUUUUUCUCCUAGUCCAAGUUUUGUCUUUUGAAUUCCAUACCCAACAUGUAGGGAAAUCAGAAUAAGUUAACUCUCGUGCAUCAUCAUAAUUCUUGUUUGCCUCCAACCAUUCUGUGAACUUUGUUUUUUCUAUUCCAGGUAUGGUAAGCACAUUUUCUAAGCACUUAGAUUCUUCGAAUAUUACUGUAUGCUCUCCCGGUAAAUGGAACGGCAAUCUUUCAACUGCUGGCUUUCUGUAAUGUAUGUCAAAUUGGAAGAUUCGCCAGCAAGCUUCGGUUGCUGAUAUAUAUCUGCAGUCCAAAUAUGUUUUGAUCUCGUCCAUUUCUUGGGUAGUGUCAAUAGAUUCCAUUGUUGCAGUUGUUCUAUCAGACCCUUUAUGGACAUACUUGAAAAGAUAUUUAACUGAUCUCGAGUAAUUACAAAUCUCAACAUUAAUAUGUGCAUCAAAUUUGACAAUUAAAUUCCUGUGAUAAGGGACCACAUAUCGAUUAUCCAAGAAGACACCUUUCUUUUCGACAUGAAUACCUGUAUUUCUCCUUUUAUAGAUUGGAAAACCAUUUGUAUCCACUGUUGUCUGAUCAUUAAAUUUUUUUGGAAAAUGUUUUGUGCACUUGUCUUGCAUCAUGCAUGGAGAGUGAGAAUUGUGUUUUCCACACGGUCCAUGAAUCAUAAAUUUGUUAACUGCAUUAUAACCAUCAGGAUCAACAUUUAAGUCAGGGAUUUCUGCACUUAUUAUUUUAUCAAUAUGGUCUGCAGAAGGAUUUUUCAUUGUUGGAUGCAAAAAAAGCAGUAUGUGUGCAUAGGGCAAGCCUCUUUUUUUAAACUCAAUUGUAUAUAGACCUGCCACAAAAUAGAGUAAAAUUUAAAAGUUAGAAAUAUUGAUUUUAAUUGUGAAAUUAUUGUUUUUCCCUACACUUUUCAAUAACAAAUGAGUUGAAUUUGUUAUGGAUACGAAUUUGAAGUGAACUUACAUGCAAUUAUUUUUCCAAACGGUUGAUCUUUUUUCAAAUCUUGCAUUAGUUGGAAUAAUUUUAUCUCGAAAACUCUGCAUAUGAUAUCGACUCGAUUGUCAUCAUUAUUUUGUCCAACUAAUCGGAGCAUGUUAUUUAUUUCUUGCCACUUUGGGUUGCAAGUGAAAGUAAGAAAUAAAUCAGGAUAUCCUGCCCAUUUACAAAUUGCCAUAGCAUCUUGAUAAUUUUGUAUUCUAUAUCGUGGUCCCCCCGUGUGUGAUGAAGGUAGAAUAAUCGAUUUUCCAACUUUCGAACAAUCAGAAUCACCUCGAUGAACAGCAUCCAUCAAACCAGAGAAAAGGUCUGAUCGAAGUUUUUGUUGAUUAUUCCGGAUCCAACGAAAUCUUUCUUCUUCAACUGCCAUGUAACAAUCAACUAUAUAUUGUUGGAAUAGUCUACCAGUUUGAAGUAGAGUGUGUCCCUCAUUCAAUCUUUGUUGCAACCUAAAGCAAUAAUAUUGCCUCAUUGUCAGCUUUUGCCUCUUAAAAGGGCUAUCAGUUAUGUCUCUUAAAGAUAUGUCAGGUCUAUAUCCAUCUUCGCCAUAAGGAUAUAUUAACGGGUAUGUCAUGGGCAUGAAGCUUGGAUGCAAAUCUGUGAUUCUCCGAAGUCCCUUUGUGCGAUGCUCUAUAAUAACAUCGCGUUGAAAGUUUGCUUCACUGAAAUCACCAACUAUUAAGCCUGCAACUUCUGAAACUGUUGGUAUAUUGUAUCGACGACCAUCUCUUGUUCUACUAUUAAGGAGUCGUAAACGGAAUGUAGAUUCUGGUUGUGUUUUGUAUCUAUCCCUCGCCAUUCUAAAAGAUUUGACCAAAUUAUUAUGUUGGUCCAACAUUUUAGAUAGUUCAUGAAGAAUUUCGUGAUCAAUUUCUGUCUUCAUUCCAUGUUUUAAUAGAGUGUUGAUUCUAUUGUCUAUCUCAUUUUCAGUAUCAUAGAUAUAGAGCUGAGCAAACUGUGGUUUUUUCCCAACUUCUGGCAACAAAGAACCAAUGUGAUGAUAAUUCUGACCGCUCAUCCUGAAAACAUAAGGACCUUUUGAUCGAUUGAUUGAUGCAUCAACUCGACCUCCCAUAGAUGUGAAAGCAAACAUGGAGUUAUAAGCCCUGAUAUUUUUUCGAAAUUUGGAACCCUUUUGUCCAGACUCUGCCCCGAGAAGAUAUUUGAGUAAAGGAGGUGUUUCUUUCAUGAAUGGAAUCUGCACACGACCUUCCAUACAACAAAAUGUGAAUUUGGGAUGUGAGACCUUUUUGGUUUUCUUGUUCCGUUCCUCGUACCAUAAAAUGGCACCACAAUAUUGACAUGUGUAUGUAGGGGGUCCAAAAUUCCAAGGCGUUGUGUAAUGAACUGUCAAAUUCAACCAAUAAUAAUAUUGUAACAAAGUAUCUUAUUUCGUCUAAGUGAAUAUGGUAAGAAAAAAUAUUACUAAAUAUAUUAAUAUUUUCAUUGUACAUGUAGUUUCAUGCAAAUAUGUACCAUUAUUUGAUGUUACACCAUCCAAUGGAAAGCUUGUGGACUGAUCUAUAUUCUCAUCAAAAGAGAGACACGCUCUUUUUAGUUGUCCAUGUUCAACUGUAUAUUUUUAAAGUUCCAAAAGCAAUGAAUAAGUUAUUAGUUUCAAGUAUUACAAGCAUGAUGAAUAACUAAUAAAGCUCGAUAAAUUUAAAUAUAUAUACGUACAUGUGUGAAGAAGGCGCUUUCCUCUGUUUGUUUGACUCUUUGGAUUUAUAUGUAAUGAUGUUUUAUUAUUAUCAUAUCCAGCUUUACCAGGAGAUUGAAGGAAAUUCCCAAUUGAAAUAUGUUAGAAAUAUAUAUAUUUGUUAAUAUAUAUUAACAUAAAUAAUUUAAAUUAUAUAGGGAUAAUUUUUGUAAUUUGUAUAGUAGGAAUAAAAAUCAUAUUUUCAAGAAUCACAUACCGUUUGAGUGAAGCAAUUUAUUGUCACUUCUAAUGACUUCCAACUUCAUAAAUUUUGUGUAAAAAUUCACAAUUUGUAGCAUCAAAAUGAUUCUCUUUUUUAAAUCAUGUUUGUAUCUAUUAUGAAUAAUCAUAAUUUUCCGCUUAAAUCUUGCAUGCUUGAAUAUGGCCUUCUGCACGACAACAUAUCCAUUGUUUAUUGUGUCACACUGGAAAUUUGAUGCAUAUUUCCUAAGUUUUAAUUUCAUAAUCCUUUCGUGCCGAGCUAAAGAUGAAAGUUGAUGCCGCAAGAGACAAACUUCUGGCGGAAUAUUCCUUGAGUCACCGAAAUCAUUAAUAGUUGCAGAAAUCAAUUCCAUUUACUCUGGUGAACAAUAAAGUGAAUUCAAUAUCACAAAAUAUUCUAAAAUUAACAAAACGUUUUAUUACAAAUCAUAACAAGAGAAACCGAAAAUAUAAAAUGUUUUUUUUCAAAAGAGAGAAUUUUUUUUUCAAUUAUUGAAAUAAGAAUUGCAAUGAAUUUUUCGAACGAAUAUAUACCAUAUGUUAGAAAGAACAAAAAAAAAAUCACUAAAAACAAAACAAAAUAAAAUGGGAUUUAAUUUAACCAAUUCAAUUUAAUUUUAAACUCAUGCCAGUGUCACACUGGCAUUAAUUUUUGUUGUGCUUAUAGCCACGAACAGAGGCUUUUAGAUUACUUCUUUAUUAGGUUAUUAUUCUUCGAAUUUGGUGGGUAAAUUGUGAGCUUUUUCUGUUGUGAUAUUAUCAAAUCAAUCCAUGCAAAAUAAUCAUUAAUGUAAUGUUUUUGUUAUUUUCAAACUGAUAAAUAAUUAUGAAUUGUUUCCAUAAUUGUGUAUUUAGAAACAACGUUAACACAUUUUUUCGGAACAAACUUCUAAGUUUGAUUGAUUUUACGUCUAAUUACGAUACCCUAAAUUAAUAUAGAAAGUCAACAAAAAUCCACUUUAACAGUUCUAAUGUAAAUUUAAAGGCAAUUAAUUUUGAGUAAAUAUGAACUAAAACAAAACUUGAACAAAAUCUGAAUUUAUAUAUAAUAUUAAGGUAGCCACAUUGCAUUUGAAAAUGUCAAUUAGUGGGAUCUAAAUAAAUAAUCACCUUGGAAUUUUUUAAUGGUUGUAGGAGUUAAUAUUACAUACACGGACUAUCAUCUUUGUUGUACAAAUUUCGAUCAAACAUCUCCCCCAACUUUUUUCAUAAAGUAAUCUUUGAUAUCACCGAGCUAUCCAUAAAAAUUGCCACAAGUGAAUAAUGUAAAGAGAAAAACUCAUUAUAAGGAUAUCAUAUUAUCAUUAAAUUCGAAAGUUUCGAAUUACGUUAUUAUACAAUUGGUUACUUUUUAAUUCUAAAUCACCAAUAUUAUUAUUCCCUAUCUCAAUAUGAAUAUUACCACUUGACUUUUUUAUUUGUGUUUAUGAAGAGGUGGGGUGUGAGGAAAAGGAAAAAAUGUUUUUCUUAAGAAUUAGAACAAAUAAUUAGGCAAUAAUUCAAGGAAUUGAGGUUGUUCAUUCUACAUUCCAUUUGGAUUUACAGUGAUUUUCAUAAAUUUUUUCUUUUAUUAAUUAUGCUAACUGCCAUGUACUGUUGUUUAUUCUACUGCGUUUGGGAGAAGAUGCUUGGGCUGCCUAGAACAUAUUUUCUAAUUAAUUUUUCUUGUGAAUACAUUGAAUAAUCUCUAAGGGCUAUAUCCUUUUUCAUUUUACUUUAACGGUUUUUCUUCAACAAAUAUUGGAUGUAUUUAGUGAAAAAGAAAAUUAAAAAUUAGGAAAGAAUUAAUAAAAUUAGUGAAGUCAAAUUGUCAAUCAAUUCUUAUGAUAAAACAAUAAUUAAAAAAUAUAGUCAUAGUUUUCUUGAUUAUAUUCGACUUAUUAAUCUGUUAAAACUUUUUAUAUCUUUUUUUCCAACUUCCCCAUUUGGUGAACUAUAAAAAUGAUAUGUUUUUUUUCCACUCUUUGUCUCUAUCUUUUUUCACUCACAAAGAGUUAAUAGUUAUUAAUCAAUUAAUUUUUUUUGUUUGCAUAAGAAUUAAUAAUGUUGCACACAUGUAUUGUGAAAUAAUUGUUUGUUCAUAAUUAUUUUUUGCAUUUUUUUAGAAGUCAAUAGUCAAAUUAAUGAUAUUGAAUUAAGACAUUUCGAAGUUUGCUAUUUUGUACUUCUAAUAGAAAUGCUUGCAAAUGGGAGGCAUUAAUUUUUCUGUUUACUUUAUCGAAUUUCAUAAAAUUCAAUUCAAACAAAAAAUUGAAGGUUAGAAAAGCAGUUGGAUAGUUUCAUAAAAUUAUUAUUUUAUCAUUUAAAAGAUAUGUACCACAUCAAUUAGGACUAAAUAUUAGAAUCAUUAGCAUUGUUCCAAUCACACAUGCAAAAUCUAUCACUCAAUAGUCAAGUACAUUGUACAAUGCAGUCGAGAACAACUUCAACAUUUAGUUAAACCUUUUCUAUCUGUUUAUUUCCACAAAACACCAAAUAUCCAGAUUGAUACUGGAUCCUCCGAGUCAAAUAUAGCUAGUUCACGUUCAGAAAAGACCCGCCUCUUUUAAUUGUACCUCCUGCAUGCGAAUUAUAUAACAAUUAAAUAAAACUACACCAGAGAUUAAUUAGUCAAUAAAUAUAAACACGAGCUAAAACAUGUGUUUACUAAUAAUUCUUAAACAGGUCUAAGCUUUCAAAGUUUGCAUUGAAAAAUUAAAGUGAAAAUCUUCAAUACCUCCAUGUGUAAAUCGCAUAAAUUAGACAACCAAAGAUUAUUCAAAGAUUUUUCUUUCUUACCUUAUGCUUUUUCGCAAACAAGUAGAUAACAACAAUUGUAAAGACAAGUGAGCAGUAAUCUGUUAAAACAAAGUAAUCCAGUGUUAAUGAAAAUAAGAACAACAUAUUAUAUUUAAAACUAAGUUUUCAUAAUAAUGAAAUCGAGUAAACUUAUUCGAUAAGGAUAAACAAAUAGAACGCAUUGACAAAUUGACAUCAAAUUAAAUUGAUCCAAAGAAAUUGAGAUGCUCAAAUUUGAUUACGUACACAUUAAUUUUCAAAUAAUUAAUCCACACAUUGUUUUAUUCUUCAAACAUCUUUAAACACAGGAGCCAACACUUUCACUCUUAUAUAUUACUGCCAUAGUAACUUGAACUUGGUGAUCAGCUUUUUAAUUGAUUUGCAGUAGCUCACAAUUAAUUAAGCUUGAUCAUCAGUAGCUAUUAUUGAUCAUAAAAAUAUUUGUUUAAUUUACAAUCUAAAGUUACGCUCCAUACUCUAUAUAUGUGAAUUAUAUAUUUGCAUCAUCAACAUUAACAUUAUAAAAUAAUCUGUGCAAUAGGAUGCUCUUGGAGUAUUUUAUUUUCAUCACAAAAUAUAUUAAAAUUAUAUUAGUCAGAGAAUAUAUCUAACACUUUCUAAACACUAAUAUAUAAUAGUUUCUACAAAAUUAUGAAAUAUUUGUACUAAAAUACCAAAAUAUAAAUAUAUAUAACCUAAUUGGAAUCAAUAAUCAAACUUCAAACAUGUCAUACUCUAAAGAAAUUAAAGCAUGAUAGUCUGUGUGUUUGACAUAUUCAACUAAAUGUUUGAUGAGAAUCUGUGAUUGUUAACAGCCAAUAAUGGUUUCUUUAGCAACUCAACUCAACUCAGCAAAACCGCAACCAAUUACAUUUACCAACUCAACUCUUCGCUUCCCCAAUUUCCAACAUUCUCUUCACAUUUACAAAUGGUAGGUGGUCCUAUAAAUCCCAUUCAAGAAUGAACAAUUUUUUUCAGUUCCUAGUAGGUGAAGUUUCUUCCACAUUUACAGAAAUUUCGACAGCAUCUCCCCAUAGUUCUCCAAGUACACGACCUAGAUUUAUGCAUUCAUCUAGUAUGUACCCAGAGAACAUGAGGAGCAGCUAUCGAAAUUUCCUUUUACGUGAAACAAAACUUCACCUACUUGGAACUAAAAAAAAUUAUGCAUUCCCAAACUGUCCAAGUUGGGACAAUUCAAGAAUUAUUAAUAGACAUAUCAUCCUCUUGUCAUCCUAAGAUGACACUGAUAAAACAUGUGUCUACUAAUAAUUCUUAAACGGGUCUUAGCUUUCAAAGCAUGCAUUGAAAAAAAAAACGUAAAUCAAUAUAUAUAUAUAUAUAUAUAUAUAGUUGAGUUUAUUAACAUUACCUAGGUUUGGCGGAGAAAAUAUGAAGAAGAAGAAGUAGUUUGGGCAAAAAUCAAAGGGUUUUGAUUUUCAUUAUUGAUCAAUUGAAAUAGUAGAGUAGUGGACCUUCUCAGCUAGUUCCAUGGAUGUUAAUAAAUCUAAAAUUUGUUAGCACUUAACAUUUGCUAAAGAAACCGUCUUAAGUUUCAAUUCUUUAAAUUAAUGUUAAUUAGAUUUGACAUUGAAGAUUAAUUAUUCACUAAGGCUUAUCAUAUUUUAAAAAAACGAAUAUAAAAGGUUGCAUAUUAAAUAUGGGAUUAUGCAAUUAAAAUUAAACCCUAGUAAUGGCAUUGGUGAGGGAAGAUGAAAGAAUUCCUUCCUAUAUUAAUUAGUUGAUAUAUUUUAAGCCACUAAAGUUUAAUUGUUGGCUUAAUAAAAUAAAUGAAUGUUUCAAGACUUAUAAUUAAUUAUUAUUAAUGGUUAUAUAUUGUUGAAUUUAAAUAGAAAUAGGAAAAGACAUGUAAUCUUUUGUAAUCUAAUAAUCAUUUUCUAUUUAUUUUCUAUUUUUAAUAUUUUGUAAUGUAAUUAUUUUUUAAUUUAAGCUAAUAUAUUAGAUAUUAGAGAAUAUAAAGAGAUGAGAAAUAAUGAUGUCACAAAUCUUAAAUACUUAAUAUUUAUAGAAUUUGAAGAAGCCAAAAAGCACUAAACAAAAGGUUGAAUAAUUAAAUAUGAAAUUAUGACAUUAAAAUUAGGCCCUAGUGGCAUUGUUGAGGGAAGAUGAAGGAACCUUCCUUUCUAUAUUAAUUAAUUGAUGCUUUUUAAAGCCAUUAAAGUUUAAUUAUUGGCAUAAUAAAAUAAAUGAAUGUUUCAAGACUUGUUGAAUUUAAAUAGGAAGAGGAAAAGACAUGUAAUCUUUUGUAACCUAAUAAUUAUAUUCUAUUUUUACUAUUUUAUAAUGUAAUUAUGUUUUAAUCUCAACUAAUAUACUAGAUAAUAAAGAAUAUAAGAAGAUGUAAAAUAGUGAUGCCACAUCACCUCUUGUAGUCAAGGCUUAUAAUUAAUUAAGAGACAUGGAUAGGGAUGGCAAUUUCCGGGUCCGGGUCCGGGUCCGGGUUUGGCUGUUCCGGAUCCGGACCCGGACAUCAAAUUCUCAUAACCGGACCCGCAUUAAACCCGGAUUUUUUAAAUCCGGAUCCGGUCCGGGUUCAACCCGGAAAAAUCCGGGUUUCCGGAUUCCGGGUUUGGAACCCGGAUUGCUUUAUUAUUAUUUUUUUUAGAGACCAUAUGGCUUACUUUAACAAGGCACAGGGGAUGGUGGUUUAAUGUUUUAAUGUUUUCCCCAACAACACAUUACAGAAUACUUCCUAGAAUUGGUUCAAUAAAAUUUGAUGGAUAUUGUUGUUGAGUUCGAAUUUUCCGUCUCUUUUGGUGGAGGUUUCACAUAUUUUCCUAUUACUUUUUGGCAUCUCUUUCUCUUUUGUCUGGUUUGUUUGUCUUUACUUUGCUGCUUCCUUUUCUCCUUUAGCUUAUUCCGAAGAUGCCUUUCUUUCUCAAAUACACCUUGCCAAACGACCUCACCUGUUGACGGCCAUAACCACCGUCUUCUAGGGUGAUCAGAAUCUGCCUCCUCGGCCAUGUCCUCAUCCAUGCUUUUUAAAGUGCUGUAUGAGAACCAUCUGACCCACAUUUGACCUCUCCGACUCUUAAAGUGCCACGCCGCGAAGGAUCUGAUCUGAUCUGAAGAAGAGAUUACAGGAGAGUUGCAGAGAGAGUGAGAGAUUAAGUGACGACGGAGGACUGAGGUGAGGAAUGAGUCACGGCUCACGGGUGAUUUUCCUUGAGAGAGGAACGGAUUACGGUUUACGAAUGAGACUUGAGAGAUUGAAAGGAGAAAUUAUAGAUUUACAGUAAUUUUUAGGUUGAAGGAGAAAUUUCGAGAGAGGAUCAGACGAACGAGACGAGAGAGAUCUAGAUUCUAGGGUUCACUUUUGUUUUUGUUUUUUUUUUAAUUUUUCUAUUUAUAUUUACGGAUUUACGGAUCAAAAUUAAUAUUAAAAUAAAUAAUAUCCGGGUCCGGGUUCCGGGUUUGCGGGUUCAUCUGAAACCGGAUCCGGACCGGAAAAAUGCGGGUUGUCAAAAACUGAUCCGGAUUCCGGAUAAAAACUAUGCCGGUGCGGGUUGAACCCGGACCGGAUUUUCCGGGUUCAAUCCGGGUCCGAUCCGGGUCCGGGUUUGGUUGCCAUCCCUAGACAUGGAUGAAACUAAUGUUAUUUAAGUAACACAUAGUUGAUUUAUAAGCUUAAUGUGUCAAAAUUGUUUAAACCUUUCCAAGAUUAACUAUUGUUUUCUUAUUAUUUCUUUUAUCUAGGUUUAAAUUUUAGGAGAAAUUUGUCAAUUUUCAAUUAUUGGGUGAUAUUGGUAUGCAAAUGAUGUGUUUUAUAGCAAUUUGAAUCUUUCUCAUCUUCAAGACUAUCAUUAGUCGAUAAUGUUGCUAUUACCUCAGGCUCUCGUGAGUCUAAACAUUUUCUAAUUAAUUGAAAAUGAUAUAAUGAUUAAUUAAUUGUUGAUAAUAAAACCAAUUUAAUACGACGUCUCCCCAUUUCUUUCUUUAUUUCUUUUAAACCUCAAUCAUUGUCAAAACCGUUAAUGGGUUGCAAUUAAACACUUAACAAAUCUUAAACUUGUUGUUAGCAAUUAACAUUUGCUAAAGGAAUCGUCUUAAGUUUCAAUUCUUUAAAUUAAUGUUAAUUAGAUUUAAGACGAAAAUUAAUUAUUCACUAAGACUUAUCUAUAAAUAAAAAGUAGAUACAAAUGUUGUAUAAUUAAAUAUGAGAUUAUGACACUAAAAUUAGGCCUUGGUAGUGGCAUUGUUGAGGGAAGAUAAAAGAACCUUCAUUCCUAUUUUAAUUAAAUUAUAUGUUAUGACGUGAAAAAAUAAACAAUCCAUUUUUGUAUUUUGUAGUUUGUGAAGAUUUGAAACAAUGUGCUUUCUUUUCAGAGUGAUAACAAUUGGAUCCAUUGCUUUUUCCUUUUAAUGUUUUAUAAACAUAUAUUGUCUAUUUGCAUCAAAUAAGUCCCAAUCUCUUUUACAAUCACUAAUAAAACACCUUUCAAUUAUUAAACUAUAAAUAUGUGUCAUUCAAAAUUAUGAUGGAAGAUAGAGAAUUUAGGGUGGGUUUCUUCACUGAAGAGUUAAAAAAAAUUGAAAUUUAAAAUUUUUCAAUAAAUACAAAUAUAAGAUGAAUAGUUUCAUUUGUUCAAUAGACUAAUCAUAUUAAAAUAAUGUUAGUAAGGAAAAUAAUUUAAAAAAUAUUCUUAAUUAAAAUAAUUUAAAAAAUGUAAAUUACCUCUCUCACCUCAUUUUUUAAGCAAAAAUAAAAAUAACUUGAAGUUUUAAAAAAUAAUUGAAGUAAUUUAAAAAUAAUCAAUUUGGAAUAAUUCAAAAUUUACCCAAGAGAUUAUUCACAAUAUCAAUCAAUGAAUUAGAAACAUUAAAUGGUAUAACAUAUAACUAUUAUUUUUAACUUAUUGAUCUCAAUCUUGAGCGUUCGGAUUAGAUCUUUGGGGUUUCAUUUUUUAGAUUUCAGUGAUUGAAAGUAUGAAACUCAAAGUAACAAAAAUUAAAUUUAUAUUUUAUCGCAAGUGAAGUGUAGGGAUUAAUCCAAUUAUUUGCGUCUAGCGUUUCUUUUUGUUGCUAUCACUCUUGUUGAUGAUGAUAAGCCUUUUUUUUUUUGCAUUGUCACUACCAAUUUAUUAUCUACAUUCAUCUAUAGAACGAAGCAAGAUGCCAAGAAAGAAAUAUAACACAAGAAAAAUAAGUUAUCCCAAUCGUUCAAAACAAAUACAUACAUAGCCAGAAAAAUAAGACAUAUCAUAUCACACUUAAAUAUUACCACUCUAAAAAGAAAAAAAGGUCAAAAGACUAACACACAUGUAAAAAGAUGACCAACAACAACACUAAACAUGUUUUGUGUAUUGAUUACUUCCACCAUCACUAACUUCAUCAUCAUCAAUAAUUUGGUUUUUUCUCUUUCUAUUCUUACUGGCAUUAGUAACAUGAAAAUCUCCCACAGAAUCUUCCAAAUUAUUUGAUAAGAUAUCAUGAGGAUCCUGUAAUUUUUUAAUCAAGGAAAUUAAAAUUAUGAGUAAACUGAACAUGCUAAUUUUAAUCAUAAAGGAAAACAACUGGGAAAUAAGAGUAAAUAAAAUUACCAUUUCUUGGGAAUGUUCUUCCUUUCUUUCAUAUAUUUCCACAUUUUCAUGAUCUGUAUUGUUUUUUUUCCUACAAAAAACAACAAUUAAAUAAUUUUUUUAACAUUACAUAUAUUGCCUACAAAUUGAACCUAGCACAGGUAGAUAAUACCUUCUUCAAUUCUUGUUCGAGCUCCAAUUUCUCAUCAGGGGUGAAAAGCUUUGACACAGUAAAAUUCUCAAGUCCCUCUUUCAAAUUGUAAUCAUUCAAUUUCAGUUUGUAAUCAUUCAAUUUCAGUUUGUAAUCAUUCAAUUUCAGUUUGUAAACAAAAUCUUUUCCACAAAGGCUUUGAAUUUCUGCAGGGACAUCCUUACUAUAUAAAGGUAGUCUAUUAAACAACUUGUGGGCUGAUGUAUCAAGUAACUUCUCAGCUACAUGAUUGAAUAAGACAAAAGUUGUCUCUGCCGUUUUAUCCAUGACUUUUAUAUGUAUUUUGUACCUACAUUAGAAUAAUGAAUUAGAAUGAAAAACUAACAACAUAAUGAGCAAUUUUUUUUAAAAAUAAUAUUAUUUUUCUUACAUCACAAGAGGAUAGUCACAUUCCUUUUUGCAAGUGCCACACAUAUAAAUACCAUUUGUAGGUAUGACCUUUUUUAUGCAUGUUUUGCACGAAACAUAGUACCAUCCAAAGGAGUUGUCUAUUUCACUAAUCUUGCCCCGCACAGUAACAAUAUAUUCCUACAAUUAAACAAUAAACAUUUAAAAAAAUAAUAAGGACAUUCCAAUAUUUAGGAACAAAUAACACAAAUGGAUGAGCAGGAAAAAAAUAGAAAAAUCACCUUCACUUGAGAACUCCAAUCAGCCUCCAAUAGUUCUUUAAUGCUCAUCCUGUUAAGGAACAUCUCUUCCUCAAAAGUAAUCUUAUUCACAUUCGAACUUUCAAUAACUUGCACAACGUUGGAGACGGUGGAAAAUCUUUCAAUUAAUGAUGCUACAUAAUCUAUUUGAAGAUUUAUAUAGAUUUUUCUUGCACUUGUGGUAGAGAAAUUAACCUCACCUGUUUAGAGCAAAUGUAACGUAAAACGAAACUUGAACAAAAUCUAAAUUUGUGUAUAAUAUUAAAAUAGCCACAUUGCAUUUGAAAAUGUUAAUUAGUGGGAUCUAAAUAAAAUAAUCACCUUGGAAUUUUUUAAUGGUUGUAGAAGUUACUAUCACAAUACAAGGACCCUCGUCUUUCUUGUACAAAUUUGAAUCAAACAUCUCCCCUAACUUUCCCCAUAAAGUAAUCUUCAUUGUUACUGAACUAUCCAUAAAAAUUAACAAAAAUUAAUAAUGUAAAGAGAACCAAUAACUAAAAAAUAACAUAAAUAACUAAAAAAAUAUAAAGUCAUAGUUUUCUUGAUUAUAUUCAACUUACUAAUCCAUUAGAAUUUUUAUAUCUCUUUUUUUCCAACCAGCUCCAACGAUCUCAAUAUCACCCACACCACAUAAACUUCCAAUAACAUCUGUAAUAUUAUGGAAAAAUAACAUAAACAUGUUAAAACAUAAGGAUUAAUAAUUUCUAAUAUACACUUAAAGAUUAACAAACAUUAAUAAUUAAAAAAAUACCUGAGAGGAUUGUGUUAUCAUUCACACGUAAAUCAAUCAAAUUCGAAGAUACGAAUUGAAAUCCAUUAAUCGGAAUCUUGACAGUUCCUUCUUCUAACCUCUUAAGAGAAGUUAUACCAAGAAAAUAAUCUUAUACUGAUUUGAAAGUGGUCUGUACUCGCCUGUAGUUGAAACAACUUUCAAAUUCUUGACAUUGUACAAAGAACCCUCACUCAACAUGUGCUUAAACCUUGUCACUAAGGUUUUCCUGAUUGUUGCAUGCAUUAGAUUUUCCUACGAAAAAAAAAAAACACAUACUACAUUCAGUGUGAAACAAUUGGGAAAAAAAAUUAGAGAAAACAAUGGGAGAAUAAAUUUUUUAUACAACCUUUUCAUCAAUAAAAAUCAUAUCAACACUAAUCAAUUCUCCAUUUUUUUUAGUAUUAGUAGACUCCCACAUCCUACAAAGCCUAACCCUUAUCAUCCAACUAUCUUUAUCAUUGUUCAACUCAUGAAGAAAAGAGUACUCCAUGAAGCACACAAUAUCAAAAAUUCAAAUAAAUCAAACAAUAAAAAUAUAAGUAUUUUUCUAAAGAGGGCGUUGAUUAAAUAAAUAAAAAAACCCUAAACAUAACAAAUCUUAAAUAUUUAGUGUUUAGAGAGCUUGAAGAAGCCAAAAGGCACUAAACAAAAGGUUGCAUAAUUAAAUAUGAGAUAAUGUCAUUAAAAUUAGGAUCUAGUGGCAUUGUUGAGGGAAGAUGAAAGAACCUCUCUUCCUAUGUUAAUUUAUUGAUUAUUUUAAGCCACUAAAGUUUAAUUGCUAGCAUAAUAAAAUUUGAAGGAGCCAAAAGACACUCAACAAAAGGUUCCAUAAUUAAAUAUAUGAUUAUGACAUUGAAAUUAGGCUCUAGUGGCAUUAUUGAGGGAAGAUGAAAGAACCUCUCUUCCUAUAUUAAUAAAUUCAUGUAUUUUAAGCCACUAAAGUUUAAUUGCUAGCAUAAUAAAAUAAAUGAAUGCUUCAAAAUACUUAUAAUUAAUUAUUAUUAAUGGUUACAUAUUGUUGGAUUUAAAUAGAAAGAGGAAGAAACAUGUACAAAGAAUAUCCACUAAUAUUUUAGAUAUUUUAGAUAAUAGAAAAUAUAAAACGAUGAGGUUGAGAGAAUGUGAAAGAACCUCUCUUCCUAUGUUAAUUAGUUGAUGUAUUUUAAGGCACUAAAGUUUAAUUGCUAGCAUAAUAAAAUUUAAAGAAGCCAAAAGGCACUCAACAAAAGGUUGCAUAAUUAAAUAUGAGAUUAUGGCAUUAAAAUUAGGCCCUAGUGGCAUUGUUGAGGGAAGAUGAAAGAACCUCUCUUCCUAUAUUAAUAAAUUCAUGUAUUUUAAGCCACUAAAGUUUAAUUGCUAGCAUAAUAAAAUAAAUGAAUGCUUCAAAAUACUUAUAAUUAAUUAUUAUUAAUGGUUACAUAUUGUUGGAUUUAAAUAAAAAGAGGAAGAAACAUGUACAAAGAAUAUCCACUAAUAUUUUAGAUAUUUUAGAUAAUAGAAAAUAUAAAACGAUGAGGUUGAGAGAAUGUGAAAGAACCUCUCUUCCUAUGUUAAUUAGUUGAUGUAUUUUAAGGCACUAAAGUUUAAUUGCUAGCAUAAUAAAAUUUAAAGAAGCCAAAAGGCACUCAACAAAAGGUUGCAUAAUUAAAUAUGAGAUUAUGGCAUUAAAAUUAGGCCCUAGUGGCAUUGUUGAGGGAAGAUGAAAGAACCUCUCUUCCUAUGUUAAUAAAUUCAUGUAUUUUAAGCCACUAAAGUUUAAUUGCUAGCAUAAUAAAACAAAUGAAUGUUUCAAAAGACUUAUAAUUAAUUAUUAUUAAUGGUUACAUAUUGUUGGAUUUAAAUAGAAAGAGGAAGAAAUAUGUACAAAGAAUAUUCAUCAAUAUUUUAGAUAUUUUAGAUAAUAGAGAAUAUAAAAAGAUGAGGUUGAGGGAAGAUGAAAUAACCUCUCUUCCUAUGUUAAUUAGGUGAUGUAUUUUAAGGCACUAAAGUUUAAUUGAUAGCAUAAUAAAUUUUGAAGAAGCCAAAAGACACUCAACAAAAUGUUGCAUAAUUAAAUAUGAGAUUAUGGCAUUAAAAUUAGGCUUUAGUGGCAUUGUUGAGGAAAAAUGAAAGAACCUCUCUUCCUAUGUUAAUUAAUUCAUGUAUUUUAUGCCACUAAAGUUUAAUUGCUAGCAUAAUAAAAGAAAUAAAUGUUUCAAAAGACUUAUAAUUAAUUAUUAUUAUUAAUUACAUAUUGUUAAAUUUAAAUAGAAAGAGAAAAAAAGUACAAAGAAUAUCCACAAUAUUUUAGAUAUUUUAGAUAAUAGAAAAUAUAAAAAGAUGAGGAAUGAUAUAUAUUAAUAAAGUUACUAUCUAUUAAAUGAGUUAAAUACAAUCAAAUUAAUUAUGAGAAGAUGAAAAGCCAAAUUUAAAAAAAAAAUAUCUAUUUAUUAGAUAAUAGAGAAUAUACAAAGAAGCAAAAUGGUGAUGCCACAUCAUCUCCUCAAGUCCUAGCUUUAUAUAGAUACUAGGAAAUAGAACCGCACUUUGUGCGGCUUUAAAAAAAGAAUUUAGUAUUAUUUUUUUUAUUACUUUACACUUGAUAAAACUGAUAAAAAAAUAUGAAUUGAUUUUCUUUUAAAGAUGACGCAGCCUUAUAAAACUAAUGUUAUUUAUGAAAGUUAAUUAUUUUUUUGUUAACUUUAAAAAUAUAUAUUAAUGUGUAUAGUUAAAUGUAAACAACCUUUUCAUCAAUAAAAAUUAUGUUCACACUAAUCAACUCUCAAUUCUUCUUGGUAUUAACAGACUCCUACAUUUUACAAAGUCUAACCCUUAUUAUCCAACUAUCUUUAUCAUUGUUUAACUCAUGAAGAAAAGAAUACUCUAUGAAGCACACAAUACAAAAAAAUUAAAUAAGUCAAAAAAUAAAAACACAAGAACAUUUCUAAAGAGGAUGUUGGUUAAAUUAAAAAAAAAUCCAAACAUAACAAAUCUUAAAUACUUAAUAUUUAUAUAGUUUGAAGAAGCCAAAAGACACUAAAUAAAGGUUGCAUAAUUAAAUAUGAAAUUAUGACAUUGAAAUUAGGUCCUAGUGGUAUUGGUGAGGGAAGAUGAAAGAACCUUCCUUCCUAUAUUAAUUAGUUGAUGUAUUUUAAACCACUAAAGUUUAGUUGUUGGCUUAAUAAAAUAAAUGAAUGUUUCAAAACUAUAAUUAAUUUAUUAUUAAUGGUUACAUAUUGUUGAAUUUAAAUAGAAAGAAGAAGAGACAUGUAAUCUUUUAUAAUCUACUAAUUAAUUUCUAUUUUUAAUAUUUUGUAAUAUAAUUAUUUUUUAAUCUCAACCAAUAUAUUAGAUUAUAGAGAAUAUAAAAAGAUGAGAAAUAAUAAUGGCACAAAUCUUAACUACUUAAUAUUUAUAGAGUUUGAAGAAACCAAAAGGCACUAAACAAAAUGUUACAUAUUAAAUAUGAGAUUAUAGCAUUAAAAUUAGACCCUAAUGGUAUUAUUGAGGGAAGAUGAAAGAACAUUCCUUCCUAUAUUAAUUAAUUGAUAUAUUUAAGCCACUAAAGUUUAAUUAUUGGCAUAAUAAAAUAAAUUAAUGUUUGAAAAUUUAUAAUUAAUUAUUAUUAAUGGUUACAUAUUAUUGAAUUUAAAUAGAAAGAGGAAGAGACAUAAUCUUUUAUAAUCUAAUAAUUAUUUUUUUAUUUUUAAUAUUUUGUAAUGUAAUUAUUUUUUUUAUAUCAACUAAUUUAUUAGAUAAUAGAGAAUACAAGAAGAUGAGAAAUAGUGAUGCCACAUCACCUCCUCUAGUCCCAACUUUAUAUAUAUAUAUAUCAACUAUAUAUAUAUAUAUAGAUAUAGAUUUUUAAUAUUUUGUAAUGUAAUUAGUUUUUAAUCUCAACCAAUAUAUUAGAUAAUAGAGAAUAUAAAAAGAUAAGAAAUAAUGAUGCCACAAAUCUUAAAUAUUUAAUGUUUAUGGAGUUUGAAGAAGCCAAAAUACACUAAACAAAAGAUUGAAUAAUUAAAUAUGGGAUUAUGACAUUAAAAUUAGGCUCUAAUAGCAUUGUUGAGGGAAGAUGAAGGAACAUUCCUUCAUAUAUUAAUAUUAAUUAAUUGAUGUAUUUUAAGCCACUAAAGUUUAAUUGUUGGCAUAAUAAAAUAAAUUAAUGUUUGAAGACUUAUAAUUAAUUAUUAUUAAUGGUUACAUAUUGUUGAAUUUAAAUAGAAAGAGGAAAAGACAUGUAAUCAUUUAUAAUCUAAUAAUUAUUUUCUAUUUUAAUAUUUUGUAAUGUAAUUAUUUUUUUAAUUUCAACCAAUUUAUUAGAUAAUAGAGAAUAUGAGAUGAAGAGAAAUGGUGAUGCCACAUCACCUCCUCAAGUCCUACCUUUAUAUAUAUACUAGAAAAUAGAACCGCGUUUCACGCGGCUUUGAAAAAGAAUUUAGCAUUAUCCUUUUUUCUUACUUUACACUUGAUAAAACUGAUAAAAAAUAUGAAUUGAUUUUUUUUUUUAAGAUGAGGCAGUCUUAUAAAAAAAUAAAAAAAGUUAUUAACCAGUAAUACAAAUAAAGAAGCAACGCAAGAUAAAGAAUAAAAUGAGAGAAUAUUGUAUAAUGAUUUUAUUCAUUACAAUUGUGUGUGUACAAAACAAAAAGAUGAGCUCUCCUUUGAUAGUUACAUAAUCACUCCAUGAAAUUAAUGAAAAAUUAUGGAUCAUAAUUCCUUGUGAGAUAGUGGGAGUUAUAGGGAAGCUAAAGGUUGCUAAUGAGAGAUAGUGGGGAGACUAAGAGAUAUAUGUUAUGAACAUCUACAUUUAUUUUAAUAAAUUCAUAACACUCCUCCUUGAAUGUUUAUUACAAAGAAUAUGUCUCAUUAAAAUCUUUACAUAAUUGUUAUUGUGUAAUAACAAUCAAAUUAAUUAUGAGAAGAUGAAAAAUCAAAUAUAAAAGAAAAUUUCUCUAUUUAUUAGAUAAUAGAGAAUAUACAAAGAUGAGAAAUGAUGAUACCACAUCACCUUCUCAAGUCCCAGCUUUAUAUAUAUAUAUAGAUAUAUAGAUAGAUAGAUAGAUAGAUUAAUUCAUGUAUUUUAUGCCACUAAAGUUUAAUUGCUAGCAUAAUAAAAUAAAUAAAUGUUUCAAAAGACUUAUAAUUAAUUAUUAUUAAUGAUUACAUAUUGUUGAAUUUAAAUAGAAAGAGAAAAAAAAGUACAAAGAAUAUCCACCAAUAGUUUAGAUAUUUUAUAUAAUAAAAAAUAUAAAAAGAUGAGGAAUGAUAUAUAUUAAUAAAGUUACUAUUUAUUAAAUGAGUUAAAUACAAUCAAAUUAAUUAUGAGAAGAUGAAAAGGCAAAUCUAAAAAACAAAAAUCUCUAUUUAUUAGAUAAUAGAGAAUAUAUAAAGAAGCAAAAUGGUGAUGCCACAUCACCUCCUCAAGUCCUAGCUUUAUAUAUAUAUAUAGAUAUAGAUAUAGAUAUAGAUAUUUUGUCCUAAUUAACUUAAAGAUUUUGAAUCUAAUAUUUUAUAAUAAAUAAAAAUAUAUUCCUAAAAUAAAUAUAAUAUCAAUAUUUAAAAUAUGUUUUAAUAUUUUACAAUCUAUCAUACACAUUUUAUUAUAGUAAAGUAGAUUUUAUAAUAAAUAUAUAAAAAAUUUAGAAUAUGUAGAAUAUUAUAUAAAAUAAUUUUAAUAUAAUGUGUGAGAUAUAUUUUAUUAAUUUAAAAUGUCAUUUUACCUAAAAAAUAUGAUAAAUUAAUAAUUACAUAUUUGAAGUUACUUCAAAUAUUAAAAAAAAUUAAUAUUAUUAAUCUUUUAGAUAGAUUAAAUUAUUUUUUAUAAGAGAGAUUAAAUUAUUUUAAAAUGCCUUAAUUGUUUUUACUUUUAACGUUACCGGCCUUUCUUUUAUUUUAUUGCAAAUUAAUACUAAUAAGAAAAAGCUAGAUCAUAUUCCACAAAAGCAAAUGUGACAAACACAACCAGCUGGAAUCUUUUAAUUACUAUUCAAUAAUUCGAGACGAUUAGGGUCUUUUAUUAAACUACAAUCCUCAAUAAUUGUUUUAAAUUGGUGGCACCUACAAUCCUCAAUAAUUGUACCGAUAUUCACAAGUUCGUGGCCCCUACAAUUCUGUUCGCAAGUGCUCAUUCACAGUCUUCCAGGCCCCUACAAUUCUGUUCCGAUAAUUUAACUGUGCAAGUGCUUAAUAAUUGUUUUGUUUUUUUCUGCAUUCCCUUUCAUGCUCUUAAUAAUUGAAGAGCAUACUUUUCAAAUGUGGAGCCGCAGCUAAUGUCGUUAAUUUAAUUUGGGAUUAAAUUAGGGGACCAUUAUAUUGCAGUGUGCACUAAUUUUUGUGUUUAUCUAAACUCCUUAAAUUUAAGACAUAUUACGGCAUAAAUAAGAAUAUAACAAUAACAAAAGAGUUAGAAAGUGUAGAGAAGAUCUUGCAGAAAUAUAAAUAAUAUCAAUUUUAAAAUAAUUUUUAAUAUUUUAUGAUCCAUUAAAUAUAUUUUAUUAUAUUAAAAUAAAUUUUAUAAUAAAUAAAAACAUCCUAUUAAAAUGAAUAUAUAGAAAAUUUAGAGUAUUUUAAGUAUUAUAUAAAAUAAAUUUAAUAAAAUAUGUGAGAUAUUCAUAGUUUAUUAAUUUAAAAUACCAUUUUAAAAUUAAAGAUUUAUUUAUGAUAAAUUAAUAAUUAUAUUUUUGAAAUUACUUCAAAUAUUAAAAAAUUAAUAUUACUAAUCUAUUAGAUAGAUUAAAUUAUAUAUAUUAUUUUCUAUUUAUUAAAAAAUUAAAAUUAUUUUUAAUUACUAUUCAAAAAAUAUAAUGAUAAAAAAAAUCUUAACAUCUUUAUUAAAAAUUUAAAAAUUUACGUGAUCAAUUCUCUAAAUAUUUAGGGUAUAUGUGAACCACGGUGGAGAAGCUUUAUUUAAUAUUAUUGAUUUAAAUAAUAUGUCAAUUAAAAAUGUGCGGAGAAGAAAUUUCGGUGGAUAUUUUAGUCUUUUCAGCAAUUAUCAUGAUCAGAUCUAGGGAUGGCAAUGGAGAGGGGAGGGGAGGGGACCGAUCUCCCCGUACCCAUCCCCGAUAUUUUGCGUAUGUCCCCGUCCCCUCCCCGUCCCCAUCAGAAUUACUUGAGAGAAUCACCAUCCCCUCCCCGAAUAAUAACAGGGGAUCCCCGAUGGUCCCCGAUCCCCGAAUAACUAAUACAUUUUUUUUCAAUUUUGAGUUAAUCAUAUUAAAAUAAAAAAUUCAAAUAAAAAUAAAGUUCGAAAUAUAUCUUACAUUAAUAUCUAUUACAAAAGUCACAUACAUUAAAUUAGUAAGUAACGCAACAUGCAAGGAAUACAAACUUCUUUUACAAACUAUCAUGAACAAAUUAAUAGUUUAAUACAAAAUUGUUACAAAUAAAAUCGAAUUUAGAUUCAAAAUUAACUUUUUCAAUGGUGGCGUGGGCACUUUAUAAAUGUGGAUUAUUCCCUUUACAACACAAUAGUUAAAUCGGAGCAAAUCAAAAGUAAAUAUUAGAUUGGAUUAGAUUAGAUUAGAUUAGAUUAGAUUAGAUAUUAAAAUUGUGAUUCGCUGUGGACAAUUAUAACAUCUAAAAAUAAAUAAAAAAUAGAUUUAAGUUUAAAAUAUUUAAAGAAUAUUAAAAUUAAAAAAAAAUGUUUGGCUAAUAGAAUCUACUUGGUCUUUUUAAUGUCGUAAAUAAAAAUUUAAGACUUUAAUUAGUUAAUUAGGCCUAAAAAUUUAAUAAUAUAAAUAUUUUGAUAUUUUUUAUUUUUACCAAUAUUUAUAAGUGGAUUCUUUUACUAAACUAUAAAUUAAAAGUGGAUUCUUUUGAAUACAAGUGGGACAGACGAUUAGGCUCUUUUUAUUAAACGCAAGUAAAAAGUAGUCGAAUAGUCUUUUUCAAAUUAUUGUUUUAUUAUUUUUCCUUCAAAAGUUAGCGUGGCUCAUGUUUGCAGGUGCGAAUGUGCGAUGCUCUUUUUUUAAAGGCAAUUACAGUGGGUCCCGAAUCAUUACUAAAAUUUCUCUUCCUCAGCCCACCGCAGCUUCAGUUAAUCAAACUCAAUCAAUUUUCUUUCUUAACAAAAUUCUAAAGAUGUGUAGCAUUUUUCAGAUCACAUGCGAUGGUGCUUUUUUCAAUCGUUGCUUGGAUUGCUUUCUUGGAAAAGCAGCAUACAUACGUAACCUCCAAGAUAAUCUUGAUGCCUUGGAGACUGAAUUGGGAAAUCUGAUCGCUAGAAAGAACGAUGUGAUGAGGAGGGUUGUCGAUGCUGAACGGCAACAAAUGAGAAGGCUGGACGGAGUGCAAGUGUGGGUUUCGAGGGUGGAUUCUGUUAAAACUGAAGCCGAUGAACUUAUCACAGACGGCUCUCGAGAAAUUGAAAAAUUAUGUGUUGGAGGCUACUGUUCCAAGAACUGCAGGUCAAGCUACAAAUUCGGGAAAAAAGUGGCUAAAAAGCUACGGGAUGCGCGGACUUUAAUCAGUGAAGGAGUUUUUGAGGUGGUGGCUGACAGAGCUCCAGAGUCUGUAGCAGAUGAAAGACCUACUGAGCGAACAGUAGUAGGCUUGCAAUCACAACUUGAACAAGUCUGGAGAUGUCUUGUAGAAGAAUCAGCGGGAAUCAUUGGCCUAUAUGGUAUGGGCGGUGUUGGUAAAACUACACUACUGACCCAUAUCAACAACAAAUUUCUCGAGAGUCCAACCAACUUUGAUUGUGUGAUUUGGGUUGUAGUUUCAAAAGACCUGCGACUCGAAAAAAUUCAAGAAGAUAUUGGGAAAAAGAUAGGUUUGGUUGGUGAUUCAUGGAAGAGUAAAAGUGUAGAGGAGAAAGCUGUCGACAUCUUCCGGAGUUUAAGAGAGAAGAGAUUUGUAUUGUUGUUAGAUGAUAUAUGGGAGCGGGUUGAUUUAACAAACGUGGGCGUUCCACUUCCCGGACCAAAAAAUACUACCUCAAAAGUCGUAUUCACAACCCGUUUCAUCGAUGUUUGUGGUAGCAUGGAAGUUGACAGGAAGUUUCAAGUAGCAUGCUUAUCAGAAAAGGAUGCUUGGGAACUGUUUCGAGAAAAAGUUGGGGAAGAAACUCUUGAGAGUCAUCAUGAUAUCGAUGAGCUAGCCCAAAUUGUGGUCAAAGAGUGUGGUGGUUUGCCACUCGCACUUAUUACUAUUGGUCGAGCUAUGGCCUACAGAAAGAAAGCGGAGCAGUGGAGACGUGCAAUUGAAGAGUUAAGGAGAUCAGCUUCAGAGUUUGCAGGUUUGGGAAAAGAGGUGUAUCCUCUUUUAAAAUUCAGCUACGAUAGUUUGCAGAAUGAUAGUUUGCAGAAUGAUACGGUUAGAUCUUGUUUCUUGUACUGUUGUUUAUAUCCUGAAGAUUAUGUCAUUCCUAAAUGGGACUUGAUUGAUUGUUGGAUUGGUGAGGGAUUUUUUGGGGAAUCUGACAGGUCUGGUGCAGAAAACCAAGGAUAUGACAUUUUGGACACUCUUGUUCGUGCAUGUUUAUUAGAAGAGGUGGAAGAUGAUAAAGUAAAAAUGCAUGACGUUAUUCGUGAUAUGGCUAUAUGGAUAACUUGUGAAAUUGAGAAGGAGAAUAGAAAAUUUUUGGUUUGUGCAGGUGCUGGAUUAAAAGAGGCACCGGGUGUUAAAGGAUGGGAAAAUGUGAGAAGAUUGUCAUUGAUGCAAAACCAAAUUGAAACUCUGUCAGAGGUUCCCACAUGCCCUCAUCUCCUCACUUUAUUUCUUGACUUUAAUUAUAAUUUGAGGAUGAUCGCGGAUGGCUUCUUCCAACUUAUGCCUUCUCUCAAAGUUUUGAAGAUGUCACUCUGCCGGAAUUUAACUUUGAAAUUACCUUUGGGGAUGUCAAAGUUAGGUUCACUGGAACUUCUCGAUAUUUCAUAUACCUACAUACAAGAGUUACCACAAGAGUUAAAGUUGUUGGUAAAUCUGAAAUGUUUGAAUUUGAGGUGUACACACAGGUUAAAUAAAAUUCCACGGCAACUAAUAUCAAAUUAUUCAAGGUUACGUGUGUUGAGAAUGUUCGCUAGUGGCUGGUUCAAUUUUCAUGAAGCAUCAGAAGAAAGCGUUUUAUUUGGUGGGGGUAAAGUUUUGAUACAGGAAUUGCUCGGUUUGAAAUAUUUAGAGGUAUUGGAGUUGACCUUGGGAAGUUAUCAUGCUCUCCAAAUUCUUUUGAGCUCAAAUAAGUUAAAAAGUUGUAUUCGAUCUCUUUACCUCCAUUUGACCGGAGAUACAGCGUCAAUUAUUGAUGCUACGGCUUUCGCAGAUCUAAACCACCUCAAUGAAUUAUGGAUUGAUAAUGGUAUUGAGUUGGAAGAAUUGAAGAUUGAUUAUACGGAGAUAGUACGAAAAAGGCGGGAACCUUUUGUUUUCCGCAGCCUUCACCGUGUUACCAUAUAUAGUUGCAGUAAAUUGAAAGAUGUGACAUUCCUCGUUUUCGCUCCAAACCUCAAGUCUCUUACGCUAUUCAAUUGCGGUGCUAUGGAAGAAAUAAUCAGCGUCGGAAAAAUUGCUGAGACUCCUGAGAUGAUGGGACAUAUAAGCCCUUUUGAAAAUCUCCAAAGGCUUAAUUUAAAAGAUUUGCCAAAUUUGAAGAGCAUCUACUGGAAGCCAUUGCCUUUUACUCGUCUGAAAGAAAUGGCGGUACUUGGGUGCGAUCAGCUUGAAAAGCUUCCGGUCGAUUCCAACAGUGCAAAAGAGCGUAAAUUUGUAAUUCGUGGAGAAGAAGACUGGUGGAACCGACUUCAAUGGGAGGAUGAAGCCACUCAAAUUGCUUUUCGUUCCUGUUUCCAACCUUAUUCCUGAGCGGUGGUCGCAAAAUUUGAUUUCUGGUGAGUGCGUUUUUCUUUGAACUCUUGUACAUAUUCUUGUCGUUUGCUUCACGCAAAACACUAGGUCUUUUCUUCAGUCCGUUACCUACACGCAAAACACUGGUUCUUUUCUCUGUUUUUAUUUCAGUUAGUUUCUCUCUCUCUCUCUCUCUCUGUGUCUUCUGUAAAUCACAAUUAAAUGUUGAAUUAAUGGAAUUAAUGCUUCAUAAAUUUGCCGGCACUGCCGUUACUUUAUUUUAGGGGGGUCGAAUUGGUGCUCUGGUUUUUUACUUUUUGCUGUCAAAUUUUGGCCUUUUUUUUUUUUUUAACAAGUUGAUACUUUAUUUAUAUCUUCUUAGCGAUUUAAUUUCCUGUCAAAAGAGGAACGAGAAGAACAUAUGACUUAAACCAAUGCUCGCAUAAACUUGCUGUAAAAAGAUGUAAUCUCACUGAAAUGCACACGUCUAGAAUGAAUAGAAUUAAAACAGGGAAAAUAUUAAGUAUAUUAGCCCUCUUUACCGAAAAUCAAAUGACAAUAAAUUUUUGGAAGUUUUGAUUUUCUACGGUCAAUUCGACCUUUUGCAAUUUCUUCUGUUCUAACAAAAACCAAAUUCUUUGUUCAAGUAUUUUCGUUUGGGUAUCAAGGAUCUCUAAUCAAUAGCUGGAAGCAAUUCAGAGGGCGCCGAGACCCGAUCCGACCUAGGCCCAAGUUUGGUCUUAAAGCCUGGGCUUGAGCCUGACAAUUAAAUUAAAACAUUAAUUGAUUUAUUGAUUGAAUUGUCGUGCAAUUGAUUUAUGGGGGAUGAAAAUUCAACAUACUUGAAAAUACACUAAUCUUAGCAUCAUCGGUUAAUAACUUUUAGAUUUAUGGGUAAUCAAUAGUUAAGAUCAGUUGUCAUUUAUUUUUUGAAAUGUCCAUAUUCAGUGUACAUUUGAAAAAGACCCAAUAAUUUCUCAUAAAUUUCAAUUAAAAAUAUUCAAUUUGUUAUUUCAGUUCUUUUAUUUUUUAUUUUUUCCAACAUGAAAGCGACUUAAUGUUACUAAAUUGAAGCCGCUGCCCCGCCUGUGGUUCCAAACUUUUAUCUUCCUCCUCCUUUAAAUUAAUGCGAGCAGCCUCCGUCCUUGACUAGUUGACUUCUUUUCUUCUUUUUUAAUUAAUUAAUUAAUUAAUUCAGCCGCCCACCUUUCUUUUCCCAAUGUCUUCUACUUUCGAUUUCCUUUUAUUUUCUCUUUAUUUUUAAAAUAUGCUUAUAGUAAUAAUAAAAAAUAAAAAUAAAAAUAAAAAUAAAAAUGAACAUAUUAAAAUAUAAUUUAUCAGAAAACCAAGAUAAAGAAAUAUUAUAAGCACAUCAAUCAAAAAGUGAAAAAAAAAACAAUUUUAAUUUACAUUAAAUAUAAACUUUCAGUGUUAAUCAACUUUUCUAAAUAACUGAAAUUAUUUAAAAUAAAAAUAAAUUAUUCUUCCCAAAAAAACAAAAAUUACACCCACUCUUGGCUGUAUGUCAAGAUUCGCUUUAAGGACUGAAGUUGGUAACUUUUGCAAGCAGUCUUAAAUUGAAUGGCAGCAACCCACGCUUUCAGAUUUAUGGUUAAUCAAUAGCUGAGAGUUGUUAUCGCUAAUGCCGUGUAUUUUUUUUAAUGUUUUUUCUCUCUCCUACAGCAUCUUCUAGGAAAGUGCAUCCGUUGCUAAAAUUUAGUAUUGUAAAUAAUAAACCAAGAAUAAAUAUUAAAUUUAAGAAACUGUAUUGCAUUUAAUAUUUAAGGGAGAAAAAUAAUUGUAGUGUCUUUAUUAAUCAGUAAAAAGAAAAGAUUAGAAUCAUAAUAAAUUGUAUUGUUAUUGAUGUAUUUAUUUUAUUUUAUACUCAAAAUAAAUUAUUUUAAAUUAUUAAAAUAUUAUUAUUGUUAUUCUAAUAAUAAUUAUUAUUUAAUAUUUAUUAAAAUAUUUGUCAUAUUACUAAAAAAGCAAUAAUAAUAAUGAUAAUAUUGGAAUUGUUGUUUUUUAUCUUAUUAUUAAUCAAAACACUUCUGGUUAGCCCAUUCAUACGUGAAGACCAAAACCAAAUCUCUUCUUCUCCUUCUUUUCUUAAAAUACGGGAUGUGUGUGCUCGGACUGCUCUCUCAUUCUUAAAACAAGACUUUUUGAAUUAUCCAAUUAAGUUAAAUUCUGUGGCAUCUGGUAUUUUCAUUUCUUGUUUAUUUCGCAAGUUAUUAUUGCCUAAUGCUAUGUCAACUCUAACAUUAGCAUAUAUAUUUUUUUUUUGGUCGUCUUUUAACACCAAACAUUAGUGUAGGUUAAGUAACAUAAUCAGUACUGGGACAAUUUGAAAUCCCUUUGUGUUUUAUUCACAGUAUCUAUGAGGGUUUAUCCUUUUGCUAGAACAAACUCUAGCAAAUUGUCAAAUGUACUUAUCCUUUCGCUUGAUGACUCAUUUUAAAAUUGUCUUUCAAUGUACACACACAGAGAUAACCACCGACAUCAAGCACCAAGUUUGGAAUUUAAUUGAUAAGCAUACAUUUGAUAAAUUAAUGAAAAGUUUGGGAGAAUAGUUUUGAUCACCCUCGAUUAGGAUGGUAUCACGAAAAAGAUCAAAAAGAAAACAUCGUCUCUUCUUCAACAAAAAUAAAUAUUUUCCGUUAGAAUUUAAAUAAAAUAAUUAUUUUUUUAUUUUUUGAAUUAAAAUUUAAUUAAAUACACAAAUAAAUUAUAUAUUUUUAAAAAAAAAUUUACACCCAGUCACAAGGCUGGCUAUUAAACUUAAAGGGAAGCUUCGGAGACUAAAGUUGGUAACAUCUCCAAGUGGUCUUAAGUUGACCGGAACUACCCCGACUUUAUGUUUGGUAGCCUAGACCUGAUCGGACCUAGGCCCAAGUUUGGUCUUAAAGUCCACAAUUAAAUUGAUUUGUUAAUUUAAUUGUUGUGUAAUUGAUUUAUGGGGAAUGAAUCAGCAUCCCUAAAAUUACACUAAUCUUGACAUAAUGACAUCAUCGGUUAAAAACGUUCAGAUUUAUGGCUAAUCAAUGGUUUGAGAUUUGUUAUCAUUAAUGCUAAAUAUUUUUUAACAUUUUUUCUAUCUCUCUCUCCUGAAGGAAUUUUCUAAGAAAAUGCAUCCACAACACAAAUUUUAAGGAUCACACUAUGUUACGUUAAACGUAACGUACACACACUCACAGCAACAGUAACAGGUCACGUCUUGUUACUGUUGCUGUGAGUGUGUGUAUAUUACGUUUAACAUAACAUAGCAUAGGCCAAAUUUUAAAUUGUAAACAAUAAACAAAAUAUAAACGUUAAAUUUAAGGAACUGCGUUGCAUUUCAGCUGAAGCUAACUUUAAUAUUUUACGAAAAAAAAUAAUUAAAUCUUUAAUGUGAUUUAUUUAUUAAUAUAUAUGACUAAUUUUUUAAAAUAAGAUGCAGGAUGAAACUUAAAAAUAUAAAUUAUAGAAUUAAUUUCUCUCUUCAAUAAAUCUAAAGUUUAUUUUUUUUAUUACAUGCUUCUAUUUUAUUUUUAUUCCAUGUUAAUGAUUGGAGAUUUAAAUCCAUUUCGGAUUUAUAAAUAUGUUUAGAUAUCUAAAUCCACGUGUGAUUCCAAACUAUAACCUUUUUUUUUUUCUAAUUAAUGCAAACAGCCGCCUCUUUGGACUGCUUUUCUUCUUUGAUUAUUAAUUAAUUAAUUCAGCUGCCCACCUUUCUUUUCCUAAUGUUUUCUACUCUCAAAUUUUUUUAAGGACAAGGCUACGUUGCAGACGCUGUACCUAACAGCUGCACCUUAGCCAGCUUCACAAAGGGUGCAUUUGGUAAGCAAUUUUUCUUUCCUGUGCAUAUGUGUCCUUCCACCAUUGGGUGUACGUAACAGAUAAUGUACCGUAACAAGCUCCUAUUUUUAAAUAUGUUUAUAAUGAUAAAAUAUAAAAAUUAAGAUUAAAAUGUAAUGUAAUAUAAAAUUAAAGGUGGAAGAGUAUUAAAAUAAUGUAUAAGAUAUGAAUAAACAAGUCAAUAAGAAAACAAACAAACGGCAAGAGAAAAGGAAUGGUCAUGCAGAUUUUAAGGUGGCAGUGACAAUGAGAUCUCAUUUUAACCGAUAAAGUCUUUUGAAUUUGUCAACUCAAAAAAAUAGAUUCAAAUGUUUUGUAAUAAAUGAAAAUAUAAUAUUAAAAUAAAUGUGAUAAUAUAUAUUUUAAAUAAUUUCAAUACAAAAAACAUUUGAAUGUUUUAUAAUUUAUUAGACAUAUUUUAUUAUAUUAAUAUAAAUUUUCUAAGAAAUAUGGACAUAAUAUUAAAAUAAAUUUAUGAAAAAUUUAAAUUAUUUUGAAUGUAAAAACAUUUGAAUGUUUUAUAAUUUAUUAGACAUAUUUUAUUAUAUUAAUAUAAAUUUUUCUAAAAAAUAUGGACAUAAUAUUAAAAUAAAUUUAUGAAAAAUUUAAGUUAUUUUGAAUGUAAAAACAUUUUAAUGUUUUAUAAUUUAUUAGAAAUAUUUUAUUAUAUUAAUAUAAAUUUUCUAAGAAAUAUGGACAUAAUAUUAAAAUAAAUUUAUGAAAAAUUAAAUUAUUUUGAAUGUAAAAUAAUUUUAAUAUUAUUAAUCCAUUAAGUAUUAAUUAUAAAAAUUAUUUAACCCAAAGAUUAUUUAUAUCCUUACAAUAAAUAUAAAUAUAUUAUUUGCAUUUAAAAAUUUAAAAAUAUUUAAAUAAUAUUAAUCUACAAUUAUAUUUUCAUUUAUUAUAAAUAUUUAAAGUCAAAUCUUUUGCACUUGUAUUUUAUUACAAUUAUGGCGCACAAAGAAAGAGCCAUAUAUGCUUUAUAGCGUUAGAAAUUGGUUUCUUUUAAAGCUGGAAACAGAGAGGAUGAUUAUUAUAAGGAGAAAAGAAAAAGGGAUAAAGAAUAUUAAUGAUUAACAAAAUCUCUCUGCAAAUUGAUUGCAGUAGAAAAAAAGUGAGCUGAGCAAUCUAAUUUAGUGGUAGAGUGAUAUUUCAUUUGUAGCAAAUUACAUCUCAAGGUUAAAGGAAAGACUUAAGAUCUCAGCUUUUGAUCAUAAUACUUUUUUUAAAGAAAAAAAUUAAUUUUAAUAUUUUAUAAUAAAUAAAAAUAUAAUCUUAAAAUAAAUACAAACACACUAUUAAUAGUACAUAUUUUAAAAUAAUCUCAUUAUUUAAAAUUGUUUUAAUAUUUUGUAAUUUGCCAGACAAAUUUUAUUAUUUUCAAGUAAAUUUUAUAAUAAAUACAAACACACUAUUAAGAUAAAUAUAUGAAAAAUUUAAAGUAAUUUGAAUCUUAUACAAAAUAAUUUUAAUAUUGUUAAUAGUGAGAUAAUUCUAUUAAUUUAAAAUGCUACUUAACCUUAAGAUUUAUUUAAGAUAAAUUAAUAAUUACAUUUUUAAAUUAUUUCAAAUAUUAAAAAUAUUUUAAUAUUAUUUAUCUAUUAGAUAGACUAAAUUAUUUAAAUUAUUUUGUAUAAAUUAAUUCUAUUUAAAGGAUAUUAUGAUAAAAAGAUCUUAGUGUUUUUAUUAAAAAUUUAAAAUUUAUAUGACUAUUUCUUUAAAUAUUUAGGGUAUAUAUGAACCACCGAGGAGAAAAGCUUUAUUUAAUAUUUUUGAAUAGUUUUUGAUCAGUACAAUUGCGUCCUUAUUCAGAAUUAUUGUUCUCUUCCGCAACAGUUUUUGUUUAUCAAAGUCAUCAAUUAAAAUUUUAGAAUUCUUAUCAUCAGAAGUAGUCGUUUUAGAAGUUGGGUCUUGGAUCAAAUUUCUACGAGUGCAUGAAUUAACAAUAAAAAAAAUUUCAUUACACACGGUUUAAGCUACAAAACUACUAUUUGCACAGUUGACUAUAAAACUUACCUCCAAUUACACUAAACCUCUCUAUUUGGUAACGUUGAGACUAAAUUAAUUUUAUUAGCAUGAAAAGAUAAUAGAAAUAUUAUCAUAAAUAUAAUUGUUGUUAAUCAAUUAGUACAUGUGAUAUAAAGGUUAAAUGUGCACUAUAUUUAAUAAAUAAUUAAUGGAACAUGUUAAACAAAAUGUUAAUGUAUAUUUAUAUAGUGUUAGGAAUAUGCAAAGUCAAGUCCUCAAUUUGCAUUAUCCUGUAUAGAAUAUUACUCUAAAAAUGUUUUACUAUAAUUGGCUUAGAACAUUUGUAAAGAAAAUAAUAAUCGUAAUAAUAAAUAACAUACACCGUCACAUAGCAUCUAGACAAUGAUAGAAAAUUAUUAAAGGGAGUGCAAACAAUUAAUUAGAAAUUUUUAUGAUAACUUUUAAUAUUCAUGAUAAUAACAAAUAAAUACAUGUACCACUUUUUAAAAAUAUUAAAUUUGACGUGCUCCAUUAAUAAAUUAUUAUUGUAAUUCAGACUCUAUCUAUAUAUCCUUGCAUUAAGAAUAAUUAAGUCAUAAUAAAAAUUUUCGUAACUACAUCUCAUUUCUUCCUCAUAAUAAUAAUUAGAUUGGUUCGAAUAUUAUAACUAUAUAGAUUUAGGGCGUGUUUGGUGCAUGGGAUUAUGUGGUAUUACACUACUAUUCACAUUAGCUUAUUUCCAAGAAGAUGUUUGGCAAACUUUGACACCUCAUUAUGCUGCAUUAUAAUGCAGCAUAAUGAGGCAUGGGGCCGCAUUACGCAAACCCGAGGGAACCUCGGGUUUGCGUAAUGCAGAAGCUUUUUGCCUCAAUUGAGGCAACAGUUAAUGCCUCAAUUGAGGCAAAUUUAUUUUAUUAAAAUAUUAUAAAAAUAAAUUAUUUUAUUAUUAAAUACUAAUAUAAUGAAUAAAAUAUAAAAAUAAAUUAUAUGAUAAUAUUAUUUUAUUUAUUAAUGAUUCAUAUAAAAAUAAUAUAUUAAUAUUAUAAUAUUAUUUACAUUAAUAUUAAUUUUAAAAUUAAUAUUAUUUAAAUUUAUAAUUAUUUAUGUUAAAUUAUAAAUUUAUUAAUAUAUUAAAAUGUAAAAAUAAUAAUAUAUUGUAAAUUAAAAUAUAAUUGAAUAUUAUUGAAUAAUAAUUUAUUAAUUUAUAUUAACAAUUAUAAUAUUAAUUAUAAUCUAAAUUUAUUAUUUACAUAUAAUAUUAAAUUUUAUAAAUUUAUUUUAUCAUAAUUAUAAUACAAAUUUUAGAAAUUUAAUCAUUAAUUUUUAAUAUUUACUAAAAAAAUUGUUAAAUUUCUACAAUUAAGAUUUCUAUAUUUAUUAUUUUUCUAAGUAUUAAUAAAUAUUAAUUUUUAAUUAUUUAAUUUAAUUAAUUAUAAAAAUUAAUACAAUACAAUGUAACACCAAAUAUAGUUUAAUUAAAAAUUAAUACAGUACAGUGUAGCACCAAACAUUGUACAGCAUUAUUAUAAUACAAUACUAACGCAAUACAGCAUAAUACAAUACACCAGCAUUAAAAUAAUGCAAUACAACAUAAUACAAUACAAUGUACCAAACGCACCCUUAGUGUAUAGCCACAUCCAAUUUAAAUAUUGACCCAAUUGGGAUGGUCCCCAAAAAAAAAAUUCGUUAAAGGAUAAUUCUAAUUAUUUUUACUUCUCAAACGUUAGUGGGACGUUUCUAUUAGCGCACUCGUAAGCCAAGUUGUCAAAUAUUUAUAUUAAACUACAAUUGCUGACAAGAAAAAUCAAGAUCGUGUUGCGCAAGUGGGUCCCGAAUAGGACGUGCCUAAAUCUCUCGUAAGCCAAGUUGUCAAAUGUUUAUAUUAAACUAACAAUUGCUGACUAGAAAAAUCAAGAUCGUAUUACAAGUGGGUCCCGAAUUGGACGUGCCUAAAUCUUUUUAUAAUUUUCCCAGUGUAGCGGACAGAGGUCAUUACUAAAUUUCUCUUCCACACGCCACAGCAGCUUCGGUUAAUCAAACUCAAUCAAUUUUCUUGGCUUCUCCGCUUAUCAAUAUUACAAGGUAUGGGUAGCAUUUUUCAAAUCACAUGCGAUGGUACUAUUUUCAAUCGUUGCUUAGAUUGCUUUCUUGGAAAAGCAGCAUACAUAAGUAACCUCCAAGAUAAUCUCGUUGCCUUGGAGACUGAACUAAGGAAACUAAUCGCAGCAAAGAACGAUGUGAUGACGGCGGUUGUCAAUGCUGAACGGCAACAAAUGAGAAGGCUGGACCAAGUGCAAGUGUGGGUUUCGAGGGCGGAAGCUGUUAAAACUGAAGCUGAUGAACUUAUCAGAGGCGGCUCUCAAGAAAUUGAAAAAUUAUGUCUUAGAGGGUUCUGUUCCAGGAACUGCACGUCAAGCUACAAGUUCGGAAAACAAGUGGCUAAAAAGCUACGAGCUGUGGAGACUUUAAUCGCCGAAGGAGUUUUUGAGGCGGUGGCUGCCGAGGUGGUGCCUGAGAGAGCUCCAGAGCCUGUAGCAGAUGAAAGACCUACCGAGCGAACAGUAGUAGGCUUGCAAUCACAACUUGAACAAGUCUGGAGAUGUCUUGCAGAAGAAUCAGCGGGAAUCAUUGGCCUAUAUGGUAUGGGCGGUGUUGGUAAAACUACACUAUUGACCCAUAUCAACAAUAAAUUUCUCGAGAGUCCAACCAACUUUGAUUGUGUGAUUUGGGUAGUAGUUUCAAAAGACCUGCGACUUGAAAAAGUUCAAGAAAAUAUUGGGAAAAAGAUAGGUUUGGUUGAUGAUUCAUGGAAGAGUAAAAGUGUAGAGGAGAAAGCUCUCGACAUCUUCCGGAGUUUAAGAGAGAAGAGAAUUGUAUUGCUGUUAGAUGAUAUAUGGGAGCGGGUUGAUUUAACAAAAGUGGGCGUUCCACUUCCAGGACCACAAAAUACUACCUCAAAAGUCGUAUUCACAACCCGUUUCAUCGAUGUUUGUGGUAGCAUGGAAGCUGACAGGAAGUUCCAAGUAGCAUGCUUAUCAGAAAAGGAUGCUUGGGAACUGUUUCGAGAAAAAGUUGGGGAAGAAACUCUUCAGAGUCAUCAUGAUAUCGUUGAGCUAGCCCAAAUUGUGGUCAAAGAGUGUGGUGGUUUGCCACUCGCACUUAUUACUAUUGGUCGAGCUAUGGCCUACAGAAAGAAAGCGGAGCAGUGGAGACGUGCAAUUGAAGAGUUAAGGAGAUCAGCCUCAGAGUUUGCAGGUUUGGGAAAAGAGGUGUAUACUCUUUUGAAAUUCAGCUAUGAUAGUUUGCAGAAUGAUACGGUUAGAUCUUGUUUCUUGUAUUGUUGUUUAUAUCCUGAAGAUUAUGGCAUUCUUAAAUGGGACUUGAUUGAUUGUUGGAUUGGCGAGGGAUUUUUUGGGGAAUCUGACAGGUCUGGUGCAGAAAACCAAGGAUAUGACAUUUUGGACACUCUUGUUCGUGCAUGUUUAUUAGAAGAGGUGGAAGAUGAUAAAGUAAAAAUGCAUGACGUUGUUCGUGAUAUGGCUGUAUGGAUAACCAGUGAAAUUGAGAAAGGGAAGAGAAACUUUUUGGUUCGUGCAGGUGCUGGAUUAAAAGAGGCACCGGAUGUUAAAGGAUGGGAAAAUGUGAGAAGAUUGUCAUUGAUGCAAAACCAAAUUGAAACUCUGUCCGAGGUUCCUACAUGCCCUCAUCUCCUCACUUUAUUUCUUGACUUUAAUGAGAAGUUGAAGAUGAUCACGGAUGGCUUCUUCCAAUUUAUGCCUUCUCUCAAAGUUUUGAAGAUUUCACACUGUGGUAGGAAUUGGAAAGAUUUGAAAUUACCUGUUGGGAUGUCAAAGUUGGGUUCACUAGAACUUCUUGAUAUUUCACAUACGCUGAUAACAGAGUUACCAGAAGAGUUAAAGUUGUUGGUAAAUCUGAAAUGUUUGAAUUUGAGGUCGACAGAAUUGUUAAUUAGAAUUCCACGGCAACUGGUAUCAAAUUCUUCAAGGUUACGUGUGUUGAGAAUGUUCGCUACUGGCUGGUUAAAUUUUCAUGAAGCACCAGAAGACAGCGUUUUAUUUGGUGGGGGUGAAGUUUUGAUACAGGAAUUGCUCGGUUUGAAAUAUUUAGAGGUAUUGGAGUUGACCUUGCGAAGUUAUCAUGCUCUCCAAAUUCUUUUGAGCUCAAAUAAGUUAAAAAGUUGUAUUCCAUCUCUUUUCCUCCAGUUGGCCGGAGAUACAACGUCGAUUAUUGAUGCUGCGGCUUUCGCAGAUCUAAACCACCUCAACGAUUUAUUUAUUUAUAAAGGCAUUCAGUUGGAAGAAUUGAAGAUUGAUUAUACAGAGAUAGUACAAAAAAGGCGGGAACCUUUUGUUUUCCGCAGCCUUCACCGUGUUUCUAUUGGGGGGUGCGAUAAAUUGAAAGAUGUGACAUUCCUCGUUUUUGCUCCAAACCUCAAGUCUCUUUGGCUAUUCGAUUGCGGUGCUAUGGAAGAAAUAAUCAGCGUCGGAAAAUUUGCUGAGACUCCUGAGAUGAUGGGACAUAUAAGCCCUUUUGAAAAUCUCCAAAGGCUUGAAUUAUGGGAUUUGCCAGCUUUGAAGAGCUUCUACUGGAAGCCAUUGCCUUUCACUCAUCUGAAAGAAAUGGUGGUACAUGGGUGUCAUCAGCUUAGAAAGCUUCCACUCGAUUCCAACAGAGCAAAAGAGCGUAAAUUUGUUAUUCGUGGAAAAGCAGACUGGUGGAACCGACUUCAAUGGGAGGAUGAAGCCACUCAAAUUGCUUUUCGUUCCUGUUUCCAACCUCGUUCCUGAGCGGUGGUCGCAAAAUUUGAUUUCUGGUGAGUGCAUUCGUCUUUUAAAAGAAGAAUUUAAAAGAAAUUUAUUCUUGUCGUUUUCUUCUCUGUUUUUAUUUCAGUUUCUUUCUCUCUCUCUCUCAAGGAUCUCUAAUCAAUAGCUGGAAGCAAUUGAGAGGCGCCGAGACCCGAUCGGAUCUAGGCCCAAGUUUGGUCUUAAAGCCUGGGCUUGAGCCUGACAAUUAAAUUAAAACAUUAAUUGAUUUAUUGAUUGAAUUGUUGUGUAAUUGAUUUAUGGGGGAUGAAACAUCAACAUACUUGAAAAUACACUAAUCUUAGCAUCAUCGGUUAAUAACUGUUAGAUUUAUGGGUAAUCGUAAUCAAUAGUUAAGAUUAGUUGUCAUUAAUACUAAAUAUUUUUUACUAUUUUUGUCUCUACUAGAGGAUCUUCUAGAAAAAUGCAUCCACAACAAAAUUUAAUAUUUUACAUAAUAAACAAAAUAUAAAUGUUAAAUUUAAGAAACUGCAUUGCAUUUCAGCUGAAGCUGACUUUAAUAUUUAGGGUAGAAAAACAAUUAAAUCCUUAAUGUGUUUAAUUUCUAUCACUUGUGUCAUUAAAAUUUUCUAGCCACCUUAACCAAUUACAUCUCAACCCACUUUUUUUGGAUGAUUUUAUUUUUACACAAUUAUUUUCAACAUAUCAUGAUGUAUUCGUCAAAAGCUGGAAAUGACUGUUGCCCGUCAAAAUUCACAUUUUUUCCUUAACGAUAAAGUUUUAAUAUAAUUUUGAAGUUAUAACGUCAUAAAUAUAUUGCAUAAUAAUAAGAAAAAGGACCUAAAUGGUAAAAGUGAUAAAUAAUAAGAUCGAAGUAUCAUUUUCCAAUGUUAAAUGAGGCAAUGCCAUUCUCCGGUUCUCUUCUUUAAAUGCGUGAUGUGUGUGCUCUGUUUUCUCUAUUAUUCUUUUUCUCUUUUAGAUUUUGAGAACGUAAAGGGUGCAGGAGUCUUUAUCUUGUUAAAACAAGUCUUUUCGAAGUAUUCAACUAAAUUAAAUCAUGGCCUAAUGCUGUGUCAAUUCCAUCAUCAGCAUUUUUUUUUUCCUUUUUAACACCAACAUCAGUGUAUGUUUGGAUAAUUUGAAAUCUGUUUGUGUUUUAUCUCAAAGUAGAGCUUCAAUCAAUUUGUACCUCACAAAUUCACAAUAUCUAUUAAGGAUAAUAAGACCGAACUCUGGCAUAUUGUCAAAUGUGCUUAUCCAAUUCCAAAUUAAAAUGUUGACAGUGUUUCAUCAACCAAGAACUUGUCUUCGAUAGUUAAUCGGAUUAAAGGGAAUAAUUAAUGAGAGCAAUUAAUUAAUAUUAGCCGGCAUCGUCUGUUUCAUAGGUACUCGUGGUUCACUAACAUAAGCGUUGAAUUUGUAUAGUAGCUUGUUCCUUUCCUUCGGUUUUACUUAAUGAAAACCUUGGCUAGAUCGUACACCAAUGUAAAAUCGAAAACCCUUAUGCCACGAAGAGUUCUUAGUGCAAUUGAGAUCAAUGAUAAUCAGCUGAUAGGGAAAACAUUGUCUGAUUGUCAUAAACAAACUUCUUGAAAAUGCCAUCAGUAACAUGGAAGAUUUGGAGGUUAUUCAAAUGCUGACUUCAGGAAUGCAGAUUAAUAUAUUAUGGAGACAGAUUGAGUGCAAUGGCUAAUUGUAACAGGGAAUUUUUAUUGUACAAACAGACCAGCCAGCAAAGAAUAUUCCAAAUCUAGGACUAAACAAGUCAAUAAUAAAAUAAACAAACGGCAAGAGAGAGUGAUUAUAUCUACAACACCAUCGGCUACUACAAAUUCAACUUUUCAACAGUUGUUACUCACCAUGAACAGAAAAAAGAAAAUUACAACAAAAAAUUGGUUGCUAAAAGACGUCUAUUCAUGGUAAUGCCUCUCAAAUGGGUUCAAAACAUGGAAGAAAAGCAUUUAGUGUGGCUUCAUCGUCCCAUUUCAGCUCACUCCACCAGUGUUGCAGGGGCUUAGUCAAAGUGGCUUUCAAGAAGUUUUAUUACCACCUCAGUUCAAAUCCUAAGAGAGGUAGGAGGAUAAAAGAAUUAAUUUGGACUUUACCUAGCCCUCUACCUUUGUUAAAUUUAUGUUAAAAAAAAAAAUAGAUUUGAGAUUGGUAAUAUCCUUAUUUUUUGUUUUCAAAGGAAACUGAUUUAGGACCAAUGAGACUUUGAUCCAAUGGGAGAAGCCUUUCACUUAUAAUGUUAAGUAUAAGGGUUCGAUCCUCCAUAAGAGCUUUAUGAAGGUUAAUUUCAGUACUUCCUUAGUUAUCAGUUAAUUGAGUGGAGACAGUCUCUCCCUUACGAAAUGUGAGUGGAGUAGGCACCCCUCGAAUAUUAGAGAAGGUUUAAAGUAUCUGAGCAAGUGCUUUAGUGGGUUAAUAUAUGGCGGUAGUUCCAGUUGUUUAGUAUGAUUGUAGUACGAUUGUAUAUAUUAAUUGUAAUAUCUAAUGUAAUAUCAAUAACAAUCUGUGCAUAACAGAAUUCAAAAAAAGAAAAGAAAAAAGAAAACUGAUUUAGGUGGUUUCUUGGUUAAGACUUUUUCUUUAGCAUACUUAGUUCCACGUGCUAUUUAGAUAUUUUUCGACAUACUUAUUACUUAGUUCCACAUGCUAUUUAGAUAUAUUUCGACCAAAUGAACAAGCGCAAGCCAUUGACACUUAGCUUAAUUUCAGGGUCAAGCUAUAUUUGAAACUCAAAUAUUAACCUAUUAAUAUUUUCAAUUCAUUCAAUUAUAAAUUAGAGAUGAUAGAAAUUCUCAUAGGAACAGGGGCCCUAGGGGAUUUUAGAGGAUUUUUCCCAUUCGGGAAGGGUAGGAGACAAUUUUAUAUCAAGUUUCUUAUUCCCAGAGACUAUAAUAUUUUUUUACCUAAUUUCUUAUUCAGGGAAGAUAUGGAGAUGAUGUGGACUUUCCAUCCCCUCCCAAUUCUCCAUUUUUAUUUUUAAUUUUUAUAUUAUUUUUCUAGAAUUAUUAGUGAAAAUAAUAAAAUUUAAAUUGUAAAAAUUUUAUUAAUGAAUAAAUAAAAAUAAAAAUUUUAGACACCUUUUUCCCAAACUUGUAGCUUGACUUGCAGUUCUUGGAGCAGUAGCCUCCAAGACAGUUUUUCAAUUUCUCGAGAGCCGUCCCUUGUCAAUUCACCAACUUCAGCUUCCACAGCCGCCACCCUUGAGGUGAUGUUUGGUUGGGAGGAGAGAAUGGGGGAGAGGAAAGUAAUUUAAAUUCUACUUUUAUUUUUAUUGUUUGGUUGCACGAAAUAUAUAAGAAUUUAAUUUCCAUUAGAAUUUAAUAUCCUUUAUAAUCUAGAAUUUGAAUUCCACACCAAAGAGUGAAGAAUUCAAAUUCCUCUUAGGUUGAAAACCCAAGUUUCCAAAUUUGUCCUUCAACAUUUUAACUUGUUUAAUGCUAUUAAUAAUUAUUAUUUAUAAUUUUAUUUUAUCAAUUUAAUAUUAUAAAUAAUUUAAUAUUAAUUAAAUUUAAUGAAUGAUUUAAGACAUUUAAUAAAAUAAAUAAACUUAUUUAUUUAUUUAAUAUGCAAAUAUAUAAAUAUAAAUUAACUAUCGCCGGAACUUCGCUGGACCGUCGCCGGAAGCUGUCGAAAUUUCACCGAAAAGUCACCAACCACUGUUGAUCGGCGUUGGCUUAUGUUGACCGCUACUGUUGACCGGCUUUUAUUUAUAUUAAAUUAUAUUAAAUAGUUUAGUAUAUUAAAUUAUUUUAUAUUUUAUAUUAAAUAUAAAUCAUGAAUUGUUUCAUAACUUUUUGAAAUUAAAAAAAAUUGGUAUUAAUAUUAAAUUAUAUUUUAUUACUAAUAUAGAUAAUUUAGUAUUUAAGGUAAAGGAUAAAUUUGUCCAAAGAAAAAAAUUAUAAUUUCUUUCCUUAUCAAAUUUGAUGUCAAACCAAACAUUGAAAUUUAAUUUUAUUAAUCUCUUCCACUCAUUUCUCCUCCAUUCCACUUUUUUCUUCUCCUCUCCUUUUUUAAAACCAAACACCACCUGAAAGCCAACCUUGCACUUUGUUCAGCCGUCUCAGUUGUUGCUGCUCAGGAUUGGCGACCCUCAUCAUCACAUCGUUCUUUGGUUCAAUUAAUUUCUGCAAUUCGGUCUGGAUGGCAACCAGGUUAUCUUCAAGCUGGCUUAAAUAUCAUGCUUUUCUGCGGGUACAAUUUAUGAAGCCAGUGAAAAUUACGCAUACAAUAGGAGUGCAACACAGUGUGUAUUCGGUUGUGGUGUCUAUGAUUUUGCAGUCGCAGAAGCUUAUUCACCUUAUGAAGACUGAUCAGGUGGGCACCGUCGCUCUCCUUACAUUCUUAUGGAGAGCGAUAGUCCAUGUAGUCAGAUCUCACUGAGAGAACUAGCCGAGUGGGCAAUCGCUCCGCCUGAUCAAAAUUUGUCAUCUUAUAAUAAUAUCUUGAGUAGGUCUUGAAUUUUUUUUCCAAUUUUAAUCUUUAAAAGGUAGAAGAGGUGAAAAAAACCUAAAUAGUAUUUGUGUCCUCCUAAAUAACAUUUCUUGAACAUCAAUGGAUCUUAAAACUUAAUUAAGAAAAUAUUAUAGAUUUAUAAAUUAGUGGCCCUUAAAAUUUAUUUGCAAGUAACAAUUAGAGAAAAGUCGUCAGGCCCAAAAGACUUAGAGCAUCACCAAAAGACUCUUCAAAUAAGAUUUUAUUAAUUAUUUGAAGAGCCAUCUCAAUAUUUAAGACUCCAAAAGACACUCCAAUUAAGAUUCUUCAAAUAAGAAAUAAUUCUCUCUCUUCAAAUUUGGAGAGUUGAUUUCUCCCUCUUCAAUUUAUACUUUAUUACUUUCCAUUGGAGAAAAAGAGAGAAGUGCUUUAAUUGCUAUUGACUUUUUCUUUAAAAAAAUAAUUAUUUGAUUAAAAUAAUAUUAAGUUAUUUCUAUUUGAAGAGUCUUUUGGAGAAUAUUAUUUUUUUUUACUCUUCUAUUUGCCACAUAGAUAAGCAAAUAGAUAUUUGAAGAGUAAAAUUUAUAGAGUCUUUUGGAGAUGCUCUUACUAAAAGUCGGCAACUCGUCAUGACCAAAAUUCUUCCGAGUGUGAAAUACGGCAUGCGCAGAUGCAUUAAAAACAAAAGCCAGCUAAGAUAUUCUUUGUAUACUUGCAUUCCCUAUCAUCUUAUUAAUAAUUUCAGACACGUCGUUCGUUCCCUGUGACUUUUCAUAUGCAACAGCACAGUCAGUGUUACAAUUUACAUUUCGAAUUGGGUGUCAUCUAUAUACUCUACCUAGAUCUAACAUGAUAUUGCAGUAUUGCACUGAUUUUUUUGUCGCAGCGUUUCUCUAUGAAUUCCUUAAACUUUAAACACAUCAUGGAAUAAUUAUUUUCUUAAAGACCAAAUUAACAUAAUUCUUAAAUCAUUUAUAAAACAACAUUUAUCAUAUAACAGAUCGUACACGAAUCAAUUUUCCUUGAACAGUAGCAAACAAACAAGAAUCUCAACCACAUCACGAGAUCGCCCACGUCAAACCAAGUAUUCUUAAUGAGUGGACCAGCUAAUAUAUUCAAAAUUGGAAUUAAUUGAGGAUAAUGAUUAGUGCUAAUACAUUUGCAAAGAAAAAUCAUGCCUAUUGAAAAACUCAUCUUAUUAGCAGCAGCGUUAUAAGUAGCAUCCAAUCAUAGUUUCACGCAAGAUUUUGAGAUUAUUCAAAUGCUGAUCCCGGGAAUGGAGAUUAAUAGAUAAUGGAGACAGGUUGACUGCAAUGGCUAAUUGUAAGAGGGAUUUUUAGCCGUAAAAACAGAUCAACUAGCAAAGCAAAUUCCAAAUCUUGGAAUGCAGUAGCAAAAAAACGAAACAAACAAAUGGCAAGAGGAAGUGACUAUACAACAAUAACAUCGACUUGCAAUUCAACAUUUAUACAGUUUUACACACCAAGAAAAGAAAAAAUUACAAUAGAAAUUUGGCCACUAAAAGAUGCUCGUUCAUGCUUAUGCCUGUCAUAUGGAUUUGAAACAUGGAGUAAAAGCAUUUAGAGUGGCCUCAUCCUUCCACUGCAGCUCAUUCCACCAGUAUUGCUCUCCCCUAAUAACAAGUUUUCGUUCCUUGGCGCUGUUGUAAUCGAGUGGAAGCUUCUUGAGAUUCGGGCAGCCAGAUACAAACAAUUCCAAGAGAUUUGGAAAGGGCAAUGCAUUCAAACAGAUCUUCUUCAGAUUUCUUACAACUUGCAACCGAAGAUAUUGGAGUUUCGAAAAAGUUUUUUGCACUGGAACUUCUGGAACUUCUUCCAAUUUCCAAACACUGAUUAUUUCUUCCAUCUCAUAACAACGUUCUACAUGGACCAUCUUGAGAUUUGGGGCAAAAACAAGCCAUGUCAUCUCCCUCAAUUUACUGCAAUAGUCUAUGGUAACACUUUGAAGGCUGUUGAAACCAUAAAGUUCUCUUGUUGUUUGAAUUUCUGCAUAGUCAACCUUUAGCUCUUCCAAACUUGUACAAUACACAAAAUCUAGUUUGUCAAGAUACUUGAGAUCUGCUAUGGACAAAAUAUUCCAUGACCUUGAAUCCUCACAGCGGCGAAGCUCUAAAGCAUAUUUACAACUCUUGUACUGUUGGCAGCUCAAAAGUCUUCGUAGAGCAUAAAAACUUCUUAACGUGACGCUUAAUACAUUUAAAUGUUCCAAAGUAAUCAACUCCUCUACCAAAAUUUCACUACCACCAAAUAGAACGCUAUCUUCUGGUACUGUAUUAGCAGAGCCACAAUCUAGCAUCCUCAACACCUUUAACCCAGAAAAAUUACAAAGCAGUUGCCGUGGAAUCGUAUGGAGAUAACGCAUGUACUCCAAGUUCAAACACUUUAGAUUUUUCAAGGCUUUUAAUUCAUGUGGCAACUCUUUGAUGAAAGUUUCUGAAAGAUUAAGAUAUUGUAGUGAAACCAAUUUUGAAAUUCCUGAAGGCAAUUGACUCAAGGAGCGAUUCUUUGAUAGGUUUAAAACUUUAAGAGAAGGCAUAAAAUCGAAGAAAUCACUAGGGAUAGUAUCUAACAUAUUAAUGCCGAGGAACAAAGUUAUAAGAUGAGGGCAUAUUGGAGUUAUUGGUAAAAUCACAAUUUUAUUUCUCAUCAACGAUAUCCUUCUCUUAUCUUCCCAUUGUUUAACUUCGGGUGGUUCAGUUAAUUCAAUACCGGCAGAAACCAAAAAGUUUUCAUUCUCCACUUCACAGGCUAUCCACAAGGUCAUAUCACGAAUCACAUCAUGCAGUUUUACAUAAUCUGAUCCUGCUUCUUCCAAUAGGCAUGCAUGAACAAGAACACCAAUAAUGUAGUAUCCUUGGUUAUGUACUCCAUUAAUUCCUUCAUAUUCCUUCAGAAAACCCUCACCAAUCCAACACCCUAUCAAUUCAAUUUUGCUAAUUUGAUAAUCCUCAGGAAAUAAACUACAGUAUAACAGACAAGAUCUAAGGACGUCACUAGACAAACUAUCAUAACUGAAUUUUAAAAGACGAAACACCUCUUUCUCCAUACCUGGAAAUUCAUAAGCUGAUCUCCUUAACAUCUGAAUUGCAUAGCUCCAUUCUUCGGGUGUCUUCUUGCUGCUCAUGGCACGACCGGUGGUAAUAAGUGCAAGUGGCAAACCACUACACUCCUUUGCCACAGUUUGGGCUAACUCCGGAAUAUCGGGAUGACUUUCAAGAGUCUCUUCUCCGACCUUCUUUAGGAACAAUUCCCAAGCAUCUUGAUCUGCCAAACACUCCACCUUGAACUUUUUUUGAGCUUCCAUGAGGCCACAGACGUCCACAAGACGAGUUGUAAAGACUAUCUUUGAUGCAUUUCUUGAACUCGCAGGAAAAGGGACACCCACUUUGGCUAAAUCAAUUCUUUCCCAUAUAUCAUCUAACAAUAGCAGAAAUUUCAUUUUGCUCAAUAAAUUGAAUAUGCCUGAUGCUUUCUCUUCAAAGCUUCUAUUCUGAAGCCAUCCUAUUCUUUCUCCGAUUUUCUGUUGUAUUCUCUCAAGUUGCAUGUCUUUUGACACCACCACCCAAAUCACAAUAUCAAAAUAAUUUGGUGUAUUAAGGAACCUGUUGUUGAUUUGGGUUAAUAGUGUAGUCUUGCCGACUCCCCCCAUGCCAUAAAGUCCGAUGAUUCCAAAUUGUCCUUCUACAAGACAUCUCCAAACUUUAUCAAAUGUUGAUUCUAGGCCGAUUAUUGUUGGCUGAAGAGGCCUUUCAUCCACUGCUGGUUGUGGUACCUUUUCAGCUACCACUGCAAAAGCUCCAUCAUCUAUUAAAGUAGCCACAAGCUGCAGCUUUUUAGACACCUUUUUCCCAAACUUGUAGCUUGACUUGCAGUUCUUGGAGCAGUAGCCUCCAAGACAUAGUUUUUCAAUUUCUUGAGAGCUGUCCCUUGUCAAUUCACCUACUUCAGCUUCCACAGCCUCCACCCUUGAAAGCCAACCUUGCACUCUGUUCAGCCGUCUUAGUUGUUGUUGCUCAGCAUUAGCGACCCUCAUCAUCGCAUCGUUCUUUGUUUCGAUUAGUUUCUGCAAUUCGGUCUGGACGGCAACCAGGUUAUUUUCAAGCUGGCUUAGAUAUGCUGCUUUUCUGCGGGUACAAUUUAUGAAGCCAGCGGAAAGGGCAUCACAUAUAAGUUGGAUUCCCAAAAUAUUACCCAUAGUUUGUAUGAGAUUCAGAGUACAAUAGAAGGAAUGCAACACAGUAUGUAUUCGGUUGUGGUGUUUAUGAUUUUACAGUCGCAGAAGCUUAUUCACCUUGUGAGGGCUGGUCAGGUGGGCACCAUCACUCUCCUUACGCUUUAUAGAGAGCGAUAGUCCAUGUGGUCAGAUCUCAUUCAGAUAACUAGCCAAGUGGGCAAUCGCUCCACCUUAUCAAAAUUCUUCAUCUUAUAAUAAUAUCAUGAGUAGGCCUUGAAUUUUUCUUUUAAUUUUAACAUUUAAAAGGUGGUGGUGAAAAAGUCUAAAUAGUAUUUUUGUCCUCGUACUUUAAUAACAUUUCUUGAAAGUCACUCGAUCUCAAAAUUUAAUUAAGAAGAUAUUAUAGAUUUAUAAGCCCUUAAAAUUUAUUUGCAAGUAAGCCCAUAAGACUUACUAAAAGUCGUCAACUCGUCAUGACCAAAAUUGAAAAUUCUUCCGCGUGUGAAAUACGGCAUGCACAGACGUAUUAAAAGCAAAGGCCAGCUAUGAUAUUCUUCGUAUACUUGCAUUCCCUAUCAUCUUAUUAAUAAUUUCAGACACGUAGUUCGUUGCUUGUGAUUUUUCAUAUGCAAAAGCACAGUCAGUGUUACAAUUUACAAUUACAAUUGGGUGCCAUCUAUAUACUCCUUCCUUGUUUUCAAAAUAUGUUGUAGGAUGGGUAAUUGUAACAAAAGUGAUUUUUAAAAAGAUUUAUUAUAAUAUUAAAAUUAACUUUUAAUUUUUUUAAAUUAUUUUUGAGCUUUCUGAAAAAAAAAUCCUAAACCGGUCUCAGAAGUAUAAUUAGAACCACGAAUUUAUAAAAUGAUCAAAGGAAUCCAUCGCCUAAUAUUAUAGUACGCAAUGGAUUGCUAUAAACUAAAUUGCUAUGAUCUCACUUCAUAAUAAUUUAUUUUCAAUCUCCAUCAUGGUAGAAAAAUUUCAUCAAUCAACAUACCCUACCACCACCCAAUAGUCGACCAUUUAUCAUCUUCUAUCCGUAAAAAAACGAAAAAAAAAAAAGAGAAAAGGAAAAAUUUAGUCCACAAAAGAAAAUAUCGCAAGACCAAACAGAGAGAGAAAAUAGAAAAAGCAAAGAGCUGUACUGAAUACCGGCGGUGAUGGCUCGGUACUUGACCAUUUAGGUUUGAUUCUGCAUUAACAUAAUAUUUUUUCUGCACUGCAUUCACAUCACAACCAUUGAAUAGUCGUGAUCUAUUUUUCUAAAGCGAAUAAUAUUAUCUUCUCGUGUCGGUGGCUUGAUCAUAUAACAAAAUAGACUAAUAAUGUUUCAAUAGACAUUUUGGUAAAUGGAAGAAGUUAUGAUCUGUCCAUUUUUAUGUUACUUUAUUUUAAUUUGUUAAUUACUAUUAAUAUCUUUGAGUGGGGCAGAAUCUUGACCUAAGAUAUAGGGAUGGCAAUGGGGCAUAUAUGGGUUGGAUUUACUCUGCUCCAUAUCCAAAUCCAUAAUAAAAAUUAAGAUCCGUAUCUGCUCCAGAUCCGUCAUGAAUCCAUAUUUUUCGGUCCAUAUUCAGAUCCAAAAAAGAAAUAAAUAUCUAUAUCUACUCCAAAUCUGAAAAAAAUUAAAAUCCAAAUCUGCUCUAAAUCUGUCAUGAAUUCUAAAAUUCAGUAAUAAAAAAUUAAUAAUUUUUUAGAUUGAAAAUUGAAGGCUAAAAUGUAUUGAUAACAAAUAAAUUAUAUAAUUUUUCUCAAAAAUAUAAUAAAUAUUGUAUCUUAUACUUUUUCACCAAAACAACAAAUAAGAAAGAUAAUAAAAUAUCAUUUAGAAGUAAUUGCAGGAGUAAGAUCAAUCUAAUAUUAUAUUGUCUCCUUCAUCAUUCUAAUAUCCACGAUACACCUACCCUCAUUCCUACAACAUUAGAUAAUGACAUAUAAAUUAAAUAUGAUUUAUAUUCAGUCCUUUAUUAUUUUUAUUAUGACCAUAUUUGACUAAAUAUAUGAAUAACUAUAUUUCUUAAAAAUUAUUUGGCCAAUAUAAUAAAAUAAAUUGCCAAGUUAUAUUACUUGGCUUACAAUUUAAAUAUUGCAUGUACAUGCUUUGGGGUUGGCUGGCCUUUAAAUUUACAAAACUAACUUUUAAGUUUUAAGAGUUUAAAUGCAUGGUAAAUACUACUAAUAUGCUAUGAAUAAAAUUUAUUAUCAUUAUAAUUCCACAAUUGUUAAGAAACUUUUAAAAUAAAAUAAAAUUAAAAGAUGAGUGGAUAUGGAUAUGGAUUUAGAUAUUAAGAUAGAUCCAAAUCUGCUCCAGAUCCGUCUUAGAUCCGCACAUCGAUAUCCAAAUCCGAUCCAAAUCUAUUUUAAACCGAUCCAAAUCCGAUCCGAUUGGAUUUGGAUCACGUGGAUCUUGGAUCAGAUCCAAUCCAUUGCCAUCCCUACUAAGAUAUGACUAGGCUCCACAUGUUAUAUAUUAAUUUGAUUAAGCCCAGCUAAUUGUUAAUUAUUAAUUUGAUUGCGGCUUUUUAUUUUACCCACAUUUUUUACGCGUGAAAUCUUUCUUAGUGAAAAACUACACGUAUUUGCAAAUAUUCGGAAUGGACAUUUUCGAAAAAACAAGUAAAAGAAAAUGACUAAAAAGUAAAAGAAAAUAGACACCCAAUUGUAAUUACGAGUACAAUAGAAGGAAUGCAACACAAUACCGAUUUUGCAGUCGCUGAAGCUUAUUCACCCUAUGAGGGCUGAUCAGGUGGGGGCCGUCGCUCUCCUUACACUCUUAUAGAGAGUUAUAGUCCAUGAUCUCAUUGAGAGAACCAGCCAAGUGGGCAAUCGCUCCACCUGAUCAAAAUUCUUCAUCUUAUAAUAAUACCUUGAGUAGGCCUUCAAUUUUUUUUUUCAAUUUUAAUCUUUAAAAGGUAGAAGAGGUGAAAAAGUUAAAUAAUAUUUUUGUCCUCCUAUAUAACAUUUUUUGAAAAUCACUCGUUCUUAAAACUUAAUUAAGAAAAUAUUAUAGAUUUUUAAGUUAGUGGCCCUUAAAAUUUAUUUGCAAGUAACAAUUAGAGAAAAGUCGUCAUGCCCAAAUGACUUACUAAAAGUCUGCAACUCGUCAUGACCAAACAUCUUCCGAGUGUCAAAUACGGCAUGCGCAGAUGCACUAAAAACAAAGGCCAGCUAUGAUAAUCUUUGUAGUAUUAAUAAUUUCAGACGCGUCGUUCGUUGCCUGUGACUUUUCAUAUGCAAAAGCGGAGUCAGUGUUACUUGCAUUCACUGUCACCUUAUUAAUAAUUUCAGACACAUCGUUGGUUGCCUGUGAUUUUCAUAUUCAAAAGCACAGUCAGAAUUACAAUUUACAUUUGGAAUUGAGUGCCAUCUAUUUAUUCCAGCUAAAUCUAAAAUGAUGUUGCAGUAUUGCACUGAUUUUUUAGUCACAGCGUUUCUCUAUGAAUUCCUUAAACUUUAGACCCAUCAUAGAAUAAUUAUUUUCUUAAAGACCAAAUUAACAUAAUUCUUAAAUCAUUUAUAAAACAACAUUUAUCAGAUAACAGAUUGUACAUGAAUAAAUUUACCUUGAACCGUAGCAAACAAACAAGAAUCUCAACAACAUCAAUAUCAUAAUCCCUUCUGACCUUAACAGUAAUUUUAUUCGUCCUUAAUUCAUAGGUAUAAGUAUCCCAAUAUAUACUUGAUGUCAACCUUUACAAUUCUUUACAGAAUUGCAGCAGACCAAAUUUGUAUGCAAAACUGAAAUCAUACAGUAAUUGAAUACAGUGAAAAUAGACAUGAUGGGAAUUAGUAUAUAUAAAUAUCUUAAUAAUUUAAAAGUUUCUUAAACUGAUUUUACAUAUCUGAAAAAUUAUAGAAAUCGGAACUGCUGCAGAAAUCAUAAUUUUCCAGCGAAUGUGUUACAACUUCAGAAACUCAUAAGAAAUUAAAUUCUUGGGAUCACAAAAUAAUUCAUCAAUUUAAGAGAUUCAGCAGUACUUUUAUUACAUCAAUUCUUCAAACAAUCACCAAUCUAACAUUCAUCAAAAUUAAGUCAUAAAAGUCAUGUGGUUUAUAAAAAGAAUUACCUGAAAAAGAUUAGCCUUCCCCUUUCAAAAGCAACGAGAAACUCCAAAAACUCUUCUUCCAUUGCCUAUUCAAACAUGAAAAAAAAAAAUUAGUAUCUCUUCUUUAAACGCGCGAUGAGUGUGCUCUGUUUUCUCUGUUCUUUUUCUUUUUUAGAUUUCGAAAACGUAAAGAGUGUUGGAGUCUUUAUUUUCUAAAAACAAGACUUUUCCAUGUAUUCAGUUAAAUUAAAUUAUGUCCUAAUGCUAUGUCAGUUCCAUCAUUAGCAUUUUUUUUUUCCUUUUAACACCAACAUUAGCGUAUGUUAAGUAUCAUAAUCCAUAGUUGGACAAUUUGAAAUCUCUUCGUGUAGUUGACUGGCAACAACUAUAUUGGCAUUUAGACAUAAUGUACUGCAACCAUAUUGACAUGUUCAAAUGUUCUCACUAUUGUAUUGGUGUGUCGAUAUUAUCUCUAUCAGUCCUAUAGAUCCAAAAAUAAUCUAAAUUUACAAUUUAACUUAAAAUAAAAUAAUUGGUAGAAAACAAUUAUGGUUCAUUUACUUAUCAGUAAUUAAAAUAGACUGAAAUUAGAAUGAGUUGUAUUGACGUUGAUGUGUUUCUGUUGUCCUCGAAUCGGAAUGAAUUAUUUUAACUUACUAAAAUACCCUUUGUUUGUUAUUCUAAUUAUUAUUAUUUAAUAUUUAUUAUAAUAUUUGUCAUAUUAUUAAAAAGAAAUAAUAAUGAUGAUAAUAUUAUCAUUAUUGUUUGUUAUAUUAUUAUUAUUCAAAAAAAUUGUUGUUAAUAACUAUAAUAACUUUAUUUCAAUAAUAAAAAUGAUAAAAUUAAUAAUAACAAACAUGACAACAACAAUAAUUAUUUAUUAUGCCAAAAAAUAACAAUAAUGAUAAGAAUAAUAAUCAUCAUCAUUUUUUUCCCAAAGAAGCAUUAUCAUCAUCAUUUCAAAAAAAAAAAUCAUCAUCAUCAGCAUUUUUGUAGUGGCUGCCUAUCGGCUGCUGCUUUCAUGUGAGAUUGACUUGCGACGCUUCAACUACUAUUAUUUCUGGCAAUGUCAGGUGUUGUUGUUUCAAUCUGGGGAGAAGCUGUUUCGGUGAGCUAACAAUGGGAGGUGUUGCUGCUCGAUGCGAGGUCCAUGGCCAGCUGUCUUGUUUUACACCCAGCUCUUGUAGGAAAUUAUUCAUCCACAAUAUUUCUUUGUAACCUUCAAUAAUUGUAAUAUCAUUUGCUUCCGUGGUAGAAAAGACAACUCAUUACUAAAGUCUAGAUUGCGAUGAGACUGCCUUCCCUACAAAAGUGAGCAAAUAUCCUCAUAGGAAUCUUUCAGAAUCAACAUCUCUUGCCAUAUCUGUUAAGAAUAACAUAUGCUGAGUCAGCUACUGAGUCAUCAAGCCACGCUGGAAGUCAGUUUUGCAGUUAGUUAGAGAGCUUAUCAGCUUCUCUCCAAAAGUUUGUUAUGUGUAUUAGAAUAUGUGCUCACGAGUUUUGUGAGUUUGUAACCUUGAAAAGAUUCUCACACUACUAUAAAUUGUAUUGUGACUCAAUUAAUAAAAGUUGUUGAAGCUUUGCAUUUUCUCUCAGUCAAAAUUUUCUCUCUAUUUUUCUAAGUAACCAAACAAAAUCUACAGAGCAUUUUGUAUUUUAACUUGGUAUCAGAGCUUGAAUCCAAUGGCCUUAAUCGGUUCCAAUCAACAGUCGAGCAACACUUCCAUAACUUCUUUCACCUUCACAAAUCCAAUUAAGCUUGAUCGUGCAAACUAUACGAUCUGGAAACAGCAAGUACUUUCUUCAAUUCGUGGCAAUGGUCUUGAAGGCUAUAUUGAUGGAUCAAGGAUCUGUCCUAGUCAAUUUCUUUCUCCAGAGGCUAGAUCUGAAGGUUCUUCUUCUUCUAACAUCGAAGGUCAAGAGAAUCCAGAGUAUGCAGCCUGGAGACGUCAAGAUCAGCUCCUGCUCAGCUGGAUUCUGUCGUCCAUGAAUGUAGAUAUUCUCAGUCUUGUGGUAAGCUCUAAGACUUCUUUUGAGUUGUGGAAAAAUCUAGAAAAACAAUUUGGAUAUGAAUUUAUGGCUAAGAAGGUUCAUCUGAAAAUGCUUUUGAGUAACCUGCGAAAAGGAUCUCUAACCAUGUCUGAGUAUUUUACAAAGCUUAAGUCAGUUACAGAUGGUCUUGCUUUAGUUGGUAGCCCUGUGCAUGAUUUGGAUUUAAUCACUCAUCUUAUUACUGGUCUAGAUCAGUCAUAUUAUCCUGUAGUAGUCUAUAUUGAGGCAAACAUGUUGAAAAUGGAUCUUAGUGAGGCUUAUGCUAUGCUUCUCACACAUGAGGCUAGACUUGAGAAUAAUAAGCUUCAUGAUAGUAAAGAAACCAAGAACAAUUAUGCAACAAAUGUAGCUCAGGUUGGAAAUUUUUCAAAGAAAGGUAAUAACAAUAAUCAAAACAACUGGAAGGAUGGAGGAAACAAUUGGAAUAAUAACUCUGGUGGAAGAGGUGGUUACCAAGGGUUCAAUCCAGGAAGAGGAAACUGGAAUAAUAAUAAUUUCAGAGGUGUUGCUGGUGGAUUUAACAGUGGAUUUCCUGGUCUCGUGGCUUCAAUAACAAUUAUGGCAGAGGUGGUUUCAACUCAGGCCAAAAUUUGGUGGUUGUUGAAGCCAACAAAAAUAAAUUCCUACUCUAAAUAAAUUGUGUAUAGUGAUUGAGCAGGGUCGUGUCCACAGAGAUCGGUAAUUAUUUAAAUCCUUUUGAAACGUAAAACGCAAAAUGGGGGAAUUGUUGACAAUAAUAAAAAUCAAAUUAAAGUAACAAGAAUGCAAAUUAAAGUUGUAAUUCAAAUUGGAGAAAGCUCUGGUUGAAGGAAUUAACUCAGCUUGAUUCGACUACUGAUCAUUGAUUCAAAUAUAGAUUAUUAUUACUCAUGAAUAGACCGGUUAUAGCUACUGAGACCCUCUAAUAGCCAAUCUCUCCUUAACUAGUCGAUAACCAAGGUACGACCGUUGGUUAUUUCCCUAAUCAAUAGACAACCCUAGAUACGAUCAUAGAAUUUAAUCAAUUGACAGCCUGAAAAACCAGAGAGACCCAAAUCCUAAUCAACACAUAUGAUGAUUCAUUUAAAUUAGAUUGUUUAUUCUCACAACACAACUCUCUGCUAUGUUAUUUGUCACAAGCAUUAAAUUCUUCAUACGAUGAAUCCUUUAAUUGACAAUAGAUUAAGUUGAUAAUUAAAUAGUGGCCAAUUACCUAAUUAACAAACAUAAUCAUGAAACUAAUUCAGAGAAUAAACAAAUACCCAAAAAGCAAUAAAACAAUUAAAGCACAAGAAAGAUCUCAUAGUAGUGAUGAAUCAAAGCUUCAUUAACCUUCAACCAGAAAAAUAAGUUUAGUUCUUCAUAGAGAGAAGAGAAAAAUUAAAUCUAGGGUUUCUUUCUUUUUUUUUUUUCCAAUCCAAAAAAUCCCCCUUUUUCACAAUAGAUUCCUCCCUUAAAUACUCUCUCUCUCUUCUCCUCUAGAAUUUUAUUUAAAAUAAAAUACUAAUAUCUGAAAUAUUAAAUUCGUAAUUACAAAAAUAACCAAAAAUACAAAACACGUUAAACUAAAAACUGCAGGUCCGCAGUUGACAGCACGCGCCCACGCCUUAUCAAUAAAGUUCUUCUGACGCUCAUAAUUUCUCCAAGAGAACAAUCAUCCUUAAACAUCAUCUUAUAGCUCAAUUUUAUCACCAACCAAUAGAAUUGCACCUACAAAAGUAAAUCACUAUUAUUAAGUGCAAAACAUCGAUAUUAAAAGAAGUAAACAAUGCAAAACUAGUGCAUAAAUUGCACUCUAACAGAGGUGCUGGAAAGAAUUUUGCUCAGGGAACUGGUGCUGCUUGUCAGAUAUGCUUCAGGUUUAAUCACACAGCAGCUGAUUGCAGAAACAGGUUCAACAGAAAUUUUAUCCCAAAUUUUCCAGCUCCAGCUCCAAAUUACUUCUCUAAUCAGCACCAAGGACCAAGAGCAGCCUUCAUAACAACAUCUGAAGGAGCUGCUGAUCAGGGAUGGUUUCUGGAUAGUGGUGCAACUCACCACUUAACCAACACAGUUCAGAAUCUGAGUGAUGGUAAGAUCUAUUUUGACUCAAACUUACUUACUGUUGGUAAUGGCCAAGGUUUUAGAAUUACUCACAUAGGUUAUACACAACUUCACACUUCUUUUGGCACCUGCUUACAACUACAGAAUAUUUUGUGUGUUCCUCAAAUUACCAAGAACCUCAUUAGUAUUUCCAAACUCCUCACUGAUAAUGAUAUAAUCAUUGAAUUUUUCUCUGAUGUUUGCUUUCUAAAGGACAAGGUGAAGGGCACUCUGUUGGCUUAGGGGAUUGCUAGAGAUGGCCUAUACAAGCUACUGUCAAAAAAGGAAUCUCUCUCUUCUUCCACUUCUGUUCUGCCAGUGUCUCAUCCUAGUUCUAUGAUGUCAACUCUUUCCUGCAAUAAUGUAAUUACUUCUGUUCAAAGUUCAAAUAAUGACUUCUGUUUUAAGUUUACAUUUCCUGUAAGCUUUCAAACUUCAAUUUCUGUGUCAGCAAAUAUAUUGCACAAUAGACUUGGUCAUCCAAGUAAGCAUGUCAUACAAACUAUUCUCAGAAACAAUUGUUUAAUGUCAGCCAAUGUUAAUAAAUCAAAUUUUCUUUUCUGUGAUGCCUGUCAACUUGGAAAGUUACAUCAAUUACACUUUCCCGCUACUAAAAUCAAAACAAAAUAUCCCUUAGAAUUAAUACACACAUACUUAUGGGGACCAGCUCCAGUUUUAUCACUAGAUGGUUAUAGAUACUAUAUUUCCUUUGUUGAUGACUUCACCCGAUAUUGUUGGAUCUUUCCCUUAGUUUUAAAAUCUGAUGCCCUUACUACUUUCAAAAACUUCAAGAGCUUAGUUGAGAAACAAUUCAAUCUGCCCAUCAGAAUUUUACAGUCUGAUAUGGGAGGUGAAUUCAAAGCUUUUCAGUCAUUUCUUCAACAAUAAGGUAUCCAAGCUAGAUUUAGUUGUCCCUAUACUCACCAUCAAAAUGGUGUUGUUGAGAGAAAACAUAGACACUUAGUAGAAACUGGAUUAACACUCCUUGCUCAAGCAAAAAUGCCUAUUUCUUUCUGGUGGGAGGCUUUCCAUACAACCUCUUAUCUCAUUAAUAGAAUGCCUACCACUACACUGAACAACUUAUCUCCCUAUCAAAAGCUUCAUAAUCAGCCACCAAACUAUCAACUUCUCAGAGUUUUUGGUUGUGCUUGCUAUCCUUUUCCCAGGCCUUAUAAUGACCACAAGCUUGAUUUUCAUUCCCAAAAAUGCUUGUUUUUAGGUUACAGCCCUCUUCACAAAGGAUAUAAGUGUCUAACAAAGUCAAGCAAAGUAUAUGUUGCUGUUCAUAUUAUUUUUAAUGAGUCUGAUUUUCCCUAUUCAGAGUUGUUCGCUUCAUCUGAAUCUUCUUCCAAUUCUCUGUCAUCAUACUCUCCAUCUAUUUGUAUCCUCAAUGACAGUGGCUUGCAUCAGUCAUCAGCUAUAUCUCCUGCUUUAGCAGAGUUACCAACUCACAUUCACCUCAACAUCCUCACCAAGCCCCACACUCUCCUUGUCCCUCUCCAGUCUCAAAUUCCUACGGCUCAUCAUCACCACAUUCUUCAUCACAUAAUGCUUUAGCCAAUCCCUCUGAUGAAUUACAACCAUCAUCUCAACCUGUCAUUUCAACUCAUCAGAUGGUUACUCGAGCCAAAUCUAGUAUUUUUAAACCAAAGACCUACCUUACAGCUACCGAAGACCUUGAACCAGUGAGUGUUAAAGCAGCCCUGAUUGAUACAAAGUGGAAAAUGGCUAUGCAAGAAGAGUAUAAUGCUUUGCAGAAGAAUGACACCUGGACAUUAGUUCCAGCUGAAACCGCUACAAAACUCGUUGGAAAUAAGUGGGUUUUUAGAGUUAAAUAUAACCCAGAUGGUAGCAUUUCCAAGUAUAAGGCUCGGUUGGUUGCAAAAGGUUUUCAUCAAACUUAUGGAGUAGAUUUCUUUGAAACCUUUAGUCUAGUUGUUAAACCCUACACUGUUCGUAUUGUUCUCAGCUUAGCAGUCAUGCAUUGUUGGCCAGUUCGGCAAUUGGAUGUUAACAAUGCCUUUCUUAAUGGCAUGCUUACUGAAAAUGUGUUUAUGCCUCAGCCAGAAGGCUUUAUCAGCUCUCAGUUUCUCAAUCAUGUCUGCAAAUUACAAAAAGCCAUUUAUGGUCUUAAGCAGGCUCCAAGGGCUUUGUAUGAUAGAUUGAAAGGGUCUUUAGUUCGGUGGGGUUUCAGAUCUUCAAAGUCAGAUACUUCACUGUUUUUCAAGCAUAUUGGCAAUAAUGUUCUCAUCAUCCUUGUUUAUGUAGAUGAUAUCCUGAUAACAGGCUCUAGUGCUGUUUAUAUUUCAGAGGUUAUCAGUCUACUUAGCUCAGAAUUUGCACUUAAAGAUUUAGGAGAUUUUAACUACUUUCUUGGGGUAGAAGUGACUCCAUCUGCUGAAGGAUUACAUCUAUCUCAAACUAAGUAUGUUGGUGACAUCUUAAGAAAAGCUCAUAUGCUUGAGAGUAAAGGCUGCAAUACACCUAUCAGUAUUGUUGAUAAGUUGCAGAAGGACAAAGGUUGCUCAUUUACAAAUCCCUCACUUUACAAAAGCAUCAUUGGUUCUCUGCAGUAUCUGACACUGACCAGACCAGAUAUCGCAUUCACUGUAAACAAAUUGAGUCAGUUUUUAGCUGCUCCAACUAUCUUGCAUUGGCAGGCUUGCAAGAGGGUAUUACGAUAUCUACAAAGCACAACACAUUUUGGACUGCAGUUCUUCAAGUCAGGUCCUCCAAGUCUCAUAGCAUAUUCUGAUGCAGAUUGGGGGUCUGAUCCAGAUGAUAGAAGAUCUGUUGGAGGGUAUUGUGUUUAUCUUGGAUCCAAUCUUGUGUCUUGGUCAUCUAAGAAACAGAACAUUGUUUCCAGGUCAUCUGCUGAAUCUGAGUAUAGAGCUUUGGCCUUAGCUACAUCUGAGGUUUUGUGGAUUACAUAUCUGUUGAAAGAGCUCAAAGUAUCACUUCCCAAACCUCUUGUUCUUUACUGUGACAACAACAGUGCAGAAGCUUUGGCUAGCAAUCCUAAGUAUCAUUCCAGAACUAAACAUAUAGAACUGGAUUUACAUUUUGUCAGAGAACACAUUGCCAACAAGGAUCUCUUCAUUGAACAUGUGUCUAGUUCUGAUAAGUUAGCUGAUGUGCUUACCAAACCUCUGAGUUUUGAUAAUUUUGCCUAUAUGCGAACUAAGCUCAAUGUCUGCCCACGACCUUGAGCUUACGGGGGCAUGUUAAGAAUAACAUAUGCUGAGUCAGCUGCUGAGUCAUCAAGCCACGCUGGAAGUCAGUUUUGCAGUUAGUUAGAGAGCUUAUCAGCUUCUCUCCAAAAGUUUGUUAUGUGUAUUAGAAUCUGUGCUCAUGAGUUUUGUGAGUUUGUAACCUUGAAAAGAUUCUCACACUACUAUAAAUUGUAUUGUGACUCAAUUAAUAAAAGUUGUUGAAGCGUUGCAUUUUCUCUCAGUCAAAAUUUUCUCUCUGUUUUUCUAAGUAACCAAACAAAAUCUACAGAGCAUUUUGUAUUUUAACUAUAUCUACACACUUAUAACACAAGUUUGUCACCACUAAAAUAUAAACAUGUUCUGUAAAUGCCUCUAAGAUAUCUGAGAAUUCAUUUCACUACUGUCCAGUGCUCUUUGUCCAGAUUGGAGAGAAACCGACUGACUACACUAACUGCGUAAACAAUACCUGGUCUUGUACAAAUCACGGCGUACACCAAACUGCCAACUGCUGAAGCAUAAGGAACUCCUCUCACGGAGAAAUGGGUUUUGCUCUUGAGAUCUUUGGGAACAUGAAGAAUAAAGAUGUAAUUUCUUGGACUGACAUUGUUUCGGGGUAUAUAAAUAGAGGACAAGUGGAUAUAGCUCGACAGUAUUUUGCUCAGAUACCAGAACGAGAUUAUGUCUUAUAGACUGCCAUGAUUGAUGGGUACCUUCGAGUGAAUAGGUUCAGAGAGGCUUUGACACUUUUCCGGGAGAUGCAAACUUCAAAUAUAAGGCCAGACGAGUUUACCAUUGUUAGGAUUCUUACAGUUUGUGCGAAUCUGGGGGCACUAGAACCGGGAGAAUGGAUAAAGACUUACAUUGACAAAAACAAGGUCAAGAAUGAUAUAUUUGUGGGGAAUGCUUUGAUAGACAUGUACUGUAAAUGCGGAGAUGUUGAGAAAGCUCAAAGGGUACUCAGGAAGAUGCUUCGAAAGGACAAAUUCACAUGGACGGCCAUGAUUGUUGGCCUUGCCAUCAGUGACCCAUUUCCUACGAUCAGACCGGAUAAGGUAACUUAUGUUGGUGUUCUGUCUGCCUGUACUCACAAUGGUAACGAAACUUUUGUGAUAAAUAGUUGCGACUUAAGGUGAGAAUUGGAGGAAACGAAAUAGACUGAAGUUGUUCAAUCAUCGGUGGUUGCUAUUUGAUUUUAAGUUGUUCAAUCAUCGGUCAUCUCUAUUUGGUUUUCUCCAAUAUCUCAUCUCCAGUUUUGACUCAGAUUCUGUCUUACCACUAGUAAUUAAAAGUGAGGAGGCAGCAGUCAAUGCUAUUUCGGCUUGGCCCAAAAUUUCACCAGUUUGUUAGUGUUCUGCAGCUCUUGCUGCUUUCCUAGAGAUUCUGCAUCUUUUGCAAUUUGAUUGAUUAAAAAAAAAAAAAUUAGUGGCCAUUUAGAAUGAAGGAGAGAUUUGUGUGAAUGGUAUAGGUGAAAAAUUGGAUGAAAAUAAACAGGCAACCGUCCGUAUAAAACAACAAUAACAAUAUACAAAAAGAUAAGUAGACACUUCUGUAAUUCACGAAAGGAAAUUUAUGGUUGUUUCUGAAAAACAUACAUAUUAAUUUCACUUAUACUCUAAGGUGGGAUAGAUGUCAACUAGCUAUGCUAAUGAUACCUUGCCAUCAUGACUGGACUUGUGAGGAAUUUGGAAACAUGUAUGAUGAUUGUUACUUACACAAUUGUAGAAAGAAAUGCUGAGGUGGCUUGAACCAGAUGGUGAAAUCGUCUAACACACUUAAUUGUUAGAUGUGUUUUGGAUAUUCACAGUUAGGUUGAAAUUUGUAGUUUUCACUUGAAAGAAUUCAGUUAAAAAUUGAUUGGUAGAAUUGUAAAAUAGUCUAAAUUUUUAGUUCAAACCCAUUGCAUAUUUAAGAACAUCUUAAAUGAAUUGCUUAUUGCUAUCAUCAUCAUUAUUGUCCAUAUAAUAAUAAUAAUAAUAAUAAUAAUAAUAAUAAUAAUAAUAAUAAUCAAUAGAAAUGUUAUCUUAUCCACUAUUUUAUAUAUGUUUCCACUAAAAUCUAUUUAAUUAUUCUUUAUUUUUUUUCAACUGUUGCAUGUUAGAUUUAUUCGAUUUCCUAAGUUAUAUCAAUAGAAAUGUUAUCUUAUCCAUAAAAAGUUAGAUCUAACAAUUAUGAAAAUUACUAUAGUGCUGCUUUGAAUAAUUUUUUAAAAAUACCACAAGUAAAUAAUAAUUAGUUUAAAUAGUGGAGACUAAAAAGCAUUCACCCUUAUUUUUUAUCUGUUAUUAGUUUUUUUUAAUCUGUUAUACAUUUGAAACAUUCCAUUAAUUGCCAAUUAUGUAAGCGAGAUAGUAAUUAAUUUUUUUUAUUUAAAAAAAGUGAAAAUUAAUCCUAUGCAAUGUGAAUAAAUUUCUUUCCUUUUUCCUUCACUCUUUUUAUUUGAUAAUUAAGUUUCAAUCUAUGUACGCAAAAUUUCUGCAACAGCUGCAAAACAUAAAAAUAUAUGAUUGUUAAGGGAAACACGCAGAAGUUCAUCACUUCAAUGUUCAGUAUUUCCAAUUUUGGCAUUAAGCUCUUACGAAUAUAUUCCACUUAGAAAGCAAAAUAUUAGAAUUGUGAUUUUAAUUCAUUCAUCAUAUCUCAUUUCAAUCCCAAAAUAUUCAAGUGGAUCCAAGUUACCAUAAGGCUUCAGAGGCUCGAGCCUUAGCCAGAGAUGGUUAAUUGAUAGACUAGGUAAGAGAAACCAAGGUUGAAGUAUGUAGAAAUGUUAUUUCAUUUAUUUUUAUUUAUGAUUUUUUGUAAAAUGUAAGAAAUAUGUAGAAAUGUUGCCAGCAAUGAUUUUGGAACUUUGCAUAAAAUUUUUAUCAUUAUUGUUUUUGGUAUUAAGAAAUCCGAGGCGGUGAUUAGACGUAUGUUGCAACAAUUAAGAAAUUUCUUAUUGGAGAUAAUUUGGUAGGUUGCAACAAUUAGAGAAUCAUUUUCCUGUCAGUUAAUCAAUCAAUAAUAAAUUUCAAAUUGCAGAAAAUAAAAUAAUACUGUCGCACUUAGAAUCAUCUUUUCUAUCUCUUUCAAUUGUGACAAUCAUUUGUAACAAAUAAAUCAAUUUGAUGCACAUCAUUUCCCCAAUUCAAAGUUCAAGUCACUGCUCAAUUGCAGAGUAGUUAGUAGACAUGCAUGCAUGUUUAAUUAAGUACUGCAUUGUAGUAUCGAAAAUCAUAACAUCUCACCAAGCCCGGAAGCAUAGCUCUUUAUCUUGUAAAUGUUGAAAUCUUAUGCAAACUAUGGGAACCAUGAGCUCACUCUCAGUGUCACUUGAUUCCAUUUUCUGUUCUUGCCUUGAUUUCGAUGUUGGGAAUGUGACGUCUGAGUCUAAGGUUGAAGAUAAUCUCGAUGCCUUGCGGACUGCAAUGGAAAUAAAAUAUUUGUGUGUUGAGAAAUGAUGAAAUGAUGCAAUGGAAAUAAAAUCUCAAUCUCUUGAGAAAUGAUGUGAUAAGAAGAGUUACUGUUGCUGAAGGACAACAUCAAAUGCAACGAAUGGAUCGAGUGCAGGGCUGGCUUUCAAGGGUAAAAUCUGUGGAAAAUAAAGCUGAUGAUUUGAUGAGACACAGCUCUCAAGAGAUUGAGAAGUUAUGCCUUGGAGGCUUCUGUUCCAGGAACUGCAAAUGAAGCUACAGCCGUGGGAUAGAAUUUGCAACAAUGCUACGAUUGUGGAGAGUUUAAUGGGUGAAGGAUCAUUUGAAUAGGUGGCUGAGAGGGUGCCAGAAGAUGCAGCAGAGGAGAUAAAUUGUGAGCCAACAAUAGUGGGCAUGUUGUCGACUUUUGAGAAAGCCUGGAGAUGCCUUGAAGAAGAAUCAGUUGGAAUUAUUGGCCUAUAUGUCAAUGGGGGAGUUGGAAAAUAUUUACUCAAAUCAACAACAAGUUCCUUGAUAGUCCAAAUAAUUUUGAUGUUGCGAUCUGGGUAAUGGUCUGCCAAGAUUUGCAACCCCAGAAGUUUCGGGAAAAGAUUGGGAAAAAGAAAGUCUUGUUCGAUGAGUACCGGAUUGAACUAUAUUAGAUUAUAUUUAAAUAAUAUUAAAUAGUAUUUAAGUUGGUAUUCUAAUAUAAAUAUCAAUUAUCCAUGAAAUUUUAUAAUCAUAAUUAAAAUAAAUUUAAAAAGCAAUUACUAGGAAAAUUAAAUAUAUUGCAAAAAGUUAUUGGGUAGUCAUAAUAUAAUAGGCAAAUAAAAUUAAAUAAAACAAAUUACAUAUUUAAUUAUAUUUAUCAAAUAUUUAAAAAUAUUAUAUAAAAUAUUAUAUAAAAUCAAUUAAUUAAUGAUAUUAUUAAUUUUCAUGAUUAUUUUUAAUAUUAUAUUACUGAUUAUUAAAUUUAAUACAAUCAAAUAAUGCAAUAAAUAAUUAAACAUUCAAUUUUAUUGAUUAAUUAUUAAAUAUACAAGUAAUGAAAAUUUUAUCUCAAGAGUUGGUAGAAGCGAAAGUACUAAUUUAAUUAGAUCAUAGAUAAUAAAUAAAAAUAAAUUUUAAGUAAAUCAUAAUAAAAAAUUAAUUAAUUAAUUCAAUCAAUCAAUAUUAGGUGUAAAUAAAAAAAUGAUAUAAAUAAAAAUCUCAUAAAUGUACAACUUUUAUCUUUAAUCUUAUCCUAAAAGAACAAAAAGCAGAAUAUAUAUUGAAGUGUUUUUCACACCUUUUCAUUAACUGGAAUGCAUGUAUUUAUAUACAUCAUUUGUAACUAAUAAAGAGAAAAUAAAGGAAACUAUACAUGAGAGUAUCAAGGAGAAUAAUGGAAGAGAUUGUUGUCCGUAACUUGUGGAGAGUAUCAUGGAGCUUGAGAUUAUCUGAUAUGCCCCCGCAAGAGGGUGUUGCCAUUGGCGACACCCAUCUUGAACCUUAAUUCAGAAAAUGGUCGCUUAGAGAGGGGCUUGGUUAGGCUAUCAGCAAGUUGAUCUGCUGUAGAUACAUAAGAUACGCGCAAUAGCCCUUUGUUGACCCAAUCACGAACAAAAUGAUAAGCAAGAUCAAUGUGUUUUACCCUUGAAUGAAAGACUGGAUUGCGACACAAAUAGGUAGUUCCAAUAUUAUCACAAUAGAUGGUAGGAGUUUGACUCAAUUGAAGGCCAAGUUCUUGAAGUAGAUUCUGAACCCAUCGAACUUCAGAGGCUGCAUUUGCGACAGCCAAGUACUCAGCUUCUGUUGUGGAACGAGCUAUUGAUUUUUGUUUGUUCGAGCGCCAUGAGAUAGGAUUGCCGCCUAGAUAAAGCAUAUAGGCUGAUGUAGAAGUAAUGAAAAUUUAAUCUCAAGAGUUGGUAGAAGCGAAAGUACUAAUUUAAUUAGAUCAUAGAUAAUAAAUAAAAAUAAAUUUUAAGUAAAUCAUAAUAAAAAAAUUAAUUAAUUGAUUCAUCAAUCAAUAUUAGGUGUAAAUAAAAAAAAUGAUACAAAUAAAAAUCUCAUAAAUGGACAACUUUUAUUUUUAAUCUUAUCCCAACUAAACACAUGUGUAAAUUAGGAUUAUUAAUUCCAUAAUUUUCGGAUUAAAUUCAAAUUUAUUCCCCCUUAAUCCAAUUCAACUAAACUUGUCAAACAUGGGAUAAAAAUUUAAUUAUAAAAUUAGUCCAAUUCCAUACUUAAUCCUAGCAUCCAAAUAUAGCUCAAGUUCUUUGCUUAAAGAAGCUACCAAAUUUGAAGAGCGUUUACGGGAAGGCCUUGCGUUUCCCAGAUGUAUGCAGAAUUUUUGUAUCUAAAUGCCCAGAACUUAAGAAGCUGACGCUGGAUUUUGAAAGGGCGGGCCAAGGUAAAAUUCUUAUCAAAUGAAAGGAAAAUCGAUGGAAACAACUUCAAUGGGAGGAUCAAGCAACUCAGGAUGCAUUGCUUCUGUUUUUCAAAUCAACUGACAAGUGAUUGAAGGGGGCAUCAUCAGCCUGGAUGGGGAGAUCCUGGAGCAGAUCAGCAGGGUUUGAAUCUGCAUCAUCAACAUCAUCAGGAUCUCUAUUUCUAUUGCUGGUCGUAAUGCCUGCCGACUGUUGCUUGAAAAAGUGAUUAAGUGAGCCAGUUUUUUGUUUAUUAAAUUUUGUUUUGUAGAGACAGUCACAAAGUAUUUUUCUUAGUUGUUCUAUAUGAGAGUGAUGUGAACCAAUUUUUCAAUUAUAUAUUCUGUGGGAAAUUGCAAGUAUUUUUAAAAUAUGAUCGUUAUUAAAGGAAACAAAGGAAUCAACACAGCAUACUGAACCUCAGCAGUAUGAAGCUAAUGAUUAAACUCCUCACACAAUUCAUAACAUGCAAAACCAUUCACAAAAUCAUCCACAGCAACCAUAAUUGGCGUCCAAUAGAAAUUUACAAGAAUUACUUUUCUGUUCAUGCAAUCGGCGUCUGAACGCGGCUGAUCGGUCACCGGUGUUGGCGUUUACUGUGAUUAGACAAAUUGUAGCACUUCAAAAAUAACUUCUAUAGGGGUAAUUUCGAUUUCACAUAAUUAAUUUUAUUUACAAUAUUUUAUUCCUGCAAGGUCAACUGAGAUUCUUUCCACCGGGCACACCCUUCAUGUUCUUUUAUUUUCUGUCUUUUAUUAGCCGUUGGAUUUUACUACUCUUAUAUCCAACGGCUUGCCACAACAAGACAAAUGAGGUGGUACCUUUCAACCGCUGAAAGGUAGUUUUGGCCCCAAGUGAAAGAGGGAAAUAGGGAAUUGAUGCUAUAUUUUAUAUUUUCUAUUUUACUACUCUUGUAUCCACCGGCCUUUCUUAUAUUUUAUUGCAAAUUGAUGCUAACAAGAAAAAGCUAGAUCAUAUUCCACAGAAAAGUGAGAAAACAACCAGAUGGAUUCUUUUAUUAAACUACAAAUUAAAAUGGUAUCACAAAUUCUCAUCAAUUUAUUUAAAUAUAUUCUUUUAACCCUCUUUUUAAUUUCACAAAUUCUCAUCAAUUUAUUUAAAUAUAUUCUUUUAACCGGAAACAAUUGAUAUCACUUAUUAAGAAUAACAAAAUUUACUAUUUAAAAAUGAAGAUCAAUAAAUUUUUAUCAAUCAUGAAAGUUAAUGAGUGUCAAGAAAUUAAUUUUUGCUAAACAUACAAGCUAAUAACUAUUAAAAAAAUCUUAUAUUAUAGAGAUCAUAUAUAUUAAGAAAGACCAAAAAAAAAAUUAAAAAAAUAGUUAAAUUCAGUGUAUAGUUUAUAGGAUGUGAGAGUGGUAAAAGAAUAUAUAAUUGUAAAAUAGAGAAAAAGAAAAAGAGAUUAGUAGAGAAUAAUUUUGAGAUUUUUUAAUUUUUAAUUUUUAAUAAUAAAUUUAUUUUAAAAAAUAGGUGUGGAGAAAAAUUUGAUGGGUUCAAGCAAUUCCACCUAAUUUUAUAUUAUCAAUACGCAAAUGAAAGUACAAAAAUACCUCUAAUAGAGUGAAAUAAAGAGUUCUCUAAUCUCUAGGGUUUCUCAUUCCAAUUUUGAAAUUUCCCUACUUUAUUUUGAAUUAACCCUCUUUGUUACCAUUGAAUUGUAACAUUCAAAAUUUGAAUAUGUUUUUACAAAUAGAAGAUUAUUGGGACAAAAACAAUAAGAAAUAGAAAACCUAGUUGAAAAAGGAUAUUACAAAAAAAGAAAUUGCCAUUACCAUUCAAACAUUUACACAGUAAAGGCAUUAACAGCAUAAGGCGGCAAUAAAACUUACUCAUAAUUAGGGGUGGCAAAAAAGUCCGAGCCGGCUUAGGCCCGGCCAAGCCCAGUCUAGAUCCGUGGACUUAAAGUCCGACCCGUAAGGAUGUGGGCUUAGAUAUAGACCUAAAAAUUACAAAACCCACAUAUAUUAGACCUAAACAAGAACUUAGCAAAAAAACCCAAACUUUCUAAAUUUAUGAAUAAAAAAUAAAUUUAAUUUAAAUAAAAAAAAUUAAAAUAUUAAAUUAAUUGAAUUUUUUAUAUUAAUAUUUAUUAUUUUAUUAAAUUAUAUUGUUAAUAUUUAAUGUAUUUGACUAUUAUUCUAUUUAUAUAUUAUAUUAUUAUUUUUAAUUUAAAUAUUUUUCUUAAUUUAAAAAAUUUUUAUAAUUAAUUUAAAAAGUUCAGGCCCAGCCCGAGUUCGGUCCAUCCAAAUUUAACGGAUUUUUGAAGAACCUGAACUUCGUUUGAAUGAUAUGGGUCCGGCCCAAGCCCGCAAAUUGCCAUCCCGUGAUAAUAACAAACAGAUAUGGCCCAGCCCGAGUUCGGUCCAUCCAAAUUUAACGGAUUUUUGAAGAACCUGAACUUCGUUUGAAUGAUAUGGGUCCGGCCCAAGCCCGCAAAUUGCCAUCCCGUGAUAAUAACAAACAGAUAUAGAUAGAUCGAUGGAUGGCAUUUUUUAAAUGUACCUUAAAAACCAAAACAAAAGCAAAAAUAUUAAAAUAUUACACCAACUGCUAACUAAUUAAUCUAAUAAAACGCCUCGCUUAAUCAUUUCCAGUCCACUAAACACGCUGAACGGAUUCCAGCCUCUGAAGUCUCAUCUCAUUGUUAAAUUCAUUGAUGAAAGCUUCAACUCGCCGAUUCAACUCAUCUUGACUCAUCGAUUCCUCCCUCCUCAGCGACGUUCUGUCACUGAACGUCUCAGAUUUCCUCAGCUCACGUUUCGCCCAAGCCGUCGGAUCAUUCUCAUCAUUAUCACUACCACAGGCGAUGGUGAUGAUGUGGAAGGUGGAAGAAGCGGCGAUGGUGAUGAUGAUGAUGAUGAUGAUGAUGAUGAUGAAGUUGACUAUGAUGUAAUUGUACGGCGGCGACAGCCAGAACCUCAAAGAAAUGAAGAGGCUAGGGAUUGUCGAUACCGUGAAACAAAUGUACGGGAUUAUUGCUACCUUAAACAGCAUGAAAGUUGAAACAAACCCGGCUGACAAAAAUAACAACUUUGCUACCCGCGUUACUGUCUCUAAUCUGCUUGAUUUUGGGUCGAAAUUUUGAAAAAGAUCCCCCAUUUUUCAAUUUUCACACACAAUAAAGAAGGAAAAAGAAAGGUAGCUAGAUUUUUUUUUUGUUUUUCAACAAGGGAAGAAAUAAGAAAAGAACAUUAAAAGGAUUUUUCAGGCUUUGAUGGUCAUUAAAAUGAGACCCAGGAAACCAUUGAAGCUAAAAAAAAAACGAGAAGCCAUGUAUUUAUAUAUGCUGCUUUGCUUUACAAAAUCUGACUGGCAUCAGGGUGAAAAAAAAGUGCCAUUUGUUGGUACAGAGAGACAGAGGAGAGUAGAGAGGCAGAUGCAGGGGCAGGGGCGAAGUCAAGGGACCAUUGAAUGGGCAAGCGAGGUUUCAAUUUAUGUAACGAGGGACGAUUAAAGUUCUUGCAACUUUCCUGCCGUCUGAUGAAAUCUUGACCGUUCGAUGGUACAAUAAUGGUUAUAAUGAUCUUGAAAGUGUUGGAGAGAUAAGUUUGUACAGAUUAUGUACGCUAAAUAAAAUCACAUUUAAAAUGGUUUUUGAUUUUAUUCUAUUACAGAUUACUUUUAUUAAAUAAAUGAAGGUACAUUGAGUGAGUGAGUGAGUGACUUCACGAUUUUGCACUAACGCCGCUGUGUUAUCCUCCGCGGCACUUGUCCUCAUCAUUUGUAAUUGAAAAGCUGAUUUAAGAUUUUAGAAUAGUGCCUUUUGGAAAAAAAAUAUAUAUAUAUAUCAACGGCCGAUUGAGAUUUCUUUUUUGAAGAUUUAAAAUUAAUUUUUUAAAAAAUUAAAAAUUAAUUUUAAUAUUUUAUAAGUUUUAAAAAAAUUAUUUUUAAUAAAAUCACUUCAUAGUAGAUUCCGGAAAGUAGAUAUCUAUGCUUUUUAAAUUUUAAUUUUAAGAAUUAAUUUUUUACUUAAUAUAAUCCUUGCAUAUAUUAUAAAAUUUUAAAAUCAUCUUCAUUAAUUACAAAAUAAGAUCAUUAAUUUUAAGGAGAUUAUAAUCAUUAUCAAUUAUAGGGAGAUUAAAUGCUUAAAGUGACAAGUGCAAAACUAUUUAAAAAUAGUCAGUAAAAGUAUAGGUGGGCAAUUAGUUCAAUUCUAUUUGAAUCAACUAAAUUAAAUUAUAUCGUGUUUCAUAAAUUUUUAAAGCAACUGAUUUUUUGUUUGGUUUAGAUAAAAAUUAAACUAAACCGAAAAAUCAAACGGUUCAAAGAAAAAAAAGUUAAAAACAAAUUUUAUAAACUGAUCGGUUUCCGUUAGAUUCAAUUCCAAAUCUAAACAAACCAAUCCAAAGUGAAAAUAAACAUUUUUGUUGAAUGCACUUUUAAUUUGUUUGGAUACGUCUCGACCCUCCAGUCUCUUGAUUAAAGUUCAUUUAUUAGGGUCCGCUUGUAAUACAGCGUCUGUAUCUCAUACAGUCAAAUUUAAUAUUUUAUUAAGAAAAAGGGCAACCGUUAGAUAGAAGUAGAUACAUCCAAUGGUUAAUAUCUGUGAUUACUCAUUUUGGUGACCGGAUAUGCCAAUUAUUAUUUCAUCAAUUAACUUACCUAAAAAAUCAUAGCCGUUGGAUUGAGAUGCCUCUCUCUCCCUCAAAAUAACAGCCUUCGUAUUCUCUCUGCUAUUGUUUUGUCCUACAUCUAGAAUUUUGGAUGAAUGAACUUGGUAUUCAAGAACAUUCACCACCCAUCACAGCAAAGAGCAAAGAUAUAGUCGAAGGAGUGCCAUUUAUUCAGGCUUACUUGAUCUGUCAGUCUCGCUUCAAUUCGUCACUCAUUUUCUUGCGCUCAGCUUCAAUCUAUCACUCUCAGCUUCAGUUCGUCACUCAUAGCUUCAAUUUUUUCACUGUCGUGAAUCAUCUCUCUUGCUGUAUCUCUCUCUUAUGUCUUCCAAUAAUUUCGGUGAGCUCUCUCUCUAAUUUAAUAUAUGAUUAAAAAUCUUAUCAUCUUAUCAUGUCAUUUAAAUAUGCUUGAAGUUUCAAUUUAGUUUAUGAAUAUUACUUGAAAUUUUAGAUUCAAUAAUUUUAGUUUUUUUUUUCUCUAUCAUCAAUCAUAUAUUUUUUCUUGCUCUUUAACUUCUUAUCUUCAACUAAAUGUGACCUUACAUUUAUUUAGUGUAUGAUCAAUUUUUAAAUGCACAAUAAGCAUUGCAAAGUUGGCGUUAUGCAAAGGCUAUCACAAUGUGAGCGUUCAAUUGGACAGAGUGUCAUGAUCAUACAUCCUUGAACCCAAUAUUUAUUCCAAUAACAAAUGUAGAUACGUAAACUACUUUUUUUUUUUAAAUAAAAAUAAAAAACUUCAAUGAAUCAAUCAAUUAUUUUCUGAAAUGUUAUGCGAAUUGUGAUUGUGAGAUUAAAAAAAAAUAUCCAUGCAAAUCAAAUUGUAACCGCCCUCUCAAGAUAAACCAAGUAACACAAAGCAUCAUUAACUCUUUCUUGUUUCAGCCACAGUACUAUUUUUUGCUUGAUGAGAAUAUAUUUAAAUAGUAUUUAAGUUGGUAUUUUAAUAUAAAUAUCAAUUAUCCAUGAAAUUUUAUAAUCAUAAUUAAAAUAAAUUUAAAAAGCAAUUACUAGGAAAAUUAAAUAUAUUGCAAAAAGUCAUUGGGUAGUCAUAAUAUAAUAAGCAAAACAAAUUAAAUAUUUAAUUAUUUUUAUCAAAUAUUUAAAAAUAUUAUAUAAAAUCAAUUAAUUAAUGGUAUUAUUAAUUUUCAUGAUUAUUUUUAAUAUUAUAUUAGUGAUUAUUAAAUUUAAUACAAUCAAAUAAUGGAAUAAAUAAUUAAAUGUUUAAUUUUAUUGAUUAAUUAUUAAAUAUACAAGUAAUGAAAAUUUAAUCUCAAGAGUUGGUAGAAGCGAAAGUACUAAUUUAAUUAGAUUAUAGAUAAUAAAUAUAAAUAAAUUUUAGGUAAAUCAUAAUAAAAAAAUUAAUUAAUUGAUUCAAUCAAUCAAUAUUAGGUGUAAAUAAAAAAAUACAAAUAAAAAUCUCAUAAAUGUACAAUUUUUAUUUUUAAUUUUAUUCAAACUAAAUACAUGUGCAAAUUAAGAUUAUUACAUCCUUGAACCCAAUAUUUAUUCCAAUAACAAAUGUAGAUACGUAAACUACUGGGAAGCAGCACACGUGUCCUGAAGAGAGAAAAAAAUCGAGCAAAUGCAGACAAUGGGAGUUGGCUAAAAGUUGGAUCUGCAAUUUACAAAAUCUGUAACUUAUUAGCCAGCUCCCAAAUUGUGUAGUCUUUUUUCAAAUUGUACAGACAUUUAUAAAUUGGUGGCCCCUUGAAAAUUUAAUGCCAAGCAGAUAAAAGUCAUCAAGCACAGUCCUCAAUAGUUGUUUCGUGUAUAUUUAUAAAUUGGUGGCCCCUACAUCUUUAAUAAUUGGGAUUGAAUUACGGUAUAAUUGUAGAAUCAUGUCUCAAUUACAUUCAAUUGUUAGAUAUAUUUACGUUGGUAAAAUUUACUGAUAUCUAAUAAUUAAACGUAACUAUAACACAAUAUUAUAAUUACACCACAAAUUUUCUCUAAUAAUUAUUCCGAUACUUAUAAAUUGGUGGCCCCUUAGUAAUUUAACAGCAGCCUGCAAGUGUCAACUAAUGAAAAGUCAUCAUUCACAAUCUUCCAAGUGAAACAGGAAAUAUACAAAAAUUAAAACAUGUCAUUCUUUUUUUUUCAUUCCCUGUCAUGUAACUUACACCCAAAUACAUAAAUAAUAUAAAAUGAAUGGAGAGAUGCCAGGAGCAGAUCAGCAGGGUUUGAAUAUGACCUUUGGCGCUUGCUUUUUUUUUUUUUUGUGAUUUUUUUUUCAUUUUUUCCUUCCUGUCAUUUUAUCAUUUCUUUGGCUUUGUCUCUAUUGCGGGUGUUACUGCAUGCUUACUGUUUCUUGACAAAGUUUGCUAGCUUUUCCUUUUGUUUAUUAAAUAUUUUUAUCGUCACAAAGUAUUACUCGUUCUAUUUGACAGUGAUGUAAAUUAAUUUUUCAAUUUUAUAUUUUAUCGUCGAUGUGAAUUCAAUUUCAUUUGUCAUCAUGCACAAUCCUCAAUAAUUGUUUCGAUAUUUAUAAAUUGGUGGCCCCUACGUCCUCAAUAAUUGUUCCGAUACUUAUAAAUUGGUGGCCCCUUAAUAAUUGGUGUUUGAGGAAUUAAAUAGAGCGAUCAUGAUCUUUUCCAAAUGAAAGUGAGCAAAUGGUUGAGCAGGUCACCUUGAUCAGGUGGUAUGAGUUUGAUCAAAUCACCUCGACCAGGUACAAUGAGGUUGAGCAGAUCAUCUUGAUCAGGUGGUGUGAGCUUGAGCAGAUGACCAUGUGGUAUGAGCUUGAGCAAAUCACAUCGACUAGGUGCUAUGAGGUGGAGCAGAUCACCUCGACUAGGUACUAUGAGGUGGAGCAGAUCACCUCGACCAGGUGCUAUGAGCUCGAGCAGAUCACUUCGACCAUGUGCUAUGAGCUUGACCAGAUCACCUCGACCAGGUGGUCUAAACUUGAGCAGAUCACCUCGGCCAAGUGAUGACUAGGAAUAAAGACUCAGUUAAAAUAAACCACCACAAAGCUCCUCCGAAAAAUCAGGGCACGAAUCUGAUUAAUCAAUGGUUAUUGUCACGAUCUAAGGUCGUGGGUGUGGGGUGUUUUAUAAAAAUCCCGAGAAAAUCACACCAAGGGAAGGCUCUUUUUCUCUGGAUCUGACGGAGAAAUCCUUUCUGGAUACUCUAUUUUACUUUUCUGCAAAUUAUUCAAAAAGCUUUUGGUUUUAAAAUAAUGUUUAUUUAGCCAUAUGAAAAAUGACAUAUUUGGUUUUUCCUGUAAACCCCAUAACUGACUUGAGCGUUGGAGGGUUUACGCCAGAAAAACUUCCGGCACCUCUGACCAUUCUCUGUAAUUUCAGGUACUUAUUGAUCGUCAGCUUGAAGAUUAUAUGCUCAUGAAUGUUCUGCUCAUAGUCAGAGAAUAUUCUGACUAUAUUAGCCAUGACAUUUUAGUAAUUUCAGGUACUAAAAAAAAAUUAAAAUUGUUGGCGUGAAAAGCACAAAUCCUAUUUUUUGACAAUUUUAUCUUUGUCAAUUUCAAAGAUUUACAAUAUCAUAGGUAAAGAUUAUAACUAUUUCAUCUUCAAGUUUUUAAUUUUAUAUUUUUUGUAGGAACUUUAAGAAAAUAUCAAUAAUUUAAAGAGAAUUUUUGAAAUUUUUAAUUUUAUCUUUCUUGUAGGAAUUUUAAGAAAAUAUCAAUAAUUUAAAGAAGGUAAAAUAACCAAUAAUUUUAUUUUUUUUUUAGUUAUUUCCGUUUAAAAACUGUUCUUUUAUUAGCCGUUGGAUUUUACUACUCUUAUAUCCAACGGCUUGCCACAACAAGACAAAUGAGGUGGCACCUUCCAACAGCUGAAAGGUCGUUUUGGCCCCAAGUGAAACAGGGGAUGCACUUACUAUUAAGGACAGUUGGUGGCCAGCUAAUGCACUCAUUUUAUGUCCUUUUAUCUUUUUGAAUUCCUGAAGACAAGUGCAUUCAUUUUGUGUCCUUUCAUCUUUUUGAAUUACUGAAGACAAGUGGCCAGCUAAUGCAUUCAUUUUUUGUCCUUUCGUCUUUUUGAAUUAUUGAAGACAAGUGGCUCAUCGCUUUUACUGUAGGUAAGAUCUUGAUAAUCUCGAUUAUCAAAAUAAUAAUAUUCAAAAUAUUUCUUAAUUUUAUUUAAAAGAUAAAAGAAAAAUAAGUUAUGCUGGUAAAUUUUUUUAUUUUUUUAAUAAAAAUAAAAUAAAUUGAUGUUUAUAAUUGUUUCAAAUACUUUAAAGAUUGUAAUUUUAUGAGAGAGUAAUAUUUCACAUUUUUAAUGUGAAAAGUUGAAAAGGGACAAAGCAAGUUUCUCUGUUUUUCUUUUUCUUUUUUUAAAUUUGGUCAUCUCAAAUACUUCACCCUUCAACACUACAAUAUUUUGGUUAUAUAUAUAUAUAUAUAUAUAUAUAUAUAUAUUUUACACAUGCAUAUGAAUUACUUUUCUUUUAAGCUCCUGAAUAUUUAAGACAAAUCAUGAAAGAGAUGAGAAUAUAAUAAGAUGAUCAAAAUAUGUAACAAAAUUUUUUUAGAAGUGAAACAUCGUUAGAGUUGAAGUAAAACUCUGAAAAUAGAGAUACUGAUUAAUUUAGAAGAGAUGCAAGCAAAAGAUAUGCCAAAAAAAAAAAAAAGCAAUAUGUCACUUUGGAGGGCAAACUUGUCAGUUUCACAAAAAUACAUGCUUUGUAUUGAUAGUUGUCACUAUGUAUUAGGGUGCGUUUGAAAUUAUAGUGCUGUACCUUUUAAACUACAGUUGUUGUAGAAAAAAAUAAAAAAUAAAAACUACACCUAAGAUUAAGGAAAAGUACUUCAAAACUCUCUUUUGAUCAUAAAACCUUUUGUCUUAAUUAACUUAAAGAUUUUGAAUCUAAUAUUUUAUAACAAAUAAAAAUAUAUUACCAAAAUAAAUAUAAUAAUAUCUAUUUUAAAAUAAUAUCAAUAUUUAAAAUAUGUUUUAAUAUUUGACGAUCUAUUAGACACAUUUUAUUAUGUUAAAGUAAAUUUUAUAAUAAAUACAAACAUACUAAUAAAAUGAAUAUAUACAACAUUUAGAGUAUUUUGAAUAUUAUAUAAAAUAAAUUUAAUACAAUGCAUGAGAUAUAUUUUAUUAAUUUAAAAUGCUAUUUAACCUAAAGAUUUAUUUAUGAAAAAUUAAUGAUUAUAUUUUUGAAAUUAUUUAAAAUAUUAAAAAAAUUAAUAUUAUUAAUCUAUCAGGUAGAUUAAAUUAUUUAUAUUAUUUUGCAUUUAUUAAAAAAUUUUAAAAUCAAUCUUUUUAAUUACUAUUCUAAGGAUAUAAUAAUAGAGGCAACUCCGUUGCGUCAUGGUUUUGGUACCCCGUCGUUUGUCUUUUAGCACAGUCAUCGUUGGAUUUUAUCUCACGGCUGCAGAAGAGACACAGAGACGCUAGGGAGCAACCUGACAAAAAGGUCAUGGGCCGGUAAGCUGCAGGGAAAAUAUUUAAAAUACAAAAUCUUCCCUUAAAUUUUUUUUAAUAUUUAACAUGUUAUAGUUUCUAAUCUCAUGAAUAGUAGAGGAUAAAGUUUUAUCUUAAAAAAAGUAAUCCCAAGGGUCUCCUUGGGAUGAAAUUUUGCCUCUAUUAGAAUUAAGUGGUGGGCUCAUUAUUGUUACUUUUAUUUUUUUUAUACCAAACAUGAUAUAGGAUUAUUUUAUACUAAAAUUAUCCAAUCCUAUGAUAUAUAACUAAAACUAAACAGGCACUUAGGGUAUAUAUGAGCCACGGUGGAGAAGCUUUAUUUAAUAUUAUUGAUUUAAAUAAUAUCUCAUUAAAAAUGUACUGAGAAGAAAUUUCGGUGGGUAUUUUAGUCAAUCACAUGAUCAGCCUUUGGACUUGAAACGUCGGUCAGAAUGAUUUAUUCUAACAAGAAAAAACUAGGUAAUAUUCCACAAAAGUAAAAGUGACAAAACAACCAGCUGGAUUCUUUUAGGAAAUUACAAAGAGUAAUGAUACAGUCAUAAAUUUUUAUAUAAAUUUAUUUUAUAUAAAUUGAUGUGGUAUUAAUUCAUUAGUUGAAUGAAAAUAUAAAUUAAUAAAAAUAAAUUAUAUGGACCAAGUAAUAUUUAAUUCAAUCAAUCUUAUUAUGUCACAUCAAUUUAUAUAAAAUAAAUUUAUAUUUGUAUUAUUACUCAACUAUAAAUUAAAAUAAAUUUUUUCGAUAAACUACAAAUUAAAGUGGAUUCUUUUGAAUGCAAGUGGGACAGACGAUAAGGCUAAAAAUUAGUCAAGAAUCGAAUAGUCUUUUUCAAAUUCUUGUUUUAUUAUUUUUCAAAACCAGUUUUUGGUAAUUACAAUCGGGUCAUUAAUCAUUAUUCAGAGUUAUUGUUUCCUUCAGAAGUUAGUGGCUCAUGUUUGCAAGUGUGAAUAUGCGAUGCUCUUUUUCGAAAGCGCAAUGACAGUGGGUCCCGAAUCGGACGUCCCUAAAUCUUUUUAAAAUUUUUGCCGUAUAACGAACAGAGGUCAUUACUAAAAUUUCUCUUCCACAGCCUACAGCAGCUUCAGUUUAUCAAACUCAAUCAAUUUUCUUUCUUAACAAAAUUCCAAAGAUGUGUAGCAUUUUUCAGAUCACAUGCGAUGGUGCUCUUUUCAAUCGUUGCUUGGAUUGCUUUCUUGGAAAAGCAGCAUACAUACGUAACCUCCAAGAUAAUCUUGUAGCCUUGGAGACUGAACUGGGAAGACUAAUCGCAGCAAAGAACGAUGUGAUGAUGAGGGUUGUCAAUGCUGAACGGCAACAAAUGAGAAGGCUGGACGGAGUGCAAGUGUGGGUUUCGAGGGUGGACGCUGUUAAAACUGGAGCCGAUGAACUUAUCACAGACGGCUCUGAAGAAAUUGGCAAAUUAUGUGUUGGAGGCUACUGUUCCAAGAACUGCAGGUCAAGCUACAAAUUCGGAAAACAAGUGGGUAAAAAGCUACAAGAUGUGAAGACUUUAAUCGCCGAGGGAGUUUUUGAGGCGGUGGCCACUGAGGUGGUGCCCGAGAGAGCUCCGGAACCUGUAGCAGAUAAAAGACCCACUGAGCCAACAAUAGUAGGCCUGCAAUCACAGCUUGAACCAGUUUGGAGAUGUCUUGUAGAAGAAUCAGUGGGAAUCAUUGGCCUAUAUGGUAUGGGCGGUUUUGGUAAAACCACACUAUUGACCCAUAUCAACAAUAAAUUUCUUGAGAGUCCCACAAACUUUGAUUGUGUGAUUUGGGUCGUAGUUUCAAAAGACCUGCGACUUGAAAAAAUUCAAGAAGAUAUUGGGAAGAAGAUAGGUCUAUCUGAUGAUUCAUGGAAGAAUAAAAGUUUUGAAGAGAAAGCUGUGGACAUCCUGCUGAGAUUAGGAGAGAAGAGAUUUGUAUUGUUGUUAGAUGAUUUAUGGGAGCGGGUUGAUUUAACAAAAGUGGGCGUUCCACUUCCCAGCGCACAAAAUACUACCUCAAAAGUCGUAUUCACAACCCGUUCCAUUGGUGUUUGUGGCAGCAUGAGAGCUAGGCCGGUUAAAGUGGCAUGCCUAUCAGAAAAGCAAGCUUGGGAACUGUUCCGCGAAAAUGUUGGGGAAGAAACUCUUGAGAGUGAUCAUGAGAUCGUUGAGCUAGCCCAAACUGUGGCCAAAGAGUGUGGUGGUUUGCCACUCGCACUUAUUACUAUUGGUCGAGCUAUGGCCUACAGAAAGAAAGCGGAGCAGUGGAGACGUGCAAUUGAAGAGUUAAGAAGAUCAGCUUCAGAGUUUGCAGGUUUGGGAAAAGAGGUGUAUCCUCUUUUAAAGUUUAGCUAUGAUAGUUUGCAGAAUGAGACAAUUAGAUCUUGUUUCUUGUAUUGUUGUUUAUAUCCUGAAGAUUAUGGCAUUCUUAAAUGGGACUUGAUUGAUUGUUGGAUUGGUGAGGGAUUUUUUGGGGAAUCUGACAGGUUUGGUGCAGAAAACCAAGGAUAUGACAUUUUGGACACUCUUGUUCGUGCAUGUUUAUUAGAAGAGGUGGAAGAUGAUGAAGUAAAAAUGCAUGACGUUGUUCGUGAUAUGGCUAUAUGGAUAACUUGUGAAAUUGAGAAGGAGAAGAGAAACUUUUUGGUUUGUGCAGGUGCGGGACUAAAGGAGGCACCGGAGGUUAAAAGAUGGGAAAAUGUGAGAAGAUUGUCACUGAUGCAAAACCAAAUUAAAACUCUGUCAGAGGUUCCCACAUGCCCUCAUCUCCAUACUUUAUUUCUUGACUUCAAUGACAAUUUGAAUAUGAUCGCGGAUGGCUUCUUCCAACUUAUGCCUUCUCUCAAAGUUUUGAAGAUGUCAAACUGCGUGAAUUUAACUUUGAAAUUACCUUUGGGGAUGUCAAAGUUAGGUUCACUAGAACUUCUUGAUGUUUCGAAUACCGGCAUAAGAGAGUUACCAGAAGAGUUAAAGUUGUUGGUAAAUCUGAAAUGUUUGACUUUGAGGUGGACAUUUGAGUUAAAUAAAAUUCCACGGCAACUAAUAUCAAAUUCUUCAAGGUUACGUGUGUUGAGAAUGUUGGGUACUGGCCUUUUGAAUUUUCAUGAAGCGUCAGAAGAAAGCGUUUUAUUUGGUGGGGGUGAAGUUUUGAUACAGGAAUUGCUCGGUUUGAAAUAUUUAGAGGUAUUGGAGUUGACCUUGCGAAGUUAUCAUGCUCUCCAAAUUCUUUUGAGCUCAAAUAAGUUAAAAAGUUGUAUUCGAUCUCUUUUCCUCCAGUUGGCCGGAGAUGCAACGUCGAUUGUUGAUGCUACGGCUUUCGCAGAUCUAAACCACCUCAAUGAAUUAUAUAUUAAUAAAGGUUUUGAGUUGGAAGAAUUGAAGAUUGAUUAUACGGAGAUAGUACGAAAAAGGCGGGAACCUUUUGUUUUCCGCAGCCUUCACCAUGUUACUAUAUGGCGGUGCGCUAAAUUGAAAGAUUCGACAUUCCUCGUUUUUGCUCCAAACCUCAAGUCUCUUGUGCUAGGUAAUUGCCAUGCUAUGGAAGAAAUAAUCAGCGUUGGAAAAUUUUCCGAGGUUCCUGAGAUCAUGGGACAUAUGAGCCCUUUUGAAAAUCUCCAAAGGCUUCAUGUAGAAGAUUUGCCAGAUUUGAAGAGCAUCCACUGGAAGCCAUUGCCUUUCACUCAUCUGAAAGAAAUGGGGGUAAGAGCAUGUGAUCAGCUUGAAAAGCUUCCACUCGAUUCCAGCAGUGCAAAAGAGCGUAAAUUUGUUAUUCGUGGAGAAGAAGACUGGUGGAACCGACUUCAAUGGGAGGAUGAAGCCACUCAAAUUGCUUUUCGUUCCUGUUUCCAACCUUAUUCCUGAGCCGUGGUCGCAAAAUUUGAUUUCUGGUGAGUGCGUUUUUGUUAACGCUUAUGUUUUAUUCCAGUGUAUUUUUCUUCUGUCUUCUGCAAAUCACAAUUAAAUGUGUGAUACAUGUUACGGGUAAUAUACAUGCAGUAUUUUUGGUACACUGCAAAUCACAAUUAAAUGUGUGAUACAUGUUUACGGGAAAUUUAUAGACAUGCAGUAUUUUUGGUGGGGUCGAAUUGAUGCUCUGGUUUUUUUUUGUUGUCAAAAUUUUCUCUGUUUUUUCAAAUUGAUGCUUUAUUUAUAUCUUCUUCGUGAAAAGUGAUUUAAUUUCCUGCCAAAAGACGAACGAGAAGAACAUUAGAGUCAAACUAAUGCUCACAUAAAUUUCCCGUAAGAAUAUAUAUAUAAUUAGACUGGAAUAGUAGCCCUCUUUACAGAAAAUGACGCGAAAGUUAAUUUAGAAAGAUAUAUUCUUGAUUAAUCCAUUUUCUGAAGCUUUUAUUUUGUAUGGUCAAUUAUACCUUCAUACUAAAAAUUUCUGAAUUUAUAAAUUAGUGCAACUUGACAAUUUUUACUGAUGAUAUCUUCUAUUUUUCCUUUCUUUCUUUUUUUUUUUUACUCUCAUUGAAUGUUACUGUCAUUUUACUUACAAAUAGGUUUGAAUUUUAUUUAGUUUUCUCAUAGUAUUUGUGCAAGUACUAGAAGGUCAAACCCCGCAUACUUUGAUUGCCAAACCACCGUCCAAUUUAAAAAAAGAAAAAAAGAAAAAAAAUGUGUAAUCCAUGAAUCUGGUUAAUUUUGUUUGUUUGUUUUUUUUUUUUUAAAUAUCAUUCUUUUUCGGCCACCCAAAAUAUCAUUGAUGACUUUUCUGGUCUAAUGCUAUGUAAAUAGUAUGUUAAGUAAAACAUAAUCAAUUAUUUGUGUUUUAUCUCUAAUUAGAACAUCAAUCAGUUCAGUACCUCACAAAUAAUUCGCAAUAUCUACAAAAUACUAUAAUGGCUACAAAACAAAUCCUGCUUGCAAAUUGUCAAGGAUACCUAUCCGUUCGCUUGACAAGUCAUUUGAAUAAAUAUUGUUCACAUUCCUUACUCUGUCAAUUAUCCAAAGCACCAUCAACUUUAGUUUGAAUAGUAUACAUGCCAUCACCAUUACCAAGAAUCAAGCAUGAAAGAGUCAUUCUAUAGAGUGCAGAACAUGACUCUAUGCGGUAGUCAAUUUGACACACGACGAACAACAUAUGCUGCAUAACAUACAAAUUAAUUUCCCAUAUGUGAUGCAAUUUUCUCCUCAACAUAUGCGCAAUUCUUUCCAUUCCGGCCGUUGAUUGAACCCUUUGGCAACAAGACGAGCUUUAAGCCUGUCAGCAGAACCGUUGGAAUGUCUUUUAAUACAAAAAUCCAUUUGCAGCCAACAAUAUUGGAAGGGAUGGGAGGUGGAACAAGCUUCCAUGUCCCGUUACGAACAAGAGCAUCAUACUCUUCUGACAUAGCUUGACGCCAGUGAGGAUUUUUGAUAGCUUGCGUCACAGUUGUAGGUUCACAAUCAGAAGAAGGGCUAAAAUGAGCACGGAGGUUAAGUUUUUGUAACGGCUUGUGAAUCUUAUUUUUAGCUCGGGUAGUCAUAUCAUGAUGAUUUGUGGGGCAAUGAUGUAGUGGAGUUUGGGAAGAUGAUUGAAGAGGAAGUGAAGAAGUGCUUUGUGUAGAGGUAGAAGUAGGUUGGGAGGAUUGCUGCGGAGAUGUUACCGGUAGAGAAGAAGGAGCAGUACACGGUGGCAACUCCAGAGGGCCCAUAGUGAAACACUUGCGUAAUUAGGAGUGGUAGAAGAGCUUGUAAUGAUUUGUAUGGAAAAACAAACUCUACAAAUUUAACGAGACGUGAAAUGAAAAUUUGAAAGGUGGAUGGGUCAAAACAUAAAUAAGCACUUUGAGAUAAAGGAAUAUCCUAUAAAAACACAAGGCUUAGAGGGUGGUUCGAGUUUAUAUGAUGAAACACAAACAUUCAAAAAUUUUAAGUUUAUAUUAAUUAGGAGUGGUACCAAAAAUUAAUUAGGAGUGGUCCGCGGGACAUGUAGCUAUGGGGUUGUUGGAUGUGUUUUGGAUAUUUACAGACAUGCUGAGUUUGAGUUUAUAUCUCAACUUAAAAUUUGUAGUUUUCACUUGAAAAAAUUCAGUUAAAAAUUGAUUGGUAGAAUUGUGAAAAAAGUUUAAAUUUUUAGUUCAACCCGAUUGCAUAUUUAAGAACAUCUCAAAUGAAUUGCUUACUGCUAUCAUCAUCAUUAUUGUCCAUAUAAUAAUGGAUCUUUAUUAUAUAUAUAUGUUUCCACUAAAAUAUAUUUAAUUAUUCUUUAUUUUUCCAUUGUUGCGUGUAAGAUUUAUUUGAGUUCUAAGUUAUAUCAAUACAAAUGUUAUCUUAUCCAUUAAAAGUUAGAUCCAACAAUUAUGAAAAUUACCAUAGAGUUGCUUUCAACUAUUUUUUAAAAAUACCAGGAGUAAAAAAUAAUUAGUUCAAAUGGUGGAGACUAAAAAGCGUUCACCUUUAUUUUUUAUCUGUUAUUUAUUUUUUUCAUUAAUGCACAUGCUAUACAUUUGAGACAUUCCAUUAAUUGCCAAUUAUGUAUGUGAGAUAGUAAUUUAAAUUAAAAAAAUAAAAGUGAAAGUUAAUCCUAUGCAAUGUGAAUAAAUUUCUUUCCUUUUUCCUUUACUCUUUUUAUUUGACAAUAAAGUUUCCAUCUAUCAUCUAUCAUCUAUGUACGCAAAAUUUCUGCAACAGGUACAAAACAUAAAAAUAUAUGAUUGUUAAGGGAAACGCGCAGGAGUUCAUCAUUUCAAUGUUCAGCAUUACCAAUUUUGGCAUUAAGCUGAAUAUAUUCCACUUAGAAAGCAAAAUAUUAGACUCGUGAUUUUAAUUCAUUCAUUAUCUCUCAUUUUAAUCCCAAAAUAUUCAAGAGCAUCCAAGUUACCAUAAGACUUCAGAGGCUCAAGCCUUAGCCAGAGAUGGUUAAUUGAUAGACUAUGUGCCUGGGUCGAGCACUGGAAGCCUGCAAUGCAGACUGAUUGAUUUAUCAGUUUAACGUGUGCCAGGAAUGAAGAACUGGAAUAUCACCGUCAAGCAAGCACCCUGUGGAGCAAUACCGAAGAAUGCACAAUCCAGCUUUGCUAGGUGACACUGGAGGCUUUUUGAAAAGUGCUUCACGCUCACUUGCACAGAUUGAGCAUCCCCUCUGGAUAUUGCCCUCUCUGAUCGAGUCUGAGCACUCAAAUUUUGGUCCUCAGAGGGAGCUACAGUUUCUCUCCACUAACCAACAAUUUUCUAAACUCAGCACCUAGUGUGAUCAGAGUUGUUGAUAUUUGCAAAUGGAGAUCCCCAUAUUUGCAAAUGGAGACAUUUAACAAAUCACCAACAUGCUUCAUCCGGUCCACGAAAUUCUGCAACUGAUUCAAAUCUGGAACCUGAACCAGAGUCGGAGGUAUAUCUUGAGCCAUAUCUAAAGCAGUUUGAAGUUCAAGACCUUGAGCCCUUGACAAUGGUUUUGAAAUUGGAACAUCUUGGAUUACUGCAGACUUGUACCCCUUGGUUUCAAAGGUAAGGAAAGGCAUUGCUUGAGUACAAUUUGGAGGCAGCUUCUUCACCAAUUUUAUUUGGAGGCGAUUGGUAGCGGAUCCAGCUGCACCAAUUUCAGAGCAACUACUGACACUACUUCGAACAGCACACUGAAGAAGUGAUAUGUCUACGGCGAAGGCAAUGCAGUCCUCAUUUUGGCUUGAGACACAGUAAUCAUCGUAGAGAGUUUCCUUGUGAAACUGGGCAACACAUUGAAUCCCUUCGCCACUGAGAAGGUUGUGGAGGAAGUAAGCUUUCUCUCUAGUGAGGAAGAGGUGGCAUACCUUCCCCAUUUUGUCUAGGGCAGGUAGGAAUCUUUUUUCUAAGAGAUUUACUUCAUUCUCUGUGAGAAAUGCUUUGAACUUCAUCCCUCUGUCUCUAUCCUCACUUAUCAGGAAAUAAGUUGAAAGCACUACGAAGAGAGAGAGAGAGAGAGAGAGAGAGAGAAUUAAGAUAUAUAGACAAGAAAAAUAUUAGAUGUUGAUCUUACAAACUAAUACUUCAAGCAGUAUCCUAGAAAGCUAAAAACUGCAAGAUGGCUUGAAAUUUGAGAAGAGCACGUGCUUUUCCUCCUUAACUUGAGAAAAUGUUUUAUAUAGUGCACCUUACAGAAGCAUUUAAGCAAUUAGAACUUUGCACAAAAACAUCAAGAAGACUAAACAAAUCAGAUGCAGUGCAUUUGUCCAAGCACAAAUUGCAUUUUGUCCUCAACUUUAAUAUUUAUUGAUGAGAAUCAAUACAGGUCCCUCAUUUGUUAUAGAAAGCUUUCUUGUAGUCUCACCAGUUAAUAUGGAUAUUAGAUAAGGAAACUUUAUUAGGUUGCGAGGGUAAAAAAGGAAAGAGAUAUCAUUAUUUUAUUAUCGAUAAUUAUUAAAUUUUUUUCCAAAAAAAAGAACAAGCAAUGAUAUUUUAUUGUCAAUUGCAACCUUUAAUUUUUUUAAAUGCUAUUAGAAACACAAGAUAACAAAGAAAUACUUAUUUUUUCCUAAAACUAAAAUCAAUUGUUUAACUUCUUAUUUCAUAAUCCAACUCCAUUACUAAGUUAAAAAAAAUUGUUUCAAAAUUACUUGAGUCAUAUUCAAUGGACCAACAAAGUAACCGUUUUUAUUUUUAUUGAUUUUUGCAGGAAAUUAAUAAGUUAAAAAUAAUGAAAGCUAUUGUAAAAAAAUUUAUUAUCAACCUCAUAAUUUUUUUUUUUUUGGGGAAGAGAAUUCAAACAUUUUUUUUUUUUAAUUUCCAAGAAUUCUUGACACCCAUCUUAAUUAAAAGCUAUAUUUUUAUUCAAGAGUCAUGCUAUUCAUUCACUCACAGACCAAAGGCUUUCCGCAGCAAUAUUAUUAUUUAAAUUACAACAAAGGGGAAAUCAAACACGUCAUACAGAAGCUUAAAGGUGAAUCUACAAAAUCUAGAGCUCUCAACUACAAAAAUUACACUUGAUGAUCCUCUACAAGAUGAAGGUUGUUCAAUAUCUUGAGAUUGCCUGCCUUCCUCGACGACCUGCACGAUGUGUUUGUACAAAUCAUCAUACCUGUGCACCGGAUUUUUAAUAUCAACGCCACUGCAGCUGUGAUCAAGAACAUAAGAGCAUUUAACAUCUUUUCUCCAUCGAGAAAGAAUGUAGUGAGAUGGGAUCUCCUGCAUGCCACUCUGGUUUAGAACACAAAGAAUGUGUCUGCAUAAAUAUCCUCUGAAAUUGAACAACCCACAAACACAAAGCACCUCCAAGUCGGAGGCAUUGUACAAAACAUCGAAAGCCCUUGAAUCUUUCUCGUUGCUACCAACCUUAAAUUCUUCCUUCACUAUGUAUGUUACAGGUCCAUCAGCACUGACAUGUUUUGUGCUAUAGCAAUACAUAGCCUCCACCUCCGUCUGAAACUUCCUUAACAUUUCAUUUGUGUACAGUUUUGAGAGUUGAAAUUCAUAGUAUCAUCUUGGUUUCUGGAUACAACUUGAAUUUCUUGAAUCCAUAUCUGCCAAGGCUACCAGUUGAUAAUUCGCCUGCAGUGCUUGAUCAUACUUGUCUAAGAAUUCUUUCAAAGGAGUAUUCUUAUCAAGAUAUCCUUCAAAGUAUGAAGUAGAAACCUCAUUCUGCAGGAACGAAAACACUCCUGAUAAAAAAGCUUCCUUCAAAUAAAUAGGAGCCCACCUUUUAUGAUCUUCAUAUAAAGUUUGAAUCUAUCCGUGAUCCUUUAUUCCAUGACAUUGAAUCAUGUCUUCCCAAGCUGCUUCAAAUUUCUCAGGCCUGAGAGAGUGAUAAAUUGCUCUAUGUAAUGCAGCUUUAAUAGCUUCAUAUUCAAACAAUCCUUGGAGUUUCUCUGGAAUUUUUUUGCAUGAUGCAUGACAAUGAAAAGCAAUGAUAAGCUCUUGGGAAAACAUCACCAACAGCAAUUUGCAAGAUUCUACAUUGGUCAGUGAUGAUUGUUUGUGGAGAGCUCCCUAACAUACAUGUAAGCCACGCCGUAAACAACCAUGUAUAUGAUUCUAUGGUCUCACUGGCAAGUAAAUCACAAGUCCACAACCCAACAACACUGAUUGUCCAUGAUGAUUCACCCCAAUGAAUGAAACCAGUGGUACAUCAUAUCUUUCAGUCAGGCACGUAGUAUCAAUUAAGACCACAUCACCAAAGUACCUAUAUGCAACUCUUGACCUGGUAUCAGUCCAGAAUAGGUUUCUCAAGCAUCCCUUUUCAUUUAGAUCCACUACAUUAAAAAAGUUUGGAUCUGUCAACUGCAAAUGACAAAAGAAACUCUGGACAGCUUGUGCAUCUCCUGGUUUAAGCUUCAAUUGAUUUGAGCUAUUAACAUUAUUUCCAAAUACUCCAUUAACAUCUACCAUUUCCCUUGGUAUCAAUGAUAAGAGUUCGAAACAGUUUAAUUUUUUGAACUUCUUCAGCACUAUCUAAAUGCAAUGUUCUUUUGGUUCCAAUACCUAUGUGCUUAUGUGACUUGUAAAACUUUCCGCUUCUUGGGCUUAACAAGUGGUUAUGCUCAAGCUCGACUUCAAUGAUUCUCCACCUUUUGGUUUCCAUCAACCUAAACUUUAUCAUUGCUGGACAGCCAGUUCUUGUUUCUGGUCUUGGGCGGUUUGCCUCGCUUUUCUUCUUGAAGCCUGCACUACUACAGCUCAGCUUUCCUCUAUACUUUUCUCUACUCUUUCGGUACCAUGGAUUGCUAACUCUAACACCAAAACCCUGUUCCUUGGCAUAGCAAUUGUAAAAGUAAUAUACAUCAUCAUACAUCUCAAACUCCAUUCCAACAGUAGGAGGCAAGGGAUUUUGGAUUAUCCCAGUUUGUCCAACAUAUUCAGUCAUCGCACAAUCUCCUACGACCUCAAAAUCAUCAGUGUCAUCAUCACCUACUGGUUCGGUGUUGAGAGAAACUUCAUCCAUCUACAAUGGAUGUUCAAUGAAGUGAGCUUUAAGGAGAAAAAGCAAAAUCAGUUCAAGGAAUGAUAAUAUAAUCAUACAGUUACUUUCACAAAGCUUCAUAUUUCAUCACUGCUUUACCAACAUGCAACUGCCAGAGAACAAACAGACAUGUCAUAGACGCUUGAAUUAAGUAUUGGUACAAAUGAGCACACAUCAUGUGGGACAAAAUUUCAGUCACUAAACCCAAUACCACUUUUUACAUCAUACCAAGGAACAGAUUAAACCCGACACCUUCUUUUAAACCAUACCAAGGAGCAGAUUAAAUCAUCAAUGAAAAAUUAAUCACAUAAUAACUUAACCAGACAAAUGAAGAGCCUGAAACAGCACAAAACUUGAAUCUGAUUAUGAUAAUUGUUGAGUCCUUGUAUCUACAGCUUUCCUUCAAUGAUAAGACAAUGAACAUAAACGAGACACAAAAAAAUUAUUUUAAACUGACAGCCCAUGAUAUAAAUCAAACAAAAUCAACUCCUUUUUUUACACAUUACAUCUCAUAUUCAUUUACAUUGAAACACAAAAAGGAAGCAGGAGUGGGAAAAAAACAACAGCAGAGGAACUUAUUUCCAUAAGGUUUACGAAAUAAGGAAUCUAUUAAAACCCAAAACUUGAGGUCACCACUAAGAAUUUGGUUCUCAUUAUUUUUUUCUUCAUUUUUCACCAAUUGAUGAACUUAAAAUACAAUCAUAAAUGAUAAAACCCCAUCUCCAUCUUUUUGAACUAGAGCUAAAGCAAAGCAUUUUAAGAUGUUUCAUCAUUUUUUAAAAAAAAAAAAAACUCAAUAGUACAAUGUUUUUCAAUGUUAAAUGCACAAUUCAAUCUUCUCCUAAUUUACUCUAAUAAUCUCUUAAUUAAGGAAGAUUAAGCUUCAGUUGUAAGCUAAAACAAAUUUCUUAAAUCAAGCCCCAAUGCUUUAUGCUAUUCAACAAGGGCUCAUAAAUGAUAAAACUACUUCUAUAAAGAUACCCAUUUUCUAAAUUAAUUUCACAAACUGAAAUCAAACUCCUGAAACGUAACGAGCAUUAAUAUAAUCAAGCCCGAACAAGAAUUGAUAAAUGAUACAUAAACUCGUUUACACAUUUCGACAGACACUUUGCAAUCAAUGAGCAAAAAAUUAAUGGAGAAGAUAAAAUUCAAACGAAACAUGCCUUACAUUGAUAAAUUAGAAGGGCAAAAGAAAUUUUAGUACGAUAUGGGAUCAGGGUCUUGCCACGGUGAUGUUAUUUGUGAAGUUCGAGCGACUCAGCAGCCUUCGAGGUUGAAAAUUUGAUUGACCAAAAGCUUCCCGUUCGUUGAUUCUCUAAUAGUAGAAACGAGACUGGCAGUAUACACAACAAGUUCGCCGAUUUUAAAUUCCGUUGUUUGAGAUGGAAAAUUUUUUGAAAAAAUUAAUGUGUUCGAUGAAAAUCAAAAUCUCAAAAACCUUUUGUUUUUCAUUUUUUUGGAAAAAACCAUUGAGAUCCUUACUAUUUUUUCUUAUAUCAUCUUGCUUAAUAAUUUGCAAAGUCUAUCGCAUAGCACCCAUGCAUGAUGUAUGCUGCGUUGUAAUUUACAAUAUUGUACAUGAAUAAAUCCAGCUAAUAUUUGUUAAAAGAAAAUAAUAAUAACAUGUUAAAACUUUAAAAUUUGAUUAUUAGAAGAAAUUUUAAUUUAGCUAAGUAGGUGACAUGAUAAUAAAUAGAUACGUAUAAUGUCCGAGAUUUUUUAUAAGAUUAAUAAAUAUGAUAAAUUUGGAUUAGUUCAAUUUUGACAUAAUUGCAAACAAUUUAAUUUGUGUUGUUUCUCUAAAAGUUUGAGACACAAAUGUUAUUUCAAAUUGAUAAAAGUACAAUUUAAUCCCACUUGCUCUUCAACUAAAAAUUAAACAUGCAAAUACACACACUAAUUUAAAGUCAUCUGUAUAAUUGAAACGCCAUGCACUAGUAGUAGGUCAGAGAAACCAAGGUUGAAAUGUGUAGAAAUGUUGAAACGCCAAUAAUAAUUGAAACGCCAUGCACUGUUCGUUUAUUUUUAUUCAUGAUUUUUUGUAAAACGUAAGAAAUGUGUAGAAAUGUUGCCAGCAAUGAUUUUGGAACUUUGCAUAAAAUUUUUAUCGUUAUUGUUUUUGGUAUUAAGAAAUCCGAGGCGGUGAUUAGACGUAUGUUGCAACAAUUAAGAAAUUUCUUAUUGGAGAUAAUUCGGUAGGUUGCAACAAUUAGAGAAUCAUUUUCCUGUCAGUUAAACGGUUCAUUUUCAGCCAUAACAUGCUAAAAAUGCUACACUUAACGGUUCAUUUUCAUGGAUUUUCUCGGGAAACAAACAGAAAAUUACGGUUUAGAGAGUUGACUGACGUUUUGGCUUUUGAAAUUGAGAAGAUCGCGCGCCAAAUUGGAAGAGGGAAAGUGAAAGUGCGAGUUUUAAUAUGGGCAUUAGAUAAGGAAAUUUUAUUAGGUUGCGAGGGUAAAAAAGGAAAGAGAUAUCAUUAUUUUAUUAUCGAUAAUUAUUAAAUUUUUUUCCAAAAAAAGAACAAGCAUGGAUAUUUUAUUGUCAUUUGCAACCUUUAAUUUUUUAAAUGCUAUUAGAAACACAAGACAACAAAGAAAUACUUAUUUUUUUCCUAAAACUAAAAUCAAUUGUUUAACUUCUUAUUUCAUAAUCCAACUCCAUUACUUCGUGCUGGUUUUUUCAGGUGAAUAACAGCUAAAAAUAAUUUUAAAAGCUGUUACCAAUUCUCAUGAACUGUUACAAUUAAAAAAAUCAAGCAUGCAUGGAUGGUUAAGUGUGUAGAGAGAACCUCCAUCCUUAUAAUUCUUACUUAUGCAUGGUUAAGUGUUUAUAUUUAAACACUAAUUUCUAGGCUUCUUUUUCCCAUGUGGGAUAAGCCUCAUUUCCUUUCAAAUUUCCAACUUCAAGGGUGAACUUUGAGAGACAAUUUCUCAUUCACCCAAGCACCAUUUUGAGAAAAUAAAAUUAUACUUUUGAAGUAUGAACGGAAUAGAAUCCGAAUCUCACAAUAUUUCCCACUUUAGUUAAAUAGGACCCACUCAAAAUGUGCUCUCAAAAUAACAUGUUAUGCUAUUUUUUCAACAAAAUUGUGGGCCAACAAUAGUGGGCAUGGUGUCGACUUUUGAGAAAGCCUGGAGAUGCGUUGAAGAAGAAUCAAUUGGAAUUAUUGGCCUAUAUGUCAAUGGGGGAGUUAGAAAAUAUUUACUCAAAUCAACAACAAGUUCCUUGAUAGUCCAAAUAAUUUUGAUGUUGCGAUCUGGGUAGUGGUCUGCCAAGAUUUGCAACCCCAGAAGUUUCGGGAAAAGAUUGGGAAAAAGAAAGGCUUCUUCGAUGAGUCAUGGAAGAUAUGAAGUUUUGAAGAGAAAGCACUCGACAUAUUCAAGAAUUUAAGCAAGAUGAAGUUUGUAUUACUGUUGGAUGAUAGAUGGGAGCAUGUUGAUUUAAUUAAAAUUGGUGUCCCUCUUCCAAGCAGAAAAAUUACAUUCAAGAUAGUCUUCACAACUCGUUCUAUUGACAUUUGUGGCCUCAUGGAAGCUCACAACAAGAUUAAAGUGGAGUGUUUAAAUGACAAAGAAGCAUGGGAAUUAUUCUGCAAGAAGGUUGGAGAAGAUGUGGCGACUCUGUCCAAGUGCUAAGGAGAUCAGCCUCUAGGUAUGUAAAAACAAGUAUAUCCUCUUUUGAAAUUCAGUUAUGAUAAUUUACCAAGCGAUAAAAUUAGAUCGAGUCUGUUAUACUGUAGUUUGUUUCCAGAAGACUUUCCAAUUAGCAAAAUGGAAUUGAUACUGAGAUACGAAAUCAAGGAUACUACAUUAUUGGUGUUCUUGUUCCUUUAUGUUUAUUGGAAGAAGAGGCUCCACUGUUUGUAAAAGUGCAUGAGGUGAUACGCGAUAUGCUUCUGUGGAUAGCUGUGAAGGUUUUUUUUUUUUUUUUUUUUUUUUUUUAUAGGGAUAGCAUGUGAAGUUGAGAAGGAGAGAGAGAAUUUUGCAAGGAUUAACUGAAGUACCAGACAUUUGGAAAUGGGAAGGGUUGAGAAGGGUGUCUUUGAUGAUCAACAAAACUGAGAAGGUAUCAGAAAUUCCUUCAUCUCACGAUCCACUAACUUUGUUGCUUCAACAUAAUUAUUUAGAGGUGAUCAAUAAUGACUUCUUCCAAUCUAUGCAUUCCCUUAGAGUUUUGAACUUAUCAUGUAAUCAUUCUCUAACUGAUAAUUUCAAAGUUAGUUUCCCUACAUACGAGAGUUGCCGAAUGAGUUAACGUUCGUAGUGAAUCUUAAGUUUUUGAAUGUGGAGUAUGCACGGUUUCUUCAUUCAAUUCCAGGGCAAGUGAUAUCCAGUUUUACGAUGUUACAAGUUUUGAAGAUGUUUGGUUGUGGCAGGUCAUCUUCUGAUCGUGAGCCACACCAGAAGAUAGCGUUUUAUUUGGAGGCAGUAAAUUUUUGAUUGCGGAGUUGUUUGGUUUGAGAGACAUUUAGAUGUGUUGACCAUCAUCCUAAGAAGCUCCCAUGCUCUGAAAAGAUUUUUGAGCUCCAACAAACUUCAAAGUUGUUGAUGCCGAAAUCCGGAUGAGUUGAUCGAAUCUCAGAUCCCUGCAUCAGCAUUGAAUUUGUUUGGUGGGAAGCUGAUGAUUAGUUAGCACCAUGAGCAGAUUUUCUAUGAGCAGAUGUUCUGUGAGCAGAUCAGAUGUUCUCCUCGUUCUACGACCAGGGUCUCUGCUCGAUCAACUUCACCACGACCAGGAUCUCUCCUCGUAAAGCUUCUUCUCCAGAGGUUCCUGCGCACACAGACAAGUCAGAGUACGCCGGUUGUUUUCCCGGCGCAAACCCUCCGACGCUCAAGUCAGAUAUGAAGGUUCGGGGAACGCUUGCCACAGAUCUUAUGGCUUUUGUGUAGUUUUCUUUAGAAUUGCUUUUAUCUCUCUUCUAAUCUCAAAAUUGCUAACCCUUUUACCUUCGUUGGCUACCUUUUUAUAGGCUUCCUCUCAAUCCCAGUUUUCCGCAGUCUAUGCCGUUAUCCCACGUUCUCCUUCAAUUUUCAUCCCUCCUUUUUCGGGUAGUGGCCUUUAAAUGCUUUUAAAUGCUACAUCAUGGGAAACGUGGGGUAUCGCAUCUCUCGUAACGGUUCUGGGAAGAAUGUAAACGCCAUAAUUCUGUGGGAUCGUGUUCCUGCUUUUCCAGGAGAUGGGUAUCAGCUCGGGAUACACCUUUUGUCAGUAUCCGUCUCUGAUCGGUUCAUGUUGCCCUCUGCUCUGCUCGUACAGUUACACUUGGCUGAGGUGAUUCAUGCCGGGGGUGAUUCAUGCCGAGGUGAAAACAGUACUAUGGCCGACCUGGUAUCAUUAUUGGCUCAACACCAGUCCCCCAGUUUCUGGUCUUGUGAGUGAAAUGAGUCAAGAGUAGAAACUGAUAUUCAAAUCUUACCAAUCCGGGGGCUUCUCCUCUGGUCUUUCAUCUAUCGGGAUGGUCCUGAGGUAUCAUUUUUCUUCAAGGGAGAUUUUGACCUGAGUAUGGAAUAGGAAGUCAUCUGCUCAAGUUUAGACCACGUGGUCGAGGUGAUCUGGUCAAGCUCAUAGCACAUGGUCGAGGUGAUCUGCUCCACCUCAUAGCACCUGGUCGAGGUGAUCUGCUCCACCUCAUAGCACAUGGUCGAGAUGAUCUGAUCCACCUCAUAGCACCUGGUCGAGGCGAUCUGCUGAAGCUCAUACCAUCUGGCCAAGGUGACCUGCUCAACCAUUUGCUCACUUUCACUUGGAGGAGAUCAUGGUCGCUCUAUUUAAUUCCUCAAACACCAGUCCCCCAGUUUCUAGUGUUGAGAGUGAAACAAAUCAAGACUGGAAACUUUAGUGGUCUGCUCGUCUUCGCUUGGUUGAGCAGAUCCUGGCACGCUUGGCUUCUGUCUCGCCAUAAAACAGGCUUUGAGACUUUGUCGAGCCUUUGCAUGCCUUCGAUUCUUCAAGGAUUGGGAUUCUGCUCGCCUUCUCGUGGCCGAGCAGAUCCUAGCACGCUUGGCUUCUGUCUCGCCAUAAAACAGGCUUUGAGACUUUGGUGAGCCUUUGCGUGCCUUUGAUUCUUCAAGGAUUGGGAUUCUACUCGCCUUCUCGUGGCCGAGCAGAUCCUGGCACGCUUGGCUUCUGUCUCGCCAUAAAACAGGCUUUGAGACUUUGGUGAGCCUUUGCGUGCCUUUGAUUCUUCAAGGAUUGGGAUUCUGCUCGCCUUCUCGUGGCCGGUGGCCGAGCAGAUCCUGGCACGCUUGGCUUCUGUCUCGCCAUAAAACAGGCUUUAAGACUUUGGUGAGCCUUUGCGUGCCUUUGAUUCUUCAAGGAUUGGGAUUCUGCUCGCCUUCUCGUGGCCGAGCAGAUCCUGGCACGCUUGGCUUCUGUCUCGCCAUAAAACAGGCUUUGAGACUUUGGUGAGCCUUUGCGUGCCUUUGAUUCUUCAAGGAUUGGGAUUCUGCUCGCCUUCUCGUGGCCGAGCAGAUCCUGGCACGCUUGGCUUCUGUCUCGCCAUAAAACAGGCUUUGAGACUUUGGUGAGCCUUUGCGUGCCUUUGAUUACUUCAAAGAUUGGGAUUCUGCUCGCCUUCUCGUGGUCGAGCAGAUCCUGGCACGCUUGGCUUCUGUCUCGCCAUAAAACAGGCUUUGAGACUUUGGUGAGCCUUUGCGUGCCUUUGAUUCUUCAAGAUUGGGAUUCUGCUCGCCUUCUCGUGGCCGAGCAGAUCCUGGCACGCUUGGCUUCUGUCUCGCCAUAAAACAGGCUUUGAGACUUUGGUGAGCCUUUGCGUGCCUUUGAUUCUUCAAGGAUUGGGAUUCUGCUCGCCUUCUCGUGGCGAGCAGAUCCUGGCACGCUUGGCUUCUGUCUCGCCAUAAAACAGGCUUUGAGACUUUGGUGAGCCUUUGCGUGCCUUUGAUUCUUCAAGGAUUGGGAUUCUGCUCGCCUUCUCGUGGCCGAGCAGAUCCUGGCACGCUUGGCUUCUGUCUCGCCAUAAAACAGGCUUUGAGACUUUGGUGAGCCUUUGCGUGCCUUUGAUUCUUCAAGGAUUGGGAUUCUGCUCGCCUUCUCGUGGCCGAGCAGAUCCUGGCACGCUUGGCUUCUGUCUCGCCAUAAAACAGGCUUUGAGACUUUGGUGAGCCUUUGCGUGCCUUUGAUUCUUCAAGGAUUGGGAUUCUGCUCGCCUUCUCGUGGCCGAGCAGAUCCUGGCACGCUUGGCUUCUGUCUCGCCAUAAAACAGGCUUUGAGACUUUGGUGAGCCUUUGCGUGCCUUUGAUUCUUCAAGGAUUGGGAUUCUGCUCGCCUUCUCGUGGCCGAGCAGAUCCUGGCACGCUUGGCUUCUGUCUCGCCAUAAAACAGGCUUUGAGACUUUGGUGAGCCUUUGCGUGCCUUUGAUUCUUCAAGGAUUGGGAUUCUGCUCGCCUUCUCGUGGCCGAGCAGAUCCUGGCACGCUUGGCUUCUGUCUCGCCAUAAAACAGGCUUUGAGACUUUGGUGAGCCUUUGCAUGCCUUUGGUAAUUUCUUCGAAACUUGGGAUUCUGCUCGCCUUCUCGUGGUCGAGCAGAUCCUGGCACGCGUGGCUUCUGUCUCGCCAUAAAACAGGCUUUGAGACUUUGGUGAGCCUUUGCGUGCCUUUGAUUCUUCAAGGAUUGGGAUUCUGCUCGCCUUCUCGUGGCCGAGCAGAUCCUGGCACGCUUGGCUUCUGUCUCGCCAUAAAACAGGCUUUGAGACUUUGGUGAGCCUUUGCAUGCCUUUGAUUCUUCAAGGAUUGGGAUUCUGCUCGCCUUCUCGUGGCCGAGCAGAUCCUGGCACGCUUGGCUUCUGUCUCGCCAUAAAACAGGCUUUGAGACUUUGGGGAGCCUUUGCGUGCCUUUGAUUCUUCAAGAAUUGGGAUUCUGCUCGCCUUCUCGUGGCCGAGCAGAUCCUGGCACGCUUGGCUUCUGUCUCGCCAUAAAACAGGCUUUGAGACUUUGGUGAGCCUUUGCGUGCCUUUGAUUCUUCAAGGAUUGGGAUUCUGCUCGCUUUCUCGUGGCCGAGCAGAUCCUGGCACGCUUGGCUUCUGUCUCGCCAUAAAACAGGCUUUGAGACUUUGGUGAGCCUUUGCGUGCCUUUGAUUCUUCAAGGAUUGGGAUUCUGCUCGCCUUCUCGUGGCCGAGCAGAUCCUGGCACGCUUGGCUUCUGUCUCGCCAUAAAACAGGCUUUGAGACUUUGGUGAGCCUUUGCGUGCCUUUGAUUCUUCAAGGAUUGGGAUUCUGCUCGCCUUCUCGUGGCCGAGCAGAUCCUGGCACGCUUGGCUUCUGUCUCGACAUAAAACAGGCUUUGAGACUUUGGUGAAUCUUUGCGUGCCUUUGAUUCUUCAAGGAUUGGGAUUCUGCUCGCCUUCUCGUGGCCGAGCAGAUCCUGGCACGCUUGGCUUCUGUCUCGCCAUAAAACAGGCUUUGAGACUUUGGUGAGCCUUUGCAUGCCUUUGGUAAUUUCUUCAAAACUUGGGAUUCUGCUCGCCUUCUCGUGGUCGAGCAGAUCCUGGCACGCGUGGCUUCUGUCUCGCCAUAAAACAGGCUUUGAGACUUUGGUGAGCCUUUGCGUGCCUUUGAUUCUUCAAGGAUUGGGAUUCUGCUCGCCUUCUCGUGGCCGAGCAGAUCCUGGCACGCUUGGCUUCUGUCUCGCCAUAAAACAGGCUUUGAGACUUUGGUGAGCCUUUGCAUGCCUUUGAUUCUUCAAGGAUUGGGAUUCUGCUCGCCUUCUCGUGGCCGAGCAGAUCCUGGCACGCUUGGCUUCUGUCUCGCCAUAAAACAGGCUUUGAGACUUUGAUGAGCCUUUGCGUGCCUUUGUAGUAAACUUUGACUGGUUUCUUAACUCUAGCCUAGCUCUCUUUUCUUAAAUCAUUCUCAUAUUGAGUAACUUUCAAGAAAUCAAGUUAACUAAGUUAAACAGUCAGCCCUAAUAUAAGCACAAUUAGUUGAAUGAAUAUAAGGCAUCCUCAUAUCACAUAGUAGGAUUUAGAGAAAUAAUUAAAUUUUCAUGAGAAAAUUGUUUGUAAAUAAAAAUUUAACUUCUGACCUGUUCUGAUUUCUGCAAACGUCUGCCUUCAUUGUGCUCUCAUUUAAGGGUUUUGCUACCUUGUUUAAGCACGCUCAUCCAUUUAUGUACUGUAACAUUCUGAUUUGCUUCGACUAGAUGAAAAUUGAUAGAAACAAAAAUUUGGCUUCUCGUACCGGUCCCCACAGACGGCGCCAAAUGUUGAUGCCGAAAUUCGGAUGAGUUGAUCGAAUCUCAGAUCCCUGCAUCAGCAUUGAAUUUGUUUGGUGGGAAGCUGAUGAUUAGUUAGCACCAUGAGCAGAUUUUCUAUGAGCAGAUGUUCUGUGAGCAGAUCAGAUGUUCACCUCGUUCUACGACCAGGGUCUCUGCUCGAUCAACUUCACCACGACCAGGAUCUCUCCUCGUAAAGCUUCUUCUCCAGAGGUUCCUGCGCACACAGACAAGUCAGAGUACGCCGGUUGUUUUCCCGGCGCAAACCCUCCGACGCUCAAGUCAGAUAUGAAGGUUCGGGGAACGCUUGCCACAGAUCUUAUGGCUUUUGUGUAGUUUUCUUUAGAAUUGCUUUUAUCUCUCUUCUAAUCUCAAAAUUGCUAACCCUUUUACCUUCGUUGGCUACCUUUUUAUAGGCUUCCUCUCAAUCCCAGUUUUCCGCAGUCUAUGCCGUUAUCCCACGUUCUCCUUCAAUUUUCAUCCCUCCUUUUUCGGGUAGUGGCCUUUAAAUGCUUUUAAAUGCUACAUCAUGGGAAACGUGGGGUAUCGCAUCUCUCGUAACGGUUCUGGGAAGAAUGUAAACGCCAUAAUUCUGUGGGAUCGUGUUCCCGCUUUUCCAGGAGAUGGGUAUCAGCUCGGGAUACACCUUUUGUCAGUAUCCGUCUCUGAUCGGUUCAUGUUGCCCUCUGCUCUGCUCGUACAGUUACACUUGGCUGAGGUGAUUCAUGCCGGGGGUGAUUCAUGCCGAGGUGAAAACAGUACUAUGGCCGACCUGGUAUCAUUAUUGGCUCAACAAAAGUUGUACCUGAUCUCUCUAUCCUAAAUGCUUUGAUUCGAAGUCAGUUGAUGUUUUUGGCUAGGCUGAUCUGAAGCAUCUCAAUAGGCUAUAGAUAUUGCGAGUUGUAAGCUUUUGGAAGAAGUGAAGAUUGACUUUGUUGGGAAAGCACAAUGAACCCAUGGUUUUCACAGCCUUAUGUCACGGAAGUUGUCUAAAUACUGCACGGGUUGCUGCGCAAAGUAACCAUCCUAUGACAUUGAGCCAUGUUGAAAUAUCAUUUUGCUGUAAACUGAGGGAUUUGACAUAGCUUGCUUUUGCUCCAGACCUUCUUGUUGUUUCCAGAAAAUGUUGCCAUGAUAUAGAGGAAAUACUCGGUGUUGGAAAAUUAGGUGAAGAGAUGACGUCAAAUCUGGAACCCCCUGCAAAACUCCAAGGUUACGUUUGGCAUAUAGGAUUGGAUUAAAUUGGGUUCUAUUUAUAUUUUUAUGUUUGGUACAGUUCCGGAUUGAACCAUAUUAGAUUAUAUUUAAAUAAUAUUGAAUAGUAUUUAAGUUGGUAUUUUAAUAUAAAUAUCAAUUAUCCAUGAAAUUUUAUAAUCAUAAUUAAAAUAAAUUUAAAAAGCAAUUACUAGGAAAAUUAAAUAUAUUGCAAAAAGUUAUUGGGUAGUCAUAAUAUAAUAAGCAAAUAAAAUUAAAUAAAACAAAUUAAAUAUUUAAUUAUUUUUAUCAAAUAUUUAAAAAUAUUAUAUAAAAUCAAUUCAUUAAUGGUAUUAUUAAUUUUCAUGAUUAUUUUUAAUAUUAUAUUAGUGAUUAUUAAAUUUAAUACAAUCAAAUAAUGUAAUAAAUAAUUACACGUUUAAUUUUAUCGAUUAAUUAUUAAAUAUACAAGUAAUGAAAAUUUAAUCUCAGGAGUUGGUAGACGCAAAAGUACUAAUUUAAUUAGAUCAUAGAUAAUAAAUAAAAUAAAUUUUAAGUAAAUCAUAAUAAAAAAAUUAAUUAAUUGAUUCAAUCAAUCAAUAUUAGGUGUAAAUAAAAAAAGAGUAACGAUAUAUCCACAAACUCUUACACAAACUCAUGUGUCAUGAUAAGAUUGAUUGAAUUAAAUAUCACUUGGCCCACAUAAUUUAUUUUUAUUAUUUUAUAUUUUCAUUCAACCAAUGAAUUAACGCCACAUCAGUUUGUACAAGAUAUGUUUGUACAGGAAUUUGUGGCUGUAUCAUCACUCAUAAAAAAAAGAUACAAAUAAACCUCUCAUAAAUGGACAACUUUUAUCUUUAAUCUUAUCCCAACUAAACACAUGUGUAAAUUAGGAUUAUUAAUCCCAUGAUUUUAGGAUUAAAUUCAAAUUUAUUCCCCCUUAAUCCAAUCCAACUAAACUUGUCAAACAUGGGAUAAAAGUUUAAUUCUAAAAGCAUCACUAAAAGGCUCUUCAAAUAAGAUUUUAUUACUUAUUUGAAGAGCCAUAUCAAUAUUUAACGCUCCAAAAGACACUUCAGUUAAGAUUCUUCAAACAAUAGAUGAUUCUCUCUUUUCAAAUUUCGAGAGUUGAUUUCUCCCUCUUCAAUUUGUAUUUUAUUAUUUUUCAUUGGAGAAAGAGAGAGAAGUGCUUUAAUUGCUAUUGACUUUUUCCUUAAAAAAAUAAUUAUUUGAUUAAAAUAAUAUUAAUUUAUUUCUAUUUAAAGAGUCUUUUAAAGAAUAAUAUAUUUUUUUAUUUUUUUUAUUUAUCACAUAGGUAAAUAAAUAAAUAUUUAAAAAAUAAAAUUAAUAGAGACUUUUGGAGAUACUCUAAAAUUAGUCCAAUCCCAUACUUAAUCCUAGCAUCCAAAUAUAGCCCAAGUUGUUUGCUUAAAGAAGCUACCAAAUUUGAAGAGCGUUUACGGGAAGGCCCUGCGUUUCCCAGAUGUAUGCAGAAUUUUUGUAUCUAAAUGGCCAGAACUUAAGAAGCUGACGCUGGAUUUUGAAAGGGCGGGCCAAGGUAAAAUUCUUAUCAAGGGAAAGGAAAAUCGGUGGAAACAACUUCAAUGGGAGGAUCAAGCAACUCAGGAUGCAUUGCUUCUGUUUUUCAAAUCAACUGACAAGUGAUUGAAGGGGGCAUCAUCAGCCUGGAUGGGGAGAUCCUGGAGCAGAUCAGCAGGGUUUGAAUCUGCAUCAUCAACAUCAUCAGGAUCUCUAUUUCUAUUGCUGGUCGUAAUGCCUGCCGACUGUUGCUUGAAAAAGUGAUUAAGUGAGCCAGUUUUUUGUUUAUUAAAUUUUGUCUUAAUUGGCGUCCAAUAGAAAUUUACAAGAAUUACUUUUCUGUUCAUGCAAUCGGCGUCUGAACGCGGCUGAUCGGUCACCGGUGUUGGCGUUUACUGUGAUUAGACAAAUUGUAGGACUUCAAAAAUAACUUCUAUAGGGGUAAUUUCGAUUUCACAUAAUUAAUUUUAUUUACAAUAUUUUAUUCCUGCAAGGUCAACUGAGAUUCUUUCCACCGGGCACACCCUUCAUGUUCUUUUAUUUUCUGUCUUUUAUUAGCCGUUGGGUUUUACUACUCUUAUAUCCAACGGCUUGCCACAACAAGACAAAUGAGGUGGUACCUUCCAACUGCUGAAAGGUGGUUUUGGCCCCGAGUGAAACAGGGGAUGCACUUACUAUUAAGGACAGUUGGUGGCCAGCUAAUGCAUUCAUUUUAUGUCCUUUCGUCUUUUUGAAUUAUUGAAGACAAGGGGCUCCUCGCUUUUACUGUAGGUAAGAUCCAGAUAAUCUCGAUUAUCAAAAUAAUUAUUUUAAAAUACCUUAAUUAUUUUUUUUUUUAUGUUGCGUUUAUUAAACUAGAAUAAAAAUGAGUUGAAAUCGGAAUGAGUAGGAACAAGAAUGAAAAUGAAAAUAAUGAAUGGGAAUCAAAAUAAGUUGUUUACUUGAACUAUAGAAAUCAAAAUCGUAAUGAGUUGAGUUACCAUUAAUGUGUUUAUUUUGUCUUGGAAUCAGAAUCGAAACAAAUUAGAUUGUAACAAAUUACUAAAAAGUACUUAAUGGAUUAUUGUUAUAAUUAUUAUUAUUAUUAAUUAAUUAAUUGUACAAAAUUUUAAUUAAUUAUAAUAACUAUAAUAAAAUUAUUAUAAAAAUAUAUUAACUAAUAAUAUUAAUAUAAAUUACUUAAUUAAAAUAAUAUAUUAAUUGUGAUUAUUUAUUCAAAAAAUAUAAUUAUUAAUAAUUAUUUUUAAUAAUAUAUUAAUUCAUAGUAAUAAUUAUAUAUAUAUAUAUAUAUUUAUUUAAUUGUAUUAAUUUUAUUUAUUUAUUAUUAAUAAUAAAUGAAUUAAUUAUUAUAAUUAUUGUUAAUAAUUAUUAUAAUAGUAUAUUAAUUAAUUAAUUACAAUAAUAAUAUAUUAAUUAAUGUGAUAUUUAUUUAGGAACAAUAAUUAUUAAUAUAUUAUUGUUAAUAAUAUAUUAAUUAUUGUGAUUAUUUAUUCAAGAACUAUAAUUUUUAAUAAUUAUAGUUAAUAAUUUAUUUAUUUAUUUAUUUAUUUAUUAAUCAUAAUAUAUUAAUUAAUUAAUUAUAAUAUUAUAUUAAUUAAUUAUAAAAGAGGAUAAAGUGGAUAUUUUUAAUUUUGGGAAGGGCAAAAUAGUUAAUCCUAGGAAUGAGAGACUCUUUCUCACCUCUGCAUGGGAAUCAAUCUCUCAUUCUCUAUUCUCAAAUAGUAGUAGACCCCAUCAUUUCGAUUCUAAUUCUUACUCCAUAUUUGUGAAGUAAACAUCAUCAAUCAUUCUGAUUCUGAAUUUUUGUGAAUGGAGAGAUGCCGGAGCAGAUCAGCAGGGUUUGAAUAUGACCUUUGGCGCUUGCUUUUUUUUGUGAUUUUUUUUUUUCAUUUUUUCCUUCUUGUCAUUUUAUCAUUUCUUUGGCUUUGUCUCUAUUGCGGGUGUUAUUGCAUGCUUACUGUUGCUUGACAAAGUUUGCUAGCUUUUCCUUUUGUUUAUUAAAUUUUUUAUGGUCACAAAGAAUUACUUGUUCUAUUUGAGAGUGAUAUGAAUCAAUUUUUCAAUUAUAUAUUUUGUGGUCAAUGUGAAUUCAAUUUCAUUUGUCUCCCGCAAUUAUGAAAAAAUUACAGUCAUAAUAUGGAAAAGUACACCGGCAAAAACUUUGUAAAAGCUUCGGAGUGAUACGGGGAAUUCACUUACUACUAAGGACAAUUGGUGGCAAGCUAUUCCAUUCAUUUUAUGUCCAUCCAUCUAUUUAGUUAUUGAAGAUAAGUGGUCCAUUUGUAAAUUUCAGAUUGUCUCUCUCUCCCUCUUGAAAUAACAAUAUUUAAUAUAUCUCUUAAAUUAUUAUAAAUUUUAAUUUACUCUCGAUUUAAAAUGGAGCAUGUCGAUAAAUUUUUUUUCUUCUUAAUAAAAUUGACGUAAGUUGUGUUUACAGUAGUUUGAAGUUUGAAAUAUUUUAAAGAUUAUUAUUCUAUAAGGGAGUAAUAUGAAAUGAAAUUUACUUUUCAUGUGUGAACUGAAAAAGGACGAAGCAAGUGUCCCUACUUUUAUUUUAUUUCAAGGAGGAGUCAUCUCACAUACUUAAGCUCUUAACAUUACAUUUUUUUUUGUUACAUUUUUUUUUUAAUUUUUUUUUUUACACAUGCGUGUGGGUUGCUUAUCUGUAAGCUCCUUAAUAUAUAUUUAACACAAAUCAUGAAAAAGAUGGGAUUAUAUCAAGAUGAUCAAAGCAUGUAAAAAAAGAAAAAAGAAAAAAAAAUUAAGAAGUAAGACACUGAAAAUGGAGAAGAGACGGAAGCAAAAGAUAUUCCAAAACAAAGCAAUAACAAAGCAAUCUAUCCCCUUUCGAGGGCAGACUCAACAGGUUUAAAAAAGUACAUGCUUUGGAUUGGUAGUUGCAAUCAAGGGAAAAUAAAUAGGAUCCAAUGAAAUUUAAAUCUUGGAGAAAAUAAAUAAUCAUGCAGAUUUUCAAGAUUUUAAUAAGGGAUACUAAUAUCUUAUUUUGAUUAAUAACAUUCUUUCACUGUGUUAACUCAAAAAAAAUAUUAUAAUGCUUUACAAUAAAUACAAAUGUCCUAUUAAAUGAAUAUAUAAAAAAUUUAGAAUAUUUAGAAUAUUAUAUAAAAUAAUUUUAAUAUAAUGCGUGAGAUAUAUUUUAUUAAUUUAAAAUGUCAUUUUACCUAAAAAAUAUGAUAAAUUAAUAAUUACAUGUUUGAAGUUAUUUCAAAUAUUAAAAAAAUUUAAUAUUAUUAGUCUUUUAGAUAGAUUAAAUUAUUUUUUAAAGAGAUAGAUUAAAUUAUUUUAAAAUACCUUAAUUGUUUUUACUUUAAACAUUACCGGCCUUUCUUUUAUUUUAUUGCAAAUUAAUGCUAACAAGAAAAAGCUAGAUCAUAUUCCGCAAAAGCAAAAGUGACAAACACAACCAGCUGGAAUCUUUUAUAAAACUACAAAUUAAAAUGGAUUUUUUUUUUGAUAAAUUACACAUGAAAGUGGAUUCUUUUGAAUAUAAGUGGGGUAGGCUCUUUUAUUUUAUUUUUGAAUAUUGUAUAACGGGACUGUAGACUCUUUUAUUAAACUACAAAUUGUAUAGUCUUUUUAAAAUUGUUAUGAAUUAGUGGCCCCUACAAUCCUCAACAAUUGUACCAAUAUUCACAAGUUGGUGGCCCCUACAAUUCUGUUCCGAUAAUUUAACUGUGCAAGUCCUCAUUCACAAUCUUCCAGGUCAUGCUCUCAAUAAUUGUUUUUUUUUUUUUUUUUUUUUUUUUUUUUCUGCAUUCCCUUUCAUGCUCUUAAUAAUUGAAGAGCAUACUUUUCAUUUUCAAAUGUGGAGCCGCAUCUAAUGUCGCUAAUUUAAUUUGGGAUUAAAUUAGGGGACCAUUAUAUUGCAGUGUGCACUAAUUUUUGUGUUUAUCUAAACUCUUUAAGUUUAAGACAUAUUAUGGCAUAAAUAAGAAUAUAACAAUAACAAAAGAGUUAGAAAGUGUAGAGAAGAUCUUGCAGAAAUAUAAAUAAUAUCUAUUUUAAAAUAAUUUUUAAUAUUUUAUGAUCCAUUAGAUAUAUUUUAUUAUAUUAAAAUAAAUUUUAUAAUAAAUAAAAACAUCCUAUUAAAAUGAAUAUAUAGAAAAUUUAGAGUAUUUUAAGUAUUAUAUAAAAUAAUUUUAAUAAAAUAUGUGAGAUAUUCAUAGUUUAUUAAUUUAAAAUACCAUUUUAAAAUUAAAGAUUUAUUUAUGAUAAAUUAAUAAUUAUAUUUUUGAAAUUACUUCAAAUAUUAAAAAAUUAAUAUUACUAAUCUAUUAGAUAGAUUAAAUUAUAUAUAUUAUUUUCUAUUUAUUAAAAAAUUAAAAUUAUUUUUAAUUACUAUUCAAAAAAUAUAAUGAUAAAAAAAAAUCUUAACAUCUUUAUUAAAAAUUUAAAAAUUUACAUGAUCAAUUCUCUAAAUAUUUAGGGUAUAUGUGAACAUCGGUGGAGAAGCUUUAUUUAAUAUUAUUGAUUUAAAUAAUAUGUCAAUUAAAAAUGCGCGGAGAAGAAAUUUCGGUGGGUAUUUUAGUCUUUUCAGCAAUUAUCAUGAUCAGAUCAGCCUUUAGCUUGAAACGUCGGUCAGAAAAGUUUUAAAAUUAAUGCUAACAAGAAAAAGCUAGGUCAUAUUCCACAAAAGCAAAAGUGACAAAACAACCAGCUGGUUUUUUUUACUAAACUACAAAUUAAAAGUGGAUUCUUUUGAAUACAAGUGGGACAGACGAUUAGGCUCUUUUUAUUAAACGCAAGUAAAAAGUAGUCGAAUAGUCUUUUUUCAAAUUAUUGUUUUAUUAUUUUUCCUUCAAAAGUUAGUGUGGCUCAUGUUUGCAGGUGCGAAUGUCAGAUCACAUGCGAUGGUGCUUUUUUCAAUCGUUGCUUGGAUUGCUUUCUUGGAAAAGCAGCAUACAUACGUAACCUCCAAGAUAAUCUUGAUGCCUUGGAGACUGAAUUGGGAAAUCUGAUCGCUAGAAAGAACGAUGUGAUGAGGAGGGUUGUCGAUGCUGAACGGCAACAAAUGAGAAGGCUGGACGGAGUGCAAGUGUGGGUUUCGAGGGUGGAUUCUGUUAAAACUGAAGCUGAUCAAUUUAUAAGAGACGGCUCUCGAGAAAUUGAAAAAUUAUGUGUUGGAGGCUACUGUUCCAAGAAUUGCAUGUCAAGCUACAAGUUCGGGAAAAAAGUGGCUAAAAAGCUACGGGAUGUGCGGACUUUAAUCAGUGAAGGAGUUUUUGAGGUGGUGGCUGACAGAGCUCCAGAGUCUGUAGCAGAUGAAAGACCUACUGAGCGAACAGUAGUAGGCUUGCAAUCACAACUUGAACAAGUCUGGAGAUGUCUUGUAGAAGAAUCAGCGGGAAUCAUUGGCCUAUAUGGCAUGGGCGGUGUUGGUAAAACUACACUACUGACCCAUAUCAACAAUAAAUUUCUCGAGAGUCCAACCAACUUUGAUUGUGUGAUUUGGGUUGUAGUUUCAAAAGACCUGCGACUCGAAAAAAUUCAAGAAGAUAUUGGGAAAAAGAUAGGUUUGGUUGGUGAUUCAUGGAAGAGUAAAAGUGUAGAGGAGAAAGCUGUCGACAUCUUCCGGAGUUUAAGAGAGAAGAGAUUUGUAUUGUUGUUAGAUGAUAUAUGGGAGCGGGUUGAUUUAACAAAGGUGGGCGUUCCACUUCCCGGACCAAAAAAUACUACCUCAAAAGUCGUAUUCACAACCCGUUUCAUCAAUGUUUGUGGUACCAUGGAAGUUGACAGGAAGUUUCAAUUAGCAUGCUUAUCAAAAAAGGAUGCUUGGGAACUGUUUCGAGAAAAAGUUGGGGAAGAAACUCUUCAGAGUCAUCAUGAUAUCGAUGAGCUAGCCCAAAUUGUGGUCAAAGAGUGUGGUGGUUUGCCGCUCGCACUUAUUACUAUUGGUCGAGCUAUGGCCUACAGAAAGAAAGCGGAGCAGUGGAGUCGUCCAAUUGAAGAGUUAAGGAGAUCAGCUUCAGAGUUUGCAGGUUUGGGAAAAAAAGUGUAUCCUCUUUUAAAAUUCAGCUAUGAUAGUUUACAGAAUGAUAGGGUUAGAUCUUGUUUCUUGUACUGUUGUUUAUAUCCUGAAGAUUAUGGCAUUCUUAAAUGGGACUUGAUUGAUUGUUGGUUUGGCGAGGGAUUUUUUGGGGAAUCUGACAGGUUUGGUGCAGAAAACCAAGGAUAUGACAUUUUGGACACUCUUGUUCGUGCAUGUUUAUUAGAAGAGGUGGAAGAUGAUGAAGUUAAAAUGCAUGACGUUAUUCGUGAUAUGGCUCUAUGGAUAACUUGUGAAAUUGAGAAGGAGAAGAGAAACUUUUUGGUUCGUGCAGGUGCUGGAUUAAAAGAGGUACCGGGUGUUAAAGGAUGGGAAAAUGUGAGAAGAUUGUCAUUGAUGCAAAACCAAAUUGAAACUCUGUCAGAGGUUCCCACAUGCCCUCAUCUCCUCACUUUAUUUCUUGACUUUAAUCAGGAGUUGGAGAUGAUCGCGGAUGGCUUCUUCCAACUUAUGCCUUCUCUCAAAGUUUUGAAGAUGUCAAACUGUUCGAAUUUGAAAUUACCUGUUGGGAUGUCAGAGUUGGGUUCAUCACUAGAACUUCUCGAUAUUUCAGAAAACAGCAUAACAGAGUUACCGGAAGAGUUAAAGAAGUUGGCAAAUCUGAAAUGUUUGAAUUUGGGGUGGACAAGGGAGUUAAAUAAAAUUCCACGGCAACUAAUAUCAAAUUCUUCAAGGUUACGUGUGUUGAGAAUGUUCGCUACUGGCCGGUUCAAUUUUCAUGAAGCACCAGAAAACAGCGUUUUAUUUGGUGGGGGUGAAGUUUUGAUACAGGAAUUGCUCGGUUUGAAAUAUUUAGAGGUAUUGGAGUUGACCUUGGGAAGUUAUCAUGCUCUCCAAAUUCUUUUGAGCUCAAAUAAGUUAAAAAGUUGUAUUCGAUCUCUUUUCCUCGAGUUGACCGGAGAUACAGCGUCAAUUAUUGACGCUACGGCUUUCGCAGAUCUAAACCACCUCAAUGAAUUAUGGAUUGAUAAUGGUAUUGAGUUGGAAGAGUUGAAGAUUGAUUAUACGGAGAUAGUACGAAAAAGGCGGGAACCUUUUGUUUUCCGCAGCCUUCACUGUGUUACUAUGAUUUCGUGCCGUAAAUUGAAAGAUUUGACAUUCCUCGUUUUUGCUUCAAACCUCAAGUCUCUUCGGCUACGCAAUUGCUAUGCUAUGGAAGAAAUAAUCAGCGUCGGAAAAUUUGCUGAGACUCCUGAGAUGAUGGGACGUAUAAGCCCUUUUGAAAAUCUCCAAAUGCUUGAUUUACAAGGUUUGCCACAUUUGAAGAGCAUCUUCUGGAAGCCAUUGCCUUUCACUCAUCUGAAAGAAAUGGAGGUACUUAGGUGCGAUCGGCUUGAAAAGCUUCCACUCGAUUCCAACAGUGCAAAGGAGCGCAAAUUUGUUAUUCGUGGAGAAGAAGACUGGUGGAACCGACUUCAAUGGGAGGAUGAAGCCACUCAAAUUGCUUUUCGUUCCUGUUUUAAAAGUGAUGCUUUAUUUAUAUCUUAUUCGUGAAAAGUGAUUUAAUUUCCUGCCAAAAGACGAACGAGAAGAACAUUAGAGUCAAACUAAUGCUCACAUAAAUUUCCCAUAAGAAUAUAUAAUUAGACUGGAAUGCACACCUCUAGAUUGAACAGAAUUAAAGCUGAGAAGAUAUUGAGUAUAGUAGCCCUCUUUACAGAAAAUGACACGAAAGUUAAUUUAGAAAGAUAUAUUCUUGAUUAAUCCAUUUUCUGAAGUUUUUAUUUUGUAUGGUCAAUUAUACCUUCAUACUAAAAAUUUCUGAAGUUAUAAAUUAGUGCAACUUGACAAUUUUUACUGAUGAUAUCUUCUAUUUUUCCUUUUUUUUUUUUUUUUCACUUUCAUAGACUGGCAGCGGAUCCUGCGGCACCAAUUUGAGAGAAUAUACUGACACUACUUCGAACAGCAAGCAGAAUAUGUCUACGGCAAAGGCAAUGCAGUCCUCAUUUUGGCUUGAGAUGCAGUAAUCAUCGAAGAGAGUUUCCUUGUGAAACUGGGCAACACAUUGAAUCCCUUCGCCACUGAGAAGGUUGUGGAGGAAGUAAGCUUUCUCUCCAGUGAGGAAGAGGUGGCAUAUACCUUCCCCAUUUUGUCGAGGGCAGGUAGGAAUCUUUUUUCUAAGAGAUUUACUUCGUUCUCUGUAAGAAAUGCUUUGAACUUCAUCCCUCUGUCUCUAUCCUCACUUAUCAGGAAAUAAGUUGAAAGCACUAUGAAGAGAGAGAGAGAGAGAGAGAGAGAGAGAGAGAGAGAGAAUUAAGAUAUAGAGACAAGAAAAAUAUUAGACGUUGAUCUUACAAACUAAUACUUCAAGCAGUAUCCUAGAAAGCUAAAAACUGCAAGAUGGCUUGAAAUUUGAAAAGAGCACGUGCUUUUCCUCCUUAACUUGAGAAAAUGUUUAAUAUAGUGCACCUUACAGAAGCAUUUAAGCAAUUAGAACUUUGCACAAAAACAUCAAGAAGACUAAACAAGUCAGAUGCAGUGCAUUUGUCCAAGCACAAAUUGCAUUUUGUCCUCAACUUUAAUAUUUAUUGAUGAGAAUCAAUACAGGUCCCUCAUUUGUUAUAGAAAGCUUUCUUUCUUGUAGUCUCACCAGUUAAUUCACAGGUCUAUAAUCAUCUUGCAAAGUUAAGGGCAUUUCUUUCGAUCUAAAGUCUUUGCAUCACCACCUCAUCACACGCCAAGCCAAUAUUCCAUUUACCUCUACAACAAAAAGUUUUAAUUAAACAAUCCUAAUGCACGCAGCCAAAUAAAAUGCAGUAAGAAUAUUCAACUUAAAAAUCUGAAAGCCAACUUGGUGAAUUGCCUCCUUAGGUGAAGUUCCAUGCUUUACUAUAGUUGACAGAACUCAGCAAAAGCUUCCAUACAACAGAUUUUGAAAAUGAUGAUGCCAACAGAUACUUAUUCAAUCCAUUGAAACUCCAAAGGUUCAUUGUUCAUAGAAGUUUACAGAGUUUUGGUCAUCAAAUAGCUCAGACCUAAUCCCAAACAAAAAACGAGUGAAAAUUAGAUCACGAGCAGCUAAUUGUAAAUUCUAACUUAACUCUUCAUCUCCUUUGUAAACAAGAAACAAAAUGGAGACACGCAAAAUGAAUAUGGAGAAAAUUUGAACUCAAAUGAAAUGAGGGCACAAAAGCAAACAAAUGGCAUGCACCAAAAAACCAAGCCUCAAUCAAAAACUAAUUAACCAUUAAGAAAAAAAUUGCCCAGAGAAUGAACUCCAAAUUCAGGAGUCAAGCAAGAACCUUUCAUUAUUUCAGAAGCUCCUGUACAAAUUAAUAAGUUAUGCUCUUUGGAAGCAAACCUAAAUUCCAAGAGAAACAGAACCCAAAAAAAUUUGCAAUUAUACGCAAAGGAAGUGAAGCACAGGAUUCUAUCACACAUAGGAAUUGUAUAACAAGAGAUCGAUAUAUCGAAUUAGAAAACUCAAUUCGAAUUUGUGUCAAAAAUCAAAAUUAGAAGAUUUCACAUUUCGAGAGGAACAAGCAACAGAUGAAGUUCAAAAUUUCAGCCAUAACAUGCUAAAAAUGCUGCACUUAACGGUUCAUUUUCAUGGAUUUUCUCGGGAAACAAACAGAAAAUUACGGUUUAGAGAGUUGACUGACCUUUUGGCUUUUGAAAUUGAGAAGAUCGCACGCCAAAUUGGAAGAGGGAAAGUGAAAGUGCGAGUUUUAAUAUGGGUAUUAGAUAAGGAAAUUUUAUUAGGUUGCGAGGGUAAAAAAGGAAAGAGAUAUCAUUGUUUUAUUAUCGAUAAUUAUUAAAUUUUUUUCCAAAAAAAAAACAGGCAAGGAUAUUUUAUUGUCAUUUGCAACCUUUAAUUUUUUUAAAUGCUAUUAGAAACACAAGACAACAAAGAAAUACUUAUUUUUUUCUAAAACUAAAAUCAACUGUUUAGGGCCCGUUUGGUAUUGUUUCUAAAUUUAUAUUUUCUGACAAUAAAAAUGAAAAUGAAAAUGAUGUUUUGCAGUUGCUGUAUUUUAAAUUUAAGUAUACGUUUGGUAUCAUUUUCUAUAUCCUAUAUUUUAAAAUUAAAAAUAAUAAUAUGUGUUUGGUAAACACAUUUGAAAAUAAUAAAAACAGAGAAUAUGCGUUUGGUAAUACUUUUUUUAAAAAGAGUUUUUACUAGUAUUUACGUCAUAUUUAUAGUUAUAAAAUAAUUAUUUAGCUAAUACAUACACAAAUACAACAUAAUAAUUUAAACAAAAUUAUUAUAAAAAAAUUACAUGAUAAUAAAGUUUUAGAAUUAGCAUUAAUUAAAAAAAAGUUUUACAUUGUCAUUAUUUUUACACCAUAAUUAAGAUAUAUAUUACAACACAUGAUUUAAACAAAAUAAUUAUAAAAAAAUUACAUGAUAGGCAUUAUGCAUUACGCAUGUAAUCAUGCCACAUAAAAGCUGCAAUUCUAUCUCUUAUAGCAUUCAUCUUUGCGACACUUGAAGGAGAUAAAUCAAUAUUAGUAAGUGACCUACUAGUGUCUCCUUCUUCGUUGGUAACCAAAUCUUGCACAUCAAAGUCUCCAAAUAACCUAUCACAGGCAAUAAAUUCAAAUUGUGAAUCCCAUCUAAAGCAAUAAAUUGAAAUUACAGAUUGUUUGAUUGGAUUGAAUCCUAUCCUGGGCAAAGCUUGAAAAAACUUUAUUUCUCUCUAGUAACAAAAGUCCUAUUUGCCUAAUGCAUUUUCUCUGUAAAAAAAAAAAAAAUUGGAGUGACAUGCAAUAAAUUCAACUUGUGCAUCAUCAACAAAAUGGAAUUUGGAGUAAAAUCAACAUCAUGGCAAUGACAAUCGUGAACAAUAUCAUCUUUACAUGCUAUUAAAAACAAUUAAAAUCACUCAAAUAAUUUCUGAAAUUUUUAUUAAAUUCUCAGGUUUUUUUUUUUCAUUCUAAAUGUCAUAUAUACAAAUUCAUUACUGUCCAAAAACAUCCUACUUUAAGAAAUAUUUAAAAGUUAAUUAAGUAAAAAAUCUUGUAAAUUAUAAUGUCUUUUUUUUUUUUCGUUUUAAAUUGGUUUCCAAAGAAUGAUGUCUAUGCUUACAGAAGCAAAACAUGCCAAACAGCAGCAGCGACAUUUUGUGAAUUGUUUUUAACUUAAACAAAACAAAUACCGGCAAGUGACAGAUCCGAGAGAGCAACAGCAGCUGGCGUGAAGACGAGCAGCAACGGCUGAGCAGAGCAACAGCGGAAACAGAGCAGCAGCGAAGACGAGCAGCAGCGGAGCAGAGCAGCAGCAGAAACAGAGUAGCGGCGGCUAUGGCGGAAACACAGCAACGACAGUGGUUGAGAGUGCAGAUUUGCUGAGGAAAGGGAGAGAGUGCAGAUUUAUUGCAACUGAAUCAAGAAGGCUGCGGGGGAAAGGGGAAGAGAGAGAGGCAAUGAAGAGAUAAGGAGGAGAGAGUGGAUCGGGAGAAAUAAAGAGAGAGAAAGAUGUUGGAUGAAGAUAAGGGGAGGGAGAGAGUGCAGAUUUGCUGCAACUGGAUGAAGAAAGUUGGGGGGAAGAGAGAGCGGCAGUGAAGAGAUAAGGAGGAGGUCACGAUUUUUCUUUUGUUUUUUAAUUCAUUUUUAGGUUUAGGUGGCGUUUGUUUUUUUGUCUGAAAUCUGAAUAGACUUGAAUUAGUCUGAAUUCUGAAUAGGUCUGAAUGUCUGAAUCUGAAUAAUAUGUUUGUUUUUUCGUCUGAAUCUUGAAAAAUAAGUAUUAAGUUGUUUGUUUUUUUCAACUUAAAAAGCUGAAAAUAUAUACUUUUACAUUUGUAUCCUUAUUAAAUUUGAAUGUCAAAUAAAUAAUAUAUUAAAUACCACAAUAUUUUAACAUUUAUAAGUAAAACUAUAUUCAAGUGAAUACAUAAUUAUUUUAGAAUUUUAAUAUAUAAAAUACCAUAAAUUUCAAAUUUUAUCGUAUAUAAUAUAAGAAAGAAAAAACAGGGAUAUUUUUAUGUGGGGUAGAUAUCUAUGGGUGAGUUUUGGGAUAGACAUGAAAAAUAAAUUAUAAAACAUGGAUAUUUUUGACAUUAGCAAGUAAUUGACUUAAUUUAGAUUUCUCCAUUAAGUAAAAAGCCAAAAAAAUUAGCUUAUUUUAUUAAGUCAAAAUUAUUUAAAAAUUCUCAUUAAGUUAUAAAAACAAACAACUCUAAUUAACUUAAUUAAUUAAGUUAAGUCACUUUAAGUCAUUAAGUUAAAAAACAAACGCAACCUUAGUCUGUAAAAUUUGGAGAACAUGUUUAACUUGUUUUCAGUUGUAUAGUUAUAAUAAUGAAUCCGAAUUUUGUGUUUUGUAAUUUGUUUUGUGAAAAAAAUCCACCAAACAUGUUUUAUGUGUGUAUUAUAAAAAUGAAAACGCAAAUAUGGCUUGAAAAACGGUACCAAACGGGCCCUUAACUUCUUAUUUCAUAAUCCAACUCCAUUACUAAGUUAAAAAAAAUUGUUUUAAAAUUACUUGAGUCAUAUCCAAUAGACCAACAAAGUAAUCGUUUUUAUUUUUAUUGAUUUUUGCAGGAAAUUAGUGGCUUAAAAAUACUGAAAGCUAUUGUAAAAAUCUUUAUUAUCAACCUCAUUGUUUUUUUUUUUUUUUGGGGAAGAGAAUUCAAUUUUUUUUUUUAAUGAAUAUCGCUGUUUCGUUUGAGUUGGAUGUGAAUUCAAAUUCAUUUGAGUUGGAUGUGAAUUCAAAUUCAAAUAUUCUUUGUUUUUCAAUUCUGAACUCGAUUUCUUUUUCUCAAGAAUGUUAUGUAGAAAUGAUUUUUACUAAAUCAUUUUUGAUGAAUUGUUUAAAUUAAACAAUUGGAAUAAGAAUUGUAACGAUUUAUCAUAAGCGCGCUAAUAUGAUAACUUGUUUUACGAAAGAUUAAUUAAUCAAUUAAUAUUAAAUUAUAUAUUAGUCAAUUAUAUAUGUGUUACAUUUGUCAUGGUUUGUGCGUGAUACUACAUAAUUUCUAAAAGAAUAUAGUAAAAACACGUUAAAAUGUUAUUUUAAUGAAUAAAAUUUUAUAAUUUUAUUAAUUAGGUGACACAAUAAUAAAUGGAUUUCUGUAAGAAUUGAGUUUCUUGAGAUAAUUAUUACAUAAGGAGAAGUUUAGUUGGUUCAAUUUUGACAUGUUAAGAAGAGCAUCACAGCACAGAAAACACAAAUUGCCACUUCCACUAAUAAAAGAUACCUGUUUGAAAAGUAAUUAUAAACUAUCUUCUUUGUGUUAUUUCUCAAAACUUUUGUGGCACAAAUGUUAUUUCCAUUGACAACAGUACGAAAUACCACCCCUUUCACUUGAGCAGGAGCAAAGCAAAGGUAUGAUGAGCUAUCUCUGUAUAAUUGAAACGCCAUUACUAAACGAUUCUUGAUGAUGGGAGCCACCGUGCCAGCUUUGUCGCUGAUUUGGUAUUAUUCUUAACUUGCAGAUAGUUGUGGAUAUGAUAUGCAAAAGGUAAGGACUAUAUCUUCUUGAUGGAGGCCUCUGAUUUUUUCCCUUCUAUGUAAUUUAGUAAAUCGCAUUUUCCUUUGUGAUUGAUAUAUCAUACCAAAGUCAAGUCUUAAAUACUGCUGUCAUAUGUUAAGGUUCAACUUCCAUUUUGAUUAACGUCCAUCUGCUGCUGCUUCCAAAAGUGAGAAUGAGAUACUUUGGUUAAUUUCAGUAGUUGAACCCAAUAGAGUACUUUAUUUAGAUCUUCAUGGUUCAAAGGCCUGAAAAAACUUGCCGGUAUUUGGAAAAUGACAUUCUGUGCUUUUAUUUAGACUUAUUAUUUAAGUGAUAAAAACUCCCGUAACCUGCUGUCAAGAAAAUUUCAGAUUGUUAAAAGACAACAUUUUGUUUCGGCCAAAAAUGUUUGUUUCGAUUAAAGACUUGAACCAUUUUCAUUUAACCUUGAUUGUGAUGCUUUACAUUAUGCAUGUUCCUCUCAAUCAAUAAAAGUUGAGGUCAUGAUUUUAUAUUUCUAUUUUGUAACUUGAAAUAAUUGGUCUGCCUGUUUCUGUAGCUUGAUAACAUGAAUUUUUCCUUCUGAAGUUAAUUUGAUCAAUAAAGUAAUUCUUCGGAGAUGAUAUGCCCAUUCUAUAGUCAUUUUCUUAGCUAACAUGUUUUUUCUUCACUCUUCAGAGCAUGUCUAAACUAAUUGAUCGCUCAGCGGAGACUUUGGGUGAGAAGACAAAAUUUCUUAGUAAAUCCUCUGAAAAGGUAUGCAUAAUUCUCGAGUAUUAAAUAACCAUUGGUCAUAAUUUUUGUUCUUUUUUUGGAGAUCGUUAAAAGUGGUUGAUGACCUAUUUUUUACUAUCAUAGAGGGAUCAUGAAUUCCUUUUCUUUUCUGUGGCUCGGCAACACUUUCGGGCCAAACUAAGGAAAUCUAUUUUAGGUAAUGUAAAAACCAGUUGUAGGAUGUAAUAGUUUAUUAUGCCCUGACAAUAACUUUUUGUAUAAUUGUCAGUUUAAUGAAUACAAGAGGAACUCUGUUGGCAAAUUCAUCCAUGAUAGAAUAUAGAUGCUAAAAUUAUUUAUGCAUACCAGUUGCCUUAACUAAUUUUUCUCAACACUGGUAUUGAACAGGAAAAUGAAUAUGCAAUUUGUAUAUUGUGCCAUUGUGGAGAAUUUGGAUAUUCUUAUUUAAGUAUCAAGGAGAGUAUUUGCCUCAUCUUUAAACAAUGAAUCUUUGAGAAAUGAGGAGUGGGUGAUUGGCAGUGUCUUCAUGUAAAUGUUCAUUUAUUUGUAUUUUGAACUAUUACGAGAAUCUUUGUGUGCCAAAUUAGUAAUACAAAUGUUCAGAUGAUUUUUCCUGUUGAUCAUGCGCGUGUAUCUGCACACAACCAUUGUGUACCACUUUAUUCUGAUGCGCAAAUAUCUGUAGUUUAGAAGAAAAGAAAUAAUAAUCAUAUAUUAUUGCUUGGUUCAUGAUUAUUAAACGAUUAUGGCUUUAGAAAAUCCACAAAUCCUUUGUGUUCAUAUAUGAAUGUGCAAAGUUUGCUAUAUCUUAGAUUACCUUCUUCCAAGAUAACAAGUUCAUAUAUUUUUUUUAAUCCUUUUUCAUCACAGUUGAAUUUCAAGUGUAAGUUUUGUUAUUAAUAGCUGGUGUCCUGUUAUUAUGAUUUCAUAAACAGUGAGCGGAUAUGUGCUCUACUUUUGGAGGGCCUCCACAUGAAAGAAAAUUGCAACAAUUGAAUUCUUCUGGAGGUUAUGGUAUUUAAUUUAUUUUCUCAGCUUGUUGAAAGACUAAUAUAUUUCCUUCAGUACGCACGGCGUGGUGGGAAGGGUUUUUAUUGAAAGAAUUAUGAUAUUUCUUAGACUUUGUUUUGGAAGGGGGUGGAGGGAUUUCUCAUCCAUAUAUGGUUACUUGAUUAGCUUUUGACUGUAUUGUCUCCGUCGUGCAAAGGAAAAUCCAAAUACUAACGAAGGGGAAUUGCUUAGGCACCCAAAAGACAGAAAUGAAUUACAGAAGGAAGUUUUUGCUGCUUUAUUUAGUGCUGCUGAGAAAUCUGAUGGAUUUCCUGAAAUUACGGUGAAGACGGAGUGGAGGUCCAACGCAUUAGGAAAGGUGGUGAGUGAACCGCCGGAGGAAUUAGUACCAGAAUACAAGGCUAAUGUGGUGCACUUGCAGCAAGAUGACCAGACCUGUAUGUGCUCUUAUAUUAACUAUAUUGUUGGAUUUGUGAGUGUGUACAUUUUUGUGUGUAUACUCACUUUUGUAUUUAUGCAUAUUAACGUGUGUAGGAUUCUUGAUUUCUGCCACUUACUGGAGAACUAGUGGAAAGCUUUAUACUGAUAUAUGUGCUAUAACUAAUGGAAACUACGAUAUGAAUAUUUUCUCUCACCUGGAGAACUGUAUAACAGAUAUAAUUUGUGGCUCUGGAAUACUGAAGAUUCUGCAAUAACUAAUGGAAAAUAUGAUAUGAAUAUUUUUUCUCACCUGGAGAACUUUGUAACAGAUACAUUUUGUGGCUCUGGAAUGUCUAAAGAAUGCUUCAGUUUAGAUCAAAUAUCUUUUAGUUAGAAAAGAUAAAAUUCUCUGAAUCUGAAAGACUGAAACAUUUUGCAUAUUUUGUGAAAGGGUAGUAUCUGUAGAUACUAGCUCAUGCAUUGAGGUAAUAUCAGUGUUAAAGAAAAACAACAAUAAUUUAUUAUACAAAAUUAGGUUCACUUGCUUUAAAUGCUGGUCUGAUCAACCAUAUCAACCUGUAAUGGUUCUGCAGAAAUAUAUAUACGGGGAGAAACUAGCUAAAUUUUCCUUUCACUUAUGGGUUUGGUCUUUUUUUCCCCUAUUUUUCAGCUUUCCUUCUCCUGAAGUAUGUUAACAAUUGCAGAUAAUGACGAAGAGGACCGCUUCCAGGCUCUUUGUAGAGCUGUGAUGGAAUAUAGGGGCACAAUGAAGGAAUAUUGUAAGGCUGUAGGUACUUUCUCUCUUGUCAUUUAUGUUUUCUCACACAUUUUGUAUAUGCCCUGAACAUGCAGCUUUGUAUGUGUCAAUUGCCUUUUACAUUUUAAAAGCCAUAAAGUAAGAAUACAGUUCCUUGUCAGGCUAUUGAUGCGUUCGCUCAGAAGGGUCAUGUUCAAGCAGGAAAACUUCUAGAACAUGUAAGGUUUCCAUCUACAGCCAUCCAUUGACAGUGUCAAAGUAUUUGGCUGCAGCUUCUAGAAGCUACAUCUAGAAGCUUUGAUGCAGCAAAUGUUGAAGGCACCGCCAAGGAGAAAAAGAAGGAAGAAUGAAGAAGAUGUUGCAGAAGUUGAUCUUGACAAAUGAUGGUUGGAACGCCAAAAUGGAAGAAAGAAAAAAGGUUGGAACACGGCUUUGAAGAAGCCACGAGAAGAAUAAAGAAAAUAUUAAAAUAAUAGCUAAUUUUGGCUAUAUAAAGGAAGCUCCCCUUUUUUUGGUUUGUGUAUCCAAUCCUCAGUUUCUCUUCUUCAUUCAGAGAGUGUUUCUUUGGGGUGUAUUUGGGGAUUAGGUGAGAGAAAAUUAUUUCUGAAAGAGUGGUUGUAAUAAUUUUCCACAUAGUGAAUAUUUUUUCUCUGGUUGUCUUUUUGACAACGGCCGUGGUUUUUCUCCAUAUUUGGAGUUUUCCACGUAAAUCUUGUGUUGUGGGAUUGAUAUUAUUUUUCAUUUAAUUUUUCUUGUUAAUUUGUUAAUUGAAAAAUUGCUUGGAGAGAUCCUGGGAGGAAGCUCAAUUUCCUAACAGUGGUAUCAGAGCCAUUGAUUGAAGUUUUUUGGUGUCGGGGCACUGCUCACGUAUACGGUACUGUUUACGUAUACGGUACUAUUCACGUGAAGCAGUGGGAGCCAAUCCAAACAGUUCGUGGUGAAGAGUAAAAGCUUAUCUGCAAAGCAAAUAUGUCAGGAUUGAAAUUUUCAAGUCCGGUGAAAUUUGAAAUAGAAAAAUUCGAUGGGAGAAUUAACUUUGGCUCGUGGCAAGUUCAAGUCAAAGAUGUGUUGAUUCAAUCUGGGUUACACAAGGCAUUGAAAGGGAAGCCAUCCCCUGCUUCCAGUAGUGGCUCUGGAAAAGCUAGUAUAAGUGAUGAAGAUUGGGAAGAAUUAGAUGAUCGAGCUGCAAGUGCCAUACGACUAUGUCUAGCAAAGAAUGUUCUUGCAAAUGUAGGAAAAAUUCCUACAGCGAAAGAACUUUGGGAGAAGCUAGAAAAGUUGUAUCAGACAAAGAGCAUCUCAAAUCGAUUGUACCUGAAGGAGCGAUUUCACACACUGCGAAUGGCUGAAGGUACAAAAAUUUCUGAUCACCUCAGUGUUCUCAAUGGUAUUGUGUCAGAACUAGAAGCCAUUGGAGUUAAAAUUGAAGAUGAGGACAAGGCGCUUAGGUUACUAUGGUCACUUCCAACUUCCUACAAACACUUGUUACCUACUUUGAUGUACGGGAAGGAGACAGUAGAUCUUGAAGAAGUUACUAGUACUUUACUCUCAGAAGAAAGAAGACUGAAUGGUGAAAGUACUAAAACUACAGAUGUCUCGGCUUUGGCAGUUGUAGGGAAUUGGCAGAAAGAUAAAUCUAAGAAGAAAGGAGUCUGCUGGGGGUGUGGACAAUCGGGGCACUUAAAAAGAGAUUGUCAUAGUAGAAAUAGAGUAGGAUCGGCAAGUGGCUCCAGAUUAGAUAUUGAUAGUAUUGCUAGUGGUAAGUCUCUCAUCAUCGUGGGAGACGAUGAUCCCUUAUAAAAUGGAUGAUGAUGACAUCCUCAUGGUAUACCGCUAGUACCAUGAAAGGGGAUAUGUUACUACUAGCGGGUCCACAAGAUUUACACACAAGGCAUGGUUGGCAUUGAUGCAGGGUGUGUGGUGGAAUUUAUGUCGAUGGCUGACAAACUUCCAGGAAGACCAACAUGGAAGUUGCACCAUAAAUUUCAGCAAGAUAUUUCGACAUGUGCCGAUGUAAAAUUCUUAGAAUUGUUAAUUAAUUCUAAGUGGUAUACUCUUUAUGGUGGAGUAUGAUAAUUCUCUAUGGUGAGGAUUAUGACUAAGGUGAAAAUAGUAAGGUUAGUGUGGAGAUUGAUUGAUUCUCAAUCAAAACUCCAAGUGGGAGAAUGUCAAAGUAUUUGGCUGCAGCUUCUAGAAGCUACAUCUAGAAGCUUUGAUGCAGCAAAUGUUGAAGGCACCGCCAAGGAGAAAAAGAAGGAAGAAUGAAGAAGAUGUUGCAGAAGUUGAUCUUGACAAAUGAUGGUUGGAACGCCAAAAUGGAAGAAAGAAAAAGGUUGGAACACGGCUUUGAAGAAGCCACGAGAAGAAUAAAGAAAAUAUUAAAAUAAUAGCCAAUUUUGGCUAUAUAAAGGAAGCUCCCCUUUUUUUGGUUUGUGUAUCCAAUCCUCAGUUUCUCUUCUUCAUUCAGAGAGUGUUUCUUUGGGGUGUAUUUGAGGAUUAGGUGAGAGAAAAUUAUUUCUGAAAGAGUGGUUAUAAUAAUUUUCCACAUAGUGAAUAUUUUUUCUCUGGUUGUCUUUUUGACAACGGCCGUGGUUUUUCUCCAGAUUUAGAGUUUUCCACGUAAAUUUUGUGUUGUGGGAUUGAUAUUAUUUUUCAUUUAAUUUUUCUUGUUAAUUUGUUAAUUGACAAAUUGCUUGGAGAGAUCCUGGGAGGAAGCUCAAUUUCCUAACAGACAGCAGAUACAUUUUCAUUGAGCAGACACUGUUAGCAUUCAAGAUGCUGGCAGAUUCACUUGAUUCUUAUUAGUUUGUUUAGUGGCAAAGCAUAUAACCUGUAUUUCAAAGCCAAGUUGUGCUAUUGAUUAUGUUAACUUUAUUGUUAACCUAAAGUGAUAUGGAGGACAUAAUCAAUGUAGGAAAAUUAGGUGAAGAGACGAUGUCAACUCUUGAACCUCUUACAAAGCUCCAAGUUCUUUACUUGAAGAAGCUGCCAAAUUUGAAGAGCGUCUACUGGAAGGCAUUUCCAUUCCCAGAUGUAUGCAGAAUUUUUGUAUUAAUGCCCAGUUCUUAAGAACCUGCCACUGGAUUUUCAAGGGACGGGCCAAGGUAAAAUUCUUAUCAAGGGAAAGGAAGAUUGGUGGAAAGAACUUCAAUGGGAGGAUCAAGCAACUCAGAAUGCAUUGCUUCCAUUUUUCAAAUCAACUGACAAGUGAUUGAAGGGGGCAUCAUCAACAUCAUCAACAGAGAUGGAGAGAUUCUGGAGCAGAUCAGCAGGGUUUGUAUAUGAUCUUUGGUGGUUGCUUUCUUUUGUGAUUUUUUUUUUCUUCCUGUCAUUUUAUCAUUUCUUUGUCUCUUUUUCUAUUGCUGAUGUUAGUGUAUGCUUACUGUUGCUUGACAAAGUUUGCUUGCUUCUUGUUUAUUAAAUUUUUUAUGGUCACAAAAUAUUACUUGUUCUAUUUGAGAGUGAUGUGAAUCAAUUUUCAAUUAUAUAUUUUGUGGUCAAUGUGAAUUCAAUUUCAUUUGUCUCCUGCAAUUAUGAGAAAAUUGCAGAGUCAUAAUAUGGAAAAGAACACCAGCAAAAACUUUGUAAAAGCUUCGGAGUGAAACAGGGAAUUCACUUACUACUAAGAACAAUUGAUGGCGAGCUAUUCCAUUCAUUUUAUGUCCAUCCAUCUAUUUAAUUAUUAAAGAUAAGUGGUCCAUUUAUAAAUUU